rnacentral:lncRNA from 1 species
AUGGAUGUUGUAUUGCAGCAACACAACAUAGCGCAUGGAAGAUCACAAGUUUUGCAACAAAGUACUUACCAGCUGUUACAAGAAUUGUGUUGUCAGCACCUAUGGCAGAUCCCUGAGCAGUCGCAGUGCCAGGCCAUCCACAAUGUUGUUCAUGCUAUUAUUCUGCAUCAACAACAAAAACCACAACAACAACCAUCGAGCCAGGUCUCCUUCCAACAGCCUCUGCAACAAUAUCCAUUAGGCCAGGGCUCCUUCCGGCCAUCUCAGCAAAACCCACAGGCCCGGGGCUCUGUCCAGCCUCAACAACUGCCCCAGUUCGAGGAAAUAAGGAACCUAGCGCUACAGACGCUACCCGCAAUGUGCAAUGUCUACAUCCCUCCAUAUUGCACCAUCGCGCCAUUUGGCAUCUUCGGUACUAACUGAGAAGAAAAUAACUCUAGUACUAGAUAUAUGAAACACCGUUUUCUCAGUCCAUGGUUUGGUCGUUGUAGCGGUGAAAAAAUAAUGUGACAUGCACUAUCAGGUAAGAACCCGAACUAUACUAGUUCAAACUUGGGAAUAAAAGACAAACACAGGUCUUGUCUACAUAUUUAUGUUGCAUCUAUUUAUAUAUUAAAAGUAAUAUAAGGUGAACCAGGAGCAAGGUAAAUAUGCUAGAAAAUUGCACGUUAAUUAGAAAUUACUAGCCCUCGAUCUGAUAAAUCUUAACGAACAUAUAUAAUGCUCUGGGCCUCCAACGACUGUACGUGACACAUCUGAACGAACAUAUGUUAAAGAAAAUAUAUUUGGUAAAUGGUGGGCUUCUUUAAAAAGAGAACUCACGUACAUGCACCAACUAAGAAAAACACAUACAUGUAAACGGGAAAAGGAUGAGAUUUUCUCACGUACGUGCUCCCUGGCUCCACCCCGUUGAAAAAAUAUACAUCUGGAGGCCACUUUGUUUCCUCAUCAAAAAAACUUACGUUAAAAAGAUUGCAUGCAUCCCAGGGAAAAUAGUCAAGAAGAAGUCGGACUUUUCCUUACAAAAACAAGGAACGUGUUAAGUUGACUUCAAAGAAAAAAGGAACAUGUUAAGUUAAAAAAAAACAAGAAACCUGUUAAGUUAGAAAAAAAACAAGGAACGUGUUGUCCAAGGAAAGAGGAAGAAGAAAGUUGGUUUCAGUGAGUCAUGUGAAUUGUAGAAGAAAUAGGUAAACAAGGCUAGCUCCCCUGGGGGUUGUCAUAUUACAAUCAUUUGUAUUACUUUCCUACCAAUCCUGAACUAGCUAUGACCCUUAUAGCGAGCCUCACUUUACCGUUUCAGAUAGAAACAUAUGGCAGUACUGUACGUACUCGAGAGAAGUUGCUCCCUUCCAUGACAAGGACUAGUUAAGUUUCACUAUCUCCUUUCUCAACUCACUAUAUCCCAGCGGCGGAUUAAUAUAUAUACGUUGAAAAGCAAGGGGAUAAAUUGAACGAAAUGAAGAGCAAUCCAGAAUCCUAUUUUGUAUAUGUGUCAAAUCUUACAAAAAAAAAAGAAUACACACACGUACGUUCAUGCACUUGGAAAAUAGAAAAAAAAGGAACAUCACGUAUGUAUACACUUCGGAAACUCAUUACAUGACCAUGUCUGAUAUACUCCUCUAAUGCUUCAUAUUAGUGCCUAAUAAUUUAUAUUUAAAAUUCAAUUUACUGAUCAAAUAUCCCCACUGUUUAAAUUUUAAUUUGGCACAUUGUUUGGCUAUAGUAUGAACCUAAAUUUCCUCUUAUUAUUAUAUAUCAUGGUAAUAAUCCAAAGGCGACUAAUCUGCGCCGGCGCACCGGCGCAAUCAAUUCCGCUGGACACAGCGCGGCCGUUUGAUUAGAUUGCAUUUAACCGUCAGAUCUGGAAUCGUUUUCUUUCCAAUUAAACAGAUUCAACCAAACAGCAGAGGGGAAAACAAAGCAGCGCCGCCGCCAACACUAGCCAUGGACGACCGAUGUAGCAAAACCUUGAAGAACCGCCGCCGGUCGCCACCCUCGCUGCUGGUCGCCGCCCUCGCCGUCGGUCACCGCCGGUCGCCGCCCUCGCCGCACUCGUGGUUGCAGGCUUGCAUCUCCGCCUCCGGGGGACAUGGCCGCAUGUCCGGUAGCGCCGGCCGCCGGCCGGUGCACCUGUCGUUGUGGUCGCGCUGUACCUCGCCGUGUGCCCUCCCGUGGCUCUUGCUGGUUCCAACAAAAAACGAUACCGGUUGUAGCAAAAAAAUAUCGCUUCCAGCAAAAAAGCUUACCGCUACAGCCCGCCAUCGUCAUUGUAGCAAAAAUGUUAACCCGAUGUAGCUUCUGUGGUUGCCGACUGCAGCAAAAAAUGACAUGGUUGUAGCAAAACACAAAAGAAAAACGCCGGCCGGCCUCUGUGUAUGGUGGUAACAAACCCCAUAGCCGGUGGUAGCGAAAAACUUCAUAGUGCGCAGCAAAAAAAUGUUGUCACCCGUCGUCGAGGUUGCAUCAUCUUCAUGAAUUAUGUCGCAAAAAAACGUUGUCGCCGGUAGUAGCAAAUGAAGCCGCCGGUAGUAGCAAAACAAGACACUGGUUCCAGCCAAAAAAAAUCAGCGACAGAACCUUUGGUUGGUUCCAACAAAAAAACUUGUCGGUCGUAACAUCCCUCGCCGCCGGAUGUAGCAUCUCCCGGGGCUGGUUGCAACACUCCAUAAAAAAAAGUUGUCUAUGAGCGCAUCCAUGGUGACUGCUGCACCGUCAGCAACGAGGGGAAGAGGAGGCAAUGAAAAUCGUUCGAGUCAUAGCUCCACAGGACGCGGCUGCAGCAUGGGGAGUCCAAAAAUCUGUCACAAGCAACAUGCGCCUCGCCAUCCUCCUGCGCAGGAGAGAGAAGAAAAAGGAAUAAGAGGAAGAAGAAAGAAAACGGGAGAAAGAAAAAAGAAACGAUUGGUGGUUGGCUCAGGCAAUUAGUCAAGCGAGGGGCACGCGGGGCGCAGGAUACAGCGCAAUCGAACGAAGCGCGCGCGUCCGGCGAAGACUCGGCCGGACUGCCGGCUGGAAACGUUUCCCUAAUCCAAAGGCUUUAUCUGAAUGACAACUCGUCUGGGUUACCGGCUAACUAGAAAAAAGAUAAAUAUGCUAGAGAAUUUCAUAAUAAUUAGAAAUAUCUAGCCUUUAAUUAUGUAAAUCAGAAAAUCACAACCGUUGGAUUUACUUUAAAGGUAAAUUUCUCUAAAUUCCCACCAUUGCCAGUAUGUAGAAACAUGUGCUGCUUCAAUUCUCCCAUAAUCACCAAUCAAUCAACAACACAAAACAUACCUCAGUUAAAAAAACUGAACAAAAAAAAAGAAAAAAGAAGAAAGGACAAGAUACACGCAUGUACACGACAGCCUUGGCUUGAAACACAUCAGUAGAUCAAGUGUCCGCCUCCCUUACACAGAAUAAACUCAUAGGGAAGAAAAUAAUUGUGCAACCUAACCUUAUACGUACUAUUCUAUCCUCACGUCCCAUGAGGUUUACUAGCCUACCGCCGCCGCAUCAUGCCAUCCCCUCCUUUCAGCUCCCAUGCUUUCCAGCACCCUCAUUGCCGCGCCACUACUUGCCUAGGGAUAUUGCUGCUCAGACCGUGGAGCUUAACCUGCUUCUUCUUCAGCAAAUAUGGUACUGCUUUAGGAUCCUUCUCACAUCAGCACGUAUGGGCCUCAUUAUACUGCAGCUCCUGGACCUCCUACAAUUGGUUGGCUAUGGCCAGUUGAUCGAUGUGCCGAAGUCCAGGUCUGUUUGCUGGCACAUAUGCUUUGGAAAUAGGCCACUAUGUUUGUACUUCAAAAUUGUUUCUGUAUUCUUGAGUGGUACAUCCUUUUAAGCGCCAGUUUUUUAUGUCAAUUCAUGCUGACAACACUUAACCUAGCCUUUCAUCUUCACGUACUAAAUACAGGAGCAAGUAAAAACAACAGACCACCUAAUUGCUCUGCAUGUACUACAUAGGAAAAUUUGUCAUGUUCUACGAUCGCACCAUCCCACACUUCUCUCUUGGUAUGGGCGCCAAUUGAGGGAUUGAUAAAACUGAAACGAAGACGUCACGGGGCUGGAAGUACCGCUAGCCUGGUUUGCACUGCAACCUACUCAACGCCAUCAGAAACUAGCAACUGAGGCAGUUGUUGAUCGAUUCUCUCAAAUUGCUCUCAUGUAAGUACUACCCCUUGCAUGUGCGUACAUACCUUUGUUCCAUUCUCAAACAGAUAGAACAUUUAUGAUCGGUGCAUGGCUAUUUUUCAUCACAUGACAUCCAGAUAACAAGCAUGAAAGGACUACAUUGGAGAUCAAAAAAUAUUGGUUCCUGGCUAGAGGACCACUACCUAUGGACUUGUCUCCAUAGAAUUUGUUCCCAAGAUGUUAUUUUAAUUAACCUCUUUAGCUUUCUUCCAUUGCAAACGGUGAUGUGCAUCUUGGUAUAUACGUGACCAUCUUGCACAUGUAUACACAAGAGGCUCAGACGGAGGUGCUGGAUUCUGGACGAGGGAAUAUGAAGCAGCAGUGAGCGAAGAGUAAAUAAUGGUGGGAGUACCGAUUGGUGUUAUGAAGAAAAAUGCCAUCCAAAGAUUGAUUAGUGUCAUGGAAGAUUAAUUUCUGAAUGCGAAUAUAUAUGUUACAUUGGUUUGGAUCUUUUUGAGAUAAUUGCACAUAAAUUAGGUUCUUUCUUAUUUCAUAUGUAUACCUUAUUUCAGUAAAAGUUCACAACGAACUUAGUAGGACAAAUAUAAUUUUGUUUGUUCUUUCUGUUGUCCGCCACCAAAGCUCAAUUUGAACUCUCUAGAAAUGGACAAUGAUUUAUGCAUUCUAUAUCUUCUUGAUUCAUUAGCCAUGACAAGGAAAUAAAAGGAUUGACUGAUAUAGCAUAACUUUGGAACGAUCUGUUCGUAGAGGUUACUACAAAUUAGAGUAGUGUCUGCUGGAAUUUUGCCAGUAGGUCUUUGGCCCAAAGCCCAACUAAAAUUCUGAAAUUCUCUUGGCUCAUUUAUGCACACAUGUGAGUUGAGUGAGUGAGACUAAAGUUUAGUCCCACCCCGGAGUUGAGAGAGAGUUGCACCUCUUUAUAAGGUGAGCUCUUCUACCACUUGUAUGAGCAUGAGAAGAGGAGACCUACACGCGCGCUCCUCCUCCUCGCUCGCCACGCCUCGCCGCGCCGCGCCGCGGGUUGCGGGAUUGAGCCGAGCCGAGGACGUUGUCUAUAUUUUUGCUGCUCGGGAAAAAUUAAUGAGUCAUUAAUUAAUAAUUAAUGGACGCAUUAAUUACUGAACCGUUUCCGAUUUUUUUGGAUCGUGACGAAUCGGACGCGGGGUUUACUCCCAGGACCUACCCGGCCCGCACUAUAUAGUCAGGCAGACGUCUACCCUAGCCGCCGCCGCUUCAUAUGGUUUCUCACCAUCGUUACAGAUCAUUGCGCCACCAAGCAAGUUUUCUCCAUCCCUCCUUUCGGCGUGCACCGGGAGAAGGGAUAGCAGACCUCCGGAACCCCGCCUCUCGUGAUCCUGUACGGGAGAGGGGCGAUCAGGCUUUUGGGGAGCACACUCGCACUACUGUUGGCAGCGACGACUUCGCAAACGAGGACUUCUUCCCCGACCUCGGCAACCUCAUCCUCGACGACAUGGGCGACAACGUCAACGCCGGCGGUGCUACACCCACUGCACCGUAUGUUAUUCUCUCCUUCUUGUUCGAGGUCGUGGUAGAAUUCAAAGUAUAUGUGCCCUAGAUGUGAUCUGUUCAUCUACUAUGGUAGUUCGCAUGAUUAGUUUAAUCUCUGCUAUUGCUGUCAUGAUCUAUUUCCUAUUUAUUCGGAUUAAAUCUCGUAGUAAUUUGCUCAUUUUUCCAACAAUCCAAAAACCUGAUUAAUGGAAAUUUACUCCGAGUGGUUUUGCUGCGCAUCUGAAAGCCGCUUGCCUUUAAGGGGGCGCAAUAUAAGAGGUGGCUCACAAGAGUAGUCUACUGGUUUCAGAUCAUGGGCUGCUAUGACGCCACCAAGGGCAAGCCUGAGGGCGAUCUUAAUCCAGCACAGCUGGAUGCUAUGACAACGGCAAGAACACGUGGGCUACGCUCGAGGCCAAGUUUGGUGCCUCGGACGCCGGCAGCGAGUUGUACGUCAUGGAGCAAUUCUAUGACUCCAAGAUGACUGAUGAGCGCCCUGUUGUACAGCAGGCUCAUGAGAUACAGUUGCUCGCAAAAGAACUUGAGUACUUCAUGUUGGGGAACGUAGUAAUUUCAAAAAAAUUCCUACGCACACGCAAGAUCAUGGUGAUGCAUAGCAACGAGGGGGAGAGUCUGAUCUACGUACCCUUGUAGAUCGCAACGGAAGUGUUGACACAGCGUAGAGGAAGUAGUCGUACGUCUUCUUCCCGAUCCGACCGAUCCAAGCACCGUUACUCCGGCACCUCCGAGUUCUUAGCACACGUUCAGCUCGAUGACGAUCCCCGGGCUCCGAUCCAGCAAAGCUUCGGGGAGGAGUUCCGUCAGCACGACGGCGUGGUGACGAUCUUGAUGUUCUACCGACGCAGGGCUUCACCUAAGCACUACAACGGUAUGAUCGAGGUGGAAUAUGGUGGCAGGGGGCACCGCACACGGCUAAGGAACGAUCUCAAUGAUCAACUUGUGUGUCUAGAGGUGCCCCCUGCCCCCGUAUAUAAAGGUUGCCAGGGGGAGGGCUGGCCGGCCAAGCUAUGGAGGCGCAGGAGGAGUCCUACUCCUACCGGGAGUAGGACUCCCCCCAAUCCUAUUCCUAAUAGGACUCCCAAGUGGAAAGAGAGGGAGAGAGGUGGCCGGCCACCUCUCCUAGUCCUAAUAGGACUAGGGGAGGGGGGAGGCGUGCAGCCCACCUUGGGCUGCCCCUUUCACCUUGCCACUAAGGCCCAAUAAGGCCCAUUUGGUUCCCGGGGGGUUCCGGUAACCUCCCGGUACUCCGGUAAAAUCCCGAUUUCUCCCGAAACACUUCCGAUGUCCAAACAUAGGCUUCCAAUAUAUCAAUCUUGAUGUCUCGACCAUUUCGAGACUCCUCAUGAUGUCCGCGAUCACAUCCGGGACUCCGAACAACCUUCGGUACAUCAAAAUGCAUAAACUCAUAAUAACUGUCAUCGUAACGUUAAGCGUGCGGACCCUACGGUUCGAGAACAAUGUAGACAUGACCGAGACACGUCUCCGGUCAAUAACCAAUAGCGGGACCUGGAUGCCCAUAUUGGCUCCUACAUAUUCUACGAAGAUCUUUAUCGGUCAGACCGCAUAACAACAUACGUUGUUCCCUUUGUCAUCGGUAUGUUACUUGCCCGAGAUUCGAUCAUCGGUAUCCAAUACCUAGUUCAAUCUCGUUACCGGCAAGUCUCUUUACUCGUUCUGUAAUACAUCAUCCCGCAACUAACUCAUUAGUUGCAAUGCUUGCAAGGGUUGUAUAAUGUGCAUUACCGAGAGGGCCCAGAGGUACCUCUCCGACAAUCGGAGUGACAAAUCCUAUUCUCGAAAUACGCCAACCCAACAUCUACCAUUGGAAACACCUGUAGUACUCCUUUAUAAUCACCCAGUUACGUUGUGACGUUUGGUAGCACCCAAAGUGUUCCUCCGGCAAACGGGAGUUGCAUAAUCUCAUAGUCAUAGGAACAUGUAUAAGUCAUGAAGAAAGCAAUAGCAACAUACUAAACGAUCGGGUGCUAAGCUAAAGGAAUGGGUCAUGUCAAUCAGAUCAUUCAUCUAAUGAUGUGAUCCCAUUAAUCAAAUAACAACUCUUUGUCCAUGGUUCGGAAACAUAACCAUCUUUGAUUAACGAGCUAGUCAAGUAGAGGCAUACUAGUGACACUCUGUUUGUCUAUGUAUUCACACAUGUAUUAUGUUUCCGGUUAAUACAAUUCUAGCAUGAAUAAUAAAUAUUUAUCAUGAUAUAAGGAAAUAAAUAAUAACUUUAUUAUUGCCUCUAGGGCAUAUUUCCUUCAGUCUCCCACUUGCACUAGAGUCAAUAAUCUAGAUCACAUCACCAUGUGAUUAACAUCGAUAGUUCACAUCAUCAUGUGAUUAACACCCAUAGUUCACAUCGCCAUGUGACCAACACCCAAAGGGUUUACUAGAUUCAGUAAUCUAGUUCACAUUGCUAUGUGAUUAACACCCAAAGAGUACUAAGGUGUGAUCAUGUUUUGCUUGUGAGAGAAUCUUAGUCAACGGGUCUGCCACAUUCAGAUCCACAUGUAUUUUGCAAAUUUCUAUGUCAACAAUGCUCUGCAUGGAGCUACUUUAGCUAAUUGCUCCCACUUUCAAUAUGUAUCUAGACCGAGACUUAGAGUCAUCUAGAUUAGUGUCAAAACUUGCAUCGGCGUAACCCUUUACGACGAAUCUUUUUAUCACGUCCAUAAUCGAGAAACAUAUCCUUAUUUCACUAAGGAUAAUUCUGACCGAUGUCCAGUGAUCUACUCCUAGAUCACUAUUGUACUCCCUUGCCAAAUCAGUGCCGGGUAUACAAUAGAUUUGGUAUACAGCAUGUCAUACUUUAUAGAACCUAUGGCCAAGGCAUAGGGAAUGACUUUCAUUCUCUUUCUAUCUUCUGCCGUGGUUGGGCUUUGAGUCUUACUCAACUUCACACCUUAUAAUACAGGCAAGAACUCUUUCUUUGACUGCUCCAUUUUGAACUACUUCAAAAUCUUGUCAAGGUAUGUACUCAUUGAAAAAACUUAUCAAGCGUCUUGAUCUAUCUCUAUAGAUCUUGAAGCUCAAUAUGUAAGCAGCUUCACCGAAGUCUUUCUUUGAAAAACUCCUUUCAAACACUCCUUUAUGCUUUAUAGAAUAAUUCUACAUUAUUUCCGAUUAACAAUAUGUCAUUCACAUAUACUUAUCAGAAAUGUUGUAGUGCUACCACUCACUUUCUUGUAAAUACAGGCUUCACCGCAAGUCUGUAUAAAACUAUAUGCUUUGAUCAACUCAUCAAAGCAUAUAUUCCAACUCCGAGAUGCUUGCACCAGUCCACAGAUGGAUCGCUGGAGCUUGCACAUUUUGUUAGCACCUUUCGGAUUGACAAAACCUUCUGUUGCAUCAUGUACAACUCUUCUUUAAUAAAUCCAUUAAGGAAUGCAGUUUUGUUUAUCCCUUUGCCAGAUUUCAUAAAAUGCGGCAAUUACUAACAUGAUUCGGACAGACUCAAGCAUAGAUACGAGUGAGAAGCUCUCAUCGUAGUCAUCACCUUGAACUUGUCGAAAAACUUUUGCGACAAUUCUAGCUUUGUAGAUAGUAACACUACUAUCAGCGUCCGUCUUCCUCUUGAAGAUCCAUUUAUUCUCAAUUGCUUGCCGAUCAUCGGGCAAGUCAACCAAAGUCCAAACUUUGUUCUCAUACAUGGAUCAUAUCUCAGAUUUCAUGGCCUCAAACCAUUUCGCGGAAUCUGGGCUCAUCAUCGCUUCCUCAUAGUUCGUAGGUUCGUCAUGGUCAAGUAACAUGACCUCCAGAACAGAAUUACCGUACCACUCUGGUGCGGAUCUCACUCUAGUUUACCUACGAGAUUCCGUAGUAACUUGAUCUGAAGUUACAUGAUCAUCAUCAUUAGCUUCCUCACUAAUUUGUGUAGUAGUCACAAGAACAGAUUUUUGUGAUGAACUACUUUCCAAUAAGGUAGAAGGUACAAUUACCUUAUCAAGUUUUCUACUUUCCUCCCACUUACUUCUUUCAAGAGAAACUCCUUCUCUAGAAAGGAUCCAUUAUAAGCAACGAAUGUCUUGCCUUAGGAUCUGUGAUAGAAGGUGUACCCAACAGUCUCCUUUGGGUAUCCUAUGAAGACAUAUUUCUCCGAUUUGGGUUUGAGCUUAUCAGGAUGAAACUUUUUCUCAUAAGCAUCGCAACCCCAAACUUCAAGAAACGACAACUUUGGUUUCGUGCCAAACCAUAGUUCAUAAGGCGUCGUCUCGACGGAUAUAGAUGGUGCCCCUUUUUUUAACGUGAAUGCAGCUGUCUCUAAUGCAUGACCCCAAAAACGAUAGUGGUAAAUCGGUAAGAAACAUCAUAGAUUGCACUAUAUCCAAUAAAGUACGGUUAUGGCGUUCGGACACACCAUUAUGCUGUGGUGUUCCAGGUGGCGUGAGUAGUGAAACUAUUUCACAUUGUUUUAACUGAAGACCAAACUUGUAACUGAAAUACUCUUUUCCACGAUCAGAUCGUAGAAACUUUAUUUUCUUGUUACGAUGAUUUUCCACUUCACUCUGAAAUUCUUUGAACUUUUCAAAUGUUUCCGACUUAUGUUUUAUCAAAUAGAUAUACUCAUAUCUGCUCAAAUCAUCUGUGAAGAUCAGAAAAUAAUGAUACCUAUCGCGAGCCUCAAUAUUCAUCGGACCACAUACAUCAGUAUGUAUGAUUUCCAACAAAUCUGUUGCUCGCUCCAUUGUUCAGAAGAACAAAGUCUUAGUCAUCUUGCCCAAAAGGCAUGGUUCGCAAGCAUCAAGUGAUUCCGAAAGCCCAUCAGCAUGGAGCGCUUUAUACCAAUAUGACCUAAACGGCAGUGCCACAAAUAAGUUGCACUAUCAUUAUUAACUCUGCAUCCUUUGGUUUCAAUAUUAUGAAUAUGUGUAUCACUACGAUCGAGAUCCAACGAACUUGUUUCAUUGGGUGUAUGACCAUCGAAGGUUUUAUUCAUGUAAACAGAACAACAAUUAUUCUCUGACUUUAAUGAAUAACCGUAUUGCAAUAAAUAUGAUCAAAUCAUAUUCAUGCUCAACGCAAAAACCAAAUAACACUUAUUUAAGUUCAACACUAAUCCCGAAAGUAUAGGGGAGUGUGCGAUGAUGAUCAUAUCAAUCUUGGAACUACUUCCAACACACAUCGUCACUUCACCCUUAACUAGUCUCUAUUUAUUCUGCAACUCCUGUUUUGAGUUACUACUCUUAGCAACUGAACCAAUAUCAAAUACUAAGGGGUUGCUAUAAACACUAGUAAAGCACACAUCAAUAACAUGUAUAUCAAAUAUACUUUUGUUCACUUUGCCAUCCUUCUUAUCCGCCAAUCACUUGGGGUAGUUCCGCUUCUAGUGACCAGUCCCUUUGCAGUAGAAGCACUUAGUCUCAGGCUUAGGAUCAGACUUGGGCCUCUUCACUUGAGCAGCAACUUGCUUGCCGUUCUUCUUGAAGUUCCCCUUCUUCCCUUUGCCCUUUUCUUGAAACUAGUGGUCUUGUCAACCAUCAACACUUGAUGUUUUUCUUGAUUUCUACCUUCGUUUAUUUCAGCAUCACGAAGAGCUUGGGAGUUGUUUCUGUUAUCCCUUGCAUAUUAUAGUUCAUCACGAAGUUCUACUAACUUGGUGAUGGUGACUAGAGAAUUCUGUCAAUCACUAUCUUAUCUGGAAGAUUAACUCCCACUUGAUUCAAGCGAUUUUAGUACCCAGACAAUCUGAGCACAUGCUCACUAGUUGAGCGAUUCUCCUCCAUCUUUUAGCCAUAGAACUUGCUGGAAACUUCAUAUCUCUCAACUCGGGUAUUUGCUUGAAAUAUUAACUUCAACUCUUGGAACAUCUCAUAUGGUCUAUGACGUUCAAAACGUCUUUGAAGUCCCGAUUCUAAGCCAUUAAGCAUGGUGCACUAAACUAUCAAGUAGUCAUCAUAUUGAGCUAGCCAAACGUUCAUAACGUCUGCAUCUGCUCCUGCAAUAGGUUUGUCACCUAGCGGUGCAUCAAGGACAUAAUUCUUCUGUGCAGCAAUGAGGAUAAAACUCAGAUCACGGAUCCAAUCCGCAUCAUUGCUACUAACAUCUUUCAACACAAUUUUCUCUAGGAACAUAUCAAAAUAAACACAGGGAAGCAACAACGCGAGCUAUUGAUCUAUAACAUGAUUUACAAAAUACUACCAGGACUAAGUUCAUGAUAAAUUUAAGCUCAAUUAAUCAUGUUACUUAAGAACUCCCACUUAGAUAGACAUCCCUCUAAUCCUCUAAGUGAUCACGUGAUCCAAAUCAACUAAACCAUAACCGAUCAUCACGUGAAAUGGAUUAGUUUUCAAUGGUGAACAUCAUUAUGUUGAUGAUAUCUACUAUAUGAUUCACGCUCGACCUUUCGGUCUCCGUGUUCCGAGGCCAUAUCUUUAUAUGCUAGGCUCGUCAAGUUUAACCUGAGUAUUCUGCGUGUGCAAAACUGGCUUGCACCAGUUGUAGAUGGACGUAGAGCUUAUCACACCCGAUCAUCACGUGGUGUCUGGGCACGACGAACUUUGGCAACGGUGCAUACUCAGGGAGAACACUUCUUGAUAAUUUAGUGAGAGAUCAUCUUAUAAUGCUACCGUCAAUCAAAGCAAGAUAAGAUGCAUAAAAAGAUAAACAUCACAUGCAAUCAAUAUAAGUGAUAUGAUAUGGCCAUCAUCAUCUUGUGCUUGUGAUCUCCAUCUCCGAAGCACCGUCAUGAUCACCAUCGUCACCGGCGCGACACCUUGAUCUCCAUCGUAGCAUCGUUGUCGUCUCGCCAAUCUUAUGCUUCCACGACUAUCGCUACCGCUUAGUGAUAAAGUAAAGCAUUACAUCGCGAUUGCAUUGCAUACAAUAAAGCGACAACCAUAUGGCUCCUGCCAGUUGCCGAUAACUCGGUUACAAAACAUGAUCAUCUCAUACAAUAAAAUUUAGCAUCAUGCCUUGACCAUAUCACAUCACAACAUGCCCUGCAAAAACAAGUUAGACGUCCUCUACUUUGUUGUUGCAAGUUUUACGUGGCUGCUACGGGCUUAAGCAAGAACUCAUCUCACCUACGCAUCAAAACCACAACGAUAGUUUGUCAAAUAGAUUCCGUUUUAACCUUCUCAAGGACCGGGCGUAGCCACACUUGGUUCAACUAAAGUUGGAGAGACAGUCGCCCGCAAGCCAUCUAUGUGCAAAGCACGUCGAGGGAACCGGUCUCGCGUAAGCGUACGCGUAAGGUUGGUCCGGGUCGUCUCGUCCAACAAUACCGCCGAACCAAAGUAUGACAUGCUGGUAGGCAGUAUGACUUGUAUCGCCCACAACUCACUUGUGUUCUACUCGUGCAAAUAAUAUCAAACCAUAAAACCUAGGCUCGGAUGCCACUGUUGGGGAACGUAGUAAUUUCAAAAAAUUUCCUACGCACACGCAAGAUCAUGGUGAUGCAUAGCAACGAGGGGGAGAGUCUGAUCUACGUACCCUUGUAGAUCGCAACGGAAGCGUUGACACAACGUAGAGGAAGUAGUCGUACGUCUUCUUCCCGAUCCGACCGAUCCAUGCACCGUUACUCCGGCACCUCUGAGUUCUUAGCACACGUUCAGCUCGAUGACGAUCCCCGGGCUCCGAUCCAGCAAAGCUUCGGGGAGGAGUUCCGUCAGCAUGACAGCGUGGUGACGAUCUUGAUGUUCUACCGACGCAGGGCUUCGGCUAAGCACUACAACGGUAUGGUCGAGGUGGAAUAUGGUGGCAGGGGGCACUGGACACGGCUAAGGAACGAUCUCAAUGAUCAACUUGUGUGUCUAGAGGUGCCCCUACCCUCGUAUAUAAAGGUUGCCAGGGGAGGGCUGGCCGGCCAAGCUAUGGAGGCGCAGGAGGAGUCAAACUCCUACCGGGAGUAGGACUCCCCCCCCCCAAUCUUAUUCCUAAUAGGACUCCCAAGGGGAAAGAGAGGGAGAGAGGUGGCCGGCCACCUCUCCUAGUCCUAAUAGGACUAGGGGAGGGGGGAGGCGCGCAGGCCACCUUGGGCUGCCCCUUUCACCUUUCCACUAAGGCCCAAUAAGGCCCAUUUGGUUCCCGGGGGUUCCGGUAACCUCCCGGUACUCCGGUAAAAUCCCGAUUUCUCCCGGAACACUUCCGAUGUCCAAACAUAGGCUUCCAAUAUAUCAAUCUUUAUGUAUCGACCAUUUCGAGACUCCCCGUCAUGUCCAGGAUCACAUCCGGGACUCCGAACAACCUUCGGUACAUCAAAAUGCAUAAACUCAUAAUAACUGUCAUCGUAACGUUAAGCGUGCGGACCCUACGGUUCGAGAACAAUGUAGACAUGACCGAGACACGUCUCCGGUCAAUAACCAAUAGCGGGACCUAGAUGCCCAUAUUGGCUCCUACAUAUUCUACGAAGAUCUUUAUCGGUCAGACCGCAUAACAACAUACGUUGUUCCCUUUGUCAUCGGUAUGUUACUUGCCUGAGAUUCGAUCGUCGGUAUCCAAUACCUAGUUCAAUCUCGUUACCGGCAAGUCUCUUUACUCAUUCUGUAAUACAUCAUCUCGCAACUAACUCAUUAGUUGCAAUGCUUGCAAGGCUUGUAUAAUGUGCAUUACCGAGAGGGCCCAGAGGUACCUCUCCGACAAUCGGAGUGACAAAUCCUAUUCUCGAAAUACGCCAACCCAACAUCUACCAUUGGAAACACCUGUAGUACUCCUUUAUAAUCACCCAGUUACAUUGUGAUGUUUGGUAGCACCCAAAGUGUUCCUCCGGCAAACGGGAGUUGCAUAAUCUCAUAGUCAUAGGAACAUGUAUAAGUCAUGAAGAAAGCAAUAGCAACAUACUAAACGAUCGGGUGCUAAGCUAAUGGAAUGGGUCAUGUCAAUCAGAUCAUUCAUCUAAUGAUGUGAUCCCAUUAAUCAAAUAACAACACUUUGUCCAUGGUUAGGAAACAUAACCAUCUUUGAUUAACGAGCUAGUCAAGUAGAGGCAUACUAGUGACACUCUGUUUGUCUAUGUAUUCACACAUGUAUUAUGUUUCUGGUUAAUACAAUUCUAGCAUGAAUAAUAAAUAUUUAUCAUGAUAUAAGGAAAUAAAUAAUAACUUUAUUAUUGCCUGUAGGGCAUAUUUCCUUCACUUCAAGUGUGUGUUGCCGAACAAAUUUGUUGCCGGAGGCAUCAUUGCCAAGCUUCCACCUUCGUGGAACAAUUUUGCUACUUCCCUGAAACACAAGAGACAGGAGUUUUUCGUUGCGGAUCUCAUUGGUACUCUUGAUGUUGAAGAGAAGGCGAGAGCAAAGGAUACACGUGCUCGAGUUGCUGAGGGAGGUUCUAGUGCCCACAUGGUACAGAAGAAGAUCUUCCAGCCCAACAAGUUCAAAAACAACAAGAACAAAACUUAGGGCAAAGGCAAGUUUGAUACAAAGAACAAGCCAUCACAUUCUACCAACUUCAAGAAGAACUCUCAUAAGAAGGGGAAGGGACUUUGCCAUGUCUGCGGUGAUCCUAAUCACUGGGCUCCGAAGUGUCCUAACCGCUUUGAGGAGCGCGAACAUGAGAAGAGCGGCAAGUCUGCUAAUGUUGUCAUCGGUGAUACUGAUAUGAAGGAAUCAGGGUACGGUAUUUUUCCUACCAUCCUUUCAGUAUUCCAAAUCCCUGAUUGGUUAAUUGACAUCGGUGCCAAUGUACAUGUUUGUGCUGAUGCCUCCAUGUUUUCUUCUUACCAGGCCACUUGGACUUCUCCUGUGCUGAUGGGGAACGGGUCACAUGCCAUCGUUCGAGGUGUUGGUGCGGUCAAUCUGAAGUUUACUUCGGGGAAGACCGUGCGUCUGAAGAACGUUCAUCAUGAGCCGUCCAUCAAUAAAAAUCUCGUUAGCGGUUCCCGUUUAUGUCGAGAUGGUUUUAAGUUGGUUUUCGAAUCCAAUAAAGUUAUAAUUUCUAAGUAUGGACAAUUUGUUGGAAAAGGCUAUGAGAGCGGAGGCUUGUUUCGCCUGUCUUUGUCAGAUAUUUGCACUAAAGUUAUUAAUAAUGUUUGCCACAACAAUGAGUCUGAUAUUUGGCAUUCACGACUUUGUCACAUUAACUUUGGUUGCAUGACCCGGCUAGCCAAUAUGAAUUUAAUUCCGAAAUCUCUACUGUCAAAGGCUCUAAGUGCCAAGUAUGUGUGAAAGCUAAGCAACCUCGCAAAUCCCAUAAGACUGCAGAGGCGACAGACUUGGCGCCACUAGAGCUUAUACAUUCUGAUAUUUGUGAGAUGAAUGGCGUGUGGACAAAAGGUGGAAAGAGAUACUUCAUGACGUUGAUUGAUGACUCCACUAGAUAUUGUUAUGUGUAUCUUAUGAAAUCAAAAGAUGAGGCUUUGGCUUUCUUCAAAAACUAUAAAGCUGAGGCAGAGAACCAACUUGAUCGAAAAAUUAAACGGCUUAGGUCCGAUCAUGGUGGAGAGUAUUUUUCCAAUGAAUUUGAUCUAUUUUGUGCGGAACAUGGUAUAAUCCAUGAGAGGAUGCCUCCCUACUCACCCCAGUCAGAUGCGGUAGCCGAAAGAAAGAACCAAACUCUAACUGAUAUGGUUAACACCAUGUUAGACACUUCGGGUCUAUCCAAGGAAUGGUGGGGGGAGGCGCUAAUGACUGCGUGUCAUGUCCUAAACCGAGUUCCCACAAAGCAUAAGACCAUGACUCCAUUUGAGGAAUGUUAAAGGAAAAGGUUGAAACUCUCUUACCUACGUACUUGGGGUUGUUUGGCGAAAGUCAAUAUACCAAUUCCCAAGAAGCGCAAGCUUGGACCAAAAACCGUGGGUUGUGUUCUUCUUGGGUAUGCUUUUCAUAGCAUCGGCUAUAGAUUUUUGAUAAUAAAAUCUGAGGUAUCCGACAUGCAUGUUGGUACGAUUAUGGAGUCGAAUGAUGCAACUUUCUUUGAGGACAUAUUUCCUAUGAAGGAUAUGUUGAGUUCAUCAAAUCAGGAGACACCUACUCCACCUAGUGAGGAAUUCACUGUAAUUCCUGAACCCACCAUUGCGAUGGAACACAUAGAGAAUCCUGUUGAGGGUGACAAUGGAACUCCUGUGAGGAGUAAGAGACAUAGGACUACAAAGUCCUUUGGUGAUGAUUUCAUUGUGUACCUCGUGGAUGACACACCCAGGACUAUUUCAGAAGCCUGUGCAUCUCUUGAUGCUGACUACUGGAAGGAAGCUGUACAUAGCGAGAUGGAUUCCAUCUUAGGUAACAGAACCUGGGAGAUCACUGACCGUCCUUAUGGGUGAAAACCUGUAGGAUGUAAGUGGGUGUUCAAGAAGAAGCUUAGACCUGAUGGUACGAUUGAAAAGUACAAGGCACGGCUUGUGGCCAAGGGUUAUACCCAGAAAGAAGGUGAAGACUUCUUUGAUACUUACUCACCCGUGGCUAGAAUGACCACAAUUUGGGUGCUACUAUCACUUGUUGCCUCACAUGGUCUUCUCGUUCAUCAAAUGGACGUUAAGACAGCUUUCCUCAAUGGAGAGUUGAAGGAGGAAAUUUACAUGGAUCAGCCAGAUGGUUUUGUAGUACCUGGUUAGUAAGGAAAGUUGUGCAAGUUAUUAAAGUCUUUAUAUGGCCUUAAACAAGCUCCUAAAGAGUGGCAUGAGUAGUUUGAAAGAACAUUAACUGCUGCCGGCUUUGUAGUAAACGAUGGUGACAAGUGCGUGUACUAUCGCUAUGGUGGUGGCGAAGGAGUUAUUCUUUGUCUGUAUGUCGACGACAUAUUGAUCUUUGGAACGAAACUUGAUUUAAUCAAGGAGGUUAAGGAUUUCUUAUCUCGCUAUUUUGAGAUGAAGGAUCUAGGAGUAGUUGAUGUUAUCUUAAACAUCAAGCUGUUGAGAGAUGAGAAUGAUGGGAUCACACUGCUUCAGUCUCACUAUGUGGAAAAGGUCUUGAGUCGUUUUGGGUAUAGCGACUGCACACCUUCUCCAACUACAUAUGAUGCUAGCAUGUUGCAUCGAAAGAAUCGACGGAUUGCUAGAGAUCAACUGAGGUAUUCUCAUAUUAUUGGCUCGCUUAUGAUUUGGCGAGUGCCACGAGGCCAAACAUCUCGUUUGCUGUUAGCAAGCUGAGUCGAUUUGUGUCAAAACUAGGAGAUGAUUAUUGGCAUGCGCUUGAGAGAGUUAUGCGCUAUUUGAAAGGCACCGCGAGCUAUGGGAUUCACUACACCGGGUAUCCAAGGGUACUGGAGGGUUAUAGUGACUCAAACUGGAUAUCUGAUGCUAAUGAGAUUAAGGCCACAAGUGGUUAUGUUUUUACACUUGGUGGUGGCGCUGUUUCUUGGAAGUCCUGCAAGCAGACCAUCUUAAUGAGGUCAACUAUGGAAGCAGAACUCACAACAUUAGAAACUGCUACUGUUGAAGCAGUGUGGCUUCGUGAGCUCUUGAUGGACUUUCCUAUGGUUGAAAAACCAAUACCCCCUAUCCCAAUGAACUGUGAUAAUCAAACUGUGAUCGUCAAGAUAAACAGUUCUAAGGACAAUAUGAAGUCCUCAAGGCAUGUGAAGAGGAGACUGAAAUCUGUUAGAAAAUUGAGGAACUCCGGAGUUAUUACGUUGGAUUAUAUCCAAACGUCAAAAAAAUUGGCAGAUCCCUUCACAAAGGGUCUAUCACGUAAUGUGAUAGAUAAUGCAUCGAUGGAGAUGGGUUUGAGACCCACCGCAUGAGUUGUCCAUAGUGGUAACCCACUCUUUGUGAUCGGAGAUCCCGUGAAGUAGAAGUGGGAGACAAGCUGUUGGUCAGCUGGGAGGAGAGUAUCCCUAUAUUACCUGUCCCACUCCAUGAAGAUGCAACACUCUCCUAAUCUGCAUGGCAGGUUGAUACUUAUCUUAAUGUGUUCCAAGUGGCUUAUUCGGGUAAGCAGAGAUGUUGUCCUGCGGAACAUCUUCUGAGGAACACACCUAUAUGAAUUUGAUUGUUAACGUCGCAGUCUGUGAGAAUUGGGUGUUCUCUAAUAAAUUCAUGAAAAGGCCCUGGAGUAUGACGUAUAAGCUCCACCCGCAGGGAAGCCUUGCGGCAGCCCAGUAUCGGUCAAGAAUUUGUGUGAAACUAGUCUCGCAGAAAAUUUGUAGUUCAAGGCAUAGUCCACUAUUCAAGUUGUGAUCUAGUGUAGCAUAAAUCUCUAAGUGGAAGUUCAACUUCAAAGUCUCCACUAAGCCCCGGUAUAUAAACAAUGUUUUGGAACUAAAUGAUGAGAUGUGCCAAUGAGACUUUGUGGGGGAUUGUUGGAAUUUUGCUAGUAUGCCUUUGGCCCAAAGCCCAACUAAAAUUCUGAAAUUCUCUUCGCCCAUUCAUGCACACAUGUGAGUGGAGUGAGUGAGACUAAAGUUUAGUCCCACCCCGGAAGUUGAGAGAGAGCACCUCUUUAUAAGGUGAGCUCUUCUACCACUUGUAUGAGCAUGAGAGUAGGAGACCUACACACGCGCUGCUCCUCCUCGCUCACCACGCCACGCCUGGUCACGACGCGCCGCGGGUUGCGGGAUUGAGCCGAGCCGAGGUCAGAGCUAUGCACGUUGUCUAUUUUUUGCUACCCCGGAAAAUUAAUGAGUCAUUAAUUAAUAAUUAAUGGACGUGUUAAUUACUAAACCGUUUCCGAUUCUUUUGGAUCAUGACGACUCGGACGUGGGGUUUACUCCCACGACCUACCAGGCCCGCACUAUAUAGUCCGGCAGACGUGUACCCUAGCUGUCGCCGCUUCGUAUGGUUUCUCACCACCGUUCCAGAUCAUUGCGUCGCCAAGCAAGUCUUCUCCAUCCCUCCUUUCGGCGUGCACCGGGAGAAGGGACAGCAGGCCUCCGGAACCCCGCCUCUCGUGAUCCUGUAUGGGAGAGGGGCGAUCAGGUUUUUGGGGAGCGCACUCGCGCGACUUCUGGCAGCGACGACUUCGCGAAUGACGACUUCUUCCCUGACCUCGGCAACCUCAUCCUCGACGACAUGGGCGACAACGUCAACGCCGGCGGUCCUGCACCCGCUGCACCGUAUGUUAUUCUAUCCUUCUUGUUCGAGAUCGUGGUAGAAUUCAGGUUUCUAGUAUAUGCCCUAGAUGUGAUCUGUUCAUCUACUAUGCUAGUUCGCAUGAUUAGUUUAAUCUCUGCUAUUGCUGUCAUGAUCUAUUUCCUAUUUAUUCGGAUUAAAUCUCGUAGUAAUUUGCUCAUUUUUCCAAUAGUACCAUCUAAUAGAUGAUGUAAAUCUCCUCUAGUUUGACGUUGUUGAGCUAAUUUACAAAAAAAAAACCUCAUCAUUAUUGGACGUCCUUAACAGCUCAAGAACAAGUUGGGGUCGAACUAAUGGAUUUUACACUUUUACAUUAAAGGUUUAGCUAAAGCUAGCAGGUGUUUUUAAACCUGAAUUUUUUUUUCCUCCUGAAUUUCUUUGUAUUUUCUUAUUGACACUAUUUAUACAAUCAUCUGACAAAGAUUAGCUAAAGAUGUUUGUAGAUACGUUGAAACCUGAAAAGCUUCUUUGGUUAUCCUUUUAAUAGUUCUACGUUUAAUUUCUCAUAGGUCAUAAUUCUUAUGUAAUACCAAGAUGCAUUGUGGUAGUGUACAUGUGUUCAAUUCAGGUUGUUAUUCACAAUUUGCGACAAAAUUUAGCUCACGCUACAUUUAAAUAUGUUGAAAUGUGAAUGCUCUUUUUCUUCUCCUUUCUACACCUUGCAUCGGAUUGCAUCCCUUUAGUUAUCCAACAUUUUGUACAACAUGUAGAGAUUAGGAAGUUCAUCAUAGUUUGUCUAUUUCCGUGCUAAUAAAUGUAUGAAAUCUGCAUUUCCAAGCUACUAGGACAAGUAAAAAAUAAUAAUUUUACUAUAGGAUUCAAAAACAGCAGUUCUGAAGUGCACUUUAUUUAUUUUUGAAAGUGAUCACAUUUUGUUUCAUUUUUCUAUAGACAAAUCUACUAAUACAUACUCACGAUAAAACUAUAAAAAUUCUAGUCCGCACAUUGGGCGGGCCACCCGGCUAGUUAGUCUAAAGAUAACAAAAUGAGUCUGGAAUUUGAAUUAAAUUGAAGUAUUUUCUUGGACUUUCAAAUUAAGUUUUAUUAAAGUAGUAAGGACUAUCCACAUCCUUGGCUUGCCCCUGAUCAAUUAUUUCCAGAGAAGCAUUCGAUUCAUCAAUCAAUUACAUUGAUUUUAGUGGCUGGUACUUCUCCUCAACAUCAGUAUAUUCACCGUGGCCACUCCAAAUCGGCAAGAAUGAGGUACCAGUGCUCUGCAGCAGUGCAAGCUAAUUGCUUCUCAUGUGAAGGGGUGCGGGCGCAGGAGAGGUAUUUCUGGUGGGCCAAGGGACUAAGAAGCGACUGUGGCAGCGGUAUAGAUGCCCGCAAAGCCCCAUAGUUUGUUUUUCGUUUACAGGAAAAAUGCACAUCCAUACCAACCUUGGGAAUAUAGGACCGUAUUGGAUGGAAAACCAUGUCCGGAUGGUUGCGAGCGGUUUGAGGGUUAGCUUUUGUAACGCCCGGUUAGUUAUGCUAUAGCAAUUCCCUGCUAAUGAUGUCACGUCACCACGAUUACUAUUGUUAACCUCACAAUGAUUCAAUCCCCUUCAAAUUCAAAUUUAAAAUAAAGGUAAACAUCAAAAGUUUUCAAACAUUAAAACUAAAAUCUUUGAGAGGUGACAAAUAAUGCAUAAGUAAUUAUGGUGGAGAAACCACACUUUAAUCAAAUGUUUAAAUACUCUAAAAUGAAAAAAACAGUUGCUUAAACUAUUAUUUAAAUGCUUUUAAAAUAGUAAAAAUCUUCUAACUAAAUUAUUUGGGUACCAAACUUUUGGUGGCAGUGGUAUAUUUAGUAGAAUUAAUUUAGAUGCUAAUUAUAUAAUUUACAAAAUUAGAGUAAAUUGAAAAAUAGGAUAAAACGGAAAAGGAAAGACAAAACAAAUAAAAGCAAAAGGGGCCAACCCCUCGCUGGGCCUCGACCUAGCUGCCACUAGGCUAGCUAGGCUGGCCCCGGCGCCUCCCUUAACCCCCCCCCCCACUCCCCAUCGAACCCAAGCCCGAUCGCCCCACUUCCCCCACACCCCCUCGCCAGCCUCCCCACCUCUUGAUCCCAUCUGGAUCGGGGAGGGUAUUGCCCCCAUCGACCCCGUUGCCGUCGCCGGAUUGCCCGCCGAUGUCGCCAGGCCUCCUCCCCGCCGCCCGUCUCCGGCUCGCCUCCCCUCUCGCUCCUCUUCCCCGACCCGAUCUAGAUCGUGAACGAGCAAUGAGCUCGAAGCCCCCUUCACCGGCGCCAUCACCGUGCGCCACCACCACCGCCUGAGGACCUCACCGUCGCCGAAUCUAGCGUCGCCUCCUCGUAUCCCUCCCCUACUCGCGUCCUCAAGCCAGGACGAGCCCCUUCUCGGCAACGCUGUGAGACGCCCCCGUUUCCCUCCUCUUUCCACCGCGUUCAUCGCGCCGCCCGCCGUGCCCCUCGCCGUGCGCACGCCCACCACCGCACCAGCCCCCGCUCCGCGCACGACCCUACCCGCGCCCGCGCCAUGAUCCCCUUUUCCGCCCUACCUUCCUGCGCUCGCCGCGGUCCCGAUGCUCCCCCGCGCCCUCUUUCGGGGGCGCCGACCUCCCCUGUCCCGCUGCUCGGCGCCGUGCCUCGCAAUCGCUCUACUGCUAAGUUACUACUGCGCUGCGGCCGUCGCCUCUUCCUUCUGCUCCGCUAGCGCCGAAGCUCCCGAUUGGCUCCACCACUUCUCACGUUAAACCGCCGGCCUAAAUGGCCUAACCCCGGGCUAAUGAACCCCCACUAACCCACUGACACCGGGACCCACAUUCCCUAAUUAACCAUUUAAUAAAUUAAAACUCUUAAAUUAACAUUAGUGUAUGACAUGUGCGUCCCCUAUUAAUUAAUAAUUUUACUGCUAGUUUUCUUAGUUUCUGUUUUUCUGCAUAUUUCUUUUGUAUUUGAACAGGCUUUAUACAAUAAUAUUUAGCGUCUCAUACACAUACAAAUGUAAUUAUAGCAUAUACAUACAAAUAGUCUCAUCAAAUCAUGUGAUCAUCAUAAUCAUCAUCCAUCACAAAGUGAUCUCUCGUCAUCAUCUCGAAAAUAGCGAUACUAGUCUCGAUUACUUGCAACUACAUCGUCAUCCAUCUAAACAAUGAUAUACGCGAGAAGAGCUAUCACUAUGAGUGAGAGCGGAACUAUGCAGUACAUGAGUUUGUAUCCCUCUCUCACAUUAGCGUGAACCUAAACUAACUACUGGCUGUUGCUCGGAAACCGGAAAACGGUACACCUGGGCCUGACACUCCGGCCACUCGUCGUAUACUCCUGGCGUAGCACUUCUUCGCCAUCGAUGAUCUAUGCACCUGCAUCGUCACAUGAGUCGAUGAUAUGCAACAUAUAUAGUUGAGCAACAGAAAGAGACAGACGUGGCAAAAGUAGAAGCAACAUAUCAUAAGCAUAAAUAACAAAGCUCAUCGUACGCAAAAUGCCCUAACUAGAGUGAUCUGCGCUAGUCAAGGAGGACGGUUUAAUUACAUCACAAAUAAUGUUUCGUCGUGCAUUACUCAAAGUUCCGUCAUACAGAAAGUAUGAACUAAAUGGACACAUUGUCAUAUUUCGAAAAUCACUCCCACAUGUCGUGCCAUCCAUCCAAGUCAAGGAGAUAGUGCCCGAGCUUAGUGAAAGGCUUUAGGUCAAGAUGCUGAGUGGCUACGCGUGUUCGGACGUCUUCCCACGACAUUUGUCCUUCUUCAUAGAACAUCCCUGUUUUUUCGACGACCUCCUUCAUCACUAGAAGAAAAAGGGCCUGUUGUCCCGGUUCUGGAACCGGGACUAAAGGGUCGGUACUAAUGCCCUGUCCCUUUAGUCCCGGUUCAAUCCAGAACCGGGACAGAUGGGCCUCCACGUGGCCUGUGCGCGGAGCCCAGGCAGGAGACCCUUUGGUCCCGGUUGGUGGCACCAACCGGGAACAAUAGGCAUCCACGCGUCAGCAUUUCUGUGGUUGGGGUUUUUGUUNNNNNNNNNNNNNNNNNNNNNNNNNNNNNNNNNNNNNNNNNNNNNNNNNNNNNNNNNNNNNNNNNNNNNNNNNNNNNNNNNNNNNNNNNNNNNNNNNNNNNNNNNNNNNNNNNNNNNNNNNNNNNNNNNNNNNNNNNNNNNNNNNNNNNNNNNNNNNNNNNNNNNNNNNNNNNNNNNNNNNNNNNNNNNNNNNNNNNUGGUGUUUCAUAUAUUGUGUUAGCUAGCUAUAAUUAAUAGAGAAAAGUGUCCUCUCUUAUGUCCGUGCUUGGUCGACGCUACGUACUAUACAUACGUAUAGAGAGGACUAGACACGCUAGCUAGCUAGUAAGCAAACGAAGGAAACAGAAGAUCGUCAUGAACAUAUAUGCAUACAGGACUAGACACGCUAGCUAGCUAGUAACCAAACGAAGUUCAACUAGUAAUGGCGCACCACUCCCACGGUGCGCCAUUAGUAGUUUUGAAAAAAAUUAAUUUUUUUUUUUACUAAUGGCGCACUGUGGAUGUGGUGCGCCAUUAGUAUUUGGACACUAAUGGCGUACCAACACAUGGUGCGCCAUUAGUAUAUAGUAAUGGCGCACCACAGGUCUGGUGCGCCAUUAGUGUCAAUUCCAUCUAUAGCCCUUUUCCUAGUAGUGUUAGGGACGGUCUCAAUGAAACAACCCACCAUGUACUCCUGCAUGGCCUCUCAUCGAUACCUUUACCGAAACAUGUGCAACACAUUCCUCAUAUUACCGACAUAAUCAUAUCACCCUAGCCCAUCACCCAGAUGAACCAGACCUGACACAACUAUAAGCAUAGCAGGCAUAGCAAGGUAGGAAUCACAUACAUGGCUCAAUCAACUCCUACACAUGCUAGUGGGUUUCAUCUAGUUACUGUGGCAAUGACAGGUCAUGGAGAGGAUAAGGGUUCAACUACCGUAGCACACAGCAGUUUGAAUGGCGUUGUCUUAAUGCAGUAAACAAGAGCAGAGGCGAGAACAUGGGUUGUAUCGGAAUGAUCAAUGGGUUGCUUGACUGAUGGAGUGGUAGUGGGAUACUACCCUUCAGUUGGAUACUCGUGAAUAUCCUCGGAGGCAGAACCUACCACGAAGAACACAUCGGAACACAAUCAACACAUGACGAUAUGCAACACUAUGAUGCAUGCUAUGACAUGGCAUUAUGAAUGUGUCUUGGCCUAAUGCAAGCUAAAAUAGAAAGGGAUGAACUCAUUUGAAUCAAAGAUUCAAAUAUUAGCUCAUUAAACAUGGCCUUAGUAGUGCAUUUCCUUAUUCUGCUUAAACAGCAAGGUAAACUUGUUUUGUCAUACAUGAAACCAUUACAGAUGGAUGUAUUGAAUUUUUCUGAUAAUUUUUCAUAUAUAAAUUAUUUCAUUUGGAGUUACGGUUGAAUUUCUAUGAUUUUUAGAAGUUUUAAACAUUUUCUGGAAUUUCCUGAAUAAAAAUAAAUCCAGAAAAUGCAUUACUGCGUCAGUAUUGCAUCAUGCUGACCUCAGCAGGUCAAAGGCGCCAGCCCAGGUCAAAACUGACUGGUGGGCCCCUUCUGUCAGUCUCUCAGUUAAAUAAUAGGAUUAGAUUAACACUAAUUAGCUGUCAGUGGGGCCUGGGCCCACAUGUCACUGACUGAUUAAAAUAAAAUUAGUUAAAACUAAUCCUUGAUUAGUUAGCAGACCGGCCCCUCCUGUCAUAGACUCAGGGGGGUCUACCUGGGCCCACCCAGGGUCAAACUGGGUCAAACUCGCCGGCGUUGAGCCGCCGGCGAGACCCGAGACGGUGGCGCAGCUCGGAAAACGCCUACAGGGCACGAGCGAGGCCGUUCUUGGGCUCGUUGGAGAGCUCUUGCAGCCGCGCAUCUAGUGGUGGUGGGGGCCGGAGACGACGACGGCGAGCUCCAAGGCGGCGGCUGGAGUUCGGCCAUGUGCGGGGUGUGGGCUGUGGCGUGCAAACGUGGAAACUGAAGCGCUAGCGAGGCACUACGCGAUGCGGCAAGCACGUUGCAUAGCACGGGAUGAUCCAAUGGUCGCCGGAGCGGCGCCGGCGACAAGCUCGAGCCGAGACGAGCUUCGGCCAUGGUGGAACUAUGGCCUAGAGGGUGCAAACGCGUGGAAAAGAAGAGGGGAAAGGUGGCGGAGCUCACAGGGAGGUCGAUGAGCAGCUCAAUGGGCUCGGGGGUCACCGGAGUGAGGCGAAUCGAUGAGCGGCGUCCGGCGGGUACCGAGGUUGAAGACGAUCCGAUGGCGGCGAUGCAGGGACUCCGGCGAUGCGUGGCUCAGUGGGGAGGGCGAGGGCGUCACAGCGGAGCUUCUGGACAGGUCAGAGAGGCGAGGGGGUGACGGAGGGCGCGACUACGGCGGUGAGACGGCGACGGGUGCGUCGGCCAUUGCGGGAGAGGGAGAGGGAGACAAGUGGGAGAGUGAGAGAGGAUGAGAGGGGGACGUGGGGGUCGCGUGGCAUUCCCUGGACGUCUCCCAGCAUCGGCGGAAGCAGGAGGUGGCCGGCGUGUGGCCGCGGGCGCCGGCCACGCGCUCCACGUCCUUCUGGCGUGAGGAGGACGACGACUGGCAGCGCCAGUAGGCUGGGCCGAGCCAGGGGGCUGGCCAGCACAGGUAAGGCCCAGGUGGGCAUCUCCCUCUUUUUUUUAAUUUGUUUCUGUUUUCUAUUUAACUGUAACUGUUGGGCUUUAUUUAAAAUACUAAAACAUUUCCAAAAAUCCUGAAAAUAAUUGUGGGCUCUGUUUGGAUUAUUUCCAACAGCAGACAUUUAUUUCCAGAAUUAUUUGAGCAUUUAAAUGCCCAAAUUCAAAUACUUAUGAUUUAAAUCAAUGACCUUCUAUUGACCUCGAAAAGUUGUGCACCAAUUUUGCCAGAGGUUCUAACCCAAGACAAAGAGGGUGAACUUUUUAGAAGGGCAUUUCAGGUUCAUUGAAAAUAAUUUUAGUAAUCCCUAGUUGUUUCCAGGGGGGUGUUGGGGGUUUCUGCCUUCCCCAAUUCAAAUUUAAGAGGAAUUUAAACAUGAUGCACAUUCUAAUGCUUGAUCUAGCUAGGGUGUGACAACUCACCCCCACUCAAAAGAAUCUCAUCCCGAGAUUUAGGAUCCUCUGGAAAGAAGGUGGGGUACUCGAGUCGAAGACGAUCCUCCCUUUCCCAAGUGGCUUCUUUCUCGGAAUGGUGUGACCAUUGAACCAUGAGAAACUUGAUAUUAUGACGUCGAGUAGUAUGCUCGGCUUGAUCAAGGAUACGAACGGGAUAUUCCUGAUAAGAGAGGUUAUCUUGUAGAUCAAGCGUUUCGUGGUCCACUCCACGGAUAGGAUCCGCGAAGCAACGCCUGAGUUGUGAAACGUGGAAGACAUCAGGAACUCUGGAAAGAUGCGGAGGUAGUUCCAAUUGGUAGGCAACUUCUCCUUGUUUGGCAAGAAUGCGAACGGGUCCAAUGUAACGAGGAGCCAAUUUGCCUUUGAUACCGAAACGAUGGGUUCCUUUUAACGGGGUAACCCGAAGGUAAGCCUUCUCAUCGACUUCAUAAGUCAUAGAGUUAUGUUUAUGAUCAUAUUGACUCUUUUCACGAGAUUGGGCUGUUUUCAAUUUCUCACGAAUAACGCGAACCUGCUCUUCCGCUUCCUGAAUCAUAUCCGGGCCAAAGAGUUGUCUUUCCCUGGUUUCUGACCAGUUAAGGGGUGUUCGAUAUUUUCGUCCAUAGAGAACUUUGAAAGGAGCUUUGCCCAAGCUAGCUUGAUAACUAUUGUUAUAAGCAAACUCUGCGAAUGGGAGGCAUUUCUCCCAACUCAUUCUGAAUGAGAUAACAGAAGCUCAGAGCAUAUGUUCCAGAAUUUGAUUGACUCGCUCUACUUGACCACUUGACUGAGGAUGGAAGGCGGUACUAAAAGAGAGACGAGUUCCCAUAGCAUUUUGGAAACUUUCCCAAAAUCGAGAGGUGAAGAGACUCCCACGCUCUGAGUUAUUUUCCAAUGGGACACCAUGGAGAGACACUAUUCGGGAGAUGUAUAAAUCGGCUAGCUGGCUAGCAGUGAUACUCUCACGAACAGGUAGGAAAUGGGCUACUUUGGAAAGACGGUCGAUGAUGACGAAGAUGGCAUUAUUCCCUCUCUUGGUCCUGGGAAACCCAGUAAUGAAAUCCAUACUGAUUUUAUCCCAUUUCCAUUCAGGAAUAGCCAAAGGUUGAAGGGUGCCAGUAGGCCGUUGAUGCUCUGCUUUAACACGAAUACAGACGUCACAGCUAGCAAUGUAUCGAGCAAUUUCUCUCUUCAUCCUAGUACACCAAAACCUCUCGCGUAGGUCUUGAUACAUUUUUGUGCUACCGGGAUGAAUGGUGAGAGGGGAUUCAUGAGCUUCCUUAAGGAUCAAUUGGCGUAGAUGUUGUUUCUUGGGAACCACCAAACGGUUCUCAAAGAAGACAGCACCCCGCUUAUCCAUGGAAAAACAUUUAGCAACUCCGCUAGCAAUGUUUUCCUUAAUCCGGGAUAUGCCCUUAUCAUACCGCUGGGCAGUUAUGAUCUGAUCCAUAAGGUUAGGUUUCGCCACCAGGGUGGAUAGGAAUCCUCGAGGAACAAUGUGAAGAUUAAGCUUACGGAAUUCCUCAUGGAGAAGUGGUUGACUUUGUUGUAACAUCAGGUUGUUACAACAGGAUUUACGGCUUAGCGCAGCAGCCAUGACAUUGGCUUUGCCCGGUGUGUAGGUUAUUCCUAAGUCGUAAUCCGAGAUCAACUCAACCCAACGUCUUUGCCUGAGAUUCAAAUCUGGUUGGGUGAAGAUAUAUUUCAAGCUUUGGUGAUCGGUGAAGAUCUCGCAACGAUUACCGAGGAGGUAAUGUCGCGAAGUUUUAAGUGCAUGGACUACAGCUACCAGCUCUAGAUCAUAUGUGGGAUAAUUUUCCUCAUGUGGGUGUAAUUGCCAUGAAGCGUAGGCAAUUACCUGAGGAUCUUGCAUGAGUAUGCAACCUAGUCCUUGUCGCAGAUGUCAGGCGUCUUUUCAGUUCCUGAAAGCUGAACUCGCACUGUGGAGUCCACUCGAACUUUUUAUCUUUCUUGAGGAGUUCAAUUAGAGGUUUAGCAACCUUGGAGAAACUCUCGCCGAAGCGGCGGCAAUAGCUCGCUAAGCCAAGGAAGCUCCAAACUUGCUUGACCGUCUCAGGUGGAGUCCAAUCAAGGACCGCUUGAACUCGCUCGGGAUUGACGGCAAUACCCUUACCAGAGAUUACAUGGCCUAGAUAGGUUACUUCUGGCAACCAAAAUUCACACUUGGAGAACUUGGCAUAAAGGCGAUGCUCUCGAAGUUUCAUCAAUACCAGCCUUAGAUGUUCGGCAUGUUCCUCUUCAUUCUUGGAGUAGAUGAGUAUGUCAUCGAGGUAUACUACGACGAAUUUAUCCAAGUACUCCAUGAAAACCGAGUUCAUUAACCGGGAGAAGGUAGCCGGGGCAUUGGUUAAACCGAAGGACAUAACGGUGUACUCGUAUUGGCCAUAACGAGUAACAAAGGCCGUUUUGGGAAUGUCCCCGUUUCUGAUUUAGAUUUGAUGGUAGCCCAACCUCAAAUCCAUCUUGGAAAAGACUGAGGAUCCAGCGAGCUGAUCAUACAGAUCGUUGAUCCUGGGAAGUGGGUAUUUGUUCUUGAUGGUGACAAAGUUGACAGGUCGGUAAUCCACAACCAUUCGAUCUGUUCCAUCCUUCUUCUUGACGAAGAGGAUGGGGCAAGCCCAAGGAGAGGAACUAGGACGGAUGAAACCCUUUUUCAAGGACUCAUCGAGUUGGUUCUUAAGCUCGGCUAGUUCUAAGGGUGCCAUCUUGUAGGGUCUUCUAGAAAUUGGAACGGUUCCUGGAACAAGGUCUAUCACAAACUCGACAUCCCUGUCAGGUGGAACACCUGGCAGUUCUUCUGGAAAGACAUCCGGAAAGUCUCGGACUACCGGAACAUCCUCAAGGUCUGGAAGGGGGUUGGCAUUUAGGGAGUAAAGUUGGCGCUUGGCCACUCGAGUUAAGACAUUAACUGUCUUGCCCAAUGGGUGAGUAAGUUGAACGGUUCUAGUGGCACAGUCAAGCUUAGCAUAAUGAGCUGACAUCCACUCCAUACCUAAGAUGAUGUUUAUGUCCGAGGACUUGAGAGCUAUUAAGGAUACAAGGAAGACAAGUCUAUCGACAAGAAUUUCGUUCCCAUGGCUUACUCUAGAAGUUUGCCAUCUAGAGCUAGGGGUUUGAAUUUCCAUGGUAGAGGGCAUGUCACAGAAUGUCGUGUUGUGCAAUCGAGCAUAGUUCUCGGAUAUGAAUGGAUGAGAUGCUCUAGUAUCGAAAAGAACAGAUGUCGGAUGGCAGUUAACAAGGAGCGUACCAAGGACGAGGUUGGGAUCCUCAUGAGCCUCCUCGGCUGAAACAUAGUUGACAUGGCCACGUGCAGUGGUGGCUGGCUUGGCGUAGAAUGUUUUCCCCGCGGGCUUACCACGGCCAACGGACUUUCCAGUUUGAUUGGGGUUGUUGUUCUGGGGACACUCUCGGCUAUAGUGACCCGGCUCUCCACACUUAAAGCAUGUCACCACAUUGGGGCGUGGAGCAGCAUUAGCAGUAGGGCCACCAUAGGGCUUGGGCGGUGCAAAUUGCUGGUUGGGACGUGGUGCCUCAAAGGAUGGCCUCGGGAUGAACCUGGGUGGCAGUGCCGUGCUUGGAAUCCACACCCGGCGCUUCUGAGCUCUAGAGCCGGAUGAAGAGCCAAAAUCACGGGAGUGCUUGCAUGAAGCGUCAUAAUCAGUCUGGCCUUUCUCAGCACUGAUGGCUUUAUUGACCAACUUCUGAAAGGAGGUGCACUCGGGCAGACGAAGAUCGCGGUGAAGCUCAGGGCUAAGUCCCUUGCGGAACCUUGCCUGCUUCUUAGCAUCAAUAGAUACCUCUUUAGGGGCAUAACGUGCCAGAUUCCGAAAUUCACGACCGUAAGCAUCCACAGUCAGUCUUCCUUGGGUGAAGUUGCAGAACUCCUCCCUCUUGCGAUCCAUGAGACCUUCCAGAAUGUGAUGCUCACCGAAAGCCUCACAGAAUUCAGCCCAAGUAGUGAUUUGGCCGACCGGGCGCAUAGCUUCGAAGUUUUCCCACCAAAGGCUAGCAGGGCCUUCGAGGUGAUAGGCAGCAUAAGUAACCUUGUCGGCUGCGGCUGCGUUGGCAGAACGUAGCUUGUGGGUGAUGCUGUGAAGCCAGUCAUCCACAUCGAGGUACUCGACGGAAUGGUUAAACUUUGGUGGGUAUAGCUUGAUAAAGUCAUUGAUUGACACCAAUCAUUUCGUGGGUGGCGUGCAGUGUUCUGCUCAAUCCGCUCCAACAGGCGGUUGGUCUGACGCUUCUUUAUUUCCGCCUCCAGCAUUACUUCGGCCAGAGAAGGCGGGUGAGGCAGAUUUUCACCUCUAGCAGCACUGGCUUCCCCCUGCUCCAGGGCAGCAGGGUUGCUGCGGGUGUUGACCAUCCUAGGAGAAAACAAGACAACGGUUUAGACAAGGAUGUCUCAAAUUAGCAAGGAUGUGCAGAAUGUAAUGGAUAACACGGAAUGCAGAGAUGUUCAUCCGUAUGUCAUGGUAAUAUAAAACUGCCAUAUAUAUACCAACGGUCAUACACAUCAUACAUAGUUUAGUACAAGCCCAGGCUACAAUACAACUAUGAUGAAAGACGUUACAUCUCAUCGGAGGCAUUCCAAGCUCCUAUACAUUAUUGUCUACACCUCCAAAAUUGAUUACACGCAAAGUCAUAUUCCAAAAGUCACGCAGGACAGUGGAGAUACAGCUACUACAAUACUAGUGGUACUACUACUAACUCAGACAGCUCCGUAGUAGUCCUCAUAGAAGUCACCUCCAUAGCCUGGAAGUUCAACGGGACCAUCCGGGAACAGACGGUCCUGAGGAGCCUGUGGACCAUAGGGGCUAGGAUGGUGUCUUGGACCAACAAACGGUGGCCUGCGGGAACCACGGGGUGGGGUGAUGCCUCCCACAUCACGCCAAUCCACCACGUCUGGCAAAGCAGACCUCACAGGAUACAGAUCCCUUGUAUCCAUACAUCUAGCUUGCACCGCAGGUGCAAACCGAGCCAAUGUGGCCCAAUGAUCAGCACGGGUAUUAAAAAGCUCCAGCCUCAAGGCCCGAUUCUCUCGGUCCUUAUCUUCGAGCAUCUCAGCAGUGGUACGAGUUAAUGAAUCCUCCUGAGUGGAGACAGCAUAGAUAGCCUGAAGAUACCCUUGCGCUCCCGGAAGUGAAGCUGGCAUGUAUCGGAAGUCGGUGUUCCGAAGCAGGCCAGUCCGGACUCGCAUGAUGGUCAUCAUGUAAUAGGCAGCAUCCUGCACAGCAAUCUCAACAGUAACCCCGAGUCCAUAGGAAUAGUGAAGGGGCUCGGUAGAUCCAGGAUAAGAAGGAAAUAUCCUGACAGUGCAGAAAUACUGGCUUUGAUUAAAGUCUCGGAAUUGCUCUUCGACGGUGUAUUCGAGAUACCAACGGUAACCCGUCUCGAUCAUGACCCGGACUAACAUAGCAGUAUGACCGGGCACGUCGAGCCACCGGGUUAGGCGAACCACUUGGUUUUGAGCACGGUUGGCCAUCUGAAAGCACAACCACAAUGCAAAGACAUCAGAAUUUCUAGGGAAAAUUGGACAGCAUAACAGCUGUAAAUGCUCAGAAAAAGAUUUGAGACAUCCACAACAGUUCGCAAUACCACUCAAUAACAUCAUAUCAAGGUUCUGAUCCAAAUAGCAACAUACUAAAAAUAGUAGAAACUGAACUGGGGCUUGUAACAACAAUCCUAUAAGCUACUACGGAUUAGUAACACGUGAACCUGAUAGAAGAAGAGAGCCUAGUCCUUAACCCACGUUGAAUGAGAAGGGAAUGACUCAGAUAAGAGGCAUAGGGUAAAGGAGUAAAAGAGACUUACGUUCCCUCCCACAAUCAAUUCCCCUACAUAUAACUAAAGCAUUUCCAGACUCGACAUCGACCAGUUUGGCUCAACGAACCUACAAGCAGUCUGGCUCUGAUGCCAACGCUGUCAGGACCCCGAUUCCAAGCCACAUCGAUCUAGCCGGUAACACCUCAUAUCACUUUGCGGCCUCACGCACGAUAUUCCACGGGUGUCGCCUUACCAUGGCCCGGGACCGUUUGCGCCUUUUGGCUCACGUAUAUGAUAGUGUUGUUAGCAUCCAUAUGACAGAGAACCUGGGCCGACAUGGCUAGUCGUGAACCCAAAGCGGCACAGACCUAUGGAGACAGGCAUACAUGAAUCACAUCGAGCAUGUCGGUCAUCAGCGAGUGAUUCCGGGCUGUAGCACUGGGCUAACAGGACUCCGGGGAACCCGGGCUGUAGCAGGCUAGGCAGGACUCCGGAAGUCACCGCGUGACAUUUCCCCGAAGGGACAGACAUAGGAACGAAGUGAAUCACAUGCCGGCCAUUCAAGUGUCCUAAGUAGUAGUGCUGGGCUAGCAGGACUCCGGUGAACCAGGCUGUAGCGGACUACUAUGGCUCGAGGAACACUAGACUACAUUUCCCCAUAAGGAAGGCUGCCAAGGAUAAACAACUAGAUUGUUGGAUCCCACUCAUACCAAGCAUUUCAAUCAUACACACAAUAUGCCCGAUAUGAGUACAUACAACAUGGCAUCACAACAAAACUCUACAACUCAAGUACUUUAUUUAAAUGCUCCAGAGAGCCAUACAUAACAUGUUCAUACAGAUAGGGGUCACAUGACCCGACACUCAAGUCAUACAAUCAUACAAGCACAUGCGGAAGCAACCGGUCUGAGUACAGACACUAGAAAGAAAGAAGGCUCCUCGAGGCCUGUCUAUCUACAUAGGGCCCUCCAUGGCCAGGAUCACCACCUGGGUGGCUAGUCACUCGUCGAUGUCAAGGUCUACAUAGAACCCAUAGGAGGGGGCGGUGUUGUCGUCUGAAAACGGUAAUUAAGCAAACAUGAGUACAAAGGUACUCAGCAAGUCUUACAACAGAACCUACUAUACAUGCUUAUUCUCAAGAAGGUGGUGGGGAUAUUGCAGCAAGCCAGCUUUGACUCUUGGCUAAACUAUCCUACGGAACAUCUCUAGUAAAAUAGUUUUCGCACACGAGUCCACUACUCACCAACACAAUACUCCACCGGGGAUCCUCCCUCGUCAUCCUAUGAGAGGGUGUCGGGGGUGUCUGAUCCCUCGCACACCUAUGGGGAUCAGCGGACCGAGCCCCUUUUGGUUCGGUAGGGGGCGGUGGAUGCACAAAGAGUAGAUCGAGGCGAAACACAUGAGCGAGACAAUCGAUUUACCCAGGUUCGGGCCACACGGAUGCGUAAAACCCUACUCCUGCUUUGGUGGUUGUAUUGAGUUUUUUCUCGGGAGCAGCUGGCGAGACCGAGCGUGAGAAUGGCUGUCCCCCCCCUGUUGCGCAUGGGCCUCCUUUUAUAUGUCUAAGGGGUCACCGACACGUGGCAACAGAGGUAAGGGUAAAAAUGUAAAAGGGGUGGUAGUUGGCUCCACCGCCUACAUGUCGCAUCCUACCUAACUCUGACGGCAGGGGACAAGGGCAUUAAAUGCCCGUCUGUGUCACCUUGACGGCCCAGAGAGGGACCACUAGGAACGCCACCGUUUGCCACGACGGUUCCUUGUCAGCGUCUGCUUGCCAUUGCAUGCCCCCGGCUGCACAGCCUCCCGCCACGUACGCCAGGAAUGGCCCCAGGGCGACACGUUGGUGGGUGAGCUGGAGCGCGGGCUGCGGGGUAGUGGCUUGCCGCGGCAAGUGCCUUGCCGCGGGUGUUGUCUUGUCACGUCCGGGAGCUUGCCGCUCACCGGGUCUUGUCGGGGCACGCGGUGCGCCGCAGCGAGUCUCUUGAGAUGCUUUGGUUGUCUUCCCGGCAAGCUCCUCUUGCCGGGGUCUCGUCUCCUUCCCGGCAAGCUCCUCUUGCCGGGGCCUUGUUCCCUUCCCGGCAAGCUCCUCUUGCCGGGGCCUUGUUUGGAUCUUGGAUACUUUGUUCUUGAAUGGCUCCAGAGGAACCAUGGAGGGUCUUGGCGGUCGCCCGGCAAGCCUUGCCGCGGGUCGCUGCGACUACCCAUGCACAAGUUCGGGGUACUAAGGUACCCGUACUUUAGCACACCGACAGGAGCCCCCAGGCCUGGGCCAUACACGGUGCCGAGCGCUGUUGGGCCAGGCCCAAAACAGUGCAAGGGCACGCGCGGCCUGGGUCACGCCAUAACUGAUUCCGUAUCCACCGCGCUCUCCCCAAACGGCACGCGUCAAACGCGGCAUCGUGGGAGAGAUCGUGGGCGGUUUUCGAGGUGCCCACUCCCCACGAUCACGGGGUGGGGAGAGACCGCCCCAUCCGUCGCCUCGGUUCUGCACGCCUGCCACGCGGUUCCCGUGCACUUGGGGUCGCGGGCGGCGGAAGCGGGAAACGGGGCCGUCGUGGGUCGAGGGAGUGGGUCGGCCCCGGCUCCCCGCGUCUUGAUUCGCUGAGCGGGGCGGCCGAGCCCCCACCUUGCUCCUUUAUAAAGAGCGGGAGGGGAGGACGGGAGCCUGCAUCCUCCCAUCUUCUCCUUCCUUCAGCUCCUGCUCCCCUCCCCCCAUUCGCCAUGGAGAGAGGGAACCCUGGUCCUUCGUCAGUGGCGGCAAGGGUUGCCGCCAGGCAGCGCAUCCCUCCCUCUCCCGCACCCGUGGCGGCGGAGCCAGCCAUAAGGGGAAGAGGGAGGGGGCGAAGUCGUGGACGAGGCCGUGGCGCUCGGGGAAGAGGUGGGCGAGGCGGCGCGUCGGCUUCGCCUCCGCCGGCGGCUCUUCUUCCCGCGGUGGCCCAUGCCGGGGACGACCCUUGCGAGUUAUUCGUCAGGCUGCGCCGGGCGCCCCGCCGUCGCCUCUGACUCCCGGAUCCGUUUGCGGAAGUGGUGGAGUUGGACCCGCCCGAGACGCUGAGGCUGCAGAUGAGGGCUGUGGGAUCAGCGGCACGCGGGUCCGCGCCGAAUUCCCAGCCCCCGGCGUGAUUUAUCUUGGCCGAGGGUGGAAGACGUUCGCCCGCAUCCACAGCUUGACACCGGGGCUGACCCUCCACUUCAAGUUGGUGGAGGGUGAUCUCCUCUCCGUCAAGGUCUUCGGGUGCUUCAGCGUCCGGGCCCGGUGCUGCGUGGAAAGCUCCUCCGAUAGCGAAGGCUCCUCCUCGAGCAAGAGUGACGAGGAGGGAACGACAGCGGCGACGAGGGGAGCGGGCGGCAGGAUGGCGGGUCCGACUAGGUGUCGGGCGCCGCUCCGCGCGGCACCAGCAACCCCAUCAUCCGGGUCGCCGGCUCCUUGAACUCCCCGGGGGCGUCUCCUUGGGCGGCUGGCGUAGGGAGGCUGCGAAAGAGGAAGAGGGCAGGCGGCAAGGCCGUCAGGUCGGAGUACGAUGGCGUGGUGCCCUCGACAGCGUGCUGACGUCCUGCCGCCUCGUCUUCGAGCCCCCCUUCCGGCGCUGCCAUCACCAUCCAGCCUUGAAGGCCCCCGGGAUGUUCUCUUGGUGUCUUCUGGCACCCGUAGUUCCCCUAGGCACUCCUUUUGCCCUUCUCGCCUCCUUGACCUACCUCCUGAAAAGAGGGGCAGGAAAGAGAUUACGGGCAUCUUAUCUUUUUGAUUUGUAAGCCCUCGGGCCUUAGUUGCAUCUAAAACUUGUAAUCCUCUCUUUCAUGUUUUCCAUUCUCCAUGUACUGUACCUGCGUGGAAUGUUUUAAUGAAAAGGGGAUGCUUGCCAGGUUACUCGUCUCGCGGGUAGAACCCAUGCCAAGGAGCAAAUCCUUGGUAUCUCACAGAUAGACACUCCCUCCCCAGCAACAGGCCCUGCCACAUACCCACGUCGCUCGACCUUUCUCACGCUCUUGACGGAGGCAGAGACGAGGCGGGUGCGGCCCCUCGUUUCAUCCCUUUCCCGCCGCGACUGCGACCAAAGCUUGGCCCUGGGGCCCCAGGGACCAAAGCUAAGGGAGCACGGUGGCUUUCGGGAAGAAGCGAGGUUUUGUAUUCCCAGUCCAAAAGAGAAUGCACGAAGAGGGAUGAAAGACUUAUCUGAGACUGCAGCCCCCGGCAACUCUGGCUUGCCGUGGGGUGAACCUUGGUACUUGCAGCCUCCAGCAACUCUGGCUUGCCGGGGUUCGGAUGCCGGCACGUCCUUCUUCUCCCUUUCGUCCUCACGCGGUCCGACAAGGAUAUGCAAGCCCUGCGAACCAAAGGAAACAAAGGAAGGACAAAGGGACGCACACUAGACCUCUAAGUUAGGGGUUAGCUGCUGUUAGGCACUAUCAACCCUAACCGAGGACUCGACUCGACCUAGCAUGCAUGCUGUAACUCUGGGCGCCAGCGCUUCAUUAUCUUGUGCUCAAGGUCUGUGCCUGGCUUUGUACAAAGGAUUACAUGCAACAGCGUCAAGACUUGUACAAAAGGGUGGUUGCCGGACAGGGUCCGACAACCGCGCCUUACGGGUAAAACUUACAAAGAAGCUUGAUAUUCCAGGAGUUGCUCACUAGUACGCCAUCUUCGGUCUCCAGGCGGACAGUGCCAGGCCUGGUGACUCGUUUCACCCGGUAAGGGCCUUCCCACUUCGGCGUCAACUUGUUGGAAUUCUUGGCGGACUGAACGCGCCGAAGAACAAGGUCGCCUUCCUCGAGGCUCCUAGCAUUAACUUUGCGGCUAUGAUAGCGGCGCAAAGCUUGCUGGUAGCGAGCGGCUCGCACAGCAGCCUGGAGACGAUCUUCCUCAAGGAGCAGCGCGUCAUCUUGCCGCAGCUGCUCUUGCUCAAGCUCAUCAUAGCACUCGAGGUGACCCGUAUACGAGUUCCAUGGGGAUAACUGCCUCCGCUCCAUAGACUAGAGCGAAGGGUGUCUGCCCGGUGGCUCGAUUUGGCGUCGUCCUGAUCGACCAAAGAACCACCGGCAGCUCCUUGAUCCAGUUGCGUCCGCGCUUGUGCAGCCUGUCAAAUGUUCUGGUCUUGAGCCCGUGCAGCACUUCAGCAUUCGCCCUCUUAGCUUGGCCGUUGCUUCUCGGGUGAGCGACAGAAGCAAAGCAGAACUUGGCGCCAAGAUCUUGGACGUACUGCAUGAAGGCGCGGCUUGUAAAUUGUGUACCGUUGUCGGUGAUUAUCCUGUUAGGGAUUCCGAAACGGCAAACAAUCGACCUGAAGAAUUUGAUCGCGGACUGCGCCGUCACCUUCCUCACUGGUUCCACUUCCGGCCACUUUGUGAACUUGUCGAUUGCAACGUACAAGUACUCAAAGCCCCCGACGGAUCGGGGGAAGGGGCCGAGGAUAUCGAGCCCCCAGACCGAAAAUGGCCAGGAUAAAGGGAUCGUCUGGAGAGCUUGAGCUGGCUGGUGUAUCUGCUUGGAAUGGAACUGGCACGCUUCACACUUGGUUACUUGUGCAGUUGCAUCCUGGAGGGCUGUCGGCUAGAAGAAGCCUUGUCGGAAUGCUUUUCCGACAAGAGCUCUUGCGCCAAUGUGGUGACCACAUAUGCCUCCAUGUAUCUCUGCCAACAGCUUCUGUCCAUCUUCCCGAGGAAUACACUUCAAUUUCACACCGUUGAGUCUUCUUCUGCACAGUGUGUUGUCAACAAACUGGUACAUACUGGACUGCCGGGCUACUCUUUCUGCUUCUUCUGGUUCCUCGGGAAGCUCUCCUGUCUGAAGGAAACGGACGGUCUGCUACGCCCAUGUUGGAGCCUGUGGCUCGACAACAAGGACUAAAGGCACAUCUGCUGCUGUGGGAACGCCUACUUCUACGGCAGGAGCCUGCGACUCUGCCGGAGCUUGACAUUCCCCGACAAGCUUGCCGGAGCAGAGCUUGCCGGGAGUGUCUGCUGCAAUGGAACAAACCCUGGGGCUUGCCGGAGUAGACUGCUCCUCAGCACUCUUGGCGUCGAUCUUGGGGACCUUCUUGGCGGCGUCUUCGGGGAGCUUUGCCGGGAGAUAGUCACCAGAGAUCAACUUCCUCUUCUUGCUCUGUCCACUUGAUGGUGCCACGGAUGGCUGAGUUAGCUUGAGCACAAAGGUCCCUGGUUCCACAGGUAACUUAAGUGCUGCGCACUUUGACAGGCGAUCGGCAAUGUCAUUCUCAGCUCUUGGAACAUGUUCCAUUUGCAGGCUGUCAAAGCGCUCUUCCAGCUUCCUCACUUCAUCAACGUAAGCUUCUAUCAAUGGACUUUGGUAAUCUUUGUUCACUUGGCGGACGACAAGCUGCGAGUCACCCCUAACAAUGAGCUUCUUAAUCCCAAGUUCUGCCGCGAUCCUGAGACCGGCAAGCAAGCCUUCUUACUCUGCAGUAUUGUUUGUCGCUUGCUCCUUGGGAAAGUGCAUCUGGACUAUGUACUUGAGGUGCUCCCUGGUGGGUGCGACAAGCAGUACACCAGCACCGGCGCCUUGCAGCGAGAAAGCACCGUGAAAGUACAUGAGCCACUCUUUGCUUGCUUCCUUGGCGGGGAUGCUCGUCUCCGGAAUUUCUUCGUCUGGAGUUGGCGUCCACUCUGCUAUUAACUCUGCCAAUGCUCCGCUCUGGAUUGUUGAUGUACUCUCAAACUUGAGGCCAAAGCUUGACAGUUCCAGUGCCCACUCGACAAUCCUGAAUGUUGCUUCUGGAUUUUGCAAUAUCCUUUUCAGCGGAAAGCGAGUGACAACUGUGAUCUCGUGUGCUUGGAAGUAAUGACGUAGCUUUCUCGAGGCCAUGAGGAGGCCGAAAAGCAGCUUCUGCACACUAGAGUACCUUGACCUAGCCCCCUGUAAAAGGGAGCUGACAAAGUAAACUGGGUGCUGCACCAUUUUCUUCUGUAUCUCCUCUUGUAUCUGCGCAGAUCCUUGGUUGUCGGGACCAGAGCUUGUCGGGGAAGCCCCCUGCUUGUCGCUGGAUGUGCUUGCCGCGGCCGCUGGCUCGUCGUCGGCCUCCCUUUCCGCUACUAACGCAGCACUAACCACUUGAUUGGUUGCCGCUAUGUACAGGAGCAACUUCUCUUGUGGUUUAGGCGCGACAAGUGUUCGGGUGGACGACAGGUAUCUCUUCAAGUCUUGCAGCGCAGCCUCCGCUUCCGGAGUCCAUCUCAUUGGACCUGCCUUUUUCAAAAUUUGAAAAAGGGCAGGGCGCGCUCAGCAGACCAAGGGAUAAACCUGCUAAGAGCAGCUACGCAGCCGGCAAGCUUCCGUACAUCCGUGACGCGCUUUGGUGCUUCGAUCUGCUCAAUGGCCCUGAUCUUGUCGGGGUUGGCUUCGAUUCCCCGCUGAGACACGAAGAACCCGAGAAGCUUGCCGAAAGGGACUCCAAACACACACUUCUCGGGGUUGAGCUUGAGGUUGAUCUUGCGCAGAUAUGCAAAAGUCUCUUCUAAGCCUUGGAUCAGAGUUGCCCUGUCUUUGCUUUUGACCACUAUAUCAUCCAUGUAAGCUUCUACAUUUCUGUGUAUCUAUGGCUUCAAAGCAAUAUGGACUACUCUGGCAAAUGUUGAACCAGCAUUCUUUAAUCCGAAAGGCAUCCGUACGAAACAGUACGUGCCACAUCGAGUAAUGAAUGCGGUUUUCUCCUCAUCCUCUUCCGCCAUGAAGAUCUAAUGGUAUCCUGAGUAUGCAUCAAGAAAUGAAAGCAACUCACAUCCGGCCGUGGAGUCAACAAUCUGGUCAAUGCGCGGCAAGGGAAAUGGAUCUUUUGGACAAGCUUUAUUAACAUCAGUAAAGUCAAUACAAAGCCUCCAUUUCCCAUUCGCCUUGCGCACUACAACCGGAUUGGCCAACCACAUGGGAUGGAGCACCCCUCUAACGAGGCCUGCUGCUUCCAAUUUCUUGAUUUCUUCGGCUAUGAAUUCUUGGCGCUCCACCGCCUGUUUCCUGACCUUCUGCUUGACGGGCCGCGCAUGAGGACAAACUGCAAGGUGGUGCUCAAUUACCUCCCUGGGAACACCGGGGAUGUCAGACGGUUGCCAUGCAAACACGUCGACAUUCGCCCGCGGGAAAGUAACGAGUGCGCUUUCCUAUUUAGGGUCAAGCGUGGCACUGAUGGUGAAGGUACCACCAGUGCCGUCCUCCUUGGCGGGCACCUUCUUGGUAAGUGGUGGAGCGGCCAUCGUCUUCUUACUCUUGCAGCCGGAGCUCGAUGGUGCGUCCUCGACGGCAGCGCAGCACUCCGAAGAGGUGCGCCUGCCGGAGUAGGCAUCAGAGCACUCGCCGGGCUUGGUCUUCUUCUUGCCGGUGGAGCUCGAUGGUGCGUCCUCGACGGUAGCGCAGCACUCCGAAGAGGCGCGCUUGCUGGAGUGGGUACUAGAGCUCUUGCCGGACUUGGUCUUCUUCCCCCUGGGAGCUUCAGCGGCAAGUGUCUCGCGGUCUGUCGCGGCGGCAGCUUCCCGGUAGAUCUUGUCGGCGCAGAUAAGGGCGUCCUUCUUGUCGCCAGGGACAGAGAUGACGCUUAUCGGGCCCGGCAUCUUGAGCAUGUUGUAGGCAUAGUGAUAGGCUGCCAUUAACUUGGCGAGCGCGGGACGGCCAAGUAUCCCAUUGUAGGGCAAUGGGAAAUCGGCAACGUCGAAGGUGACCCUCUCAGUCCUGAAGUUCAUCUCACUGCCGAAUGUCACCGGCAGCGCGACUUUUCCCUUCGGCUUGCUCCUUCCCGGGUUAAUUCCUUGGAAUGUACCGGUUUCUUCGAGCUCACUGUCUGGGAUCUGGAGUUUCUGGAGCACAGCGGAGGAGAUCAGAUUCAGGCCGGCCCCGCCGUCAACUAGCAUCUUGGUGACCUUGAGGUUGCGGAUUGUUGGGGAAACCAACAACGGCAAGCACCCGACCGCAGUCGUGCGAUCAGGGUGGUCCUCAAUGUCAAAGAUGAUCGGCGUGCUGGACCACUUCAGAAGCUUGCGUGAUUCGACAGGUGGCUCUGCCGCAUUAACUUCCCGGAGCCACUGUUUGAGUUGGCGGUGGGAAGUGUGCAGAGAAGCGCCACCGUCAACACACAAGACUUCUGUAGCCUUCUGAAACUCCUGCUCGCUGUUCUCAACAUCAUCCAUGUCUUCGUCGUCGUCUUCGUCUUCGUCCUUAUCGCGGCCGCGAGGAGGUCUGUCUCCUUGCCGCUGCUUGGCCUUGCCACGGCUCCCUCCCGGGCCAGCGCGGUUCUUGCCGGCUUCUCCAUCGCCUCCUUGGGCUCUCUCCUUGUCGCGCCGCUCGUACUCACCUCUUUGUUGCUGGACAAGCUGCUCGACCCUCUUGCAGUUCUGGAGAUCAUGGCCCUUGGUGCGGUGGAUCUUGCAGUACUGCUUGUCGGAGCUGCCCUGCUUGUCGGCGGCCGCCACAGCCUGGCAGUUGGUACACGCGGCAACCUCUUUGCCGGAGCUGACAACUUUGGCUUGCUUGGCGGGGCCGUCAUCGCUGGACUGCUCAACGACCAGUACCUCUUUGCCGCUCUUCUUCUUGUUGGGCCUCCGGUUUUUGCUUGCCGGGGCGGCAUCCUCACUGUCAGAUAUCCCUGCUCUAGCAUCCUCUCCGGGGAGUUUCCUCCCUUCUUCAGCGCGUGCGCACUUGUCGGCCAGGGCGUACAGCUCGCUGACGUCCUUGAUCCUGCUCAUCGCCAUCUCCUCCCGCAUCCUGCAAUUACGCAUGUUCUGAUGGAACGCGCUGAUAACCGCGGUAGGGUGGAUGUCUGGGAUGUUGCGCUGCACGCGGCUGAAUCUCUGGAUAUACUUGCGCAAAGGUUCUCCUUCCUUCUGGGCAAGCAGGUGGAGGUCACUCUCUUGGCCGUGUGGUUUGUGGCCGCCUGUAAAGGCGCCGACAAACUGGUGGCACAAAUCCGCCCAAGAGGAUAUGGAGUUGUCCGGCAAGUGCAUGAGCUAGGAUCUGACUUCGGGCUUGAGCACGAGCGGGAAGUAGUUGGCAAGGACCUUGUCGUCUCGUCCCCGGCAGCUUGCACCGCAAUGGUGUAGAUGCUGAGGAACUCCGACGGGUGUGACUUGCCGUCGUACUUCUCCGGCACGUCUGGCUUGAAAUGCUUCUGGUUGGGCCACUGGACUUGCCGCAGCUCAUGGGUGAACGCGGGACAACCCGCCGCGUACGGCAAGUUACCUGGCUCUCCGGGUGCAUGCAUGUCAACAGAGGGCCCAGCGCACAGGUCAGAUUGACGCCGCGCUUCCCUUCGGCGCUCGAUGCAUGUUCAAGUGUCUUCUUGCUGUCUCUGAUGAAGAACUUGGCGUUGAUCGCGGUGAGCUCGCGGAUCUGACGACGCGGUGGAGUAGCCGUCGAGGUGGAUCCGGUGAGUCGGCGAUCUCGGCCUUCGGGGCGGAGAGUGCACAGUGGUUGCACCCUCACCGGUCUUGUCGCCACCGGCUCGCGCCUGGCUGACUUGCCGCGGCAGCGAUGCGCUCUGCUGCCGUGGGUUGUCACCAUUGGCGCAGCCGAUGAUGCUCUGAAUAGUGGCCCUCCAGUCAUCGAUCUUCUCUAGUGCUGGAGGGUAGUCUAGGAGCAGCUGGGCACGCGCCAACGGUUCCGUCGGAGUGGUGGGCGGCGGCAGCGAACGGUGCGAGGAGCGAGAUAUGCUCGGACUCCUAACCACGUUAGAAGGAGCAACAUCCCGUCCAAGCGACCGCGCCGCGCUCGCGCCAGCACGUUGGCGUGCCUGCUGAUCCUGAGCACUUCGGGAUCCGCCAGCUUGAUCUUGGCCCAGCAGGCGUAUGGUACAGUGGGUACCAUGACGCUACUGGUCCCGCGCCUCCUGGGAUGGGCGCGGUGCGUGUACGGACACCGAGGUCUCGGAGUGCGCGCGGUCGUCGUGGGAGGCGACCGCGCUACCGACGUGCGCCGCAGCCAGGCACUUGGACCUGGCAGUGCCAUGAGUCUCCCCGUCGGCGCCCGCCCUUCCGCCGGCGCCUACUUCACCCGCCGUUCGCUCCGGCGAUGGCGGGCUCGACGCGGACGGAGCGGCUACCUCCGAAGCCUUCUUCUUCGGCGGCAUGUUGAUGAAGACGAUGAAGAUUCGGCUCGCGCGAACGCCGGAUCAGGUUCGCACUACCUCGACGCACCCCCUACCUGGCGCGCCAAAGAUGUCGGGGGUGUCUGAUCCCUCGCACACCUAUGGGGAUCGGCGGACCAAGCCCAUUUUGGUUCGAUAGGGGGCGGUGGAUGCACAAAGAGCAGAUCAAGGCGAAACACACGAGCAAGACGAUUGAUUUACCCAGGUUCGGGCCGCACGGAUGCGUAAAACCCUACUCCUGCUUUGGUGGUUGUAUUGAGUUUUUGCUCGGGAGCGGCGAGUGCUACAGUACACUCAAGCAGCUGGCGAGACCGAGCGUGAGAAUGGCUGUCCCCCUCCCCCUGUUGCGCAUGGGCCUCCUUUUAUAUGUCUAAGGGGUCACCGAUACGUAGCAACAGAGGUAAGGGUAAAAAUGUAAAAGGGGUGGUAGUUGGCUCCACCGCCUACAUGUCGCAUCCUACCUAACUCUGAUGGCAGGGGACAAGGGCAUUAAAUGCCCGUCUGUGUCACCUUGACGGCCCAGAGAGGGACCGCUAGGAACGCCACUGUUUGCCACAACGGUUCCUUGUCAGCGUCUGCUUGCCACCGCAUGCCCCCGGCUGCACAGCCUCCCGCCACGUACGCCAGGAAUGGCCCCAGGGUGACACGUUGGUGCGUGAGCUGGAGCGCGGGCUGCGGGGUAGUGGCUUGCCGCGGUAAGUGCCUUGCCGCGGGUGUUGUCUUGUCGCGUUCGGGAGCUUGCCGCUCACUGGGUCUUGUCGGGGCGUGCGGUGCGCCGCAGCGAGUCUCUUGAGAUGCUUUGGUUGUCUUCCCGGCAAGCUCCUCUUGCCGGGGUCUCGUCUCCUUCCCGACAAGCUCCUCUUACCGGGGCCUUGUUCCCUUCCCGGCAAGCUCCUCUUGCAGGGGCCUUGUUUUUCUCUUGGAUACUUUGUACUUGAAUGGCUCCAGAGGAACCAUGGAGGGUCUUGGCGGUCGCCCGGCAAGCCUUGCCGCGGGUCGCUGCGACUGCCCGUGCACAAGUUCGGGGUACUAAGGUACCCCUACUUUAGUACACCAACAGAGGGCCAUCCUCGGUACUCACACUUAUCUUGAGUAUUUAGUAGUAUCCAUUUACUUGUCUAUGAACUGUAUAGGCAACCAAGUAGUCCUUUACCGCGGACGUGGCUAUUCGAAUAGUUUUAUACCCUGCAGGGGUGUACUUCGUCAUACACGCUUUCACCACUUAUCGCCGUUUACACGACAUGUACUCGGCAACCUUCAAGCGGAAGCCCAGCGAGGGUGUCGGCCACGGCCUACCUAAACACUUAAGUCUCUAGUCCAGGUUUAUCGCCUAUCCAGGUUCCAUCGGCAGGGAGUGCGGCCGAGGUUUCCACAUACGGCCCCGAACGAUGUGAACAGGGUUCCGAGAUGCCAAACGGGCGCCCGGCAUACCCGGCCAGGUGUAUCUACCGCAACAUAGCCCACCCCUAGGGUCAGCGCUACGCACGGCCGCCAACACAUAACCUACAAACCCAGAAACUAUAUGCAACUCCUGGACAGAGUACAAGGGUGAUUAAGAAGCCGAGAGGGUCAAUUAAGGAUCCCAAUGCGUGGUAGUAGCUGAAUCUUAAAUCAACAUACAGAUCUCAGUUCUUAGGGACGGUCUCAAUGAAACAACCCACCAUGUACUCCUACAUGGCCUCUCAUCGAUACCUUUACCAAAACAUGUUCAACACAUUCCUCAUAUUACCGACAUAAUCAUAUCACCCUAGCCCAUCACCCAGAUGAACCAGACCUGACACAACUCUAAGCAUAGCAGGCAUAGCAAGGUAGGAAUCACAUACAUGGCUCAAUCAAAUCAUACACAUGCUAGUGGGUUUCAUCUAGUUAUUGUGGCAAUGACAGGCCAUGUAGAGGAUAAGGGUUCAACUACCGUAGCACACAACAGUUUGAAUCGCGUUGUCUUAAUGAAGUAAACAAGAGCAGAGGCGAGAACAUGGGUUGUAUCGGAAUGAUCAAUGGGUUGCUUGCUUGAUGGAGUGGUAGUGGGAUACUGCCCUUCAGUUGGAUACUCGUGAAUAUCCUCGGAGGUAGAACCUACCACGAAGAACACAUCGGAACACAAUCAACACAUGACGAUAUGCAACAAUAUGAUGCAUGCUAUGACGUGUCUUGGCCUAAUGCAAGCUAAAAUAGAAAGGGAUGAACUCAUUUGAAUCAAAGAUUCAAAUAUUAGCUCACUAAACAUGGCCUUAGUAGUGCAUUUCCUUAUUCUGCUUAAACAGCAAGGUAAACUUGUUUUGUCAUGCAUGAAACCAUUACAGAUGGAUAGAUUGAAUUUUUCUGAUAAUUUUUCAUAUAUAAAUUAUUUCAUUUGGAGUUACGGUUGAAUUUCUAUGAUUUCUAGAAGUUUUAAACAUUUUCUGGAAAUUCCUGAAUAAAAAUAAAUCCAGAAAAUGCAUUACUACGUCAGCAUUGCGUCAUGCUGGCCUCGGCAGGUCAAAGGCGCCAGCCCAGGUCAAACCUGACUGGUGGGCCCCUUCUGUCAGUCUCUCAGUUAAAUAACAGGAUUAGAUUAACACUAAUUAGCUGUCAGUGGGGCCUGGGCCCACAUGUCAGUGACUAAUUAAAAUCAAAUUAGUUAAAACUAAACCUAGAUUAGUUAGCAGACUGGCCCCACCUGUCAUAGACUCAGGGGGGGUCUACCUGGGCCCACCCAGGGUCAAACUCGCCGGCGUUGAGCCGCCGGCGAGACCCGAGACGGUGGCGCAGCUCGAAAAACGCCUACAGGGCACGAGCGAGGCCGUUCAUGGGCUCGUUGGAGAGCUCUUGCAGUCGCGCAUCUAGUGGUGGUGGUGGCCGGGCCUACGGUGGCCGGAGACGACGACGGCGAGCUCCAAGGCGGCGGCCGGAGUUCGGCCAUGUGCGGGGUGUGGGCUGUGGCGUGCAAACGUGGAAACUGAGGCACUAGCGAGGCACUACGCGAUGCGGCAAGCACGUUGCGUAGCACGGGAUGACCAAAUGGUCGCCGGAGCGGCGCCGGCGACAAGCUCGAGCGGAGACGAGCUUCGGCCAUGGUGGCACUAUGGCCUAGAGGGUGCAAACGCGUGGAAAAGAAGAGGGGAAAGGUGGCGGAGCUCACAGGCAGGUCGAUGAGCAGCUCAGUGGGCUCGGGGGCGACCGGAGUGAGGCGAAUCGAUGAGCGGCGUCCGGCGGGUACCGAGGUUGAAGACAAUCCGAUGGCGGCGAUGCAGGGCCUCCGGCGAUGCGUGGCUCGGUGGGGAGGGCGGGGGCGUCACGGCGCAGCUUCUGGACAGGUCAGAGAGGCGAGGGGGUGACGGAGGGCGCGACUACGGCGGUGAGACGGCGAUUAGAAAGAAAGAUUUGGUUCACUCGUACGUGAAAAAAGGAACAAGCGCUUGAUGCCUUCCUUUGCAUCGAUGCCAGACGCGGUGCUGGGAAUCGACAAGAUAACCGCCAAUCUACCAGGAUUAAAUUCCUAGCGCCUCCUUCUAGCGCCUCCCACUGAAAAUGCCCUAACGAUUUUUGAGGGAUUUUUUUACUGUGUCCUACUUCACGAAUCACGAGGCAAAUCAAGUAGGCGGCAUGGCCUGGCCGGUGAGUGCCAUUGCACUUACUUGCCCCAGCAAUUUUCCGCGUGCAUUGUAGAAUUCUUUCUCCGAGUCCUGUGAAUUAAAGAUGGUGCAGACAAAAGUAUAUCCUGUAUGCGUACAUGUGCAUGAUCAGAACAUGUUUUUACGUGCGUCUACUAUAAAUCAUGACCAUUUUUAACACAAAUCAUGACCAUUCAUGAUUAGUGAAUCAUACUGUCUUAACUUAUGUGAAAUCAUGUGGAGUAAUAUAAUAUAAUAUAAUAGAUAGAUAGAUCCAUGUUGUAUUAUUUUUUGUUUACAAAAAAUAUCUGUCAUUACACAUUUUGAUUUAUGCAUUUGUUUACAAAAAAAACAGUAACAUUUCAUGGUGGAAAGUUUGUAUUGUUUCAUACUGAACACCAAUGUUUUCCUGUAAAAGAAAAUAAUGCCUACGCAUAUGCUUUUAUAUUAUUAUUAUUCUUUCAAACUUAUUCAUACAGUAUUUUUGAUUGUGCAACCAUAAUUUUUAUUGUCUCUCUCGUUCCACUACAUGCUCUUACUCAAUGAUUUUUUUUAUAACGGGUGUUUUUAUUAACUCAAAAUAUAGUAUCAAGCGGAUACAAAACAUAAUGAGCCACACCUGGUCUCUGCAUAACUAAGAUGCAUACAGCUAAAAGCAGAUGUCUGACAAAAAUAAGAUAAGAAAAUCGACAUAUCGACAACAGUGAGUCAUAUAGUUCCGACACUAUGCCUCUGUUGAAGGACGGGGUGGAGCGAUCUGAAGAUUAUGCUGCCCUCCAUGUUGAGUAAAUACCUCCCUGGCCACUUGUUCCAACCGCAUAGACGCCGCCACGAAUAAUGGUCGGUACUCUGUUCGGUGUAGCAUACACCAUGUAGGAAGUGAGUGCUCACUUCUAGUUACUAAAUUAUGUACACACUAAUAGAAAAAGGGCCAUUUGUCCCGGUUCGUAAGGCCCAUUUGUCCCAGUUGGGGAACCGGGACUAAAGGGUCGGUACUAAAGCCCUACACAUUUAGUCCCGGUUCUUACACCAUCCGAGACAGAUGGGGCUCCACGUGGCCGCUACAGCUUGCCGUGGCAGGGGGGCCUUUUGUCCCGGUUGGUAGCACCAACCGGGACCAAUAAGCUACCACGCGUCAGCAUUUGAGGGCUAGGUUUUUUGUUUUUUUUCNNNNNNNNNNNNNNNNNNNNNNNNNNNNNNNNNNNNNNNNNNNNNNNNNNNNNNNNNNNNNNNNNNNNNNNNNNNNNNNNNNNNNNNNNNNNNNNNNNNNNNNNNNNNNNNNNNNNNNNNNNNNNNNNNNNNNNNNNNNNNNNNNNNNNNNNNNNNNNNNNNNNNNNNNNNNNNNNNNNNNNNNNNNNNNNNNNNNNNNNNNNNNNNNNNNNNNNNNNNNNNNNNNNNNNNNNNNNNNNNNNNNNNNNNNNNNNNNNNNNNNNNNNNNNNNNNNNNNNNNNNNNNNNNNNNNNNNNNNNNNNNNNNNNNCAAAUGAAGUAAACCAUUAAGUACAGAAGUUCGUCAUGAACAUAUGCAUACAAACAUAAGUGAUAUCGACCUCUCCUUCUCCGACAGAUAGGUCGAACAACAAGUUUCCGUAUAUCUAUCCGGCGCUACUAGCUACAUAUAUACAAUAUUAAGAUCUCUUACAAUAUAAUCCCCUAAUUAUAAAUGAACUCAGCUUCGAGAUGGUAUUCUCCGGCUUUAUUGAUGACGUGGUCAAGAAAGAAUCCCUCCAAUUCCUCUUGAAUUGCUUUGAUGCGAUCUUGUGGUAGGAGUUCAUCCCGCAUCUGCCACAUCUAAUUUGAAGAAGGGGGUCAAUCACCAGUAGAAUAACAGCCAUUUGUCCUGGUUCAUAAGGUUAAUUUGUCCCGGUUGGGGAACCGAGACUAAAGGGUCGUUACUAAAGCCCUACACCUUUAGUCCUGGUUCUUACACCAACUGGGACAGAUGGGCCUCCAUGUGGCUGCUGCGGCGAGCCCAGGCCGGAGGUCCUUUGGUCCCGGUUAGUGGCACUGAUACGUCUCCAACGUAUCUAUAAUUUUUGAUUGCUCCAUGCUAUUAUGUUAUCUAUUUUGGAUGUUAAUGGGCUUUAUUUUACACCUUUAUAUCAUUUUUGGGACUAACCUACUAAUCGGAGGCCCAACCCAAAUUGCUGUUUUCUGCCUAUUUUAGGUUUUCGAAGAAAAGGAAUAUCAAACGGAGUCCAAACGGAAUGAAACCUUCGAGAACGUGAUUUUCUCAACGAACAUGAUUCAGGAGACUUGGAGUGUGCGCCAAGAAACAAGGGAGGAAGGCACGAGGCAGGGGGGGCGCGGCUACCCUCUUGGGCACGCCCUCCACCCUCGUGGGCCCUCCGCUGCUCCACCGACGUACUUCUUCCUCCUAUAUAUAUCCACGUACCCCCAAACAUCCAGGAGCACCACGAAAACCUAAUUCCACCGCUGCAACCUUCUGUACCCAAGAGAACCCAUCUUGGGGCCUUUUCUGGAGGUCCACCGGAGGGGGCAUCGAUCAGGGAGGGCCUCUACAUCAACUCCAUGGCCUCUCCGGUAAUGUGUGAGUAGUUUACUUCAGACCUACGGGUCUAUAGUUAUUAGCUAGAUGGCUUCUUCUUCUCUCUUUGGAUCUCAAUAAAAAGUUCUCCUCGAUUUUCUUGGAGAUCUAUUCGAUGUAACCUUCUUUUGCAGUGUGUUUGUCGAGAUCCGAUGAAUUGUGGGUUUAUGAUCCAGAUUAUCUAUGAACAAUAUUUGAUUCUCCUAUGAAUUCUAUUAUGUAUGACUGGUUUAUCUUUGCAAGUCUCUUCGAAUUAUCAGUUCGGUUUGGCCUACUAGAUUGAUUUCUUGCAAUGGGAGAAGUGCUUAGCUUUGGGUUCAAUCUUGUGGUGUUUGAUCCCAGUGACAGAAAGGGAACCAAUACGUAUUGUAUUGUUGCCAUCGAGGAUAAAAAGAUGGGGUUUAUAUCAUAUCGCAUGAGUUUAUCCCUCUACAUCAUGUCAUCUUCCUUAAAGCAUUACUAUGUUCUCUUGAACUUAAUACUCUAGAUGCAUGCUAGAUAGCGGUCCAUGUGUCGAGUAAUAGUAGUAGAUGCAGAAUCGUUUCGGUCUACUUGUCUAGGACGUGAUGCCUAUAUACAUGAUCAUACCUAGAUAUUCUCAUAACUAUGCUCAAUUCUGUACAAUAUGGUGCACGGGGUUACAUCGGCCUGUAAAGACAUUUAUGCGAUGUGAGACAUCCGAAAAGCAACGAAAACGGGAGAUUAUACAUUUAUUGAAGAGGGCCGGUGUGACAGAUACCGUGAGGGCGUCGAGCUCAGCCAAAGACGACGGACAGCUGAGCACGGCCUGUGUCAGAGCCGGUGCGGGAGCAAGUGCAGGUGCAGGUGCUGGUGCAACGCUAGUCGAGCUGCUCCUGAAGAAGUCAACAAUGGGAAAGUCCGCUGCAUUUUUUCUGCAUUUUGCGUGCUCCAAUUGAAAAUGGCUGGAACCAAGACAGUAGACAUAUCUGCAACCACCUGUUUUCCAGCAGCUACCGCUGUCGCGACUGUCUCAGAUGAUUUCUUCUCAACCGCAAUCUCAACCUUCUUGUCGAUGUUUUAUUCGGUUAACCUCCAUCUUUCCUUUCUCUCCUCUGUGGUCUCACGGUAGUACUUCUUCCACGUGGCCCCGUCUCCGACACCGUGAACGCGUCCAUACGACGACCGAGUCUCCACCGGGAGUCCUUUCAAUAUGUUCAAUGCCCGGUUGAAUGGAGUGUCCCACUUGGGCCUUGCCAAUGCCUCAGACGGCGAGUCGCUUUCGGCCGCAAUCUUGUGCUGCUCUCUUUACAAAAGGAACACGGAUCAUUUACAAAUAUGACUAAACGUGCAGUCAAAUUGAUCAGAAACUAAAAUUACCGGCAGUCUCAUGAACUCCGUCGUGAUCGGGUCCGUCUUGAAAACCUUCUUGACUUAGUCCCAAUGGUGCCGUGCCUUGAGGACGUCAUCCUCCUACGGGAUGGUGAAGUCCGCCAAGGGGUCUGGGAUGCCAGAUUUUCGCAUUCCGUGUCCUCCUUGGCCCAUAUGGACCUCUUCCUGCCGUAACCACUGCUUCCGAGGUGGUGGCGCCCCAUGUUCCUUUGUGGAAGCCCCUUCAUGUACUUCGACUUUGUUUUGGCAGCUUCGGCCUCGCAAGCCGCCUUGAAUAUUUCAAAGUGCUCUCCCAUGAUUGUCAGAUUAUCCUUUACAAUCUCGGAGUAGGGUUGAUACGUCUCCAACGUAUCUAUUAUUUUUGAUUGCUCCAUGCUAUAUUAUCUCCUAUUUUGGACAAUAUUGGGCUUUAUAAUCGACUUUUAUAUUAUUUUUGGGACUAACCUAUUAACCGGAGGCCCAGCCUAGAAUUGUUGUCUUUUGCCUGUUUUAGGGUUUCGAAGAAAAGGAAUAUCAAACGGAGUCCAAACGGAAUGAAACCUUCGGGAACGUGAUUUUCUGAACGAACAAGACCCAGGAGACUUGGACCCUAUGUCAAGACACAAAAGAGGAGGACACGAGGUAGGGGGCGCACCUACCCCCCCCCCCCCCUCGAGGCACGCCCUCCACCCUCGUGGGGCCCCUGUUGCUCCACCGAUGUACUCCUUCCUCCUAUAUAUACCUACGUACCCCCAAACGAUCAGAUACAGAGCCAAAACCCUAAUUCCACUACCGCAACUUUCUGUAUCCACGUGAUCCCAUCUUGGGGCCUGUUCCGGAGCUCCGCCAGAGGGGGCAUCGAUCACGGUGGGCUUCUACAUCAACACCAUAGCCUCUCCGAUGAAGUGUGAGUAGUUCACCUCAGACGUACGGGUCCAUAGUUAUUACCUAGAUGGCUUCUUCUCUCUUUUUGGAUCUCAAUACAAUGUUCUCCCCCUCUCUUGUGGAGAACUAUUCGAUGUAAUCUUCUUUUUGCGGUGUGUUUAUUGAGACCGAUGAAUUGUGGGUUUAUGAUGAAGUCUAUCUAUGAAUAAUAUUUGAAUCUUCUCUGAAUUCUUUUAUGUAUGAUUGUUUAUCUUUGCAAGUCUCUUUGAAUUAUCAGUUUGGUUUGGCCUACUAGAUUGAUCUUUCUUACAAUGGGAGAAGUACUUAGCUUCGGGUUCAAUCUUGCGGUGUCCUUUCCCAAUGACAGUAGGGGCAGCAAGGCAUGUAUUGUAUUGUUGCCAUCGAGGACAACAAGAUGGGGUUUUCAUCAUAUUGCAUGAGUCUAUCCCUCUACAUCAUGUCAUCUUGCUUAAGGCGUUACUCUGUUUUUAACUUAAUACUCUAGAUGCAUGCUGGAUAGCGGUCGAUGAGUGGAGUAAUAGUAGUAGAUGCAGGGAGGAGUCGGUCUACUUGUCUCAAACGUGAUGCCUAUAUACAUGAUCAUACCUAGAUAUUCUCAUAACUAUGCUCAAUUCUGUCAAUUGCUCAACAGUAAUUUGUUCACCCACCAUAGAAUAAUUAUGCUCUUGAGAGAAGCCACUAGUGAAACCUAUGGCCCCUGGGUCUAUCUUUAUCAUAUUAAUCUCCUAUUACUUAGUUAUUUCCUUUGCUUUUUCCUUUGCCUUUAUUUUACUUUUCAUCUUUAUCACAAAAAUACCAAACAUAUUAUCUUUAUCAUACCUAUCAGAUCUCACUCUCGUAAGUGGCUGUGUAGGGAUUGACAACCCCUAUUCGCGUUGGUUGCGAGGAUUUAUUUCUUUUGUGCAAGUACGAGGGACUCGCGCGUAGCCUCCUACUGGAUUGAUACCUUGGUUCUCAAAAACUGAGGGAAAUACUUACGCUACUUUGCUGCAUCAUCCCUUCCUCUUCGGGGAAAACCAACGUAGUUCUCAAGAGCUGGCAAGAUGGAUUUCUGGCGCCGUUGCCGCGGAGGUCUACGCAAAAGUCAACAUACCAAGUACCCAUCACAUACCCUUAUCUCCCUCAUUACAUUAUUUGCCAUUUGCUUCUCGUUUUCCUCUUCCCCACUUCACCCUUGCCUUUUUAUUCGCCCUCUCUCUCUAUCCUCCCUCUCUUUCUCUAUUUGCCUCUUUUUCCCUACUUGCUUUCUGUUUGCUUGUGUGUUAGUUGCUUGCUUGUCACGAUGGCUCAAGAUAAUACUAAAUUACGUGACUUCACCAAUACCAACAACAAUGAUUUUAUUAGCACUCCGAUUUCUCCUCUUACCGAUGCUGAAUCUUGAGAAAUUAAUACUGCUUUGCUGAAUCUUGUCAUGAAAGAUCUGUUUUCCUGCCUUCCUAGUGAAGAUGCCGCUACCCACAUAAAUAGAUUCGUUGAUUUGUGUGACAUGCAAAAGAAGAAAGGUGUGGAUAAUGAUAUUGUUAAAUUGAAGCUAUUUCCUUUUUCGCUUAGAGAUCGUGCUAAAGCUUGGUUUUCGUCUUUGCCUAAAAAUAGUAUUGAUUCAUGGAAUAAGUGCAAAGAUGCUUUUAUCUCUAAGUAUUUUCCUCCUGCUAAGAUCAUCUCUCUUAGAAAUGAUAUUAUGAAUUUUAAGCAACUUGAUCAUGAACAUGUUGCACAAGCUUGGGAGAGAAUGAAACUAAUGAUACGUAAUUGACCUGCCCAUGGUUUAAAUUUGUGGAUGAUUAUACCAAAUUUUUAUGCCGGAUUGAACUUUGCUUCUAGAAAUCUUUUAGAUUAGGCCGCAGGAGGCACUAUUAUGGAAAUCACUUUAGGAGAAGCUACUAAACUCCUAGAUAAUAUUAUGGUUAAUUAUUCUCAACGGCAUACCGAAAGUUCUACUAAUAAAAAGGUGCAUGCGAUAGAAGAAAUUAAUGUUUUGAGUGGAAAGAUGGAUGAACUUCUGAAAUUAUUUGCUAAUAAGAGUAUUUCUUCUGAUCCUAAUGAUAUGCCCUUGUCUACUUUGAUUGAGAAUAAUAAUGAAUCUAUGGAUGUGGAUUUUGUUGGUAGGAACAAUUUUGGUAACAACGCGUAUAGAGGAAAUUUCAACCCUAGGCCUUAUCCUAGUAAUCUCUCUAAUAAUUAUGGUAAUUCCUACAGCAAUUCUUAUGGAAAUUAUAAUAAGAUGCAUACUGAUUUUGAAUCUAAUAUUAGAGAAUUUAUUACUUUGCAAAAGAAUUUCAAUGCUUUGAUUGAAGAAAAAUUGCUUAAGAUUGAUGAUUUGGCUAGGAACAUUGAUAGAAUUACUCUUGAUGUUGAUUCUUUGAAACUUAGAUCUAUUCCACCUAAGCAUGAUGUCAAUGAGUCUCUCAAAGCCAUGAGAAUUUCCAUUGAUGAGUGCAAAGAAAGAACCACUAGGAUGCGUGCUAAGAAAGAUGCCUUUAUAAGAGCGUGUUCUUCUAGUUCCUAUGAAAAUAAUGAUGAAGAUCAAAAAGUUAUUGAUGUGCUCCCUAUUAAAUCUUUGUUUUGCAAUACGAAUCUUGAUAAUCAUGGGACUGAAUAUGAUCCACCUUUACCUAGAAGGCGUUCCAAGAAUUCAGAAUUUGUUGAUCUUGAUGGUAAAACUGAUAAAGGUGGGAUUGAAGAAAUUAAAACCCUAGAUGUUGCUAAACCCACUAUUAUGGAUUUCAAGGAACUUAACUAUCAAAACUGCCCUUUGAUUGAUUGUAUAUCCUUGUUACAAUCCGUGCUAAAUUCUCCUCAUGCUUAUAGUCAAAAUAAAGCAUUUACUAAACAUAUCGUUGAUGCCUUGAUGCAAUCUUAUGAAGAAAAACUUGAAUUGGAAGUUUCUAUCCCUAUAAAGCUUUAUGAUGAGUGGGAACCAACUAUUAAAAUUAAAAUUAAAUAUCAUGAAUGCUAUGCUUUAUGUGAUUUUGUGUGCUAGUGUUUCCACGAUUCCAAAGACUUUGUGUGAUUUGUUAGGUUUCCAUGAUUUUGAUGAUUGCUCUUUAAACUUGCACCUUGCGGAUUCCACUAUUAAGAAACCUAUGGGAAGAAUUAAUGAUGUUCUUAUUGUUGCAAAUAGCAAUUAUGUUCCCGUAGAUUUUAUUGUUCUUGACAUAGAUUGCAAUCUUUCAUGUCCUAUUAUUCUUGGUAGACCUUUCCUUAGAACGACUGGUGCAAUUAUUGAUAUGAAGGAAGGAAAUAUUAGAUUCCAAUUUCCAUUAAGGAAAGGCAUGGAACACUUUCCUAGAAAGUAAAUUAAAUUACCUUAUGAAUCUAUUAUGAUAGCCACUUAUGGAUUGCCUACCAAAGAUGGCAAUACCUAGAUCUAUCCUUGCUUGUUAUGCCUAGCUAGGGGCGUUAAACGAUAGCGCUUGUAGGGAGGCAACCCAAUUUUAUUUUUACUCCUUGAUUUUUGCUCCUGUUUAGUAAUAAAUAAUUUAUAUAGCCUCUGUUUUGCUUGUGUUCUUUGUGUUUAAUUAGUGUUUGUGCCAAGUAGAACCGUUAGGAAGACUUGGGGAAAGUCAUGUUACACUUGCUGUAAAAAACUGAAACUUCAGCGCUCACGAGAACUGCUGCCGUUUUUAUUUGGAAAGUGCUAUUUAGUUAAUUAUUUUUUCAGAUAAAUUCCUCACAUCCAGAAAUUUAUUUUAGAAUUUUUGGGGUUCCAGCUCUUGAGCUAGCUACAGAGUACUACCGACUGUUCUGUUUUUGAAAGAUUCUGUUUUUCGUGUGUUGUUUGCUUAUUUUGAUGAAGCUAUGGCUAGUAAAAUAUUUUAUAAACCAUAGAGAAGUUGGAAUACAGUAGGUAUAACACCAAUAUAAAUAAAUAAUGAGUUCAUUACAGUACCUUGAAGUGGUCUUUUAUUUUCUUUCGCUAACGGAGCUCAUGAGAUAUUCUACUUUAAGUUUUGUGUUGUGAAGUUUUCAAGUUUUGGGUAAAGAUUUGAUGCAUUAUGGAACAAGGAGUGACAAGAGCCUAAGCUUGGGGAUGCCCAUGGCACCCCCAAGAUAAUCUAAGUACACCUAAAAGCCAAAGCUUGGGGAUGCGCCGGAAGUCAUCCCCUCUUUCAUCUACUUCUAUCGGUAACUUUACUUGGAGCUAUAUUUUUAUUCGCCACAUGAUAUGUGUUUUGCUUGGAGCGUCUUGUAUUAUUUGAGUCUUUAUUUGUUAGUUUACCACAAUCAUCCUUGCUGUACACACCUUUUGAGAGAGUCAUACAUGACUUGGAAUUUGUUAGAAUACACUAUGUGUUUCGCUUAUAUCUUUUGAGUUAUAUAGUUUUGCUCUAGUACUUCACUUCUAUCGUUUAGAGCACGGUGGUGGAUUUGUUUUAUAGAAACUAUUGAUCUCUCAUGCUUCACUUAGAUUAUUUUGAGAUUCUUAAUAGCAUGUUAAUUUGCUUAAAAUCCUAAUAUGCUAGGUAUUCAAAGUUAGUAAAAUUUUCUUAAGAGUGUUUUGAAUACUAAGAGAAGUUUGAUGCUUGAUGAUUGUUUUGAGAUAUGGAGGUAAUAAUAUCAAAGUCAUUCUACUUGAGUAGUUGUGAAAUUGAGAAAUACUAGUGUUGAAGUUUGCAUGUCCCGUAGCACGCACGUAUGGUAAACGUUGUGUAACAAAUUUGAAACAUGAGGUGUUAUUUGAUUGUCUUCCUUGUGAGUGGCGGUCGGGGACAAGCUAUGGUCUUUUCCUACCAAUCUAUCCCCCUAGGAGCAUGCGCGUAGUACCAAGGUUUUUGAUGACUUGUAGAUUUUUGCAGUAAGUAUGUGAGUUCUUUAUGACCAAUGUUGAGUCCUUGAAUUAUACGCACUCUCACCCUUCCAUCCUUGCUAGCCUCUUCGGUACCGUGCAUUGCCCUUUCCCACAUUGAGAGUUGGAGCAAACUUCGCCAGUGCAUCCAAACCCCGUGAUAUGAUACGCUCUUUAACACAUAAACCUCCUUAUAUCUUCCUCAAAAUAGCCACCAUACCUACCUAGUAUGGCAUUUCCAUAGCCAUUCCGACAUAUAUUGCCAUGCAACUUUCCACCAUUCCGUUCAUCAUGACACAUUCAUCAUUGUCAUAUUGCUUAGCAUAAUCAUGUUGUUGACAUAGUAUUUGUGGCAAGGCCACCGUUCAUAAUUCUUUCAUACAUGUCACUCUUGGUCCAUUGCAUGUCCCGGUACACCGCCGGAGGCAUUCAUAUAGAGUCCUACUUUGUUCUAGUAUCGAGUAGUAAUUAUUGAUUCGUAAAUAAAUAGAAGUGUGAUGAUCAUCAUUAAUAGAGCAUGGUCCCAAAAAGAAAAAAAGGAAGUGCCAAAAAAGGCCAAAUAAAAAAAUAUAAAAAAGGGGGGCAAUGCUACUAUCCUUUUUUUCCACACUUGUGCUUCAAAGUAGCACCGUAAUCUUCAAGAUAGAGAGUCUCUUGAUUUGUCACUUUCAUAUACUAGUGGGAAUUUUUCAUUAUAGAACUUGGCUUGUAUAUUCCAAUAAUGGGCCUCCUCAAGUGCCCUAGGUCUUCGUGAGCAAGCAAGUUGGAUGCACACCCACUUAGUUUCUUUUGUUGAGCUCUCAUACAUUUAUAGCUCUAGUGCAUCCGUUGCAUGGCAAUCCCUACUCAUUGCAUUAACAUCAAUUAAUGGGCAUCUCCAUAGCCCAUUGAUUAGCCUCGUUGAUGUGAGACUUUCUCCUUUUUGUCUUCUCCACAUAACCCCACUCAUUAUAUUCUAUUCCACCCAUAGUGUUAUGUCCAUGGCUUGCAAUCAUAUAUUGCAUGAAAGUUUAUAGGUUUGAGAUCACUAAAGUAUGAAACAAUUGCUUGGCUUGUCAUCGGGGUUGUGCAUGAUGAGAGCAUUCUUGUGUGACGAAAAUGAAGCAUGACUAAACUAUAUGAUUUUGUAGGGCUGAACUUUCUUUGGCCGUGUUAUUUUGAGAAGACAUAAUUGCUCAGUUAGUAUGCUUGAAGUAUUAUAAUUUUAUGUCAAUAUGAACUUUUGUCUUGAAUGUUUCAGAUCUGAAUAUUCAUACCACAAUUAAAAAGAAUUACAUUAAAAUCAUGCCAUGUAGCACUCCGCAUCAAAAAUUCUGUUUUUAUCAUUUACCUACUCGAGGACGAGCAGGAAUUAAGCUUGGUGAUGCUUGAUACGUCUCCAACGUAUCUAUAAUUUUUGAUUGCUCCAUGUAUAUUAUCUAUUGUUUUGGACAAUAUUGGGCUUUAUUAUCCACUUUUAUAUUAUUUUUGGGACUAACCUAUUAACCGGAGGCCCAGCCCAGAAUUGUUGUUUUUUGCCUGUUUUAGGGUUUCGAAGAAAAGGAAUAUCAAACGGAGUCCAAACGGAAUGAAACCUUCGGGAACGUGAUUUUCUCAACGAACAAGACCUAGGAGACUUGGACCCUCCAUCAAGACAUAAAAGAGGAGGCCACGAGGUAGGGGGCGUGCCUACCCCCCCCCCCCCCGGCGCGCCCUCCACCCUCGUGGGCCCCCCUGUUGCUCCACCGACGUACUCCUUCCUCCUAUAUAUACCUACUAUUGGGGAACGUAGCAGAAUUUUAAAAUUUUCUAUGCAAGAUCAAUCUAUGGAGUCAUCUAGCAACGAGGGAGAGAGGAGUGCAUCUACAUACCCUUGUAGAUCGCGCGCGGAAGCGUUCAAGAGAACGGGGUUGAUGGAGUCGUACUCGUCGUGAUCCAAAUCACCGAUGACCAAGUGCCGAACGGAUAGCACCUCCGCGUUCAACACACGUACGGUUGGGAAGACGUCUCCUCCUUCUUGAUCCAGCAAGGGGGAAGGAGAGGUUGAUGAAGAUCCAGCAGCACGAUGGCAUGGUGGUGGAUGCAGCAGGAUCCCGGCAGGGCUUCGCCAAGUGCAAGCGGGGAGGAGAGGUGUUACGGAAGGAGAGGGAGGCGCCAAGAGAAAGGGUGCGGCUACCCUCCCUCCCCCCCUCUUUAUAUAGGGGCCUUGGGGGGCGCCGGCCCUAGGAGAUGGAUCUCCAAGGGGGGCGAAGGCCAAGGGGUGGCUUCCCCCCCAAGCCAAGUGGGGGGCGCCCCCACCCCUAGGGUUUCCCAACCCUAGGUGCAGGGGAGGCCCAAGGGGGGCGCACCAGCCCACUAGGGGCUGGUUCUGCUCCCAAUUCAGCCCAUGGGGCCCUCCGGGAUGGGUGGCCCCACCCGGUGGACCCCCGGGACCCUUCCGGUGGUCCUGGUACUAUACCGGUGACCCCCGAAACCUUUCCGAUGGCCGAAACUGUACUUCCUAUAUAUAAAUCUUUACCUCCGGACCAUUCCGGAACUCCUCGUGAUGUCCGGGAUCUCCUCCGGGACUCCGAACAUAUCCUGGGUUACUACAUACUAAUAUCUCUACAACCCUAGCGUCACCGAACCUUAAGUGUGUAGACCCUACGGGUUCGGGAGACAUGCAGACAUGACCGAGACGCCUCUCCGGUCAAUAACCAACAGCGGGAUCUGGAUACCCAUGUUGGCUUCCACAUGCUCCAUGAUGAUCUCAUCGGAUGAACCACGAUGUCGAGGAUUCAAUCAAUCUGUAUACAAUUCCCUCUGUCAAUCGGUAGGUUACUUGCCCGAGACUCGAUCGUCGGUAUCCCAAUACCUCGUUCAAUCUCGUUACCAGCAAGUCACUUUACUCGUGCCGUAAUGCAUGAUCCCAUGAUCAACCACUUGGUCACAAUGAGCUCAUUAUGAUGAUGCAUUACCGAGUGGGCCCAGAGAUACCUCUCCGUCAUACGGAGUGACAAAUCCCAGUCUCGAUUCGUGCCAACCCAACAGACACUUUCAGAGAUACCUGUAAUGUUCCUUUAUAGUCACCCAGUUACGUUGUGACAUUUGGCACACCCAAGGCACUCCUACGGUAUCCGGGAGUUGCCCAAUCUCAUGGUCUAAGGAAAUGAUACUUGACAUUCGGAAAAGCUACAGCAAACGAACUACACGAUCUUUGAGCUAUGCUUAGGAUUGGGUCUUGUCCAUCACAUCAUUCUCCUAAUGAUGUGAACCCGUUAUCAAUAACAUCCAAUGUCCAUAGUCAGGAAACCAUGACUAUCUUUUGAUCAACGAGCUAGUCAACUAGAGGCUCACUAGGGACGUGUUGUCUUCUAUGUAUUCACACAUGUAUUACGAUUUCCGGAUAACACAAUUAUAGCAUGAACAAUAGACAAUUAUCAUGAACAAAGAAAUAUAAUAAUAACCAUUUUAUUAUUGCCUCUAGGGCAUAUUUCCAACAGUCUCCCACUUGCACUAGAGUCAAUGUCUAGUUACAUUGUGAUGAAUCGAACACCCUUGAAGUUCUGGAGUUGAUCAUAUUUUUCUCUAGGGAGAGGUUUAGUCAAUGGAUCUGCCACAUUCAGGUCCGUAUGUACUUUACAAAUCUCUAUGUCUCCAUUUUGAACAACUUCACGAAUGGAGUUGAAGUGACGCUUGAUAUGCCUGGUCUUCCUGUGAAACCUGGGCUCCUUGGCAAGUGCAAUAGCUCCAGUGUUGUCACAGAAUAGAGUCAUCGGGCACGGUGCAUUGGGUAUGACUCCUAGGUCGGUAAUGAACUCCUUCACCCAGACUGCUUCUUGUCCUGCCUCCGAGGCUACCAUGUACUCCGCUUCACAUGUAGAUCCCGCCACAACGCUUUGCUUGCAACUCCACCAGCUUAUUGCCCCACCAUUCAAAAUAUACACGUAUCCGGUUUCCGACUUAGAGUCAUCCAGAUCUGUGUCGAAGCUAGCAUCGACGUAACCCUUUACGACGAGCUCUUCGUCACCUACAUAAACGAGAAACAUAUCCUUACUCCUUUUUAGGUACUUGAGGAUAUUCUUGACCGCUGUCCAUGUUAGGGAACGUUGUAAUUUCAAAAAAAUUCCUACGCACACGCAAGAUCAUGGUGAUGCAUAGCAACGAGGGGAGAGUCUGAUCUACGUACCCUUGUAGAUCGCAACGGAAGCGUUGACACAACGUAGGGGAAGUAGUCGUACGUCUUCUUCCCGAUCCGACCGAUCCAAGCACCAUUACUCCGGCACCUCCGAGUUCUUAGCACACGUUCAGCUCGAUGACGAUCCUCGGGCUCCGAUCCAGCAAAGUGUCGAGGAAGAGUUCCGUCAGCACGACGGCGUGGCGACAAUCUUAAUGUACUACCGACGCAGGGCUUCGCCUAAGCACUACAACAGUAUGAUCGAGGUGGAAUUUGGUGGCAGGGGGCACCGAACACGGCUAAGGAACGAUCUCAAUGAUCAACUUGUGUGUCUAGAGGUGCCCCCUGCCCCCGUAUAUAAAGGUUGCCAGGGGGUGGGCUGGCCGGCCAAAGGAGGAGGGCGCAGGAGGAGUCCUACUCCUACCGGGAGUAGGACUCCCCCCCCCAAUCCUAUUCCUAAUAGGACUCCUCGAGAGAGAGAGAGGGAGAAGGGGGCCGGCCACCUCUCCUAGUCCUAAUAGGACUAGGGGAGGGGGGAGGCGCGCAGCCCACCUUGGGCUGCCCCUUUCGCCUUUCCACUAAGGCCCAAUAAGGCCCAUUUGGUUCCCGGGGGGUUCCGGUAACCUCCCUAUACUCCGGUAAAAUUCCCGAUUUCACCCGGAACACUUCCGAUGUCCAAACAUAGGCUUCCAAUAUAUCAAUCUUUAUGUCUCGACCAUUUCGAGACUCCUCGUCAUGUCCGUGAUCACAUCCGGGACUCCGAACAACCUUCGGUACAUCAAAAUGCAUAAACUCAUAAUAACUGUCAUCGUAACGUUAAGCGUGCGGACCCUACGGUUCGAGAACAAUGUAGACAUGACCGAGACACGUCUCCGGUCAAUAACCAAUAGCGGGACCUGGAUGCCCAUAUUUGCUCCUACAUAUUCUACAAAGAUCUUUAUCGGUCAGACCGCAUAACAACAUACGUUGUUCCCUUUGUCAUCGGUAUGUUACUUGCCCGAGAUUCGAUCGUCGGUAUCCAAUACCUAGUUCAAUCUCGUUACUGGCAAGUCUAUUUACUCGUUCCGUAAUACAUCAUCUCACAACUAACAUCUUAGUUAUAAUGCUUGCAAGGCUUCUGUGAUGUGUCUUACCGAGAGGGCCCAGAGAUACCUCUCCGACAAUCGGAGUGACAAACCCUAAUCUCGAAAUACGCCAACCCAACAUCUACCAUUGGAGACACCUGUAGUACUCCUCUAUAAUCACCCAGUUAUGUUGUGACGUUUGGUAGUACCCUAAGUGUUCCUCCGGCAAACGGGAGUUGCAUAAUCUCAUAGUCAUAGGAACAUGUAUAAGUCAUGAAGAAAGCAAUAGCAACAUACUAAACGAUUGGGUGCUAAGCUAAUGAAAUGGGUCAUGUCAAUCAGAUCAUUCAACUAAUGAUGUGACCUCGUUAAUCAAAUAACAACUCUUUGUUCAUGGUUAGGAAACGUAACCAUCUUUGAUUAACGAGCUAGUCAAGUAAAGGCAUACUAGUGACACUCUGUUUGUCUAUGUAUUCACACAUGUAUUAUGUUUCCGGUUAAUACAAUUCUAGCAUGAAUAAUAAACAUUUAUCAUGAUAUAAGGAAAUAAAUAAUAACUUUAUUAUUGCCUCUAGGGCAUAUUUCCUUCAGUCUCCCACUUGCACUAGAGUCAAUUAUCUAGAUUACACAGUAAUGAUUCUAACACCCAUGGAGCCUUGGUGCUGAUCAUGUUUUGCUCAUGGAAGAUGCUUAGUCAACGGGUCUGCAACAUACAGAUCCGUAUGUAUCUUGCAAAUCUCUAUGUCUCCCACCUGGACUAGAUCCCGGAUGGAGUUGAAGCGUCUCUUGAUGUGUUUGGUCCUUUUGUGUAAUCUGGAUUCCUUUGCUAAAGCAAUUGCACCAGUAUUGUCACAAAAGAUUUUCAUUGGACCCGAUGCACUAGGUAUGACACCUAGAUCGGAUAUGAACUCCUUCAUCCAGACUCCUUCGUUCGCUGCUUCCGAAGCAGCUAUGUACUCCGCUUCACAUGUAGAUCCCGCUACGACGCUUGUUUAGAACUGCACCAAUUGACAGCUCCACCGUUUAAAGUAAACACCUAUCCGAUUUGCAAUUUAGAAUCGUCCGGAUCAGUGUCAAAGCUUGCAUCAACGUAACCUCUUACGGUGAGCUCUUUGUCACCUCCAUAUACGAGAAACAUAUCCUUAGUCCUUUUCAGGUACUUCAGGAUGUUCUUGACCGUUGUCCAGUGAUCCACUCCUGGAUUACUUUGGUACCUCCCUGCUAAACUUAUAGCAAGGCACACAUCAGGUCUGGUACACAGCAUUGCAUACAUGAUAGAGCCUAUGGCUGAAGCAUAGGGAACAUCUUUCAUUUUCUCUCUAUCUUCUGCAGUGGUCGGGCAUUGAGUCUGACUCAACUUCACACCUUGUAACACAGGCAAGAACCCUUUCUUUGCUUGAUCCAUUUUGAACUAAUUCAAAAUCUUGUCAAGGUAUGUGCUUUGUGAAAGUCCAAUUAAGCGUCUUGAUCUAUCUCUAUAGAUCUUUAUGCCUAAUAUGUAAGCGGCUUCCCCGAGGUCUUUCAUCGAAAAACUUUUAUUCAAGUAUCCCUUUAUGCUAUCCAGAAAUUCUAUAUCAUUUCCAAUCAGCAAUAUGUCAUCCACAUAUAAUAUCAGAAAUGCUACAGAGCUCCCACUCACUUUCUUGUAAAUACAGGCUUCUCCAAAAGUCUGUAUAAAGCCAAAUGCUUUGAUCACACUAUCAAAGCGUUUAUUCAAACUCCGAGAGGCUUGCACCAGUCCAUAAAUGGAUCGCUGGAGCUUGCACACUUUGUUAGCUCCCUUUGGAUCGAUAAAACCUUCUGGUUGCAUCAUAUACAACUCUUCUUCCAGAAAUCCAUUCAGGAAUGCAGUUUUGACAUCCAUCUGCCAAAUUUCAUAAUCAUAAAAUGCGGCAAUUGCUAACAUGAUUCUGACAGACUUAAGCAUCGCUACGGGUGAGAAGGUCUCAUCGUAGUCAACCCCUUGAACUUGUCGAAAAACUUUUGCGACAAGUCGAGCUUUAUAGACAGUAAUAUUACCGUCAGCGUCAGUCUUUUUCUUGAAGAUCCAUUUAUUCUCAUUUGCUUGCCGAUCAUCAGGCAAGUCAACCAAAGUCCAUACUUUGUUCUCAUAUAUGGAUCCCAUCUCAGAUUUCAUGGCUUCAAGCCACUUUGCGGAAUCUGGGCUCACCAUCGCUUCUUCAUAGUUCGUAGGUUCAUCAUGAUCUAGUAGCAUGACUUCCAGAAUUGGAUUACCGUACCACUCUAGUGCGGAUCUCACUCUGGUUGAUCUAUGUGGUUCAGUAGUAUCUUGUCCUAAAGUUUCAUGAUCAUCAUCAUUAGCUUCCUCACUAAUUGGUAUAGGUGUCGCAGAAACAGUUUUCUGUGAUGUACUAUUUUCCAAUAAGGGAGCAGGUACAGUUACCUCGUCAAGUUCUACUUUCCUCCCACUCACUUCUUUCGAGAGAAACUCCUUCUCUAGAAAUGAUCCAUUCUUAGCAACGAAUGUCUUGCCUUCGGAUCUGUGAUAGAAGGUGUACCCAACAGUCUCCUUUGGGUAUCCUAUGAAGACACAUUUCUCCGCUUUGGGUUCGAGCUUAUCAGGUUGAAGCUUUUUCACAUAAGCAUCGCAGCCCCAAACUUUAAGAAACGACAACUUUGGUUUCUUGCCAACACUACAGGAAUCGGCUACUUUGCCAUGUGCCACGGCGGACGGCAAAGGCCCGAACGGCGGACGGCAAAGGCCUUUGCCGUCAGCGGCGGACGGCAAAAGGCUCCGGCAAAGUAGGCUUCGGUAAACAGGUUCUUUGCCGUCUACUAUUGACGGCAAAGUCUUUGCCGUCUGCGGCGGACGGCAAAGAGAGAGCAGCAGACGGCAAAGACGGCGGACGGCAAUAAUUGCGCUGUCAGUCCGUUAAGUGGCUAACGGAAGGCCUUUGCCGUCCGCCGCUGACGGCAAAAUUUCUAGGGUCUUUGCCGUCCGCCGUAUGAUGUCAUCUACACGUCACUACGUGGCAGGUUCUUUGCCGUCUGCCACUGACGGCAAAGUCUUUGCUGUCUGCCACUGUAGGCAAACUGACCAAAUGGGUCAGCUCCCAGGAAGCACAGGUGGACGCCACGUGGCUUCUUUGCCAUCCGCGGCAGACGGCAAAGAGCCCGUUGCCGUCGGUGGUAGACGGCAAAGAGCCUGCAUAUUGGCUCUUUUUUCUGUUUUUUCAUAUACCCAACCAUUUUCACAGCAAAUAGAUGAUACAUAUAUAUUUUUCACAUGGCAAGUUCACAGCAAACAUAUGAGAUAUCCAACACAUAUAAUUGCAUCAUACAUGCAUAGUUCCAUCAACCAUACAUAGCAAGUUCGACAUACAUGCAUCCAACCAUACAUAUUACAAUAGUGUCAUCCUACCAUACAUGCAUAGUUCAUAGAUACAAAGGAAACAUAGUUCAUCCAAACAAGCACUCCAUCUAUGCAAGCUUCCGUGAAGUGAAUGAAUUCUGCAAAAUGGGAAAUAAGAAAGUUAGAAGAAGAAGAUUGGAAGAAGAAGAAGUAGAAGAAGAAUAUAUAUAUAUAUAUGACAUUUAUGCGCUAAUUUAGGUGAAAUUGAUCAUUUGUGAGCUAACUUAGGUGAAAUGGAUCGUUUAUGAGCUAACCUAGGUGCAAUGGAUCGCUUAUGAGCAAACUUAAGUAAAAUGCAUCAUUUUAGAGGUAACCUAGGUAAGAUGGAUCAUUUUGGAGCUAACCUAGGUAAAAUGGGUCAUUUUAGAGCUAACUUCGGUAGAAUGGAUCAUUUAUGAGCUAGGUAAGGUUAAAUGGAUCAUUUUAGAACUAACUUAGGUAAAAUGGAUCGUUUAUGAGCUAACUUAGGUAAAAUGGAUCGUUUUUGAGCUAACUAAGGUGAAAUGAAUCGUUUUUGAGCUAACUAAGGUGAAGGGCAUCAUUUUUGAGCUAACUAAGGUGAAAUGGAUCGUUUUUGAGCUAACUAAGGUGAAAUGAAUCGUUUUUGAGCUAACUAAGGUAAAAUGGAUCGUUUUUGAGCUAACUUAGGUGAAAUGGAUCGUUUUUGAGCAAACUUAGGUGAAAUGGNNNNNNNNNNNNNNNNNNNNNNNNNNNNNNNNNNNNNNNNNNNNNNNNNNNNNNNNNNNNNNNNNNNNNNNNNNNNNNNNNNNNNNNNNNNNNNNNNNNNNNNNNNNNNNNNNNNNNNNNNNNNNNNNNNNNNNNNNNNNNNNNNNNNNNNNNNNNNNNNNNNNNNNNNNNNNNNNNNNNNNNNNNNNNNNNNNNNNNNNNNNNNNNNNNNNNNGGAUCGUUUUUGAGCUAACUAAGGUGAAAUGGAUCAUUUUUUAGCUAACUAAGGUGAAAUGGAUCGUUUUUGAGCAAACUUAGGUGAAAUGGAUCAUUUAAGAGCUAAUUUAGGUGAAAUGGAUUGUUUUUGAGCUAACUAAGGUGAAAUGGAUCGUUUUUGAGCAAACUUAGGUGAAAUGGAUCAUUUAAGAGCUAAUUUAGGUGAAAUGGAUCGUUUUUGAGCAAACUUAGGUGAAAUGGAUCAUUUAAGAGCUAAUUUAGGUGAAAUGGAUCGUUUUUAGCUAACUUAGGUGAAAUGGAUCGUUUAGGAGCUACUCUAGGUAAAUUGGGUCAUUUUAGAGCUAACUUGGAUAAACUAGAUCACUUAUAAGCUAACCUAGGUAAGAUGGGUCAUUUUGGAGCUAACUUAGGUAAAAUGGAUCGUCUAUGAGCUAACUAAGCUAAUUAUGCAAUUUUUGACAUAAGUAAGCUAAGUAUAGAUUGUUUUAGAGCUAACUUAGGUAAAAUGGAUGGUUUUGGAGGUCAGUAAGCUUAUUUAGUCAUUUUGGAGGAGAAGAAGCUAAGUCUACGUCAUUAUGGUAAGCAUUGGAGGAAAUAAAGCUAAGUCUAGGUCUUUAUGCAUGUGUUAAGCAAAACACUAGAUAAACUUACCAAGAUCCAGGAGGUGUAGGAGUGGGGUGGCUCGUGUCGGUAGCUGGAGAAGGAUCGUGCGAUGCUUGUCUGGAGUUACGCUGCACCAAAGAUCAUUUCCAAUGUCUUGUUAGCAUGAUGACACUCAAAUGUUAAGACUAGUAAGUAAUGUCCAUUCAAAUAAAACUCACCGUGGUCCCAGGAGCAAUCACUGGCAUCGGCGGAGCGGUCUGACCUGUCUUCUCGCACACAGACUGCACAUUUGGUUUUGACGACUCAGUCAUACUAGUUAGUAAUGAGACAAACACUACAUGAAUGUUUUGGCUAAUCUGCAGAUGAAACUUACCACAAGGAGCUCGUACAUGGCCCUUGCCUGCAUGUCAUUCCGUGCCCUCUCCUCCUCCACCAUCUUUGUCGUCCUCUCCUCCAACUCCCGCUGCCUCUCCGCCGCCUCCGCCAGAAGUUUCUCCGUUCUAUCUCUCUCACUCUGUAUGGCAGCCUGCAACACCACUCACAUGACAAUUUGUAAUCAUUGAUGGAAGCGCACACAAUGUAAUGGAGAAAGAUAACUGAGUAUGUAUCACUAACCUUGAUGGCGACUUGCACUGGCCGUUCACGAGGCCUUAUCUUAGGAGCGGAGCUCGACUGGCGCGCCUUGAUCUCCGAGAGAGUGCUAGGACAACGGAUAAGUCCAUCUCCAAUGGCUAUGGAGCCAUGGGACCUCCCGUCACCAGAUAUCAUCAACAGCUCUGGAUCAAUGGGACCCUGGCUCGGGUUAAAGUCCUCCCCUUUCCUCGCCUUCCCCUCAUCUCUAUAUCUCACGAGCUUGUUGUGGGAGGAGAUGUUGGUGAAGUUGUUUGCAUCAUCGAGGUCAGACUGAGAGAAAGCCUUGACUUUCUUGAAAGAGGCAGUGUGGGCCAUGGCAUACAGGUCGUACACCUCUGGCACCUUAUCCGCCUUAUUAUAGCAUGCCUGAAAGAGAGAAACAAUGAAAAUUAGUAAUUAAAGGGCUCAAGCUAGCAUGAUGAAUGAAUUGCAUGAAUCAUGAAGCAAACCACAUACCCAGUUGCGCCCGAACUGAUAUAAGUUGGAGCUGCCUUGAUGGUGUGGCACACCUUCCAUUUUUGCACGUUUGUCCUUGGCCUCCUUGUGGGGGGCUAGCCAUCGUUGUGAGCACCACUCAUCGACCAACACCUCCCAACAAUCCAUCCGAUCCGCACACCAUCUCGGAGGCGCCUAAGUUAGCAAAUAGAAACUUGAGCGCUACGGCUAAGAAUUACUAAAUGAAGGAACUUAAGUAGAGAAGGCCUUGAGAAUUACCUUCAUGUAAUGCUCCUUACUCAGGAACUUAUCGCAGCAUGCCGGCUUGGUCUUCUUGAUACCACGCAAGGCGUAGUAGUCUCGAACAGCCUGCACCCGAGCCUCGUGCCGUAAGUUCUGGAGUAGGCGCUUGCAGACGUUCUCGAUAACAUGUGCCGCGUCCUCCUCGUAUCCCUCCUCACACCUGUAGAAUGUCUGCAAUCAAAUGAGACAAUGUUGAUUAGUACAAUUAAUAACUAGCUAGUUGAAGAUUUUUAAAUGUGUAAAGGAGAAAUUACCCAGAACUUUCUGAUCACCAUGUCUGCCCUCGUGUCACACACGACACCGUCGAUAAUCUCAUUUGGCAGGGCCGGGGCAGCCACGUAGUGCUCCCAGCUCAAUCCAAGCUCUGGAAGCCGACCCUCACCAGGCAACGUGACAAACCCCGGGAAGUUUUGCCGGCAAAGAACUCCAAGGACGGAGUUGGGCCGGCGGACACUAUGAUGGUGGUCCCAACCCCUGCAGCAUGACAAGGCCAACGCAUUAGUUAUUUGAAAAAAUGUGAAUGCACAAGGUACAAAAAUAUUAAAUGCACUUACGUACCUCUCCCCAUCAGGGAAAAUCAACCACCUCUGCUCGCGGGUCACCGGCACGGACGGGAGCCGUGUAGCACCACGCUGGUAGACGGUGCCCCCCUCCUCCUCAAGAUCAGUCGGCUCCCCGCCAUCAUCAGCAUGACCACUCGGCUCCUUGGGCUGAUCCGGCCAGGUACCCCAUCCGGACGUGUGCUCCUCCGGGGUCAUGUGGGCCGAACUCUCGUGGGCUGAAGACCCGUGGACCGGAGGCUCAUGGACCGGAGUUCGUGUAGCCUCCUCCUCGGACGAGUCCACCCUAGCAGUCACGUGCUUGGGUGAAACGGUUGGGGGUGGCGGCGAGGAAGGCACCGUAGCAGUCACCCUACCUCCUCUCCCAGGACCACGUGCCCCACCUCCUCUCUUCCUACCUCGUCCCCUGCUGGGCACCAUGGUCGACGAAGAAGGGCCCGGCGGUGUGGCCAUACUGUCCAGCAACGCUCGGCGGAGAGGUGCGUCUGGAAUGGAAGACCUCAGACCACGCUCCCGACCAGUGCCCACCAUCUUUCAACACCUGCCAUGACAAACAGUAAAUGAAAUUAGUACAACAUAAAAAAGGACCGACAUGAAUAAUAAUAUGUGUAUCACUUAAGUGUAUCAUCAUCAAGUACAACAUAAAAAAAUGUAAUACCGGACACUACUAAUAAUCUCGAUCAGUAUCAUCAAUAAAUGCAUAAUCAUCAUCAUCACUAUAAUCAAUGACGGGCUCAUAGGGUUCAUUGGCAUCAACAUGUGCAAGGCCACCUUGACGUAAUCGGUCAAGCAUUGACAGGUCAUCCGCAGCAGUAACCUCUUCUUGUUCCGGCUCUUCUUGUUCCUCCUCUGGGGUGAUGUCGGAUUCAUUGUCGCUGUCUACUUCAAUGUUUUGGGGUGAAGUAUAGCGGUUCUUGAAACGCUUUUUGGAAAGACGUGUCUCUUGGAAGAAUUCUCCUUCAUAUGUGUCUGGGUUAAUGUGAGGUUCAUAAUCCUCUUCCUUUGCGGGAGAAAGUCUAGCACGUGGCGGCACUUCAUAAACGACAUCCCAACCUUUCAGAUUUGGAUUAGUUUGGCAGGCCCACGGUAGAUAGAAUACUUGGGUCGCCUGUUGAGCCAUAAUAUAGACAUCAAGAACAUCUAAACGAGUGCUUUGGUUGAUUUCAACUAGCCCUACAUGUUCAUGAGUCCUUCUAGUCUCGUUUGGCUGAAACCAAUAACAUUUGAAGACUACGACAUUUUGUGGGUUUUCACCAUAGAACAGAAGUUCAUAAAUUGCUUCAACUCUCCCAUAAUACUCGGUACCUCCUUUGCCGAUAGCAGAUACACAACAAUUUGUUGACUUUGGGUCCGCCAUAGAUAGCUCUUUGCCAUAGGUACGAAAGCGAUACCCGUUGAUGUCGUACUUGUCAAAUGAACGGACCUUAUAGUCAAAACCAUUAGCGACUUGUCUCAAUUCGGCGUCCAUAGAGUCUGGAUUAGCCUACAGGUUUAAUAUGAAAGGAUUGUUGCAUUAUGCACAAAUUAGCGAAUGAAAUGAAAUUGUCUAAUAGAAAUUACCGUUUGUUUGAACCAAGAGAUGAAACCGGGAUAGCCACCUCCUUGCUUUGCGAGAAGCUCAUACUCUUCGACAGAAUCCUUUUGGAUCUCCGCUCCAUACGAGAAUAUGGUGACGUAUCGACUGUAUGACAUAUCCAGGAAUAAGAGUAGUUCAAAGGAAAUAGAAGUUGCGAAACAAUGUAUCGAGAACUUACUCGAUGUACGGCCGCACUUCUAUCAGGUUGUUGAAGAUAUACAAUGAAAUGGUCCGCCAUUCUUUGUUAUCCAAAGAUACUGGAUGUGAAACACCAGCUGGUGCGAGAUUCCCUUUGAAUAGGCUGAGGUUGGAUCCACCCUUUUUAGGCUCGUCAGCAUUGUACCGAGGCUUCGGAUUAUGCAAAUGACGAUUUUUGGCUUCGUAGUGCGCUGUUACGAAGUUUGCCACCUCCUCUGUGAUGAAUGCCUCAGCCAUCGAUGCUUCAAUUCUACGUUUAUUUUUACAUUUUUCUCGAAGCGUGUUCUGCAUCCUCUCAGUUGGGUAGCACCAACGAUUUUGCACGGGCCCCCCCAAUCUUGCCUCGGUCGGGAGAUGCAAAAUCAAAUGCUGCAUUGGAUUAAAGAAGCCCGGUGGAAAGAUUUUCUCUAACUUGUAGAUCAACUCCGGCGCCAACUCUUCCAUUUCUUCUAGCACGCCAGGAGAUAGUUAUUUCGCACAAAGAACACGGAAGAAAUAGCUGAGUUCUGCCAGUACUAGCCAUUCAUCCUCAGGGAUGAAGCCACGCAACAUCACCGGCAUUACCCGCUCAAUCCAUAUUUGCUCCCCUCUUUAGAUUCGCUGCAUACCCAUCGGGGAACAUCAACUGCUGUUGCACCCACAAGAGAAUUUCCCUCAUAGCUGGCCUUCCAAGAUUGAACCAUGCCUUUGGCUUCGUCUAGUUCUGCUUUCCUUUCGGUUCUUUCAUGUUUUGUAACGGCCUAUCACAUAGCGCCUCCAGAUCGACUCUAGCCUUAGUAUUAUCCUUUGACUUCCCAUCCAUGCCGAACAAUGUACCAAAAAGUGCCUCGGUGAUAUUCUUCUCAGUGUGCAUCACGUCGAUGUUGUGUGGGCAAAGGAGGUCUUUGAAGUAAGGCAGAUCCCAUAAGCAUGUUUUGUGAGUCCACGCAUGCUUAGUAUUAUACCCCUUGAAGUACCCUGGACAUUGUGGAUCUGGCUCGAGAGCGUUUAACUGAUCCAGGGUCUGUUGGCCUGUCAAUGCAGGUGGUGCAGAGUUUUUGACAACUCUACCCCUGAUGAAGUUCUUCUUGUCUUCCCUGAACUUAUGGCGAGGAUCCAGGAACUGUCUAUGCAUGUCGAAGCAAGAAAACUUGCGACCGGCCUGAAGCCAACGAAACUCAAGAGCUCCCUGGCAUGUGGGGCACGGGAACCUUCCAUGCACACACCAGCCAAUGAAUAGCGCAUACGCCGGCAAGUCAUGCGUCGAGUACAUGUACUAGACACGCAUUAUGAAGUUCCGUUUGCUAAAGGCAUCGUAUGUCUUGAACCCAUUAUCCCAAGCUUCUUGCAAUUCGUCCUUAAGCGGCUGCAUGUACACAUUCAUAUUUUUGCCCGGAUAGUUGGGUCCUGGAAAUAUCAACGUUAGGAAAAUGUUCUUUCUUUGCAUAAUCUGUGCGGGGGGGAGAUUGAGUGGAAAGACAAAUACGGGCCAACAACUGUAUUGGGCUGCCAUCAUACCAAACACACUGAACCCAUCCGUGCUGAUGCCGACUCGAGAAUGCCUCGGAUCUGCCGCUUUGUCAGCAUGUAAUUCAUCAAACUUUUUCCACGCAACACCAUCCGAUGUGUGUACCAUCAUCAGAUUCCCAUCUGCAUCUAGUGCGGUUCUUUUGCCUGUUUUGUGCCAUGUCAUCUGUCUGGCCGUCUCUUUGACCAUGAAAAGACGUUGAAGUCUUGGUACAAUUGGCAUAUACCGAAGAACACUAACGGGGAUUUUGGUCUGUGUCUUCUCACCCAUACCGUUGUCUACCACAAUAUACCUGGAAGACUUGCAAAUGGGACAAUAGUUCAAGUCCGCAUAGUCAAGCCUAAAUAAGGCACAUCCUUUCUCACAGGCAUGUAUCUUCUCAUAGGGCAUCUUCAGUGCAUGGAGGAUUUUGUCCGACUGGUACAGGUUUGCAGGCAUUACAUGUCCUUUGGGUAGAAAGCGUCCAAAUACUGUCAUAAUUGCGUCAUAGCAUUCUCUACCCAAGUUGAACUGAGCCUUCAGAGCCAUUACUUGUGAGAUGGCAUCCAACUGACAAAGCUCAGUGUGCUCGCGGAGCGGACGUUUCGAAGACUCCAACAUUUCAUUGAAGGCCUUUGCAGAUUCCUCCAUCUCCUCGUCCGAAUCCCGAGCAUCAUCAUAGUCUUGCACCAUGUUUUCCAUCCCGGUACCAUGCUCGUCGGUGCGACGACGAUCCACCUCAGCUCGGUCACGUUGGGCAGACUCACCAUGAAAUGUCCAGACCGUAUAAUCGGGCGUAAAACCACUCUUCUGCAGGUGUUUGCCCAUUUCAGCCUCUCUCUUCUUUUCCCAAUUGCCGCACCGGAAAUAGGGGCACCAGGUUUUCUUUUGGCCAUUUGCAAAUGCGGCUUGCACAAACCCCUUAGUUUUUGUGAACCAUUCAGCGCUCCAUUUGUUCUGACCAGUGUGACCGGUAUACAUCCAAGCACGGUCACUCAUCUUGACUUUCAGAGCUACUGGACACACAACAAUUAUAUAUGUAAUUCACCAUGUAUAUAUUCAUCAGUUGAUCUACUGUGUCAAUUUUAUUACGUCCAUGCAACCUACACUCUAAUAGGUAAUGAUAGGUCCUAAUCCCACCCGUGUAUGUGUAGAUUGGGUUCAUUUUCCCAUGCUAUGCUCCGGAUCCGACGCAAAAUUUCGGCAGCACCUCCCCGUUAUUCUCCUGAUACACGUCUCUGCAAUAAACAGAGAGGAUGUGUACCCGGAGAACAACAGGGGAGGCACUGACGAAAUAUAUGCGUCGGAUCCGGAGCAAAGCAUAUGGGAAAACGAACCCAAUCUACACAUACUCGGGCUGUCCAUGGAUAGCGUUGGACAAUUCGAAAGAAUCAAGGUUAUAAAUAUGCAAAUGCAUGCAUAUUUAUAAAUAUGACGCUUUCGAAUGGGAGACACAUAUUGGUUACGCAUACUGAUGAUUCAAGACACAUAUAUAGCUAGCUAUCAAGUUUCAUCGGAAUAGAUCAAAUAAUUAAUGGGGGAGGAGGACUUGUCAUUUGUGCUCACCCACGAACGAAGGGCAGAGCUCGUCAAACGCACGGCGAGGUCGUCGAACACCAAACCUCGCAGCGAUGAAACAACUGCACAUUUAAAACUACACGAUCAACACAAUUAUAUAUGAUGUUUUUCAUAACUAAAUCGAAAAAUAUAUAACCUAACUAAUAAUUCACAAAUAUAUGACCCCGUCGGCCUCUGGAAGGCCGAAGAACACCUUAAUUUUCGGGAGGUGUCGGUGGUCGGGGUGCCCUGUCGGUGUCGGGGUGCCGUGUCGGGGUCGGGGUCUCGGGGUCGGGGUGUCGGGUCGGGGUGCCNNNNNNNNNNNNNNNNNNNNNNNNNNNNNNNNNNNNNNNNNNNNNNNNNNNNNNNNNNNNNNNNNNNNNNNNNNNNNNNNNNNNNNNNNNNNNNNNNNNNNNNNNNNNNNNNNNNNNNNNNNNNNNNNNNNNNNNNNNNNNNNNNNNNNNNNNNNNNNNNNNNNNNNNNNNNNNNNNNNNNNNNNNNNNNNNNNNNNNNNNNNNNNNNNNNNNNNNNNNNNNNNNNNNNNNNNNNNNNNNNNNNNNNNNNNNNNNNNNNNNNNNNNNNNNNNNNNNNNNNNNNNNNNNNNNNNNNNNNNNNNNNNNNNNNNNNNNNNNNNNNNNNNNNNNNNNNNNNNNNNNNNNNNNNNNNNNNNNNNNNNNNNNNNNNNNNNNNNNNNNNNNNNNNNNNNNNNNNNNNNNNNNNNNNNNNNNNNNNNNNNNNNNNNNNNNNNNNNNNNNNNNNNNNNNNNNNNNNNNNNNNNNNNNNNNNNNNNNNNNNNNNNNNNNNNNNNNNNNNNNNNNNNNNNNNNNNNNNNNNNNNNNNNNNNNNNNNNNNNNNNNNNNNNNNNNNNNNNNNNNNNNNNNNNNNNNNNNNNNNNNNNNNNNNNNNNNNNNNNNNNNNNNNNNNNNNNNNNNNNNNNNNNNNNNNNNNNNNNNNNNNNNNNNNNNNNNNNNNNNNNNNNNNNNNNNNNNNNNNNNNNNNNNNNNNNNNNNNNNNNNNNNNNNNNNNNNNNNNNNNNNNNNNNNNNNNNNNNNNNNNNNNNNNNNNNNNNNNNNNNNNNNNNNNNNNNNNNNNNNNNNNNNNNNNNNNNNNNNNNNNNNNNNNNNNNNNNNNNNNNNNNNNNNNNNNNNNNNNNNNNNNNNNNNNNNNNNNNNNNNNNNNNNNNNNNNNNNNNNNNNNNNNNNNNNNNNNNNNNNNNNNNNNNNNNNNNNNNNNNNNNNNNNNNNNNNNNNNNNNNNNNNNNNNNNNNNNACUAAAUCUAAACCUAAAACAAAACUAAAACUAAACCUAAAACUAAAACUAAAACUAAAUCUAAACUAAAACUAAAAAGGAAAAAAACAGAAAAAAAAUAGAAAAAAGGAGGUUGGGGCUCACCUUCUGCAGCGCCGGUGGAGGAGGGGGCGGGGCGGUGGAGGAGCUGGCUGGGGCGCGGGGCGGCCUGGGGCGGCGCGGGGCCGGGCCCGAUGCGGUGGGGCGCGGGGCGGCGGUGCGUGCGGACCCUAUGGUUCGAGAACAAUGUAGACAUGACCGAGACACGUCUCCGGUCAAUAACCAAUAGCGGGACCUGGAUGCCCAUAUUGGCUCCUACAUAUUCUACGAAGAUCUUUAUCGGUCAGACCGCAUAAUAACAUACGUUGUUCCCUUUGUCAUCGGUAUGUUACUUGCCCGAGAUUCGAUUGUCGGUAUCCAAUACCUAGUUCAAUCUCGUUACUGGCAAGUCUCUUUACUCGUUCCAUAAUACAUCAUCUCACAACUAACAUCUUAGUUAUAAUGCUUGCAAGGCUUAUGUGAUGUGUCUUACCAAGAGGGCCCAGAGAUACCUCUCCGACAAUCGGAGUGACAAACCCUAAUCUCGAAAUACGCCAACCCAACAUCUACCAUUGGAGACACCUGUAGUACUCCUUUAUAAUCACCCAGUUACGUUGUGACGUUUGGUAGUACCCAAAGUGUUCCUCCGGCAAACGGGAGUUGCAUAAUCUCAUAGUCAUAGGAACAUGUAUAAGUCAUGAAGAAAGCAAUAGCAACAUACUAAACGAUCGGGGGCUAAGAUAAUGAAAUGGGUCAUGUCAAUCAGAUCAUUCAACUAAUGAUGUGACCUCGUAAAUCAAAUAACAACUCUUUGUUCAUGGUUAGGAAACAUAACCAUCUUUGAUUAACGAGCUAGUCAAGUAAAGGCAUACUAGUGACACUCUGUUUGUCUAUGUAUUCACACAUGUAUUAUGUUUCCGGUUAAUACAAUUCUAGCAUGAAUAAUAAACAUUUAUCAUGAUAUAAGGAAAUAAAUAAUAACUUUAUUAUUGCAUCUAGGGCAUAUUUCCUUCAGUCCAGUGUUCCAUGCCGGGAUUACUUUGGUACCUUCCUACCAAACUUACGGCAAGGUUUACAUCAGGUCUGGUACACAGCAUAGCAUACAAGAUAGACCCUAUGGCCGAGGCAUAGGGGACGACACUCAUAUUUUCUCUAUCUUCUACCGUGGUCGUGCAUUGAGCCGUGCUCAAUCUCGUACCUUGCAAUAUAGGCAAGAACCCCUUCUUUUACUGAUCCAUUUUGAACUUCUUCAAUAUCUUGUCAAGGUACGUACUCUGUGGAAGACCAAUGAGGCGUCUCGAUCUAUCUCUAUAGAUCUUGAUGCCUAAUAUAUAAGCAGCUUCUCCAAGAUCCUUCAUUGAAAAACACUUGUUCAAGUAGGCCUUUAUGCUUUCCCAGAAUUCUAUAUCAUUUCCCAUCAACAAUAUGUCAUCCACAUCCAAUAUGGGAAAUUCUACAAAGCUCCCACUCAGUUCUUGUAAAUGCAGGCUUCUCCAUAAGUCUGCGUAAACCCAAACGCUUUGAUCAUCUCAUCAAAAUGAAUGUUCCAACUCCGAGAUGCUUGCACCAGCCCAUAAAUCGAGCGUUGGAGCUUGUACACCUUGUCAGCAUUCUUAGGAUCGACAAAACCUUCUGGCUGCAUCAUAUACAAUUCUUCCUUAAGGAAACCAUCAAGGACUGUUGUUUUGACGUCCAUUUGCCAUAUCUCAUAAUCAUAGAAUGCGGCAAUUGCUAACAUGAUUCGGACGGACUUCAGCUUCGCUACGGGUGAGAAAGUCUCAUCAUAGUCAACCCCUUGUACUUGCCGAUAACCCUUAGCGACAAGCCGAGCUUUAUAGAUGGUCACAUUACCAUCCGCGUCUGUCUUCUUCUUAAAGAUCCAUUUAUUUUCUAUGGCUCGCCGACCAUCGGGCAAGUCAGUCAAAGUCCAUACUUUGUUUUCAUACAUGGAUCUUAUCUCGGAUUUCAUGGCUUCCAGCCAUUUCUCGGAAUCCGGGCCCGCCAUUGCUUCUUCAUAGUUCGAAGGUUCACCGUUGUCUAACAACAUGAUUUCCAAGACAGGGUUGCCGUACCACUCUGGUGCGGGACGUGUCCCCGUGGACCUACGAAGUUCAGUAGCAACUUGAUCUGAAGUUUCAUGAUCAUCAUCAUCAACUUCCUCUCUAGUCGGUGCAGGCACCUUAGGAACAUUUUCUUGAGCUGCGCCACUUACCGGUUCAAGAGGUAAUACUUCAUCAAGUUCUACUUUCCUCCCACUUAUUUCUUUCGAGAGAAACUCUUUCUCUAGAAAGGACCCAUUCUUGGCAACAAAGAUCUUGCCUUCGGAUCCGAGGUAGAAGGUAUACCCAAUAGUUUCUUUAGGGUAUCCUAUGAAGACGCAUUUUUCCGAUUUGGGUUCGAGCUUUUCAGGUUGAAGUUUCCUGACAUAAGCAUCGCAUCCCCAAAGUUUUAGAAAUGACAUCUUAGGUGUCUUCCCAAACCAUAAUUCAUACGGCGUCGUCUCAACGGAUUUCGACGUAGCCCUAUUUAAAGUGAAUGCGGCAGUCUCUAAAGCAUAGCCCCAAAAUGACAGCGGUAAAUCAGUAAGAGACAUCAUAGAUCAUACCAUAUCUAAUAGAGUGCGAUUAUGACGUUCGGACACACCAUUACGCUGAGGUGUUCCAGGCGGCGUGAGUUGUGAAACUAUUCCACAUUUUCUUAAGUGUGUGCCAAAUUCGUGACUCAAGUAUUCUCCCCCACGAUCUGAUCGCAAGAACUUGAUUUGCCUGUCAUGUUGAUUCUCAACCUCACUUUGAAAUUCCUUGAACUUUUCAAAGGUCUCAGACUUGUGUUUCAUUAAGUAGACAUACCCAUAUCUACUCAAGUCAUCAGUGAGGGUGAGAACAUAACGAUAGCCACCACGAGCCUCAACACUCAUUGGACCGCACACAUCAGUAUGUAUGAUUUCCAAUAAGUUGGUUGCUCGCUCCAUUGUUCUUGAGAAAGGAGUCUUGGUCAUUUUACCCAUGAGGCAUGGUUCGCACGUGUCAAAUGAUUCGUAAUCAAGAGACUUUAAAAGUCCAUCUGCAUGGAGCUUCUUCAUGCGUUUGACACCUAUGUGACCAAGGCGGCAAUGCCACAUGUGGGACUAUCAUUAUCAACCUUACAUCUUUUGCUAUUCACACUAUGAAUAUGUGUAACAUUAUGCUCGAGAUUCAUUAAGAAUAAACCAUUCACCAAUGGAGCAUGACCAUAAAACAUAUCUCUCAUAUAAAUAGAACAACCAUUAUUCUCGGAUUUAAAUGAGUAGCCAUCUCAAAUUAAACGAGAUCCUGAGACAAUGUUCAUGCUCAAAGCUGGCACUAAAUAACAAUUAUUGAGGUUUAAAACUAAUCCCGUAGGCAAAUGUAGAGGCAGCGUGCCGACGGCGAUCACAUCGACCUUGGAACCAUUCCCGACGCGAAUCGUCACCUCGUACUUCGCCAGUCUCCGUUUAUUCCGCAGCUCCCGCUUUGAGUUACAAAUGUGAGCAACUGCACCGGUAUCAAAUACCCAGGAGCUACUACGAGUACUGGUAAGGUACACAUCAAUUACAUGUAUAUCACAUAUACCUUUAGUGUUGCCGGCCUUCUUGUCCGCUAAGUAUUUGGGGCAGUUCUGCUUCCAGUGACCACUUCCCUUGCAAUAAAAACACUCAGUCUCGAGCUUGGGUCCAUUCUUUGGCUUCUUCCCGGCAACUUGCUUAGCGGGCGCGGCAACUCCCUUGCCGUCCUUCUUGAAUUCUUCUUACCCUUGCCUUUCUUGAACUUAGUGGUUUUAUUCACCAUCAACACUUGAUGUUCCUUUUUGAUUUCCACCUCUGCUGAUUUCAGCAUUGAAUAUACCUCAGGAAUGGUCUUUUCCGUCCCCUGCAUAUUGAAGUUGAUCACAAAGCUCUUGUAGCUUGGUGGAAGCGACUGAAUGAUUCUGUCAAUGACCGCGUCAUUCGGGAGAUUAACUCCCACCUGAGUCAAGCGGUUAUGCAACCCAGACAUUUUGAUUAUGUGCUCACUGACAGAUCUAUUUUCCUCCAUAUUACAGCUGAAGAACUUGUCGGAGACUUCAUAUCUCUCGACCCGGGCAUGAGCUUGAAAAACCAUUUUCAGCUCUUCGAACAACUCAUAUGCUCCGUGUCUCUCAAAAUGCUUUUGGAGCCCCGGUUCUAAGCUGUAAAGCAUGCCGCACUGAACGAGGGAGUAAUCAUCAGCACGUAACUGCCAAGCGUUCAUAAUGUCUUGGUUCUCUGGGACAGGUGUGUCACCUAACGGUGCUUCUAGGACAUAAUCUUUCUUGGCAGCUAUGAGGAUGAUCCUCAGGUUCUGGACCCAGUCCGUAUAGUUGCUGCCAUCGUCUUUCAGCUUGGUUUUCUCCAGGAACGCGUUGAAAUUGAGGACAACGUGGGCCAUUUGAUCUACAAGACAUAUUGUAAAGAUUUUAGACUAAGUUCAUGAUAAUUAAGUUCAUCUAAUCAAAUUAUACAAUGAACUCCCACUCAGAUAGACAUCCCUCCAGUCAUCUAAGUGAAACAUGAUCCGAGUUAACUAGGCUGUGUCGGAUCAUCACGUGAGACGGACUAGUCAACAUCGGUGAACAUCUUCAUGUUGAUCGUAUCUUCUAGACGACUCAUGCUCGACCUUUUAGUCUUCUAUGUUCCGAGGCCAUGUCUGUACAUGCUAGGCUCGUCAAGUAAACCUAAGUGUAUUGCGUGUGUAAGUCUGGCUUACACCCGUUGUAUUCGAACGUUAGAAUCUAUCACACUCGAUCAUCACGUGGUGCUUCGAAACAACGAACCUUCACAAUGGUGCACAGUUAGGGGGAACAGUUUCUUGAAAUUAUUUCGAGGGAUCAUCUUAUUGAAGCUACCGUCGUUCUAAGCAAAUAAGAUGUAAAACAUGAUAAACAUCACAUGCAAUCAAAUAGUGACAUGAUAUGGCCAAUAUCAUUUUCUCCUUUUGAUCUCCAUCUUCGGGGGUCCAUGAUCAUCAUUGUCACUGGCAUGACACCAUGAUCUCCAUCAUCAUGUCUUCUUGAAGUUGUCUCGUCAUCUAUUACUUCUACUACUAUGGCUAACGCUUUAGCAAUAAAGUAAAGUAAUUACAUGACGUUUAUGUUGACACGCAGGUCAUAAAAAAUAAAGACAACUCCUAUGGCUCCUGCCGGUUGUCAUACUCAUCGACAUGCAAGUCGUGAUUCCUAUUACAAGAACAUGAUCAAUCUCAUACAUCACAUAUAUCAUUCAUCACAUCCUUUUGGCCAUAUCACAUCACACGACACAUGCUGCAAAAACAAGUUAGACGUCCUCUAAUUGUUGUUGCAAGUUUAUACAUGGCUGCUAUAGGUUUCUAGCAAGAACGUCUCUUACCUAUGGCAAAACCACAACGUGAUAUGCCACUUUCUAUUUACCCUUCAUAAGGACCCUUUUCAUCGAAUCCGAUCUGACUAAAGUGGGAGAGACAGACACCCGCCAGCCACCUUAUGCAACUAGUGCAUGUCAAUCGGUGGAACCAGUCUCACAUAAGCGUACGUGUAAGGUCGGUCCGGGCCGCUUCAUCCCAUGAUGCCACCGAAUCAAGAUAAGACUAGUAACGGCAAGCAAAGUGACAAUAUCCACGCCCACAACUGCUUUGUGUUCUACUCGUGCAUAGAAACUACGCAUAGACCUAGCUCAUGAUGCCACUGUUGGGGAAUGUAGCAGAAUUUUAAAAUUUUCUAUGCAUCACCAAGAUCAAUCUAUGGAGUCAUCUAGCAAUGAGGGAGAGAGGAGUGCAUCUACAUACCCUUGUAGAUCGCGCGCGGAAGUGUUCAAGAGAACGGGGUUGAUGGAAUCGUACUCGUCGUGAUCCAAAUCACCGAUGACCAAGUGCCUAACGGACAGCACCUCCGCGUUCAACACACGUCCUUUUGGGAAGACGUCUCCUCCUUCUUGAUCCAGCAAGGGGGAAGGAGAGGUUGAUGAAGAUCCAGCAGCACCACGACGUGGUGGUGGAUGCAACAGGAUCCCGGCAGGGCUUCACCAAGCGGAAGCGGGGAGGAGAGGUGUUACGGAGGGAGAGAGAGGCGCCAAGAGCAAGGUUGCGGCUGCCCUCCCUCCCCCCCUCUUUAUAUAGGGGCCAUGGGGGGGCGCCGGCCCUAGGAGAUGGAUCUCCAAGGGGGGCGAAGGCCAAGGGGUGGCUCCCCCCCCCCCAAGCCAAGUGGGGGGCGCCCCCACCCCUAGGGUUUCCCAACCCUAGGCGCAGGGGAGGCCCAAGGGGGGCGGACCAGCCCACUAGCGGCUGGUUCCCCUCCCAAUUCAUCCCAUGGGGCCCUCCGGGAUGGGUGGCCCCACCCGGUGGACCCCCGGGACCCUUUCGGUGGUCCCGGUACAAUACUGGUGACCCCCGAAACCUUCCCGAUGGCCGAAACUGUACUUCCUAUAUAUAAAUCUUUACCUCCAGACCAUUCCGGAACUCCUCGUGACGCCCGGGAUCUCAUCCGGGACUCCGAACAACUUUCGGGUUACUAUAUACUAAUAUCUCUACAACCCUAGCGUCACUGAACCUUAAGUGUGUAGACCCUACGGGUUUCGGAGACAUGCAGACAUGACUGAGACGCCUCUCCAGUCAAUAACCAACAGCGGGAUCUGGAUACCCAUGUUGGCUCCCACAUGCUCCAUGAUGAUCUCAUCAGAUGAACCACGAUGUCGAGCAUUCAAUCAAUCUGUAUACAAUUCCCUUUGUCAAUCAGUACGUUACUUGCCCGAGACUCGAUCAUCGGUAUCCCAAUACCUUGUUCAAUCUUGUUACCGGCAAGUCACUUUACUCAUACCAUAAUGCAUGAUCCCGUCAUCAACCACUUGGUCACAUGAGCUCAUUAUGAUGAUGCAUUACCGAGUGGGCCCAGAGAUACCUCUCCAUCAUACGGAGUGACAAAUCCCAGUCUCGAUUCAUGCCAACCCAAUAGUCACUUUCAGAGAUACCUGUAAUGUAACUUUAUAGUCACCCAGUUACGUUGUGACGUUUGGCACACCCAAGGCACUCCUACGAUAUCUGGGAGUUUUGUUGGAAAUAUGCCCUAGAGGCAAUAAUAAAAGCAUUAUUAUUAUAUUUCCUUGUUCAUGAUAAUUGUCUUUAUUCAUGCUAUAAUUGUGUUAUCCGGAAAUCGUAAUACAUGUGUGAAUAACAGACACCAACAUGUCCCUAGUAAGCCUCUAGUUAACUAGCUCGUUGAUCAACAGAUAGUCAUGGUUUCCUGACUAUGGACAUUGGAUGUCAUUGAUAACGAGCUCACAUCAUUAGGAGAAUGAUGUGAUGGACAAGACCCAAUCAUAAACAUAGCAUAAAGAUCGUGUAGUUCGUUUGCUAGAGUUUUUCCAAUGUCAAGUAUACUUUCCUUAGACCAUGAGAUCGUGUAACUCCCGGAUACCGUAAGAGUGCUUUGGGUGUACCAAACAUCACAACGUAACUGGGUGACUAUAAAGGUAUACUACGGGUAUCUCCAAAAGUGUCUGUUGGGUUGACACGGAUCAAGACUGGGAUUUGUCACUCCGUAUGACGGAGAGGUAUCACUGGGCCCACUCAGUAAUGCAUCAUCAUAAUGAGCUCAAAGUGACCAAGUGUCUGGUCACGGGAUCAUGCAUUACGGUACGAGUAAAGUGACUUGCCGGUAACGAGAUUGAACGAGGUAUUGGGAUACCGACAAUCGAAUCUCGGGCAAGUAACAUACCGAUUGGCAAAGGGAAUUGUAUACGGGGUUGCCUGAAUCCUCGAUAUCGUGGUUCAUCCGAUGAGAUCAUCGUGGAGCAUGUGGGAGCCAACAUGGGUAUCCAGAUCCCGCUGUUGGUUAUUGACCGAAGAGUCGUCUCGGUCAUGUCUGUCUGUCUCCCGAACCCGUAGGGUCUACACACUUAAGGUUCGGUGAUGCUAGGGUUGUAGGAAUAUGUAUAUGCAGUAACCCGAAUGUUGUUCGGAGUCCCGGAUGAGAUCCCGGACGUCACGAGGAGUUCCGUAAUGGUCCGGAGGUAAAGAAUUAUAUAUGGGAAGUGCUAUUUCGGCCAUCGGGACAAGUUUUGGGGUCACCGGUAUUGUACCGGGACCACCGGAAGGGUCCCGGGGGUCCACCGGGUGGGGCCACCUAUCUCGGAGGGCCCCAUGGGCUGAAGUGGGAAGGGACCCAGCCCAAAGUGGGCUGGGGUGCCUCUCCCCUAGGGCCCAUGCGGCUAGGGUUUGGGGGAAACCCUAAAAGGGGGCGCCCCCUUGCUUGGGGGGCAAGCCCCCCACCCCUUGGCCGCCGCCCCCCCCUCCCCCUAGGAAAAUAGAUCUCCUAGGGCCGGCGCCCCCCCCCCUUGGCCCUCCUAUAUAUAGUGGGGGAGGGAGGGCUAUUCUCUCAUGCCUUUGGUUGCCUCCCUCUCCCUCUCCGACACCUCCUCCUCCUCCAUAGUGCUUGGCGAAGCCCUGACGGAGUUCUGCAGCUCCACCAUCACCACGCCGUCGGUCUGCUGCUGGAGCCAUCUUCCUCAACCUCUUCUUCCCUCUUGCUGGAUCAAGAAGAAGGAGACGUUACGCUAACCGUACGUGUGUUGAACGCGGAGGUGCCGUCCGUUCGGCGCUAGGAUCUCUGGUGAUUUGAAUCACGUCGUGUACGACUACUUCAUCCACGUUCUUUGAACGCUUCCGCUCGCGAUCUACAAAGGUAUGUAGAUGCAUCCGAUGACUCGUUGCUAGAUGAACUCAUAGAUAGAUCUUGGUGAAACCGUAGGAAAUUUUUUGUUUUCUGCAACGUUCCCCAACAGUGGUAUCAGAGCUAGGUCUAUGCGUAGUUCUUCUUGCGCGAGUAGAACACAAUUUGUUGUGGGCGUAGAUGUUGUCAACUUUCUUGCCGCUACUAGUCUUAUCUUGCUUCGACGGUAUUGUGGGAUGAAGCGGCCCGGACCAACCUUACACGUAUGCUCACGUGAGACAGGUUCCACCGACAAACAUGCACUAGUUGCAUAAGGUGGCUAGCGGGUGCCUGUCUCUCCUACUUUAGUUGGAGCGGAUUCGAUGAGAAGGGUCCUUAUGAAGGGUAAAUAGAAGUUGAAAAAUCACGUUGUGGCUUUCACGUAGGUUAGAAAACGUUCUUGCUAGAACCCUACUUCAGCCACGUAAAACUUGCAACAACAAUUAGAGGAUGUCUAACUUGUUUUUGCAGCAAGUGCUUUGUGAUAUGAUAUGGCCAAAGUUGUGAUGAAUAAUACAUAUGUGAUGUAUGAGAUGUUCGUGCUAUUGUAAUAGGAAUCACGACUUGCAUGUCGAUGAGUAUGACAACCGGCAGGAGCCAUAGGAGUUGUCUUUAUUCUUUUAUAUGACCUGCGUGUCAUUGAGAAACGCCAUGUAAAUUACUUUACUUUAUUGCUAAACACGUUAGCCUUAGUAGUAGAAGUAAUAGUUGGCGAGCAACUUCAUGGAGACACGAUGAUGGAGAUCAUGAUGAUGGAGAUCAUGGUGUCAUGCCGGUGACAAGAUGAUCAUGGAGCUCCAAGAUGGAGAUCAAAGGAGCUAUGUGAUAUUGGCCAUAUCAUGUCACUAUUAUUAUUUGAUUGCAUUUGAUGUUUAUCAUGUUUUGCAUCUUGUUUACUUAGAACGACGGUAGUGAAUAAGAUGAUCCCUCAUAAUAAUUUCAAGCAAGUGUUCCCCCUAACUGUGCACCGUUGCGACAGUUCAUUGCUUCAAUGCACCACGUGAUGAUCGGGUGUUUGAUUCAAACGUUCACAUACAACGGGUGUAAGACAGAUUUACACAUGCAAACACUUAGGUUGACUUGACGAGCCUAGCAUGUGUAUAGACAUGGCCUCGGAACACAGAAGACCAAAAGGUCGAGCAUGAGUCGUAUAGAAGAUACGAUCAACAUGAAGAUGUUCAUCGAUGUUGACUAGUCCGUCUCACGUGAUGAUCGGACACGGCCUAGUUGACUCGGAUCAUGUUAUACUUAGAUGACUAGAAGAGGGAUGUCUAUCUAAGUGGGAGUUCAUUCAAUAAUUUGAUUAGAUGAACUUAAUUAUCAUGAACUUAGUCUAAAAUCUUUGCAAUAUGUCUUGUAGAUCAAAUGGCCAACGUAGUCCUCAACUUCAACGCGUUCCUAGAGAAAACCAAACUGAAAGAUGAUGGCAGUAACUAUACGGAAUGGGUCUGGAACCUGAGGAUUAUCCUCAUAGCUGCCAAGAAAGAUUAUGUCCUACAAGCACCGCUAGGUGAAGCUCCCGUCCCAUGGAACCAAGAUGUUAUGAACGCUUGGCAGACACGUGCUGAUGACUACUCCCUCGUUCAGUGCGGCAUGCUUUACAGUUUAGAGCCGGGGCUCCAAAAGCGUUUUGAGAGACAUAGAGCAUAUGAGAUGUUCGAAGAGCUGAAAAUGGUGUUUCAAGCUCAUGCCCGGGUCGAGAGAUAUGAGGUCUCCGACAAAUUCUUCAGUUGUAAGAUGGAGGAAAAUAGUUCUGUCAGUGAGCACAUACUCACUAUGUCUGGGUUACAUAAUCGCUUGACUCAGCUGGGAGUUAAUCUCCUGGAUGAUGCGGUCAUUGACAGAAUCCUCCAGUCGCUUCCACCAAGCUACAAGAGCUUUGUGAUGAACUUCAAUAUGCAGGGGAUGGAAAAGACCAUUCCUGAGGUAUUUACAAUGCUGAAAUCAGCAGAGGUAGAAGUCAAGAAGGAACAUCAAGUGUUGAUGGUCAAUAAAACCACUAAGUUCAAGAAGGGCAAGGGUAAAAAGAACUUCAAGAAGGACGGCAAGGGAGUUGCCGCGCCCGGCAAGCAAGCUGCCGGGAAGAAGCCAAAGAAUGGUCCCAAGCCCGAGACUGAGUGCUUUUAUUAUAAGGGAAGCGGUCACUGGAAGCGGAACUGCCCCAAAUACUUAGCGGACAAGAAGGCCGGCAAAACAAAAGGUAUAUGUGAUAUACAUGUAAUUGAUGUGUACCUUACCAGUACCCGUAGUAGCUCCUGGGUAUUUGAUACUGGUGUAGUUGCUCACAUUUGUAACUCAAAGCAGGGGCUGCGGAAUAAGCGGAGACUGGCGAAGGACGAGGUGACGAUGCGCGUCGGGAAUGGUUCCAAGGUCAAUGUAAUCGCCGUCGGCACGUUACCUCUAUAUUUACCUUCGGGAUUAGUUGUAAACCUUAAUAAUUGUUAUUUAGUACCAGCUUUGAGCAUGAACAUUGUAUUGGGAUCUCGUUUAAUUCAAGAUGGCUACUCAUUUAAAUCCGAGAAUAAUGGUUGUUCUAUUUAUAUGAGAGAUAUGUUUUAUGGUCAUGCUCCUAUGGUGAAUGGUUUAUUCUUAAUGAAUCUCGAGCGUAAUGCUACACAUAUUCAUAGUGUGAGUACCAAAAGAUGUAAGGUUGAUAAUGAUAGUCCCACAUACUUGUGGCACUGCCGCCUUGGUCACAUAGGUGUCAAACGCAUGAAGAAGCUCCAUGCAGAUGGACUUUUAGAGUCUCUUGAUUAUGAAUCAUUUGACACGUGCGAACCAUGCCUCGUGGGUAAAAUGACCAAGACUCCGUUCUCAGGAACAAUGGAGCGAGCAACCAACUUAUUGGAAAUCAUACAUACUGAUGUGUGCGGUCCAAUGAGCGUUGAGGCUCGCGGUGGCUAUCGUUAUGUUCUCACCCUCACUGAUGACUUGAGUAGAUAUGGGUAUGUCUACUUAAUGAAACACAAGUCUGAAACCUUUGAAAAGUUCAAGGAAUUUCAGAGUGAGGUUGAGAAUCAACGUGACAGGAAAAUCAAGGUUCUACGAUCAGAUCAUGGAUGCGAAUACUUGAGUCACGAAUUUGGCACACACUUAAGAAAAUGUGGAAUAGUUUCACAACUCACGCCGCCUGGAACACCUCAGCGUAACGGUGUGUCCGAACGUCGUAAUCGCACUCUAUUAGAUAUGGUACGAUCUAUGAUGUCUCUUACCGAUUUACCACUAUCUUUUUGGGGCUAUGCUUUAGAGACUGCCGCAUUCACUUUAAAUAGGGCUCCGUCGAAAUCCGUUGAGACGACACCGUUUGAAUUAUGGUUUGGGAAGAAACCUAAGCUGUCGUUUCUAAAAGUUUGGGGAUGCGAUGCUUAUGUCAAGAAACUUCAACCUGAAAAGCUCGAACCCAAGUCGGAAAAAUGCGUCUUCAUAGGAUACCCUAAAGAAACUGUUGGGUAUACCUUCUACCUCAGAUCCGAAGGCAAGAUUUUUGUUGCCAGGAAUGGAUGCUUUCUAGAGAAGGAGUUUCUCUCGAAAGAAGUAAGUGGGAGGAAAGUAGAACUUGAUGAAGUGUUACCUCUUGAACCGGAAAAUGGCGCAACUCAAGAAAAUGUUCAUGAGGUGCCUGCACCGACUAGAGAGGAGGUUAAUGAUGAUGAUCAUGAAACUUCUGAUCAAGUUGCUACUGAACUUCGAAGGUCCAUAAGGACACGUUCCGCACCAGAGUGGUACGGCAACCCUGUCUUGGAAAUCAUGUUGUUAGGCAACGGUGAACCUUCGAACUAUGAAGAAGCGAUGGCGGGCCCGGAUUCCGACAAAUGGCUAGAAGCCAUGAAAUCCGAGAUAGGAUCCAUGUAUGAAAAUGAAGUAUGGACUUUGACUGACUUGCCCGUUGAACGGCGAGCCAUAGAAAAUAAAUGGAUCUUUAAGAAGAAGACAGACGCGGAUGGUAAUGUGACCAUCUAUAAAGCUCGGCUUGUCGCUAAGGGUUAUCGACAAGUUCAAGGGGUUGACUACGAUGAGACUUUCUCACCGGUAGCGAAGCUGAAGUCCGUCCGAAUCAUGUUAGCAUUUGCCGCAUUCUACGAUUAUGAGAUAUGGCAAAUGGAUGUCAAAACGGCAUUAAUUAAUGGUUUCCUUAAGGAAGAAUUGUAUAUGAUGCAGCCGGAAGGUUUUGUCGAUCCUAAGAAUGCUGACAAGGUGUGCAAGCUCCAACGCUCGAUUUAUGGGCUGGUGCAAGCAUCUCGGAGUUGGAACAUUCGCUUUGAUGAGAUGAUCAAAGUGUUUGGGUUUACUCAGACUUAUGGAGAGGCCUGCGUUUACAAGAAAGUGAGUGGGAGCUCUGUAGCAUUUCUCAUAUUAUAUGUAGAUGACAUACUUUUGAUGGGAAAUGAUAUAGAACUCUUGGACAGCAUCAAGGCCUACUUGAAUAAGAGUUUUUCAAUGAAGGACCUUGGAGAAGCUGCUUAUAUAUUAGGCAUCCAGAUCUAUAGAGAUAGAUCAAGAUGCCUCAUAGGUCUUUCACAAAGCACAUACCUUGAUAAGAUAUUGAAGAAGUUCAAUAUGGAUCAAUCUAAGAAGGGGUUCUUGCCUGUGUUACAAGGUAUGAAAUUGAGCUCAGCUCAAUGUCCGACCAUGGCAGAAGAUAUAGAAGAGAUGAGUGUCAUCCCCUAUGCCUCAGCCAUAGGUUCUAUUAUGUAUGCCAUGCUGUAUACCAGACCUGAUGUAAACCUUGCCGUAAGUUUGGUAGGAAGGUACCAAAGUAAUCCCGGCAAGGAACACUGGACAGCGGUCAAGAAUAUCCUGAAGUACCUAAAAAGGACUAAGGAAAUGUUUCUCGUUUAUGGAGGUGACGAAGAGCUCGUCGUAAAGGGUUACGUCAACGCUAGCUUCGACACAGAUCUGGAUGACUCUAAGUCACAAACCGGAUACGUGUAUAUUUUGAAUGGUGGGGCAGUAAGCUGGUGCAGUUGCAAGCAGAGCGUCGUGGCGGGAUCUACAUGUGAAGCGGAGUACAUGGCAGCCUCGGAGGCAGCACAUGAAGCAAUUUGGGUGAAGGAGUUCAUCACCGACCUAGGAGUCAUACCCAAUGCGUCGGGGCUGAUCAAGCUCUUCUUUGACAACACUGGAGCUAUUGCACUUGCCAAGGAGCCCAGGUUUCACAAGAAGACAAGGCACAUCAAGCGUCGCUUCAACUCCAUUCGUGAAAAUGUUCAAGAUGGAGACAUAGAUAUUUGUGAAGUACAUACGGACCUGAAUGUAGCAGAUCCGUUGACUAAACCUCUCCCUAGAGCAAAACAUGAUCAACACCAGAAUUCCAUGGGUGUUCGAUUCAUCACAAUGUAACUAGAUUAUUGACUCUAGUGCAAGUGGGAGACUGUUGGAAAUAUGCCCUAGAGGCAAUAAUAAAAGCAUUGUUAUUAUAUUUCCUUGUUCAUGAUAAUUGUCUUUAUUCAUGCUAUAAUUGUGUUAUCCGGAAAUCGUAAUACAUGUGUGAAUAACAGACACCAACAUGUCCCUAGUAAGCCUCUAGUUAACUAGUUCGUUGAUCAACAGAUAGUCAUGGUUUCUUGACUAUGGACAUUGGAUGUCAUUGAUAACGAGAUCACAUCAUUAGGAGAAUGAUGUGAUGGACAAGACCCAAUCAUAAACAUAGCAUAAAGAUCGUGUAGUUCGUUUGCUAGAGUUUUUCCAAUGUCAAGUAUCCUUUCCUUAGACCAUGAGAUCGUGUAACUCCCGGAUACCGUAAGAGUGCUUUGGGUGUACCAAACGUCACAACGUAACUGGGUGACUAUAAAGGUAUACUACGGGUAUCUCCGAAAGUGUCUGUUGGGUUGACACGGAUCUAGACUGGGAUUUGUCACUCCGUAUGACGGAGAGGUAUCACUGGGCCCACUCGGUAAUGCAUCAUCAUAAUGAGCUCAAAGUGACCAAGUGUCUGGUCACGGGAUCAUGCAUUACGGUACGAGUAAAGUGACUUGCCGGUAACGAGAUUGAAUGAGGUAUUGGGAUAACGACGAUCGAAUCUCGGGCAAGUAACAUAUCGAUUGGCAAAGGGAAUUGUAUACGGGGUUGCUUGAAUCCUCGACAUCGUGGUUCAUCCAAUGAGAUCAUCGUGGAGCAUGUGGGAGCCAACAUGGGUAUCCAGAUCCCGUUGUUGGUUAUUGACCGGAGAGUCGUCUCGGUUAUGUCUGCCUGUCUCCCGAACCCGUAGGGUCUACACACUUAAGGUUCAGUGACGCUAGGGUUGUAGGAAUAUGUAUAUGCAGUAACCCGAAUGUUGUUCGGAGUCCCGGAUGAGAUCCCGGACGUCACGAGGAGUUCCGGAAUGGUCCGGAGGUAAAGAAUUAUAUAUGGGAAGUGGUAUUUCGGCCAUCGGGACAAGUUUCGGGGUCACCGGUAUUGUACCGGGACCACCGGAAGGGUCCCGGGGGUCCACCGGGUGGGGCCACCUAUCCCGGAGGGCCCCUUGGGCUGAAGUGGGAAGGGACCCAGCCCAAAGUGGGCUGGGGCGCCUCUCCCCUAGGGCCCAUGCGGCUAGGGUUUGGGGGAAACCCUAAAAGGGGGCGCCCCCUUGCUUGGGGGGCAAGCCCCCCACCCCUUGGCCGCCGCCGCCCCCCCCCCCUAGGAGAAUAGAUCUCCUAGGGCCGGCGCCCCCCCCCUUGGCCCUCCUAUAUAUAGUGGGGGAGGGAGGGCUAUUCUCUCACGCCUUUGGUUGCCUCCCUCUCCCUCUCCAACACCUCCUCCUCCUCCAUAGUGCUUGGCGAAGCCCUGACGGAGUUCUGCAGCUCCACCAUCACCACGCCGUCGUGCUGCUGCUGGAGCCAUCUUCCUCAACCUCUUCUUCCCUCUUGCUGGAUCAAGAAGAAGGAGACGUUACGCUAACCGUACGUGUGUUGAACGCGGAGGUGCCGUCCGUUCGGCGCUAGGAUCUCCGGUGAUUUGAAUCACGUCGUGUACGACUACUUCAUCCACGUUCUUUGAACACUUCCGCUCGCGAUCUACAAAGGUAUGUAGAUGCAUCCGAUGACUCGUUGCUAGAUGAACUCAUAGAUAGAUCUUGGGGAAACUGUAGGAAAAUUUUCUGCAACGUUCCCCAACAAGUUUCACAAUCUCAUGGUCUAAGGAAAUGAUACUUGACAUUCGGAAAAGCUACAGCAGAUGAACUACACGACCUUUGAGCUAUGCUUAGGAUUGGGUCUUGUCCAUCACAUCAUUCUCCUAAUGAUGUGAUACCGUUAUGAAUGACAUCCAAUGUCCAUAGUCAGGAAACCAUGACUAUCUUUUGAUCAACAAGCUAGUCAACUAGAGGCUCACUAGGGACGUGUUGUGGUCUAUGUAUUCACACAUGUAUUACGAUUUCCGGAUAACACAAUUAUAGCAUGAACAAUAGACAAUUAUCAUGAACAAAGAAAUAUAAUAAUAACCAUUUUAUUAUUGCCUCUAGGGCAUAUUUCCAACACCUACGUACCCCCAAACGAUCAUAUACGGAGCCAAAACCCUAAUUCCACCGCCGCAACUUUCUGUAUCCACGAGAUCCCAUCUUGGGGCCUGUUCCGGAGCUCCGCCAGAGGGGGCAUCGAUCACGGAGGGCUUCUACAUCAACACCAUAGCCUCUCCGAUGAAGUGUGAGUAGUUCACCUCAGACCUACGGUUCCAUAGUUAUUAGCUAGAUGGCUUCUUCUCUCUUUUUGGAUCUCAAUACAAUGUUCUCCCCCUCUCUUGUGGAGAACUAUUCGAUGUAAUCUUCUUUUUGCGGUGUGUUUGUUGAGACCGAUGAAUUGUGGGUUUAUGAUCAAGUCUAUCUAUGAAUAAUAUUUGAAUCUUCUCUGAAUUCUUUUAUGUAUGAUAGGUUAUCUUUGAAAGUCUUUUCGAAUUAUCAGUUUGGUUUGGCCUACUAGAUUGAUCUUUCUUGCAAUGGGAGAAGUGCUUAGCUUUGGGUUCAAUCUUGCGGUGUCCUUUCCCAGUGACAGUAGGGGCAGCAUGGCACGUAUUAUAUUGUUGCCAUCGAGGACAACAAGAUGGAGUUUUCAUCAUAUUGCAUGAGUCUAUCCCUCUACAUCAUGUCAUCUUGCUUAAGGCCUUAAUCUGUUUUUAACUUAAUACUCUAGAUGCUUGCUGGAUAGCGGUCGAUUAGUGGAGUAAUAGUAGUAGAUGCAGGCAGGAGUCGGUCUACUUGUCUCGGACAUGAUGCCUAUAUAUAUGAUCAUACCUAGAUAUUCUCAAAACUAUGCUCAAUUCUGUCAAUUGCUCAACAAUAAUUUGUUCACCCACCGUAGAAUACUUAUGCUCUCGAGAGAAGCCACUAGUGAAACCUAUGGCCCCCGGGUCUAUCUUUAUCAUAUUAAUCUCCUACUACUUAGUUAUUUCCUUUGCUUUUUACUUUGCCUUUAUUUUACUUCGCAUCUUUAUCACAAAAAUACGAAAAAAAUUAUCUUUAUCAUAUCUAUCAAAUCUCACCCUCGUAAGUGGCCGUUUAGGGAUUGACAACCCCUAUUCGCGUCGGUUGUGAGGAUUUAUUUGUUUUGUGCAGGUACAAGGGACUCGCGCGUAGCCUCCUACUGGAUUGAUACCUUGGUUCUCAAAACCUAUUUGAUUGCCGUAGCACGAUCGCGCUUCCUCGGGCGCUAUUGUCUCAAAAAUACCGUCGUCCAUCUCCGUGACCUCCAGUCUACUACUCAUGAGCUGGUUUGGGCGCCGUGGCCUCUUUGCUUUCGGUUCUAGACCAGCUCCGCUAGUCUCGGCGCCUGUCUCAGUCUCAUCGCCGAUCUGCAUGUCGGUAUCAGUCCCCGAUGCGACAUCACAGUUGCUGCAACAUGGGAAAGGGAGACCACGUCAGUGCUGGGGGGUCUGAAAAUCGGAACACACUUUCGCGCGUUGCGGGCCGCCUCUCAGACAGCUACUGGGGAGGCGGCGGAGUACCUGGGUGCGCGGCGAAUCCCCGGGAACUCGGUGACCAACUUCCUUCCCGUGUGGCGCAUGGAGACGACGGCGACCCCGGCGAAGAGCAGCUUAGCCGCGAGCUGCACAGCCUCGUCCACCUCCUAAGUUGGGACCUCCGUGCGAGCGUUGCGGGGCCGCCACUCGGAUGGCUUCUGGAAGGCGGUUGUACAUGGGCACAUGGUGAAUCCCGGCGAGAGCUUGCCAUUGGCGCGCUCAAGUAGACGACGACGUCCUCGACGAAGAGCAGCCCGGCCAGCUCGCCUCACUAUCGUUUGAUUAGAAAUGAAAGAUUGGGAAGAAGCAGACUUGAGCCUGCAGGGAAAGGAUAAGGUGACGAUGCAGUCUCCACUCGUUCGGGGCGACACUCGUACUGAAUGUAUGAGAAAUCUGACGUGGCAGAGACCCCAAGAUACUCCCUCCAUUUAUUUUUAGUCUGCAUAUAAAGUUUGGUCAAAGUCAAGAUUUGUAAAUUUUAACUAACUUUAUAAUAAAAAAAUAUCAACAUUCACAAUAUGAAAUCAAUAUUACCAGAUGCGUCAUGAAAUGUAUUUCCAUACUAUAUAGUUUUGGUAUUGUAGAUGUUCAUAUUUUUUUAUAUAUAUGGGAAGUAGAGGCACUCUUCUAUACUAUAUUCAGAUGUAUGAUAUCUGUUAUUUAAGCGCUUGAAUUUUACAUACGAAUAUUUAUUAUUAAAUAUGUACCCCUACAAUAGCUAGGCCGUGCAGUUGCACGGGUAGAUGACUAGUGAUUACAAUCUUGUUUGUGUGCAAGUCAAGCUUAUCUAGUUUACACGUAACAACUUGUAGAACAUUACAAAAUUUAUGCUUGCUAAUAACUUUUAGAACACUACAACACUUGACAUGUAAAAGGAAUUUGACUGAGUCAUGGCCUACUAAAGCAAGUUACAUUACUAGUCUUAUCUAUCUUAACAGACCACACAAGAUUACAAACUAAGUACCGUGACAGCCAUGCUUAUCUAGUUUAUGCGUAACAAUUUGCAGAAAAUUACAAACUUAGUUUCAGAAAGAUAGGCAAUCUAGAUUAGUGUUUGAGCUGUAAAGUGAAUAAGAUGAGUCAUGCAUGUUAUCACACCUUUUUGGUGGUCGAAUGAUAGUGCAACAACAAGGAACUUUAAUGACCAGUCCAAGAAUACACUUGUAAGUAGUGCCACCAAACAGAACAUACCAAAUGAUCAUUCCAUGGCAGCUAUAAAUAGCCCCAUAGCAUGACGAUCAUCCUUCCUCAUCCAUCAUUCUCAUAAGUAGAGCACAUCAUUUAAGCCAAGCAAGUUGUGGUCAAUACAAAUCCACCAUGAAGACCUUUCUCAUCCUUGCCCUCCUUGCUAUCGUGGCGACCACCGCCACAACCGCAGUUAGAGUUCCAGUGCCACAAUUGCAGCCACAAAAUCCAUCUCAGCAACAGCCACAAGAGCAAGUUCCAUUGGUACAACAACAACAAUUUCUAGGGCAGCAACAAACAUUUCCACCACAACAACCAUAUCCACAGCUGCAACCAUUUCCAUCACAACAACCAUAUCUACAGCUGCAACCAUUUCCGCAGCCGCAACUACCAUAUUCGCAGCCACAACCAUUUCGACCACAACAACCAUAUCCACAACCGCAACCACAGUAUUCGCAACCACAACAACCAAUUUCACAGCAUCAACAGCAGCAGCAGCAACAACAACAACAACAACAACAACAACAAAUCCUUCAACAAAUUUUGCAACAACAACUGAUUCCAUGCAUGGAUGUUGUAUUGCAGCAACACAACAUAGCGCAAGGAAGAUCACAAGUUUUGCAACAAAGUACUUACCAGCUGUUGCAAGAAUUGUGUUGUCAGCACCUAUGGCAGAUCCCUGAGCAGUCGCAGUGCCAGGCCAUCCACAAUGUUGUUCAUGCUAUUAUUCUGCAUCAACAACAACAAAAACAACAACAACAACAACAACAACAACCAUCGAGCCAGGUCUCCUUCCAACAGCCUCAGCAACAAUAUCCAUUAGGCUAGGGCUCCUUCCGGCCAUCUCAGCAAAACCCACAGGCCCAGGGCUCUGUCCAGCCUCAACAACUGCCCCAGUUCGAGGAAAUAAGGAACCUAGCGCUACAGACACUACCUGCAAUUUGCAAUGUCUACAUCCCUCCAUAUUGCACCAUCGCGCCAUUUGGCAUCUUCGGUACUAACUGAGAAGAAAAUAACUCUAGUACUAGAUAUAUGAAACACCGUUUUCUCAGUCCAUGGUUUGGUCGUUGUAGCGGUGAAAAAAUAAUGUGGCAUGCACUAUCAUGUAAGAACCCAAACUAUACUAGUUCAAACUUGGGAAUAAAAGACAAACACAGGUCUUGUCUACAUAUUUAUGUUGCAUCUAUUUAUAUAUUAAAAGUAAUAUAAGGUGAACCAGGAGCAAGGUAAAUAUGCUAGAAAAUUGCACGUUAAUUAGAAAUUACUAGCCCUCAAUCUGGUAAAUCUUAACAAAUAGAAUUAUCUUGACCGUUAGAUUUAUGUAACAUAUAUAAUGCUCUGGGCCUCCAACGACUGUACGUGACACAUCUGAACGCACAUAUCUUAAAGAAAAUAUAUUUGGUAAAUGGUGGGCCUCUUUAAAAAGAGAACUCACGUACAUGCACCAACUAAGAAAAACACAUACAUGUAAACGGGAAAAGGAUGAGAUUUUCUCACGUACGUGCUCCCUGGCUCCACCCCGUUGAAAAAAUAUACAUCUGGAGGCCACUUUGUUUCCUCAUCAAAAAAAAACUUACGUUAAAAAGAUUGCAUGCAUCCCAGGGAAAAUAGUCAAGAAGAAGUCGGCUCUUCCUUACAAAAACAAGGAACGUGUUAAGUUGACUUCAAAGAAAAAAGGAACAUGUUAAGUUAAAAAAAACAAGAAACCUGUUAAGUUAGAAAAAAACAAGGAACGUGUUGUCCUAGGAAAGAUAUGUGUCAAAUCUUACAAAAAAAAAGAAUACACACACGUACGUUCAUGCACUUGGAAAAUAGAAAAAAAAGGAACAUCACGUAUGUAUACACUUCGGAAACUCAUUACAUGACCAUGUCUGAUAUACUCCUCUAAUGCUUAAUAUUAGUGCCUAAUAAUUUAUAUUUAAAAUUUAAUUUACUGAUCAAAUAUCCCCACUGUAUAAAUUUUAAUUUGGCACAUUGUUUGGCUAUAGUAUGAACCUAAAUUUCCUCUUAUUAUUAUAUAUCAUGGUAAUAAUCCAAAGGCGACUAAUCUGCGCCGGCGCACCGGCGCAAUCAAUUCGGCCCGACACAGCGCGGCCGUUUGAUUAGAUUGCAUUUAACCGUCAGAUCUGGAAUCAUUUUAUUUCCAAUUAAACGGAUUCAACCAAACAGCAGAGAGGAAAACAAAGCAGCGCCGCCGCCAACACUAGCCAUGGACGACCGAUGUAGCAAAACCUUGAAGAACCGCCGCCGGUCGCCACCCUUGCCGCUGGUCGCCGCCCUCGCCGCCUGUGUUUCUCAUCGGCUUCAUGCAUGCAACAACAUGCACUCGUGAUUGCAGGCUUGCAGCUCCGGCUCUGGGGGACAUGGCCGCAUCUCCAGUAGCGCCGGCCGCCGGCCGCAGCACCUGUCGUUGUGGUCACGCUGUACCUCGCCGUGUGCCCUCCCAAGGAUCUUGCUGGUUCCAACAAAAAACGAUACCUGUUGUAGCAAAAAAGUUUAUCGCUUCCAGCAAAAAAGCUUACCGCUACAGCCCGCCAUCAUCAUUGUAGCAAAAAUGUUAACUCGAUGUAGCUUCUGUGGUUGCCGACUGCAGCCAAAAAUGACGUGGUUGUAGCAAAACACAAAAGAAAAACUCCGGCCGUCCGCUGUGUAUGGUGGUAACAAACCCUAUAGCCGGUGGUAGCGAAAAACUUCAUUGUUUGCAGCAAAAAAAUGUUGUCGCCCAUCGUCGAGGUUGCAUCAUCUUCAUGAAUUAUGUCGCAAAAAAACGUUGUCGCCGGUAGUAGCAAAUGAAGCCGCCGGUAGAAACAAAACAAGACACUGGUUCCAGCCAAAAAAAAAUCAGCGACAGAACCUUUUGUUGGUUCCAACAAAAAAACUUGUCGGUUGUAGCAUCCCUCGCCGCCGGAUGUAGCAUCUCCCAGGGCUGGUUGCAACACUCCAUAAAAAAAGGUUGUCUACGAGCGCAUCCAUGGCAACUGCUGCACCGUCAGCAACGAGGGGAAGAGGAGGCAAUGAAAAUCGUUCGAGUCGUAGCUCCACAGGACGCGGGUGCAGCAUAGGGAGUCCAAAAAUCUGUCACAAGCAAGAUGCGCCUUGCCAUCCUCCUGCGCAGGAGAGAGAAGAAAAAGGAAUAAGAGGAAGAAGAAAGGAAACGGGAGAAAGAAAAAAAGAAACGAUUGGUUGUGGGCUCAGGCAAUUAGUCAAACGAGGGGCACGCGGGGCCGCAGGAUACAGCGCAAUCGAACGAAGUGCGCGCGUCUGGCCGAAGACUCAGCUGGACUGCCGGCUGGAAAUGUUUCCCUAAUACAAAGGCUUUUCUGAAUGACAAGUCGUCUGAGUUAUCGGCUAACUAGAAAAAAGAUAAAUAUGCUAGAUAAUUCCAUAAUCAUUAGAAAUAUCUAGCCUUUAAUUAUGUAAAUCAGAAAAUCACAACCGUUGGAUUUACUUUAAAGGUAAAUUUCUCUAAAUUCCCACCAUUGCCAGUAUGUAGAAACAUGUGCUGCUUCAAUUCUCCCUUAAUCACCAAUCAAUCAACAACAGAAAACAUACCGCAGUUCAAAAAACUGAACAAAAAAAAGAAAAAAAGAAGAAAGGACAAGAUACACGCAUGUACACGACAGCCUUGGCUUGAAACACAUCAGUAAAUCAAGUGUCCACCUCCCUUACACAGAAUAAAUUCUAGGGAAGAAAAUAAUAGUGCAACCUAACCUUAUACGUACUAUUCUAUCCUCACGUCCCAUGAGGUUUACUAGCCUACUGCCGCCGCAUCAUGCCAUCCUCUCCUUUCAGCUCCCAUGCUCUCCAGCACCCUCCUUGCGGCGCCACUACUCGCCUAGGGAUAUUGCUGCUCAGACCGUGGAGCUUAACCUGCUUCUUCUUCAGCAAAUAUGGAACUGCUUUAGGAUCCUUCUGACAUCAGCGCGUAUGGGCCUCAUUAUACUGCAGCUCCUGGACCUCCUACAAUUGGUUGGCUAUGGCCAGUUGAUCGAUUUGCUGAUGUCCAGGUCUGUUUGCUGGCACAUAUGCUUUGGAAAUAGGCCACUAUGUUUGUACUUCAAAAUUGUUUCUGUAUUCUUUAGUGGUACAUCCUUUUAAGCGCCAGUUUUUUAUGUUAAUUCAUGCUGACAACACUUAACCUAGCCUUUCAUGUUCACGUACUAAAUACAGGAGCAAGUAAAAACAACAGACCACCUAAUUGCUCUGCAAGUUCUACAUAGGAAAAUUUGUCAUGUUCUACGAUCGCACUAUCCCACCCUUCUCUCUUGGUAUGGGCGCCAAUUGAGGGAUUGAUAAAAUUGAAACGAAGCCGUCACAGGGCUGGAAGUACCGCUAGCCUGGUUCGCACUGCAACCUACCCAACGCCAUCAGAAACUAGCAACUGAGUCAGGUGUUGAUCGAUUCUCUCAAAUUGCUCUCAUGUAAGUACUACCCCUUGCAUGUGCGUACAUACCUUUGUUGCAUUCUCAAACAGAUAGAACAUGUAUGAUCGGUGCAUGGCUAUUUUUCAUCACAUGACAUCCAGAUAACAAGCAUGAAAGGACUACAUUGGAGAUCAAAAAAUAUUGGUUCCUGGCUAGAGUACCACUACCUAUGGACUUGUCUCCAUAGAAUUUGUUCCCAAGAUGUUAUUUUAAUUAACCUCUUUAGCUUUCUUCCAUUGCAAACGGUGAUGUGCAUCUUGGUAUAUACGUGACCAUCUUGCACAUGUAUACACAAGAGGCUCAGACGGAGGUGUUGGAUUCUGGACGAGGGAAUAUAAAGCAGGAGUGAGCGAAGUGUAAAUAAUGGUGGGAGUACCGAUUGGUGUUAUGAAGAAAAAUGCCAUCAAAAGAUUGAUUAGUGUCAUGGAAGAUUAAUUUCUGAAUGCGAAUAUAUAUGUUACAUUGGUUUGGAUCUUUUUGAGAUAAUUGCACCUAAAUUAGGUUCUUUCUUAUUUCAUAUGUAUACCUUAUUUCAGUAAAAGUUCACAACGAACUUAGUAGGACAAAUAUAAUUUUGUUUGUUCUUUCUGUUGUCCGCCACCAAAGCUCAAUUUGAACUCUCUAGAAAUGGACAAUGAUUUAUGCAUUCUAUAUCUUCUUGAUUGAUUAGCCAUGACAAGGAAAUAAAAGGAUUGACUGAUAUAGCAUAACUUUGGAACGAUUAGAGGUUACUACAAAUAAGAGUAGUGUCUGUUGGAAUUUUGCUAGUAGGCCUUUGGCCCAAAGCCCAACUAAAAUUCUGAAAUUCUCUUGGCUCAUUUAUACACACAUGUGAGUUGAGUGAGUGAGACUAAAGUUUAGUCCCACCCCGGAAGUUGAGAGAGAGUUGCACCUCUUUAUAAGGUGAGCUCUUCUACCACUUGUAUGAGCAUGAGAAGAGGAGACCUACACGCGCGCUCCUCCUCCACGCUCGCCACGCCUCGUCGCGCCGCGCCGUGCCGCGGGUUGCGGGAUUGAGCCGAGCCGAGGACGUUUUCUAUAUUUUUGCUGCUCGGGAAAAAUUAAUGAGUCAUUAAUUAAUAAUUAAUGGACACAUUAAUUACUGAACCGUUUCCGAUUUUUUUGGAUCGUGACGACUCGGACGUGGGGUUUACUCCCAGGACCUACCCGGCCCGCACUAUAUAGUCAGGAAGAUGUCUACCCUAGCCGCCGCCGCUUCGUAUGGUUUCUCACCAUCGUUACAGAUCAUUGCGCCGCCAAGCAAGUUUUCUCCAUCCCUCCUUUCGGCGUGCACCGGGAGAAGGGACAGCAGACCUCCGGAACCCCGCCUCUCGUGAUCCUAUACGGGAGAGGGGCGAUCAGGUUUUUGGGGAGCGCACUCGCAUGACUGCUUGCAGCGACGACUUCGCAAACGACGACUUCUUCCCCGACCUCGGCAACCUCAUCCUCGACGACAUGGGCGACAACGUCAACGCCGGCGAUGCUACACCCACUGCACCGUAUGUUAUUCUCUCCUUCUUGUUCGAGAUCGUGGUAGAAUUCAUGUUUCUAGUAUAUGUGCCCUAGAUGUGAUCUGUUCAUCUACUAUGGUAGUUCGCAUGAUUAGUUUAAUCUCUGCUAUUGCUGUCAUGAUCUAUUUCCUAUUUAUUCGGAUUAAAUCUCUUUGUAAUUUGCUCAUUUUUCCAACAAUCCAAAAACCUGAUUAUAGGAAAUUUACUCCGAGUGGUUUUGCUGCGCAUCUGAAAGCCGCUUGCCUUUAAGGGGGCGCAAUAUAAGAGGUGGCGCACCAGAGCAGUCUACUGGUUUCAGAUCAUGGGCUGCUAUGACGCCACCAAGGGCAAGCCUGAGGGCGAUCUUAAUCCAGCACAGCUGGAAGCUUUCAAGAAGAUCAAUACCCUCUUUAAAGGCACGCUUCUGAGUGUUCUUGAUGACUCCAUUGUAGAUUCGUAUAUGUCGUUUGACAACGGCAAGAACAUGUGGGCUACGCUCGAGGCCAAGUUUGGUGCCUCGGACGCCGGCAGCGAGUUGUACGUCAUGGAGCAAUUAUAUGACUCCAAGAUGACUGAUGGGCGCCCUGUUGUACAUGGGCGACUUCUUCCCCGACCUCGGCAACCUCAUCCUCGACGACAUGGGUGACAACGUCAAUGCCAGCGGUGCUACACCCACUGCACCGUAUGUUAUUCUAUCCUUCUUGUUCGAGAUCGUGGUAGAAUUCAGAUUUCUAGCAUGUUCCCUAGAUGUGAUCUGUUCAUCUACUAUGCUAAUUCGCAUGAUUAGUUUAAUCUCUGCUAUUGCUGUCAUGAUCUAUUUCCUAUUUAUUCGGAUUAAAUCUCGUAGUAAUUUGCUCAUUUUUCCAACAGUGCCAUCCAAUAGAUGAUGUAAAUCUCCUCAAGUUUGACGUUGUUGAGCUAAUUUACAAAAAAAACCUCAUCAUUAUUGGAUGUCCUUAACAGCUCAAGAACAAGUUGGGGUCGAAAUAAUGGAUUUUACACUUUUACAUUAAAGGUUUAGCUAAAGCAAGCAGGUGUUUUUAAAACUGAAUUUUUUCCUCCUGAAUUUCUUUGUAUUUUCUUAUUGACACUAUUUAUACAAUCAUCUGACAAAGAUUAGCUAAAGCUGUUUGUAGAUACGUUGAAACCUGAAAAGCUUCUUUGGUUAUCCUUUUAAUAGUUCUACGUUUAUUUUCUCAUAGGUCAUAAUUCUUAUGUAAUACCAAGAUGCAUUGUGGUAGUGUACAUGUGUUAAAUUCAGGUUGUUAUUCACAAUUUGCGACAAAAUUUAGCUCACGCUACAUUUAAAUAUGUUGAAAUGUGAAAGCUCUUUUUCUUCUCCUUUCUACACCUUGCAUCGGAUUGCAUCCCUUUAGUUAUCCAACAUUUUGUUCAACAUGUAGAGAUUAGGAAGUUCAUCAUAGUUUGUCUAUUUCCGUGCUAAUAAAUGUAUGAAAUCUGCAUUUCCAAGCUACUAGGACAAGUAAAAAAUAAUAAUUUUACUAGAGGAUUCAAAAACAGCAGUUCUGAAGUGCACUUUAUUUAUUUGUGAAAGUGAUCACAUUUUGUUUCAUUUUUCUAUAGACAAAUCUACUAAUACAUACUCACGAUAAAACUAUAAAAGUUCUAGUCCGCACAUUGGGCGGGCCACCCGGCUAGUUAGUCUAAAGAUAACAAAAUGAGUCUGGAAUUUGAAUUAAAUUGAAGUAUUUUCUUGGACUAUCCACAUCCUUGGCUUGCCCCUGAUCAAUUAUUUCCAGAGAAGCAUUCAAUUCAUCAAUCAAUUACAUUGAUUUUAGUGGCUAGUACAUCACCUCAACAUCAGUAUAUUCACCGUGGCCACUCCAAAUCGGCAAGAAUGAGGUACCAGUGCUCUGGAGAAGUGCAAGCUAAUUGCUUCUCAUGUGAAGGGGUGCGGGCGCGGGAGAGGUAUUUCUGGUGGGCCAAGGGACUAAGAAGCGACCGUGGCAGCGGUACAGAUGCCCGCAAAGCCUCAUAAUUUGUUUUUGGUUUACAGGAAAAAUGCACAUCCAUACUGGCCCGGGGAAUAUAGCACUGUAUUGGAUGGAAAACAAUGUCCGGAUGGUUGUGUGCGGUUUGAGGGUUAGCUUUUGUAACGCCCGGUUAGUUAUGCUAUAGCAAUUCCCUGCUAAUGAUGUCACGUCACCACGAUUACUGUUGUUAACCUCACAAUGAUUCAAUCUCGUUCAAAUUCAAAUUUAAAAUAAAGGCAAACAUCAAAAGUUUUCAAACAUUAAAACUAAAAUCUUUGAGAGGUGACAAAUAAUGCAUAAGUAAUUAUGGUGAAGAAACCACACUUUAAUCAAAUGUUUAAAUACUCUAAAAUGAAAAAAAAACAGUGACUUAAACUAUUAUUUAAAUGCUUUUAAAAUAGUAAAAAUCUUCUAACUAAAUUAUUUGGGUACCAAAACUUUUGGUGGCAGUGGUAUAUUUAGUAGAACUAAUUUAGAUGCUAAUUAUAUAAUUUACAAAAUUAGAGUAAAUUGAAAAAUAGGAUAAAACGAAAAAAGGAAAAACAAAACAAAUAAAAGCAAAAGGGGGCAACCCCUCGCUGGGCCUCGGCCUAGCUGGCCACUAGGCUAGCUAGGCUCGCCCCGCCGCCUCCCUUAACCCCCCACUCCCCGUCGAACCCAAGCCCGAUCGCCCCACUUCCCCCACACCCCCUCGCCGGUCUCCCCACCUCUUGAUCCCAUCUGGAUCGGGGAGGGUAUUGCCCCCAUCGAACCCGUUGCUGUCGCCGGAUCGCCCGCCGACGUCGCCAGGCCUCCUCCCCGUCGCCCGUCUCCGGCUCACCUCCCCUCUCGCUCCUCUUCCCUGACCCGAUCUGGAUCGUGAACGAGCAAUGAGCUCGAAGCCCCCCUUCACCGGCGCCAUCACCGUGCGCCACCACCACCGCCUGAAGACCUCACCGUCGCCGAACCUUGCGUCGCUGUAACACCCUCGAUGCGACUAUAUCUCCCACGUGUCGAGGCACGACUUAGAGGCAUAAUCGCAUUGAAGGCAUAUGUCGCAAGUGAGGUAGUCUUCACACAACCCAUGUAAUAUAAUAAGGGAAAGAGAUACAUAGUUGGCUUACACUCGCCACUUCACACAAUUACAUGAAUAAAACAUUACAUCAACCAAGUACACUCAUGGUCCGACCACGGAACCAAAAUAAAGAAGAACCCCAAAAGCGACAAAGGUCCCCGAUCGACCCCAACUGGGCUCCACUACUGAUCAAUUAGAACGAAACAGCUCAACGGACAAAGUCUUCAUCGAGCUCCUCCUGAGCUUGGUUGCGUCCUGCUCGGACUCAUCGGCACCUCCAAGCUGGUUUUGGAAGUAUCUGUGAGCCACGGGGACUCAGCAAUCUCGCACCCUCGCGAUCAAGACUAUUUAAGCUUAUGGGUAAGGUAAAGGUAUGAGGUGGAGCUGCAGCAAGCGACUAGCAUAUAUGGUGGCUAACCUAUUCGCAAAUGAGAGCGAGAAGAGAAGGCAAAGCACGGUCGAUAAAAGUAUGAUCAAGAAGUGAUCCUAGACUACCUACGUCAAGCAUAACUCCAACAACCGUGUUCACUUCCCGGACUCCGCCGGAAAAAGACCAUCACGGUUACACAUGCUGUUGAUUCAUUUUAAUUAAGGUCAAUUUUAGAUUUUCUACAACCGGACGUUAACAAAUUCCCAUCUGCCCAUAACCGCGGGCACGGCUUUCGAAAGUUCAAAUCCCUGCAGGGUGUCCCAACUUAGCCCAUGACAAGCUCUCACGGUCAACGAAGGAAUAGACCUCCACCCGAGAUAUUCCGAUCAGACUCGGUAUCCCAGUACAACAAGACAUUUCGACAGGGUAAAACUAAACCAGCAACACCGCCCGAUGCGCCGACAUCCUGAUGGGAGCUGCACAUAUCUCGUUCUCAGGGCAACACUGGAUUGUCUAAACUUCCGGUAGGCCAGCCCAGAGUUGCCCCUGGUGGCCACCGGCGGCUGACGGUUUGGACCAACACUUAGACAAGCACUGGCCCGGGGGGGUUAAAAAACGAUGACCCUCAGGAGCGCGACUCCCAAGGGAAAAGAAAAGGCUAGGUGGCAAAUGGUAAAGCCAAUGUUGGGCAUUGCUGGCAAAGCUUUACUUAAGGCGAACUGUCAAGGGGUUCCCAUUAUAGCCCAACCGCGUAAGGGACGCAAAGUCCAGGAACAUAACACUGAUAUGACGGAAACUAGGGCGGCAAGAGUGGAACAAAACACCAGGCAUAAGGCCGAGCCUUCCACCCUUUACCAAGUAUAUAGAUGCAUUAAUUAAAUAAGAUAUAUAGUGAUAUCCCAACAAGUAAACAAAUGUUCCAACAAGGAACGGCCUCCAAUCUUCACCUGCAACUAACAACGCUAUAAAAGGGGCUGAGCAAAGCGGUAACAUAGCAAUUCAACGGUUUGCUAGGACAAUGGUGGGUUAGGGGCUGAACAUGGCAAUUUGGGAGGCUGACAAGCAAGUGGUAGGCAUUGUAGCAAUGGCAUAGCAAAAGAGUGAGCAUACUAGCAUAGCAAAGAUAGUAGUGACUUCGAGGGUAUGAUCAUCUUGCCUGAAAUCCCGCAAGGAAGAAGAACGAGUCCAUGAAGAAGACAAACGGGCGUAGUCGAACGGGUCCUCACAAUCACGACGUUAUCGGAACCAACCCGAAGAAGCAAUCACCGGAAAAGAAGCACACACAACAUAGUAAACACCCAACACAUCAACAUGGCAAGAUGCACAAUCGAGUAUGAUGCAUGUCCGGUUUAAAGAGGCAUGGCAUGGCAAAGUGCACAAACAACCCUACAAAUUAAGUGGAGCUCAAUAUGCAACGGUUGCAUAUUGACGAAACACCACGUCAAUUAUUUAGUUCGAUCUCGUUUAUGUACCCAACAAUAUUAAAUGUUGUUAAAACAUGGCAAGAGGGGAAACAUGAUGAAACUAUCUAAUCUAGGCAAGUUUAAAUGAGGCCGGAAGCAACGAACAACAAUUCCGGAAAAUCCUCAUGUGUAAAUAUUAGGUUAGGUCCUGAUCUGUCCUAAACACAAUUUAAGCGUUGUUUAACAUGCAAGAUGAGGCCACCACGUUAAACUAGGCAAAAUUCUACCCGAUUUACAUAUAAAGAUUAUUAAAAUCGGAGUUACGGUUAAUUAGAUAUGAAUAAAAUCAUUUUAGCAUGGCAUGGGAGCAAACUUAAACAAACAUCAUUUUAGACAUUUUUUAAUUGUUGUUAUCAUGAUGCGGAUGACAUGAACAAGUUUAACGCAAUUUUAAUUAAGACUUGACAAGAGCAUUAUCAUGAAGCAUUGUCACCGUGGUGGAAGGAAAAAGGGGGUGCCACGGCAACGAAUCCGAAAAUGAUGCCAUGGCAACAUAUCGGUUCCGGUAACUCGAUUGAGAUCCCGGUGCAAACGAAAAAAACGACGGGAGCGUGACACGCGAUAGGAGGUGGGGUGAUCCCGGAUAUCGGGUUCCCACAAUAUGGUGACAAAGCAAAAGAGGGGCGACGUGCACCGAACAACUCCGACACGGAGCAAACACGAGCAUUUCAUACAUCACACAUGCAUUCGUUCACGGGCAUCGUUCCGGCGGUUAUACCUUUGAAGCGAGCAUCAUCGAAACGGAUCGAGUUCGACGGUAGGGGUACACGUGUCGACGAGGAAGUAGUUGUACACGGGGUCGUCGUGGGAAGUAGUCAUUCUCGCGAUGGUAGUGGAAGUAGGGGUACAUGACGACGUAGAGGUGCUCGCGACGGUAGUCGUUCACGUUUGCGUUUCACGGGUCUUCGGCGACGGUUGUCGUACAUGGUCCACAAGACGUCGAUCGUUCGGGGUCCGAUUUGCGGAUCUUGCCGACAUGAAGGGGUACUUGGCGUUCUCCGGACUUGCUGGUCUCGUCGAAACGAAGGGGUACUUGGUACAAUCCUCGUAGUCGUGCACUUGUCGUCAAGGGACUAGAUGGAUCCGAGGCUUCCGGAGGCGACGGUAGUGGGACUUGGUGAAUCCGAGUUCUUCAGAGGUCGUCAUGGUACUUGGUGAAAUCCUCGGAGAUGGACUUGACGCACGAAAGGUCUUCGGUGCCACGGUACUUGUCUGAUCACACACGGAGAUGCAUCGAUGGAUCUCUGACUCGUCCUGGCGAUGGACGAACUUGGCGAAAACCCCGAAGGCGGUCUUGAGCUUCCCUGGUUACCGCACCUUGGCAGAGACCAGAGGAACGACGAGGCCAGCGGGCAGCAACCGAAGAUGCCUGAGGUCUGUGGGCGUCCAGAUCAGGUGGCCUUCUGGCUAGGCAAGGACGACGAGGAGGAUGCCGAGGCGCGGGGACGAGGUAGGAGGCGGCACGGGAGCACGGCGCGGGCGUGGGCGCUCCUGGUGGGCGCAGAGGACGACGACGGCAGGCCAUGGCAGGGGCGGAGGCGCGGUUCCCUGGACCGGUAGGGCCGCGGCGGCGCUGUGGUGCCCGGCGGCCUCGGCGACGCGGCGAGGGAGGGGAUCCGGCGGGGCGCGAGGGAGCUCGGUGGCGGCGCAGGCUGCAGUGCCCGACAGAUGGAGGAGGCGCGGCAGGGUGGCUCCGGCCAGGGCACGGCGCGGGGAGCGCAAGACGGCGGCGAGGAGGCCGAUGAGGCUCCGACCUGGUACUUGGAUCGAAGGAGGAGGGAGGAUGAGGGGAGCCGGAGGGAGAUCGAGAGGGGGGUUCGAGCAGCUGGGGAUGGGGAUCGGGCUGCGAGGGAAAAUGGGGGUCGGGCACGAGAGAGAGAGAUCGAGGGGAGAUGGCGGCGCUGCGGGAACGAGAGGGAGAUGAGUGUGGUGCAGGAGCUGGGCUUCGGGCCUUCUAGGGUUAGGAGGGAGUGGGCCAGGGAGGCCGGCCGAGGAGAGAGAGGCCCAGGUGGGCAGGGGCGCGGCCUGCGGGGAAGGAUGGGCCUAGGGAGGCCUGAGGCUGCAGCUGGGCUGGACUCUCUUUCCCUCUUUCUCUAAUUUUCUUUAGCAGCAAAUGAUUAAAGAGAAAGAAAAGAAAGAGGGGGUUAGGGAAAGGAGUCGGACACGCGGAUAAUUUUCCCGGACUCACAAAAUUGCACUUGUUCCGAGAAAAAUGAAGUGGGCAAGAUUGCAAGAAUUAAAUUCAAGGACAAUUGAAUUUAAUUAGAAAGGUUGCACAAGGACUAGGAUUUAGGAGAGUCCAAAAAUGUUGAGAAAUUAGGAGGAGCCUCAAUAAAUGGGAAAAGAGAUGUUGGCAAAGUUUGGGGACCAAACUUGAAGUAGAAAGGGAGUGGGGAUUUUUCCAGUGUGUUUUGGUUAAUUCCGAAAGAAUGGAAUAUUUUAUAAUAGCCCCACUAAUAUCGGGACGAUAUGUUAUAAAGAGAAGUCAUCCUUCCCUCGAUUUAAAUGGAUCGAAGAUCCAUAUGAAUUAUUUAGUUGAGAUGCAAAAGAUUAUGACAUGAUGACAUGAUGCAAUGCACAUGAUGACGUGACAUGGUGCAACACGCAAGCACAUGACAACGCAACAACAUCGAAUAACUGCACGACACCUGGCACAUCGGUCUCGGGGCGUUACAGUCGCCUCCUUGUAUCCCCCCCCUACUCGCAUCCUCAAGCCAGGCCGAGCCCCUUCUCGGCAACGCUGUGAGACGCCCCCGUUUCCCUCCUCUUUCCACCGCAUUCACCGCGCCGCUCGCCGUGCCCGUCGCCGUGCGUGAGCCCACCACCGCACCAGCCCCCGCUCCGCGCACGACCCUACCCGCGCCCGCGCCAUGAUCCCCUUUUCCGCCCUACCUUCACGCGCUCGCCGCGAUCCCGAUGCUCCCCCGCGCCCUCUUUCGGGCGCGCCGACUGCCCCUGUCCUGGUGCUCGCCGCCGUGCCUCGCCACCGCUCUACUGCUACGUUACUACUGCGCUGCGGCCGCCGCCUCUUCCCGCUGCUCCGCUAGCGCCGGAGCUCCCGGUUGGCUCCACCACUGCUCACGUUAAACCGCCGGCCUAAAUGGCCUAACCCCCGGCUAAUGAACCCCCACUAACCCACUGACACCGGGACCCACAUUCCCUAAUUAACCAUUUAAUAAAUUAAAACUCUUAAAUUAACAUUAGUGUAUGACAUGUGCGUCCCCUGUUAAUUAAUAAUUUUACUGCUAGUUUUAUUAGUUUCUGUUUUUUCUGCAUAUUUCUUUUGUAUUUGAACAGGCUUUAUACAAUAAUAUUUAGCGUAUCAUACACAUACAAAUGUAAUCAUAGCAUAUACAUACAAAUAGUCUCAUCAAAUCAUGUCAUCAUCAUAAUCAUCAUCCAUCACAAAGUGGUCUCUCGUCAUCAUCUCGAAAAUAGCGAUACAAGUCUCGAUUACUUGCAACUACAUCGUCAUCCAUCUAAACAAUGAUAUACGCGAGAAGAGCUCUCACUAUGAGUGAGAGCGGAACUAUGCAGUACAUGAGUUUGUAUCCCUCUCUCGCAUUAGCGUGAACCUAAACUAACGACUCGCUGUUGCUCGGAAACCGGAAACCGGUACACCUGGGCCUGACACUCCGGCCACUCGUCGUAUACUCCUGGCGUAGCACUUCUUCGCCAUCGAUGAUCUAUGCACCUGCAUCGUCACAUGAGUCGAUGAUAUGCAACAUAUAUAGUUGAGUAACAGAAAGAGACAGACUUCGCAAAAAUAGAAGCAACAUAUCAUAAGUAUAAAUAACAAAGUUCAUCCUACCCAAAAUGCCCUAACUAGAGUGAUCUUCGCUAGUCGAGGAGGACGGUUUAAUUACAUCACAAAUAACGUUUCGUCGUGCAUAACUCAAAGUUCCGUCAUACAGAAAGUAUGAACUAAACGGACACAUUGUCAUAUUUCGAAAAUCACUCCAACAUAUCGUACCAUCCAUCCAAGUCAAGGAGAGAGUGCCCGAGCUUAGUGAAAGGCUUGUGGUCGAGACGCUGAGCGGCUACGCGUGUUCGAAAGUCUUCCCACGUCAUUUGUCCUUCUUCAUAGAACAUCCCUGUUUUUUCGACGACCUCCUUCAUGAUGAUUUGGACAAGUUCGCACUGGAAGUGAUAUAACUCAUCUCGAAGUGGAUGAUCCUCGAUAUCUCCUAAGUUCUUUGCCCAUUGCAGAAUAUGGGCAUCGCUGAAUUUAGGUGACAUGCAAAGGUUCCGGUGAUCUCGUCUAUACUCCAUCAUAUGGACAUAGAAUCGAUCAUCAAGAGAAUCACUCGGUUGCUGGAUGCAGCUGAAGUGGGUCUUAUGGGCCUGCCGUCCCUUUUCUUCUUGUCCUUGACCUCUCCACCCCGUGCAUCGUAGUAAAACGUAGCACUGUCGAGAAUAGACUUGAUGUGGGUGUAAUCCUUUUUGUUAAUGUUCUUCGACGAGUCCACAGUAUCGGGGGUAGCGGAUAAUGAGGACGGCGCUGAAGGAAAUAUGCCCUAGAGGCAAUAAUAAAGUUAUUAUUUAUUUCCUUAUAUCAUGAUAAAUGUUUAUUAUUCAUGCUAGAAUUGUAUUAACCGGAAACAUAAUACAUGUGUGAAUACAUAGACCAACAGAGUGUCACUAGUAUGCCUCUACUUGACUAGCUCGUUAAUCAAAGAUAGUUAUGUUUCCUAACCAUGAACAAAGAGUUGUUAUUUGAUUAACGAGGUCACAUCAUUAGUUGAAUGAUCUGAUUGACAUGACCCAUUCCAUUAGCUUAGCACCCGAUCGUUUAGUAUGUUGCUAUUGCUUUCUUCAUGACUUAUACAUGUUCCUAUAACUAUGAGAUUAUGCAACUCCCAUUUACCGGAGGAACACUUUGGGUACUACCAAACGUCACAACGUAACUGGGUGAUUAUAAAGGAGUACUACAGGUGUCUCCAAUGGUAGAUGUUGGGUUGGCGUAUUUCGAGAUUAGGGUUUGUCACUCCGAUUGUCGGAGAGGUAUCUCUGGGCCCUCUCGGUAAUGCACAUCACAUAAGCCUUGCAAGCACUGCAACUAAUAUGUUAGUUGUGAGAUGAUGUAUUACGGAACGAGUAAAGAGACUUGCCAGUAACGAGAUUGAACUAGGUAUUGGAUACCGACGAUCGAAUCUCGGGCAAGUAACAUACCGAUGACAAAGGGAACAACGUAUGUUGUUAUGCGGUCUGACCGAUAAAGAUCUUCGUAGAAUAUGUAGGAGCCAAUAUGGGCAUCCAGGUCCCGCUAUUGGUUAUUGACCGGAGACGUGUCUCGGUCAUGUCUACAUUGUUCUCGAACCGUAGGGUCCGCACGCUUAAUGUUACGAUGACAGUUAUUAUGAGUUUAUGCAUUUUGAUGUACCGAAGGUUGUUCGGAGUCCCGGAUGAGAUCACGGACAUGACGAGGAGUCUUGAAAUGGUCGAGACGUAAAGAUUGAUAUAUUGGAAGCCUAUGUUUGGACAUAGGAAGUGUUCCGGGUGAAAUCGGGAUUUUACCGGAAUACCGGAAGGGUUACCGGAACCCCCCGGGAGACUAAUGGGCCUAUUGGGCCUUAGUGGAAAAAGAGAAAAGGGGCAGCCCAUAGCUGGCCGGCGCCCCCCCCCUUUCCCCAAGUCCUAGUAGGACUAGGAGAAGGGGCCGGCCCCCCCUCUUUCUCCUUUCCCCCCGAGAGUCCUAAUUGGAAUAGGAUUGGAGGGAGGAGUCCUACUCCCGGUGGGAGUAGGACUCCCCUGCGCCUCCCUCUCCCUGGCCGGCCGGCCCCCCUUCCUCCAACCUUUAUAUACGGGGGCAGGGGACACCCCAAGACACACAAGUUGAUCCUUGAGAUCGUUCCUUAGCCGUGUGCGGUGCCCCCUGCCACCAAAUUCCACCUCGAUCGUACCGUUACAGUGCUUAGGCGAAGCCCUGCGUCGGUAGUACAUCAAGAUCGUCACCACGCCGUCGUGCUGACGGAACUCUUCCUCGACACUUUGCUGGAUCGGAGCCCGAGGAACGUCAUCGAGCUGAACGUGUGCUAAGAACUCGGAGGUGCCGGAGUAACGGUGCUUGGAUCGGUCGGAUCGGGAAGAAGACGUACGACUACUUCCUCUACGUUGUGUGAUCGCUUCCGCAGUCGGUCUGCGUUGGUACAUAGACAACACUCUCCCCUCUCGUUGCUGUGCAUCACCAUGAUCUUGCGUGUGCGUAGGAAAAUUUUCGAAAUUACUGCGUUCCCCAACAGGCGCGCCCGCCGCUGCGCAAAAUAAGUACACCUCCAAUUAAUUACACUCCAUCGUUCAAAUGAAUGAUUGAAAUCGAAGGAAGGAUAUCUGCGCGGAUGACUUACACGAGAUGAUAAGCCAUGAGAAUCGCCUCCUUGUCCUUAUUGGCAAGCAUGAAAUCGACGAUGUAUUCCUCGCGUAUUCACGGUGCUUUGCACGGACUCCCAAGAAGCCCUCGUGCAUGAAGUACGGGUCAGCAACACAGAUAUGAGGUAUCUGCUCAACCCCGAUGAGGUAGUUCAUGUGCAAGGCAUAAAGGCGGACAAACGUAAAAUCCAGCUUCUUUAAGUGAAACAUGUUGAAGAUGUAAUCGAAUCGAAGGAAAAACUUCUUCGAGGGGAAUGUGUCGACGUACGACAAUUGCCGCGGCACGUUAACCACGUAGAGAGGGUAUCCUGGAUUUUUCGAGGCGAUGAGGCCUUUCUCUAUCCGCAACACGUCGUCAUGAAGUCUCCUUAGAUUGCCGGAUCUGGCCCCUAGUGCUGCUUUCGGUAGGAUUGGUUCACCGGGAUACGCCAUUUUGCCGCUCCGGGGAUAUCUAUACGGUCUUGAACCCGAGGCUGCUGAGGCGGCUGGAUCAUAGAAGCAGCUUUGUUGGCUUUCCUCGGUGUAUUCCUAAGCUUCUUUGCUACCGGAAGGUCGUCUAUAAUAUGUUCAGCCUCCGGAGGCGGCAAUUCAAGCACCGACUCAUGACGCUCAAACCCUUAGUAGGCGCCAGUAUUGAGAUACUAUUGAGUGUCAUUGUCAUCCUCAUCUAUGGCGGUGUCACCAGCGACAAAUGGAGCCUCUUCCUCACCCCGUCCGCUAUCACCCAGCACGACAGCCGGCGCUAAUUGGGUAGGUGGGGUGUUGAUGUUCAUACCUAACUGCGUGCUCGUGUGUGUGCUCCCGGCCGUCUCCAAACAAAGCAGACUCUUUGGCCACAAUAGGACCCACCCAUUGCAAUCACCAAGCCGCUGCGGGAUCUUGUCGUCAUUCCCCCUAGUACCGGAGGAGCCAAAUUCUCCUGGCCUGGUUUGACACUGGCCACGGAAACUUUGAAGAUGUCCAGGGGGAUCGAUCGGCCGUGGAACAAUGGUUCCUUCAGCUUCAUUAUCGUCACCUUCCCCACGUCCACCUCCUGGUAGCGGAUGCUGUACAAUAUGGUGCACGGGGUUAUAUUGGCCUGCAAAGACAUUUCUGUGAUGUGAGAUAUCCGAAAGGCAACGGAAAUGGGAGAUUAUACAUUUAUUGAAGAGGGCCGGUGUGACAGAUACCGUGAGGGCGUCGAGCUCAGCCAAAGACGAAGCACCGCUGAGCACGUCUGGUGUCGGAGCCGGUGCCGGAGCAGGUGCGGGAGCCCGUGCGGGAGCAGGUGUAGGUGCCGGUGCAACGCUAGUUGAGCUACUCCCGAAGAAGUCAGCAAGGGGAAAGUCUGCUGUAUUUUUUUCUGGAUUUUGCAUGCUCCAAUUGAAAACGGCCGGAACCAAGACAGAAGACAUAUCUGGAACCACCUGUUUUGCGGCAGCUAUCGCAGUUGUGACUGUCUCAGAUGAUUUCUUCUCAACCGCAAUCUCAACCUUCUGGUUGAUGUUUUCUUCAGUUAACCUCCGUCUUUCCUUUCUCUCCUCUGUGGUCUCACGGUAGUACUUCUUCCAUGUGGCGCCGUCUUCGACACCGUGCACGCGUCCAUACGACGGCCGAUUCUCCACCGGGAGUCCUUUCAAUAUGUUCAAUGCCCGAUUGAAUGGAGUGUUCCACUUGGGCCUCGCCAACACCUCAGACGGUGAGUCACUUUCGGCUGCAAUCUUGUGCUGCUCUCUCUACAAAAGGAACAAGGAUCGUUUACAAAUAUGACUAAACGUGCAGUCGAAUUGAUCAGAAACUAAAAUUACCGGCAGUCCCAUGAACUUCGUCGUGAUCAGGUCAGUCUUGAAAACCUUCUUGACUGAGUCCCAAUGGUGUCGUGCCCCGAGGACGUCAUGCUCCCGCGGGACGGUGAAGUCCGCCAAGGGGUCUGGGAUGCCCAGACUUUCGCGUUCCGCGUCCUCCUAUGCCCAUAUGGACCUCUUCCCGCCGUAACCACGGCUUCCGAGGUGGUGGCGCCCUAUGUUCCUUUGUUGAAGCCCCUUCAUGUACUUCGACUUUUUUUGGCAGCUUCGGCCUCGCAAGCCGCCUUGAAUUUUUCAAAGUGCUCUCCCGUGAUUGUCGGAUUAUCCUUUACAAUCUCAGAGUAUGGUUCCUUUUUGUCGACAAUCCGAUGUUUCAACCUUGUUUUCCAGGUGCCCAACGCGUCACUAAACUUGGUCAUGGCGUGUUUGUUUAUCUUCUUCAUUGCCGGGUCCUUAUUUGGAUCUUUAUAAUCCAUUUCAUUCCGGCCCGGGAACAACAAUAUCUGGUGCAGCUUCUUUAGGAGAGAGGGCCUCAUAUUAUCUAUCUUCUGUAGUUUCCCAUCAUUGAUCGUGGCAGUUGUCCGUACGAUGCAGCCUACUUGAUUGCCGUAGCACGAUCGCGCUUCCUCGGGCGCUAUUGUCUGAAAAACACUGUCGUCCAUCUCCGUGACCACCAGUCUAGUAGUCAUGAGCAGGUUUGGGCGCCGUGGCUUCUUUGCUUUCGGUUCUAGACCAGCUCCGCUAGUCUCGGCGCCGGUCUCAGUCUCAUCGCCAGUCUGCAUGUCGGUAUCAGUCCCCGAUGCGAUAGGUCGGCCCAGCAACAACAUUCGUUGAUCGUCGGCAAGGCUCAAAAAUUCAUCUGCCGCCAGGUAGACGUGUCGCAAUCACCAGAACCCUAUCCUUCAUCGUUGCUAGCCAUGUUUCCUACGAUUAUGCCUAGUCAAUUAAUUUUAGACCUAAUAAAAUGAAUAAUGACAUAAAACAGGCCAAUGUUUUGCAGGAUUACAACUCAACCCAUUGCAGAUUAGAAAACAAGCCCGUGUGAAUGCACAGGCUGACCACUAGUCUAUCUAUACCUAUACCUACCUAUACUAAUUACAGACUCCCAAGUAAUUCCCACGUUAAUUAGUAAUUAAGAGCCGUUAAUCUUGUGGGACCAAAUUAUUACGACAGUCCACGAUCUCUUUUCUCUCUGUGUAAAAAAAAAGGUCCACGAUCUCUUUUCUCCGUUGUAAAAGAUAAAGGCAACUCAGGUCCACGAUCUCUUUUCACGGUUGUGAAAGAUAAAGACAACUCCCGUCUUCUUCUAAUCUAUAGUUCUAUACCUCCACGACCCCUUCCUCUCCCCAUUUAAAAGGAACAAGCUGAACCAAUAUCUAAGCAUGCAAUUGGUUCCUGUGCGGUCUUGACCUUCCAUCCGUCCACUGCUCGAUCGGCCCUCCCUCAACUACAAGCUGACAAGCCACCAUCGCCAUCCAGCGGCACGCCACCGUUCAUGCAUGUGUUUUUGCCCUUCAAUCUGAAGGAGAUGCGUUGGCUACUCAAGUAACUCUGUUUGUUUUGUUCAAACCAAUUUCGUUAAUUCGGUUCUUUGAUUAUCUUAUUGACAUGGCCUGUGAGUUUUGUGCUAGUGAUACAGGGCCUGUCUACUAGAUUCUCUCCUUGCAACUUCUAUUGUUGUCUCGAUUUGGUGUGGUCAAGAUCCUUGCCCCACCACAAGCAGCACCUUUGCACCAUCGGGGAAAUCUGUCAUAGCAAACAGAGGUAUGUAACAUGCUUUGGUGUUUUCCUCUUUCGUUUAGAUCACUAGAGUUGCUCAACCACACCAUUCAUUGAUUAGUAGUUGGCCUGAGAAGUUGCUCGGUCACCUGCAGCGUCUGAUCCCCUUCUUGACCCUCUCAUUCUGGUCAUUAUCCACCGGCAGGUCAAUGCCAAACGGAUCGUUCGUUGCCGCCACCUUGCGGAGACCGAUGUUUGGCUGCCCUCCUGCCAUCCUGGCGCUCUGGUACCGGUCACUGUGCCGUUGUUCUAGAAGAACUAUGUCACACGAAGCGAGAUAUCUUCUUACUAAUCUGGAACAUAAGUGUUUCUUCUUACUAGGAUUCGCUCACCGGUGCAUUCAUCUCUUUUUGGAAAAUACGGCCUUCAUAUUUCACACGCCUAUACAUGGGUGCUGUCCCAACAAUAAUCCAUCUAAUCCAUGAUGCACAUUCAUGAAGACUGAUGUGACUGAAUUAAUAUAUCAAUCUGGUGCUUCCGGAUCAGCACUUGAAGAAGCAACCCCUUUAGUUCAUAAAUAUAUCAUACGAAAGUCAGGGGAGAAAUCAACUAAGUCAUGUGUGCUUUUCUAAUUAUUUACUAUACACUAAUUCCAUUUUUUCAGUAGAAGGCUAGGAUACGUGGAUUGUGGCAGCACAGAAGUAAACCGAUGAGCUACGUUGGCCGUUCACCAGUCAUCGGAUCAGCAGCCAUGUCGACCAGAGGGACGGAACAGUUCUAUAUUAGGCGAUGGAUACAUGUGGAAGCAACUAAGCAUAUGUGGAUGCAUGUGAUCGCAUAGGUAAGGCCAUAGCUGUUCAAGCCCUACAGGAUCUUUAUUGCUGGUUUUAAUUAUGAGUUUACAACACCAUCUAUACAUACUACUUAUCCAUUUAUUUCCUUACCUUCUUUGUUUCUUUCUCUCCUUGAUCCCCUGUCAAAAGGGCAUCAACAUCCAUAUGCGCAACGGCACACGCAACAAACUAUGACUUCGGUUGCAUGUCCAACGGCAACCACAGUACAUGAUGAUAUCAUGUUUGCUGCAAGACGAAGUACAAGUUCAUAAUUUGGUCUUUUGCAUGGUCCCUUAGUAAAUUCACUUCUGCUUCGGUACACCCCCCCUAAACACAUAGACGGCCCAGAUUAGUCGAUACCUCUUCAUAAGUAAGGGCAUGAUGGUCAUAUAUUAAAAACCAUUCGUCCCCUGUAUAUGUGUACAGUGAGAUGGGCCGGCCCAUCUUUCCCUUUUUUUCUGAUUUGAUCCUGACAGGAAUCGAACCAGAUAGUUCCUGGUACAUAGUUGGACGUGAUAACCAACCAGCCGACUUAGGCACCUAUGGUUAGAUAGUUCUUUCUCGUCCUUUUCUUCUUUCCUCUUUCCUCUUUCUUAUUUCCUUUUUUCUUGUUUUUUCAAACGUUGUUUUGGGUUUUCAUUUCCCUUUUUUUCUUUUUCGUUUUCUUUUCCUUUUUAUGUUCCUUUUGUUUUACCUUUUCUUUUGCAAUGUGCAAAAUUUUUCAGUUUCCUUUAUAAAAAAUUAAUGAACCUUUUUUAAUAUUGAUGAUUUUUUUUUCAAAGUCGAUGAACUUUAUUCAAGAUUGAUGAUUUUUUUCUAAAUUGAUGAACCUUUCUCAAGAUGAAUAUAGUUUUUUCAAAGUAGAAGAUUUUUUUUCAAAAUUGAUAAAAUUUUGCAAAAUCGAUGAUUUUAAAAAAAUCAUGAACUUUUUUCAAAUCCUUGUACUUUUUUUAAUCAAGAUGCAUGGGUUAUUUUUAAUUCAUGGAACUUUUAAUUUACGGACAUUUUGCCAAUCCGCUUAUUUUUUUCAAGUCCAUGAACUUUUCCAAAAGGGCGAACCCUUUUUUAUAGUCAAUGGUCAAAGGUCAAGCAUGUCAAUGGUCAACUUUUUGUCCAGGUUAACCAUGAAGAAGUUUUUUUUUGGUCGAACCACGAAGAAGCGAUCGAGCGUAUGCUCUUGGCGAGCGACAGCUGAUCGCUCCUGUAGUUUGGCCAGCCCAUGAAAGGUGGUGUUCAAGCGAUGUGUCCACUAAGUAGCGCAGAAAGCGGUGACUAGGCGCUCCCACUGUACAGGGAGUAGCGUCGCACAAACCGGCGCACACACCCCUUCGUCCAAGGUCUGGCCCAUUUUCCUUUUCUAUUUUUACCUUGAAAAAAUAGGUGCAUGAAGUAGGAUUCAAACUAUGAACCUUUGUGAUUACUUCCACCCACUAUAACAAACUAGGAUAGCUCACUUCUUGCGUCUAAUUACUUCUUUUUUAGAGCAUCUUCUCAGUCUGUUUUUUCUUUUGCUUUUGUUUGGCCUUUUUAUUCCGUUUUAUUCAUUUUUUAUUUGUCUUUGUUUCUUCUUAUUUUCAUUUUGUUAAAUUCAUGAUUUUUUAAAUCUAUGAGCUUAUUUUAAGGAUGUUGAGAAAUAACAUGCUCCCAGACAAAACCUUCUGGCCUACCGGAUACUCUUUGUAGAACAUGGUAUAGUUUUGGACAUCAUUCAAAUGAUCCCAACUUUUGUAGGAUGGUGGGCAUUUCCCGUGGUAGGCAUCAUUGACAGGUUUGAAUGACUUCUGACACCGUAUGCAAGUUGCGACACGUCCGAUCAUUUAUCGGUCUUUUUUCACCGGAAAAACUCUAGAAAAUGCAAAACUUGUUGAGAAUCCAAAAAACUUAGCUUGGUGUCUUGAAUUGGUCGUACAAGGCCAUGAAAAAAUUUGGGGCCAUUUCAAGGAUGUCAAGAAACAACGUGCUCUCAAACAGAGCCUUCUGGCAACCGAACACCCUUCAUUGAACAUGGUCUAGUUUUGGACAUUCUUGAAAUGACCCCAACUUUUUGAAGUAGAUGAGCAUGCCCAUGGUAGACAUCCAUGUCAAGUUUGAAUGAUUUCUGACACCGUAUGCAAGUCGCGACACGUCCGGCCAUUUAUCGACCUUUUUUGGCCGAGGAAACUCCAGAAAAUGCAAAAUUCAUCAAAAAACAAAACAACUUGGCAUGGUGCACUUAGUUGGCCAUACAAGGUCAUAUAAAAAAUUGGGGCAAUUUCAUGGGUGUGGAAACACAACAUGCUCUCAGACGGAGCUUUCUGACCUACCUGAUGAAGGAAAUAUGCCCUAGAGGCAAUAAUAAAGUUAUUAUUUAUUUCCUUAUGUCAUGAUAAAUAUUUAUUAUUCAUGCUAGAAUUGUAUUAACCGGAAACAUAAUACAUGUGUGAAUACAUAGACAAACAGAGUGUCACUAGUAUGCCUCUACUUGACUAGCUCGUUAAUCAAAGAUGGUUAUGUUUCCUAACCAUGGACAAAGAGUUGUCAUUUGAUUAACGGGAUCACAUCAUUAGUUGAAUGAUCUGAUUGACAUGACCCAUUCCAUUAGCUUAGCACCCGAUUGUUUAGUAUGUUGCUAUUGGUUUCUUCAUGACUUAUACAUGUUCCUAUAACUAUGAGAUUAUGUAACUCCCGUGUGCCGGAGGAACACUUUGUGUGCUACCAAACGUCACAGCAUAACUGGGUGAUUAUAAAGGUGCUCUACAGGUGUCUCCAAAGGUACAUGUUGGGUUGACGUAUUUCGAGAUUAGGAUUUGUCACUCCGAUCGUCAGAGAGGUAUCUCUCGGCCCUCUCGGUAAUGCACAUCACUUAAGCCUUGCAAGCAUUGCAACUAAUGAGUUAGUUGCGGGAUGAUGUAUUACGGAACGAGUAAAGAGACUUGCCGGUAAUGAGAUUGAACUAGGUAUUGGAUACCGACGAUCGAAUCUUGGGCAAGUAACAUACCGAUGACAAAGGGAACAACGUAUGUUGUUAUGCGGUCUGACCGAUAAAGAUCUUCGUAGAAUAUGUAGGAGCCAAUAUGGGCAUCCAGGUCCCGCUAUUGGUUAUUGACCGGAGACAUGUCUCGGUCAUGUCUACAUUGUUCUCGAACCCGUAGGGUCCGCACGCUUAAGGUUUCGAUGACAGUUAUAUUAUGAGUUUAUACGUUUUGAUGUACCGAAGGUUGUUCGGAGUCCCGGAUGUCAUCACGGACAUGACGAGGAGUCUCGAAAUGGUCGAGACAUAAAGGUUGAUAUAUUGGAAGCCUAUGUUUGGAUAUCGGAAGUGUUCCGGGUGAAAUCGGGAUUUUACCGGAGUACCGGGAGGUUACCGGAACCCCCCGGGAGAUAUAUGGGCCUUAGUGGGCCUUAGUGGAAAAGAGAAGAGGCAGCCAGAGAUGGGCCGCGCACCCCUCCCCUCCCUUGGUCCGAAUAGGACAAGGAGAGGGGGCCGGCCCCCUUNNNNNNNNNNNNNNNNNNNNNNNNNNNNNNNNNNNNNNNNNNNNNNNNNNNNNNNNNNNNNNNNNNNNNNNNNNNNNNNNNNNNNNNNNNNNNNNNNNNNNNNNNNNNNNNNNNNNNNNNNNNNNNNNNNNNNNNNNNNNNNNNNNNNNNNNNNNNNNNNNNNNNNNNNNNNNNNNNNNNNNNNNNNNNNNNNNNNNNNNNNNNNNNNNNNNNNNNNNNNNNNNNNNNNNNNNNNNNNNNNNNNNNNNNNNNNNNNNNNNNNNNNNNNNNNNNNNNNNNNNNNNNNNNNNNNNNNNNNNNNNNNNNNNNNNNNNNNNNNNNNNNNNNNNNNNNNNNNNAUCCUACUCCCGGAGGGAGUAGGACUCCUCCUGGCGCGCCUCUCCUAGGCCGGCCGCACCCCUCCCCCCCCUUGAGCCUUUAUAUACGGAGGCAGGGGCACCCCAGAGGAACACAAGUUGAUCCACGUGAUCAUAUUCUUAGCCGUGUGCGGUGCCCCUGCCACCAUAGUCCUCGAUAAUAUUGUAGUGGUGCUUAGGCAAAGCCCUGUGACAGUAGUACAUCAAGAUCGUCACCACGCCGUCGUGCUGACGGAACUCUUCCCCGACACUUUGCUGGAUCGGAGUCCGGGGAUCGUCAUCGAGCUGAACGUGUGCUAGAAUCGGAGGUGCCGUAGUUUCGGUGCUUGAUUGGUCGGGCCGUGGAGACGUAUGACUACAUCAACCAAACGCUUCCGUUGUUGAUAUACAAGGGUACGUAGAUCACAUUCUCCCCUCUCGUUGCUAUGCAUCACCAUGAUCUUGCGUGUGCGUAGGAUUUUUUUUGAAAUUACUACGUUCCCCAACACCUGAACACCCUCAUUUGAACAUGGUCAGUUUUUAGAUAUCCUUCAAAAGACCACAACUUUUCCAAAAAGGUGAGCAUGCACAUGGUAGGCAUAUAUGCCAAGUUUGAACGAUUUUUGACACUGUAUGCUAGUUGCGACACGUUCGGCAAUUUUCGCCAUUUUUUGACAAAGAAAUCUCCAGAAAAUGUAGAAUUUUUAGAAAACCAAAAAACCCUGGCAUGGUGCCUUGAAUUCUUCAUACAAGCCAGUGAAAAAAAAUAGGUCAUUUGACGGAUGUCGAGAAAAAACAUGCUCCCAAACGGAGCCUUCUUACCUACCCCUACACCCUAUGUUGAACAUGGUGAUUUUUUCUACACGAACACAAAAAAAAUGUUCGAGAAAAUUCAAAAAAUUUUCUUUCAAAUUUUUAUUCGUAUUUUUCUUGAAGUUCCAAAUUUAAUAGUGAAUUUUCCUAAAAUGUUAAAUCAAAAAUGUUCGUGUGGAAAAUUUUGUUUGCUCUUUGUAAAAAUGUUUGUGUUUUGACAUUAUGAGCAAUUUGAAAAUACAAAUACAUUCUGAGGAAUUCAUAAAUGUCGCAUUUUGAAGUAAUUGUUCGUAGUUUCAGAAAAUGUCCGUGUUUUCAGUUUUAUAUCUCUUUUAAGAAAAUGUUCGUAUUUAAAAAAAAUUGUUUGUAGUUUCAAGAAAUGUUCUCGUUUUCAAUUCUGCUCUUAUUUUUCUAAAACAAAGUUUGAGAGUCUGAAACAUUGCUCACUAAAGGUUUGAAUUUUAAAAAUAUGUUCACAGAUUUUGAAAUUUUUUGGGUUUAAAGCAUAUUUACUUUGUCAAACAGAAAUUCACAUACGGAAUUUUGAAAAAAAUAAUCGUUUUUGGACUAGUGAUGUUAUGCACUCGCGGGAGCUUGUGUGUUAGAUCCGCGCACCCAUUUUAGUAUUUGUGAAUUGGUGUUGAAGUGUUGCCGCUCUAGCUAAUUCUUUAGGUGUGACACUGCUAUUGUGUCGGUUGCGUUAGGCAGGCGAAGUGGCUAGGGCGUAAUUUUUGUUGAUUUUCCAGCCCAAAUGGAUCGGCCCAGGUUAUCUGUGCCUGUGUCCUGCGAACAUAUGGCACAUUCCAGCGUACGUACGAAAAUGGAUAGGAUUUGUCAAAAGUCUAAAUUACCCAUUAUACGCUUUGUGAGGGGGGUGUAUCGAAGCGUUUCUCCACAUAAAUUAUAUUUGUCCACAUACACCACAUACAUAAAAACAGGUAGAAGCGGUUGCAUGGUGAAAAUGUCCUCUCAAUAUGCAUGCCUAUGAAUACUAUCACCAGAAAGCCAAGGACUAACAAUUAUUCAGGGGUCAAGAUUGAAGACAGACGUCCAAGAUUGGAAGUCGGCCGGCCUAAGAGGGGCAAAACCAUUGUACAUUAUAUUGUAUGGACCUAGCAAGAUCCUAAAGAUAAGUGAUAAUGGAGAUCAUGGGGGCCACCCUUAUAACCAUAUGUCCAAAUGUUCUUAUUUGUUUAUUUUUCUUUUCUCUUUUCGGAAGAAUCCAUCCUGCCUCUAUGGUCAUCCUGACCACUUCGUAUUGUUAUCUAAUCUCCUCCCUUAAUUAAUAUAAAGAAUUACCGCAGCUGAAUUCACUAAAAAAAGUAUUCAGUUUAUUUUAAUUUAUUCAACUAUUAUGGCAUAUCAAUUGGAUUGCAAGUUCUUGGCGGUUGCAUUUGAAUCAUAUUUGAUGUGCACAAAGGCUUCAGUGUCAAGGUGGUCGGACGAGUAUUUAUGUCCAUUAUAUAUGCGUUAGCUUGAGAUCAUCAGGCACCUGUUAUGCAUCUGUCCAGUUAAAAGGAUGUUCAGACUCAGGCUUGCCCUACCAUAUAUGGCUGUGACACUCUGAACCAAGCAAGUUGGUCAUAUAUGUCGAGCACUAUUAACUCUUUGGAAGAAGAUCCACCAAGUACAGAAAACAAAUCAAAUAUCUUCUUAACCUUAUCACCAGAAAAAUUAGCAAGAGAUGAAUAGUAACAUUUUAAAGAAGAAAGAUAUGUUUGAAAAGGGAUAUAUAUUAUGGCGACGAUUAGAACAGCCCUUGACGAAUGGUGCCUAGCCUGCGAAAGUUUCUUAUGAAUAUAGUCAACACUCUAUAUCAACUGUUGUAAGAUUUUAGAAAUAUUUUUGGGGACAUAUGAUACAUGUCUAUUAUACAUAUGAUUCAACAGAAGUUUGAUUGAAUACAUAUUUAAAACGUGACUGACUUCUAUAUGGACGGAGUAUUUCACAAAGGACUCACUGCCAACUGUGUGAAUAUUCCAAGAUAGUUAGUGCACAUAAAUGUUCAAAUCCAUAGCUGCAUAAAUAUACAAAAGCAAUGUGUUAGACCACUACACAUGCUUCUGAAAGGAGGCAAAAAAAUGUAUGCUUGAUUGAUGACCGUUCAUGCAUGAAAUUAAUUUUUGAUUUCUAAUUAUUUUGGUCAUAUAAUGGAAAUAGAGACAUUAUAAAGAUCCAACAGCAUGCUAUCACACACGUGUGAACACAGACACACACAAAUAACAUUUGCCGAGCACUCACAAAUAAAAGGUGUGGCUACUCUUGGGUGUUCUACAGCUGGCUUAAAAAAACACGUAUGAAACAUGAUCCCCAAAAAUCUGAAAUUCGCAACAUAUGAAAAUCCACCCUCAAACAUAUUUCUAGUGUCUCAAUUCUUUUAGUUUCAGAUGGUAUGUCCAGCCAAAGUAGUUGUACACAUACAUUACUAUGUUCUAUUAUUUGAGAUUCUAAGAGAACAUUUAGUAACUAGCCCGUGCGAUGCACGGGUUCACGACUAGUAUAUAUAAAGCUUAAUGGUGCCUAAGAAAGCUCGCACAAUUUUACAGUGGCUAUGGAAAUGUGUUGCCAAACUGAGACAUAAGAUUUUCAUUUGGCAUCCAGAGUUGCAGACCGCUUGUGUUAUCCUUAAUCCAUGGCCACUCUAAUUUUUCCGGCUGGGCCUUCCCUGUGGUACCGCGGCAAGGCUUGCGUGUGUAUAUGUUUCCUUUAACUACCACUAGCACAUAUGCCCAUGCGUGCGUUGCAAUGGGAGAGAUAAUGGCAUAUCCACCAAUAUAUCUAGCAGCAUGACCCAACAACAUCCGAAUGAUGUCACCCGACGACGGCAGGAAGGCACGCACAGAGGUCUAGUAAAAACUCAUCAAUUGUACGGGCAUGGUUAAUUCGCGUGAAUUCAAGGGUGUGAGAUUAGUUAGUGUUGGUCCCACAAUUGAAUUCGGGGGGUGAUUAGUUAGUGUGGGCCCACCCUUGAAUUCACCGGGGGAGACAAAAUAAUUAGGGCGAGGAGAGAUUUACGGGGCUUGGUCCCCAGAUGCGUUGCGGCAGUCAUUAUUCGAGCAUUGCAAUGCUCGCACGUGAGGAGCUCCUUUUCCAAUUGUAUAUUAAGAAGCAUGCUAUAGAUACAAUGUUUUUGAUACAUUUUUGUACGAUGAUCCUGAUCUUAAAGGGCCUUCUAAUUUUUAAAUCUUAAAGGCAUUAUUUGUAAGUUGUCGUGAAAAAAAUCUCGCUAAAAGGGUUGUGUUAGACCAUCUUCAGUACAUUAGAAAUAACGAAUUAUAAUUCCUUGGCAUUUGAACAAACAAUCCCUACUUAUUUACACAUACAAUACUUUUGGUAUGAUUUUGAAAUCUUGAAGGCAUUAUUGUAAGUUGAAGCAAUUUUGAAAUCUCACUAAAAGGUCUGGUAAGCUUUAGAAAUAACUAAUUAUAAUUUUGCAAAAAAAAGAAAUAACUAAUUACUAAUUUUGGUAUGAUUUAUUGUCUGGGUAGUAGUUCCUUUGCAACAUUAUUCUCUCCUUUCUUGAAGGAACUCUUGCCUGCUCCCUCGCCAUGCUCCCAUCCAUGCUCCCACUCCAUCCUAUGGUUGUCCUUUUUUCCUUUUUCUUUCUAAACUAAUCAUCUCCCCCCCUGAUUUUAAGGGGAUGGGGCCGGGCCUUAUUUUGUUCCAAUUAAAUCAUGCCACGUAUGCGGGAGCAUUUUGUCCCUCCUUCUAGCGCCUCCCACUGAAAAUGCCCUAAAAGUUUUUGAGGGAUUUUUUUACUGUGUCCUACUUCACGAAUCACGAGGCAAAUCAAGUAGGCGGCAUGGCCUGGCCGGUGAGUGCCAUUGCACUUACUUGCCCCAGCGAUUUUCCGCCUGCAUUGUAGAAUUCUUUCUCCGAGUCCUGUGAAUUAAAGAUGGUGCAGACAAAAGUAUAUCCUAUAUGCGUACAUGUGCAUGAUCAGAACAUGUUUUUACGUGCGUCUACUAUAAAUCAUGACCAUUUUUAACACAAAUCAUGACCAUUCAUGAUUAGUGAAUCAUACUGUCUUAACUUAUGUGAAAUCAUGUGGAGUAAUAUAAUAUAAUAUAAUAGAUAGAUAGAUCCAUGUUGUAUUAUUUUUUGUUUACAAAAAAUAUCUGUCAUUACACAUUUUGAUUUAUGCAUUUGUUUACAAAAAAACAGUAACAUUUCAUGGUGGAGAGUUUGUAUUGUUUCAUACUGAACACCAAUGUUUUCCCGUAAAAGAAAAUAAUGCCUACGCAUAUGCUUUUAUAUUAUUAUUAUUCUUUCAAACUUAUUCAUAUAGUAUUUUUGAUUGUGCAACCAUAAUUUUUAUUAUCUCUCUCGUUCCACUACAUGCUCUUACUCAAUGAUUUUUUUAUAAUGGGUGUUUUUAUUAACUCAGCCAAAACAUAAUGAGCCACAUCCGGUCUCUGCAUAACUAAGAUGCACACAGCCAAAAGCAGAAGUCUGACAAAAAUAAGAUAAGAAAAUCAACAUAUCGACACCAGUGAGUCAUAUAGUUCCGACACUAUGCCUCUGUUGAAGGACGGGGUGGAGCGAUCUGGAGAUUAUGCUUCCCUCCAUUUUGAGUAAAUACCUCCCUGGCCACUUGUUCCAACCGCAUAGACGCCGCCACGAAUAAUGGUUGGUACUCUGUUCGGUGUAGCAUACACCAUGUAGGAACUGAGUGCUCACUCCUAGUUACUAAAUUAUGUACACACUAGUAGAAAAAGGGCCAUUUGUCCCGGUUCGUAAGGCCCAUUUGUCUCAGUUAGGGAACCGGGACUAAAGGGUCGGUACUAAAGCCCCACACCUUUACUCCCGGUUCUUACACCAACCGAGACAGAUGGGGCUCCACGUGGCCGCUGCGGCUUGCCAUGGCAGGGGGGCCUUUUGUCCCGGUUGGUAGCACCAACCGGGACCAAUAAGCUACCACGCGUCAGCAUUUGAGGGGCUUGGGUUUUUGUUUUUCUUCUGAAGGGGAGGGGAGGGGUGUUGGGGGUUUUGGGGGGUUUUGUAUGGUUAAUUUUGGGGGGUUUCAUAUAUUGUGUUAGGUAGUAAUUAAUUAAUAGAGAGAAGUGUCCUCUCUUAUCUCCGUGCUUGGUCGACGCUACGUACUAUACGUAUAGAGAGGCCCUCGACACACUUGCCAGUAAGCAAAUGAAGGAAACCAUUAAGUACAGAAGUUCGUCAUGAACAUAUGCAUACAAACAUAAGUGAUAUCGACCUCUCCUUCUCUGAGAGAUAGGUCGAACAACAAGUUUCCGUAUAUCCAUCCGGCGCUACUAGCUACUUAUAUACAAUAUUAAGAUCUCUUACAAUAUAAUCCCCUAAUUAUAUAUGAACUCAGUUUCCAGAUGGUAUUCUCGGGCUUUAUUGAUGACGUGGUCAAGAAAGAAUCCCUCCAAUUCCUCUUGAAUUGCUUUGAUGCGAUCUUGUGGUAGGAGUUCAUCCCGCAUCUGCCACAUCUAAUUUGAAGAAGGGGGUCAAUCACUAGUGGAAUAACAGCCAUUUGUCCAAGUUCAUAAGGCUCAUUUGUCCCGGUUGGGGAACCGAGACUAAAGGGUCGUUACUAAAGCCCUACACCUUUAGUCCCGGUUGUCGGUGUCAAAACCGGCGGAUCUCGGGUAGUUGGUCCCGAACUGUGCGUCUAGGCCGGAUGGUAACAGGAGGCAAGGAACACAAUGUUUUACCCAGGUUCGGGCCCUCUCGAUGGAGGUAAAACCCUACGUCCUGCUUGAUUAAUAUUGAUGAUAUGGGUAGUACAAGAGUAGAUCUACCACGAGAUCAAGGAGGCUAAACCCUAGAAGCUAGCCUAUGGCAUGAUUGUUGUGUAUGGAGUUGAUUGCCUACGGACUACAACCCUCCGGUUUAUAUAGACACCGGAUAGGGUUAGGGUUACAUAGAGUCGGUUACAAUGGUAGGAGAUCUUGAAUAUCCGCAUCGCCAAGCUUGCCUUCCACGCCAAGGAAAGUCCCAUCCGGACACGGGACAAAGUCUUCAAUCUUGUAUCUUCAUAGUCCAGGAGUCCGGCUACCCGAACACCCCCUAAUCUAGGACUCCCUCAGUAGCCCCUGAACCAGGCUUCAAUGACGACGAGUCCGGCGUGCAAAUUGUCUUCGGCAUUGCAAGGCGGGUUCCUCCUCCACGUCCUUCAUAGAAGAUUGUAAACACCAAGAGUAGUGUCCGGCUCUGCAAAAUAAGCUUCCACAUAUUUCCGUAGAGAGAAUAAUAUUAACACAAAUCAAAUCUGCUGACGUAUUCCGCAGUGCGUCAUCACACUGCAGCCAAGUCCUUCACUCGAAUCGUUUUCACUUUUCCACCUCAGCGUGUUUUGCGAGGCGGUUUCCUUGGCACGUCUUGUCAAAGUAGAUAUCGUGUACCCCCCUUUUACGGGAUUCUCAUCAAUACAGACAUGGGUAACCCAACCGCGCCACUUAUCUCGACGCUUGGGAGGCAAGCGAGUUUUACUAGGCAGGUGGGGACGCACAACCGCAUCUACCCAUAUAAGGGGAUAAGGAUCCACCUUUUUACCUACGCCUUCUUCCUCCUUUGCCUAUCCAUCUCCUGCGCACCCGAGCUCCAGCGCCCAAGCCCGCACUUCCCACCUCGACCUUCUCCAGCAAUGUCCGGAGCGGGAGGCAAGUGGAUGGUCUCUACCACCACGGAGGGUAAAAUCAAGAAGCUAAGGAAGGCCGGAUACCUGUCCAAGGACAUCGCGCACUGGCUUCCCGAAGAGGGGCAGCUUCUCCCCACCCCAAGGCCCCAUGAGAGGGUAGUAUUUCUCCCCCACUUCCUCCGCGGACUGGGUUUUCCACUCCACCCAUUUGUCCGGGGGCUCAUGUUCUACUACGGCCUGGAUUUCCACGAUCUGGUCCCGAACUUCAUCCUCAACAUCUCGGCGUUUAUCGUCUUUUGCGAGGCUUUUCUCCGCGUCCGCCCUCAUUUCGGCCUCUGGCUCAAGACCUUCAACGUCAAGCCCAAGGUGGUGUGCGGCAGCCAGGCGGAGUGCGGAGGCGCCAUGGUGGGCAAGAUGGCCAAUGUCAUAUGGUUCGAGGGCUCUUUUGUGGAGACCCUAAAGGGAUGGCAAUCUGGGUGGUUUUACAUCACCGAGCCGCGCGAUCCGAAAUGGACCGCAGCCCCCGAGUUCCGAUCCGGACCCCCCAAGCGGCUUGUGUCCUGGAAAGAGACGGGCCUGUCAUGGGGUGACGAAAAUGAGGUGACCGGAUUGCAAACAUGCAUCCAGUCCCUGGUGAACAAGCCAGUCUGGCUUGUUAAUGUAAUCCAGGUUAUGCUCGUCCGCCGGAUCCUCCCGUGCCAACAACGGGAUUUUAAUCUAUGGGAGUUCGACCCGGUGCAGCAUCAAACCCUCAGCAGGCUCUUCGACACGACGUACGAAGACGCCUGGAAGAUGCUAUUAAAGGGCGUCGAGGCUCCCGCAUCCGCUUCCGAGGACCGCGAAUACAGCUCGCAGCGUCACGCUAGCGAGGUAAGCCAUCUACACCUUUUAUAGGAUGUUCAAGCUUUUUUCAUAGUUUGACUCUAUGUGGGAUCUAAACUCCCUUACCUUUGAAAGGCUUGGCGGGCAAUAUCCGGACCGAUUAACUGUCCGGCUCCGCUGCCCGAAGACCCAGCCCCAGCUCUACUAGUGAAGCUGCUGGUUCCGGAGCCUUAUGUGGUGCCGAAGACGAAGGCCAAGAAGAAGAAGACCACAGGGACUCGAAAGAGUGCAUGCAACGUGGUGGUGUCGGACUCGUCAUCUGACGAGUCCAAGACGCCCUCCUCCCAUGAAAACGAGGAGGAGGAAGAAGAAAACUCCCCCCCCCCCCCAGCGGAGGGAGGAGAGAAGAGGAAGGCCGCCCCAACGGGGGAGGCCGAGGGGUCUAGGAAAAGGAAGACCCCUCCGCCAGACUACGCCCCCGACGCCGAAGAGGGCGAAGAGGAGUGGCCGAACAGGGCCAAACGUCCGGCGAAAUCGUAAGUUCGGAUAUCAGAGUAACUCAUGAUGUUCCUUUGUUGCACAGCUUUCCCUAAUGUCGAAUGUAAUUAUGCAGUCCGCCCCGGGCCAAAUUCGACGAAUCAUCGUGCGGCUCCCUGGACUCAUCGGACGUGAACUCAGUUCCGCCCGCUGUCUCCCCCCGCACUGUGGACGACGCCGAAGUGGCGUCGCGACAAGCCCCGGGGCAGGAGGAGGUGGUCCCGGAGGAGCCACAAGGCAACCUCCCGGACUCCAGGAGUGAAGGGGACAAGACCCCCCAGGGCUCCAAGUCUGGCUUUGAGCCGGACACCGCACCGGAAUCUACAACAGUUCCGGACCGCGGUAGGCGAACUCCUUCCAAGAGGAGUAAGCCUUCUGAGCCGGCGUCCUCCGUCCAGCCGAAGGCGCCGGAAAAUCUGCUGGAGGAGCUUAAGGGCGCCUCCAUCGACGAGGAGCACCAUGCCAUCAUGAGUAUGGUGGUCCAGAAGGUUCGGUCCGCCAAAAGCGGACUGACUGAAGCUUGUAAAAAUAUGUAAAAAUAUUACCGUAUAGACAGUAGCCCCUGAUGCUCUGUUUGGCGUUCGGAAAGAAAAGCUGGAUAGAGGAUCUAUUAAAUAUCGCAGGAGUCUAACUAAAAAGCAGUCAAUAUACGUAUGCAGGCUUCGCUGCUGGCCACCGCUGCACUGACUGCGGAGGUGGGUGCCCUGAAACAGGGCCUCGAGCGGACCGAGCAAGAGCUCGGCCUUGCCAAACGGCAGCUCGAGGAGAAAGAAGGUAAGAAAUACCUUACAGAAAAAGUGCCUAUAAAAAGACCUGAUUGCAAAAAAUAACAGGAUUGUACUGCUUAUUGUAGGGGCCACGACUGAGGUGGCGACCCUCAAGCAGGCGCUGUCCGAGGCCAAAAAGAAAACGGCCGUGGAGUGCACCGAGCGAGAGAAACUUGAGGCCCAGGUCAGCGAGGUGCAGCAGGAGCUUCAGGCUCUCAUGAAAAAACAUGAGAGUUUGGAGCUUGAGUCCAAGACGCAAGCGUAUGAGCUCGCGGCGGCCCUUGAGACUGCCAAGUCUGCCAAGGCCGAAGCCCAAAAGGCCCUCCAAGAGUUGGAGGAGAUGAAAAAGAUAGCGGCGGGUAAGGCAUUCUUUAUGCAAAGCAGAAGUAUAAAAGUGAAGUACUUGUUACUUACCCGAAUCCAGAGCUCUCCAGGGGCAUUCGCAGAUCUUCCCCGCGGCGUAUCUGACGCCGCUGCAUUCUACCGAGCCGAAGAGGGCAGCUCGACGGAGAAGGUGUUCUGGUUUCAGUAUGCUGAGGCCGGACACCCUGUGCCCUUGAGCGACCAGCUGAAACAGCUGGUCGAGCUCCACAAGGCGGCCGAGCAGGCCAUGAAGGGCUUCAUAGUUCGGCUGUGGCCCGGAGAGGCCCUGCCUGGGAGCUACUUCGGGUUGGUGUGGCGACUGGUGGAGGCCUGUCCAAGGCUCGAGGUCAUUAAGUGCUCCGUCUGCAUCGAAGGUGCCCGUAGGGCCCUUGCCCGUGCAAAGGUGCACUGGGGCAAGCUGGACGGUGAGAAGCUUGUGAGGGACGGGCCGCCGCCGGGGAAGGAGCAUCGCAAGCCCGAGAACUACUAUAAGGAUGUUCUAGCGGGUGCCCGCCUUGUGGCGGAUGAAUGUACCAAGGAUGUAAUUUUUUAAUGAACUCGCUCGUGUUUAUCCUGUGUGCUGAAAAGUUGUUCAUAUGCGCUAAGCAAUGCUUGUUGAAUUUAAAAUAUUACUUUCUGUGCGGCCGUUUAUCAAAAAUUGAGAGAUGGCCAGUCGGCGGCUUCUGCCCCCAUGCCACUAGUGCUGGGGUGUUCGGGAUAAACCUGAGCGCUCUUUUUCCCAUAGUUGGAUCCUUCGAGGGAGGCGCUCAGCACAACGAACCAGGCAAUCGGACUAUAAUGCUUGAACACUCUAACUUAGCCAUAGAACUCUAUAAUUUUAAAUUUCGGCGAAGCCCCUAGUUCGGAAGACCGAGUUCGGGGCGCUAUCCACGCCUUGGCCGGACAAAGCCGGCUCCUCGCUCGAAGCGGCAUAAGUCUUUAGGGACUCGAAAAACCUGUCGAACAGCGACCGGUCUCUCACCAUAUCAUGACAGUCAGUUUUACCUUUCUCCACUGAGGUGCUUAACCCAGCUCAACCGGGGCACAAUCGCAGUGGUUCUCCUAGUGCUACCUUAGCCGAUAUAGCGGAACGUAAGGCACCAAAACAUAGGAGCCAGGCAAACGCAACUAUUGACCCAAAUCAUGAUACGGAGCCGAUGCAUAUAGUGCUAUAAGUUCGGGGUGCCGUACUUGUGAAAGUGUACGGACUUCUCACGCCAUAUUUAUGGGUACUAAAGCCCCUGACGUAUUUUGCCGUACCACGGUGUACGGGUGCAACAUGUCAUAAACAUAUAUAUGAAAAGGUGAUAAUGCGAAAAAUAGACAGAAAGCUAUCCAUUGUUUAUAGAGAGGCUAUUUAUCAAAGCCGAACGAUACAAAUAGUGCGGUAAGCAAAAAAUAUUGGACUAUUUAGUAUGUCCUGACCAGGAGCAGGCCGCGGAAUUGUGUUUAAAACAGGUAUACCGCUCGUAACAGAGACCACCUGGGAGUUCCAUAAUGCGGCAUGGCUUGUCUUCCUCCCUGGAUCUUGCAUCGUUUGUGCGGCCGUCGAAUUGCCGAACAGGUCGUCCGAAGUAUGGAGUCCUGAAAGUAAGAAAAAAAUUAAAAAAAGAAUCCGGCAGCCCCUAGUACGUUUUAAGUCGUAUUUUGGGCGUGCCGUUAUUGCCCCUUCCCCUGUGCCCAUGGUAUUUCAAGGGCGUAGUUAUGUACGCGGGGUACUGGUUUCGCUAUGUCGCGAAAGCUGGGGUUGGGGCCACAUUGCUACGCUUGCUUAGAGUGUGCCAGGCGGUCCUGCUGUGGGUUACUCCAGGGGCGCCUGGCAGUGUCUGGCUUUUUAAUGGCCGGACUAGAGAAUUGCCUGAGAAGGCUACUUUGUACCUCCGCUGCGAGAGCCGCCGUAUGCUCCCCCAUAUGGAGGGAGCGUUCGGUGUUUCCGUUGACCGUAAUUACUCCUCGAGGGCCUGGCAUCUUGAGCUUGAUAUAUGCGUAGUGCAGCACCGCAUUGAACUUUGAGAAUGCAGUUCGUCCGAGCAGGGCGUGAUAGCCACUGCGAAACGGGACUAUAUCGAAGAUUAACUCUUCGCUUCGGAAAUUGUCCGGGGAUCCGAAGACCACGUCAAGUGUUACUGAGCCUGUACAGUUGGCUUCUACACCUGGUAUAAUGCCUUUAAAGGUCGUUCUUGUGGGCUUAAUCCUUGAGGGAUCUAUGCCCAUUUUCCGCACUGUAUCCCGAUAAAGCAGGUUCAGGCUACUGCUGCCGUCCAUGAGGACUCUUGUGAGAUGAAAUCCGUCGAUGAUUGGGUCGAGAACCAAUGCGACGAAGCCGCCAUGACGGAUGCUAGUGGGAUGGUCCCUUUGAUCAAAAGUGAUUGGGUAGGAGGACCAUGGGUUGAACUUUGGGGCGACUGGCUCCAUCGCGUAUAUGUCUCGCAGCGCACGCUUCCGCUCCCGCUUGGGAAUGUGGGUUGCAUUUAUCAUGUUCACCGUCCGCACUUGUGGGGGAAAGCCCUUCUGUCCAUUGUUGUUCGGCGGCUUGGGAUCCUCAUCGUCGUUGUGCAGCCCCUUUUUCUCUGUUUUUGGCCCUUAACUUGCCUGCCUGCUUGAACACCCAACAAUCCCUAUUAGUGUGAUUGGCUGGCCUUUCGGGGGUGCCAUGUAUCUGGCACAAGCGAUCGAGUAUUCGGUCCAAACUGGACGGGCCCUGAGUAUUCUUUUUGAAUGGCUUUUUCCGCUGACCGGAUUUAUAGCCUUUGAAUCCGGCAUUGACUGCCGUGUCUUCAUUGCUGUUGCUGCUAACGCGGCGUUUUUGCUUAUUCCGACGUGUCCUGCCACUUUUGUCCUUGGUAUCCGAAUUACCAGGGUUCUUUGAUAAGUUGUUACUGCGAGCUAGCCAGCUAUCUUCUCUCGCGCAAAAGCGGGUCAUGAGUGUCGUGAGGGCUGCCAUGGAUUUCGGCUUUUCCUGUCCCAGGUGCCGGGCAAGCCACUCGUCGCAGAUGUUAUGCUUCAAGGCUGCCAGGGCCUCUGCGUCCGGAUAGUCGACUAUCUGGUUUUUCUUUGUUAGGAACCAUGUCCAGAAUUGUCUGCCGAUUCCUCUGGCUGCUGAAUUAUGUGGCUUAAGUCGUCGGCAUCCGGUGGUCGCACGUAAGUGCCCUAGAAGUUGUCGAGGAAUGCGGCUUCCAGGUCCUCCCAAGAACCGAUUGAGUCUGCUGGCAAGCUGUUAAGCCAAUGCCGGGCCGGUCCUUUAAGUUUGAGCAGGAGCUAUUUGAUGGCGUGUAGAUCAUCGCCGCGUGCCAUGUGGAUGUGAAGGAGAUAAUCCUCGAUCCAUACCGCCAGAUCUGUUGUGCCAUCGUAUGAUUCGAUGUUUACGGGUUUGAAACCCUCUCGGAUUUUAUGAUCCAUUACUUCGUUCGUGAAGCAUAGCGGGUGUGCGGCGCCUCUGUAUUGGGCUAUAUCAUGACGCAGCUCGGAAGAGCUAUGUCUGUUGUGUUCGGCCCGGCCGGAUUUGUUGUAUCCGGAGUGAAGAUCAUUGUCACAUGCUGUAGGGUGGCUGCGCGAUCCGUAGAUCGAUCUUUUUUGUCUUGCCUUAUCCUCCAGUAUGUCUCGCAGAUCGGGCGCAUUUUCCCGUGCCUUAUUUACGCACCGUCGGGGCAUGGCUUGGGUGGAGGGCCGAGAGGCCUCUCUGUCGCGGCCGUGAGGUGGCCGGUCUGCCAUGUCAUUCGCUGGUGACGUAGGUACUUCCUCCUCUGAUCGGGGUAGCGGCCUGCGCUUCGGGUAACUCUUGGAGGGGCGUUCGUGUUCAUACUCUUCGGCUGCAAGGACUUCAGUCCAUCUGUCAGCUAGCAAAUCUUGGGCGGCUGUAAGCUGUUGCUGCUUUUUCUGGAGGCUGCUUGCCAUGGCUAAAAGCCUGUGUUUAAAACGCUCUUGUUCGGCGGGGUCUGAUGGUAUGACGAAUUUGUCGUCAUCGAGGCUUGCCUCGUCUCCAGAGGGAGGCGUAUAGUUAUCAUCCUCGACUUCUCGGUCUGCCGCUCUCUCAUGAGGGCUGGCUACUCCAUCUCCCUGUGCCGAAUCUUGCUGAGGUGGGUGUUCUUCGGCGUUAUCCGGGGUAGUAUUAUCUCCCGUGCCGGAAUCACCGUUUUUGCUUUGGCUGUUUCUUGGGGGCGUCAUCCCCCACUAUUCCAUCACCAUCUCCAUCUUUUGGAGUAUCCACCAUAUAUAUGUCAUAUGACGAGGUGGCCUUCCAGCGCCCUAUAGGUGUUGGUUCCUAUUCGUCUCCUACUUCGUCGUCCAUGCCGUCGAUGUCUUCGGAGCCGAAGUCACGCAUGUCGGUUAAAUCAUCGACAGUGGCUACAAAGUGGGUGGUGGGUGGGCUUUGAAUUUCCUCAUCGUCCGUAUCCCACCCUCGCUGACCGUAGUCCGGCCAGGGCUCUCUUGAUAAAGAGAGAGACUUAAGAGAAUUCCGGAUGUCACCAAAAGGCGAAUGCUGAAAGAUGUCUGCGGCGGUGAACUCCAUUAUCGGCGCCCAAUUGGAUUCGAUUGGCAGGGGCGCAGGGGGUUUGGAGUCCGGGAAGGAGUCCGGAUCCUCGGAGUCACGGGUCGUCCAGAGUGCGGGGCUAGCGUUCAGCUCGAUCGCUUUCGGGAUCGCAGCCCCUGAGGUGACGUCCAGCCACUCAUCCUCGAUUGGCGCAAUAGGCAUCGAGUUAGGGGUCAGAACCGAUGCGUGUGCGGCCUCCAGGACACUGUCCGGGGGCAGAGCUAGAUCAUGCCCCUCGAGAUAGUGCGGCGCGCUUGACCGUGGCUCGAGCCCGUCGAAGAUCAAGUCUCCGCGGAUGUCAGCCGUGUAGUUUAAGCUUCCAAACCUGACUUGAUGGCUAGGGGCGUAGCUUUCGAUCUGCUCCAGGUGGCCGAGCGAAUUGGCCCGCAGAGCAAAGUUGCCGAAGACGAAGAUCUGUUCGGGGAGAAAAGUAUCACCCUCGACCGCAUCGUUGUUGAUGAUCAAAGGAGCCAUCGGGCCUAAAGGCGACGACACAGAGGAACUCUCAAUGAAAGCACCAAUGUCGGUGUCAAAACCGGCGGAUCUCGGGUAGUGGGUCCCGAAUUGUGCGUCUAGGCCGGAUGGUAACAGGAGGCAGGGAACACGAUGUUUUACCCAGGUUCGGGCCCUCUUGAUGGAGGUAAAACCCUACGUCCUGCUUGAUUAAUAUUGAUGAUAUGGGUAGUACAAGAGUAGAUCUACCACGAGAUCAAGGAGGCUAAACCCUAGAAGCUAGCCUAUGGCAUGAUUGUUGUGUAUGGAGUUGAUUACCUACGGACUACAACCCUCCAGUUUAUAUAGACACCGGAUAGGGUUAGGGUUACAUAGAGUCGGUUAUAAUGGUAGGAGAUCUUGAAUAUCCACAUCGCCAAUCUUGCCUUCCACGCUAAGGAAAGUCCCAUCCGGACACAGGACAAAGUCUUCAAUCUUGUAUCUUCAUAGUCCAGGAGUCCGGCUGAAGGUCUAGUCCGGCUACCCGAACACCCCCUAAUCCAGGACUCCCUCACCGGUUCUUACACCAACUGGGAGAGAUGGGCUUCCACGUGGCCGCUGCGGCGAGCCCAGGCAGGAGGUCCUUUGGUCCCGGUUAGUGACACUGAUACGUCUCCGACAUAUCUAUAAUUUUUGAUUGCUCCAUGCUAUUAUGUUAUCCAUUUUGGAUGUUAAUGGGCUUUAUUUUACACCUUUAUAUCAUUUUUGGGACUAACCUACUAAUUGGAGGCCAAACCCAAAUUGCUGUUUUUUUUGCCUAUUUUAGGUUUUCGAAGAAGAGGAAUAUCAAACGGAGUCCAAACGGAAUGAAAACUUCGGGAACGUGAUUUUCUCAACGAACAUGAUCCAGGAGACUUGGAGUGUGCGCCAAGAAAUAAGGGAGGAAGGCACGAGGCAGGGGUCGCGCCUACCCCCCUUGGGCGUGCCCUCCACCCUCGUGGGCCCUCCACUGCUCCACCGACGUACUUCUUCCUCCUAUAUAUAUACACGUACCCCCCCAAACAACCAGGAGCACCAUGAAAACCUAAAUCCACCGCCGCAACCUUCUGUACCCGAGAGAUCCCAUCUUGGGGCCUUUUCCGGAGGGGGCAUCGAUCACGGAGGGCCUCUACAUCAACUGCAUGGCCUCUCCGAUGAUGUGUAAGUAGUUUACUUCAGACCUACGGGUCCAUAGUUAUUAGCUAGAUGGCUUCUUCUCUCUCUUUGGAUCUCAAUACAAAGUUCUCCUCGAUGUUCUUGGAGAUCUAUUCGAUGUAAUCUUCUUUUGCGGUGUGUUUGUCGAGAUCCGAUGAAUUGUAGGUUUAUGAUCCAGAUUAUCUAUGGACAAUAUUUGAUUCUCCUCUGAAUUCUUUUAUGUAUGAUUCGUUUAUCUUUGCAAGUCUCUUCGAAUUAUCAGUUUGGUUUGGCCUACUAAAUUGAUCUUUCUUGCAAUGGGAGAAGUGCUUAGCUUUGGGUUCAAUCUUGCGGUGUUCGAUCCCAGUGACUGAAAGGGAACCGAUAUUUAUUGUAUUGUUGCCAUCGAGGAUAAAAAGAUGGGGUUUAUAUCAUAUUGCAUGAGUUUAUCCCUCUACAUCAUGUCAUCUUCCUUAAAGCAUUACUCUGUUCUCUUGAACUUAAUACUCUAGAUGCAUGCUGGAUAGCGGUCGAUGUGUGGAGUAAUAGUAGUAGAUGCAGAAUCGUUUCAGUCUACUUGUCUCGGACCUGAUGCAUAUAUACAUGAGCAUAACUAUAUAUUCUCAUAACUAUGCUCAAUUCGAUCAAUUGCUCGACAGCAAUUCGUUUACCCACCGUAAUACUUAUGCUCUUGAGAGAAGCCACUAGUGAAACCUAUGGCCUCGGGGUCUAUCUUCUAUCAUAUUAAUCCUCCAAUACUUAGUCAUUUCUAUUUCUAUUUAUUUUAUUUUGCAUCUUUUAUUUCUCUUUAUCAUAAAAAUACCAAAAAUCUUAUCUUAUCAUAUCUAUCAGAUCUCACUGUCGUAAGUGACCGUGAAGGGAUUGACAACCCCUUUAUCGCGUUGGUUGCGAUGUUCUUAUUUGUUUGUGUAGGUUCGUGGGACUUGAGCAUGAUCUCCUACUGGAUUGAUACCUUGGUUCUCAAAAACUAAGGGAAAUACUUACGCCGAUUUAUUUCAUCACUCUUUCUUCUUCAAGGGAAAACCAACGCAAUGCUCAAGAGGUAGUGUCGGUGUCAAAACCGGCGGAUCUCGGGUAGUGGGUCCUGAACUGUGCGUCUAGGCCGGAUGGUAACAGGAGGCAGGGAACACGAUGUUUUACCCAGGUUCGGGCCCUCUUCAUGGAGGUAAAACCCUAUGUCCUGCUUGAUUAAUAUUAAUGAUAUGGGUAGUACAAGAGUAGAUCUACCAUGAGAUCAAGGAGGCUAAACCCUAGAAGCUAGCCUAUGGUAUGAUUGUUGUAUAUGGAGUUGAUUGCCUACGGACUACAACCCUCCGAUUUAUAUAGACACCGGAUAGGGUUAGGGUUACAUAGAGUCGGUUACAAUGGUAGGAGAUCUUGAAUAUCCGCAUCGCCAAGCUUGCCUUCCACGCCAAGGAAAGUCCCGUCCGGACACGGAACGAAGUCUUCAAUCUUGUAUCUUCACAGCCCAGGAGUCCGGCUGAAGGUAUAGUCCGGCUAUCCGAACACCCCCUAAUCCAGGACUCCCUCAGUAGCCCCUGAACCAGGCUUCAAUGACGACGAGUCCGGCACGCAAAUUGUCUUCGGCAUUGCAAGGCGGGUUCCUCCUCCAAGUCCUUCAUACAAGAUUGUAAGCACCAAGAGUAGUGUCCGACUCUGCAAAAUAAGCUUCCACAUAUCGCCAUAGAGAGAAUAAUAUUAACACAAAUCAAAUCCGCUGACGUAUUCCGCAGUGCGUCAUCACACUACAGCCAAGUCCUUCACUCGAAUCGUUUUCACUUUUCCACCCCAGUGUGUUUUGCGAGGUGGUUUCCUUGGCACGUCUUGUCAAAGCAGAGAUCGUGUCCCCUUUGUUUACGGGAUUCUCGUUAAUACGGACGUGGGUAACCCAACCGCGCCACUUAUCAUGGCGCUUGGGAGGCAAGCGAGUUCUACUAGGCUGGUGGGGACGCAUAGUCGCAUCCGCCCAUAUAAGGGGAUAAGGAUCCACCUUUUUACCUAUGCCUUCUUCCUCCUUUGCCUAUCCAUCUUCUGCGCACCCGAGCUCUAGUGCCCCAUCCCGCGCUUCCUACCUCAACCCUCUCCAACAAUGUCCGGAGCGGGAGGCAAGUGGAUGGUCUCCUCCGUCACGAAGGGCCAUGUCAAAAGGUUAAGGAAGGCCGGAUACUUGUCCAAAGACAUCGCGCACCGGCUUCCUGAGGAGGGGCAGCUUCUCCCCACCCCAAGGCCCCAUGAGAGGGUAGUAUUUCUUCCCCACUUCCUCCGCGGACUGGGUUUUCCUAUCCACCCAUUUGUCCGCGGGCUCCUGUUCUACUAUGGCCUAGAUUUCCAUGAUCUGGCCCCGAACUUCAUCCUGAAUAUCUCGGCAUUUAUCGUCGUGUGCGAGGCUUUCCUCUGCAUUCGCCCCCAUUUCAGCCUCUGGCUCAAGACCUUCAACGUCAAGCCAAAGGUGGUGCGCGGUAACCAGGCGGAGUGCGGAGGUGCCAUGGCGGGAGAAAUUGCCAACGUCCUAGGGCUCGAGGGCUCCUUUGUGGAGACCUUGAAGGGGUGGUAGUCAGGGUGAUUUUACAUCACCGAGCCACGCGAUCCGAAGUGGAUCGCAGCCCCUGAAUUCCGAUCCGGACCCCCUACACGGCUCACGUCCUGGAAGGAGACGAGCUUGUCGUGGGGCGACGAAGGAGAGUUGACCGGACUGCAAAAAUGCAUCCAGUCCCUGGUGAACAAGCAGCUCAAGCUUGUCAACGUAAUCUAGGUCAUGCUCGUCCGCCGGAUCCUUCCGUGUCAAGAACGGGACAUCAAUUUGUGGGAGUUCAACCCGGUGCAGCAACGAACUCUGAGAAGGCUCUUUGACACGACGUACGAAGUUGUCUGGAGGGGGCUAACCAAAGGCGCCGAGGCUCCCACAUCCGCCUCCGAUGACCGCGGAUUCAGCUCGCAGCGUCCUGCUGGCGAGGUAAGAUAUUUCCAUCUUUUACAGGAUAUUAAGUUUUUUCAUAGUUGACUCUAUGCGGGAUCUAAACUCCCUCACCUUUGACAGGAUUGGCGGGAGAAGUCCGGACAGAUUAACUGCCCGGCUCCCUUGCCAAGCCGGAGAAGAGGGCCAAGAAGAAGAAGGCCACGGGGACUCGAAAGAGUUCCUGGCAUAUGGUGGUGUCGGACUCGUCGUCCGACGAGUCCGAGAUGCACUCCUCCCGUGAAUACGAGGAGGAAGAAGAAACCUCUCCCCCUCCAGCGGGGGGAGGAGAGAAGAGGAAGGCCGCCCCAGUAGGGGAGGCCGAGGGGUCCAAGAAGAGGAAAACCCAUCCGCCGGACUACGUCCCCGACACCGACGAGGACGAAGAGGAGUGGCCGGACAGGGCCAAGCGUCCGGCGAGAUCGUAAUUCUUCGGAUACCAGAGUAACUCGUGAUAUUCCUUUUGUUGCACAGGUUUCGCUAAUGUCAGAUAUAAUCAUGCAGUCCACCCAAGGACGGGCACGACGAGUCGUCGAGCGGCUCCCUGGAUUCAUCGGACGCGAAUUCAGUUCCGCCUACUGCUUCCCCCUAUGCUGCAGAUGACGCCGAAGUGGCGUCGCGACAAGCUCCGGGGCGAGAGGAGGUGGUCCAGGAGGAGUCGCGAGGUGACCUCCCGGACUCCAGGAGUGAAGGGGACAAGACCCCCAUGGGCUCCAAGUCCGGCUUUAAGCUGGACACUGCGCCGGAAUCAUCAAUGGUUCCGGACCGCGGUAGGCGAACUCCUGCCAAGAGGAGCAAGCCUACUGAGCCGGCAUCCUCCGUCCAGCCGGAGGCGCCGCACAAUCUGGUGGAGGAGCUUAAGGGCGCCUCCAUCGACGAGGAGCAUCGUGCCGUCAUGAGUACGGUGAUCCAGAAGGUUCGGUCCGCCAAAAGCGGACUGACUGAAGCUUGUGCUAGCCUUCUAACAGGCUUCGAGGUAAGUAAAAAUAUGUAAAAAUAUUACCGUAUAGACAGUAGCCCCUGAUGCUCUGUUUGGCGUUUGUAAAGAAAAGCCAAAUAGAGGAUCUAUUAAAUAUCCCAGGAGUCUAACUAAAAAGGAGUCAAUAUACGUAUGUAGGCUUCGCUGCUGGCCAUCGCCGCACUGACUGCGGAGGUGGGUGCCCUUAAGCAGGGCCUCCAGCGGACCGAGCAAGAGCUCGGCCUUGCCAAACGGCAGCUCGAGGAGAAAGAAGGUAAGAUAUACCUUAGAGAAAAAGUGCCUAUAAAAAGGCUUGAUUGCAAAAAGAGUAACAGGAUUGUACUGCUUAUUGUAGGGGCUACGACUGAGGUGGCGACCUUUAAGCAGGUGUUGUCUGAGGCCGAAAAGAAAACGGCCGCGGAGCGCACCGAGCGAGACAGACUUGGGGCUCAGGUCAGCGAGGUGCAGCAAGAGCUUCAGGCUCUCAUGAAAAAACAUGAGAGUUUGGAGCUGGAAUCGAAGGCGCAAGCAUCCGAGCUUGCAAUGGCCCUAGAGGCUGCCAAGUCUGCCAAGGCCGAAGCCCUAAAGGCCCUCCAAGAGUUGGAGGAGAUGAGGAAGAUAGCAGCGGGUAAGGCAUUCUUUAUGCAAAGCAGAAAUAUAAAAGUGAACUACCUGUUACUUACCCAAAUCCGAAGCUCUCCAGGGGCAUUCGCAGAUCUUCCCAGCAGCGUAUCCGACGCCGCCGCAUUCUGCCAAGCUGAAGAGGGUAGCUCGACGGAGAAGGUGUUCUGGUUUCAGUAUUCUAAGGCCGGACACCCUGUGCCCUUGAGCGACCAGCUGAAACAGCUGGUUGAGCUCCACAAGGCGGCCGAGCAGGCCAUGAAGGGCUUCAUAGUUCGGCUGUGGCCCGGAGAGGCCCUACUUGGGAGCUAUUUCGGGCUAGUGCGGCGGCUUGUGGAGGCCUGUCCGAGGCUUGAGGUCAUCAAGUGCUCCGUCUGCAUCGAAGGUGCCCGUCGGGCCCUUGCCCGUGCAAAGGUGCACUGGGGUAAGCUGGAUGGUGAGAAGCUUGUGAAGGACGGGCCGCCGCCGGGGAAGGAGCAUCGCAAGCCCGAGAACUACUACAAGGAUGUUCUUGCAGGUGCCCGCCUUGUGGCGGAUGAAUGUACCAAGGAUGUGAUAUUUGAAUGAACUCGCUCGUGUUUAUCCUGUGCGCUGAAAACUUGUUCAUAUGCGCUAAGCAAUGCUUAUUGAAUUUAAAAUAUUACUUUCUGUGCGGCCAUUUAUCAAAAAUUGAGAGAUGGCCAGUCGUCGGCUUUUGCCCCCGUGCCACUAGUGCUGGGGUGUUCGGGAUAAACCUGAGCGCUCUUUUUCCCAUAGUUGGGUCCUUCGAGGGAGGCGCUCACCACAACGAAUCAGGCAAUCAGACUAUAAUGCUUGAACACUCUCACUUAGCCAUAGAGCUCUAUAAUUUUAAAUUUCGGUGAAGCUCCUAGUUUGGAAGACCGAGUUCGGGGCGCUAUCCACGCCUUGGCCGGACAAAGCCAGCUCCUCGCUCGAAGCGGCAUAAGCCUUUAGGGACUCGAAAAACCUCUCGAACAGCGACUGGUCUCUCGCCACAUCAUGACAGUCAGUUUUAGCUUUCUCCACUGAGGUGCUUAACCCAGCUGAACCGGGGCACAAUCGCAGUGGUUCUCCUAGUGCUACCUUAGCCGAUAGAGCGGAACGUAAGGCACCAAAACAUAGGAGCCGGGCAAACCCAACUAUUGACCCAAAUCAUGAUUCGGAGCCGAUGCAUAUAGUGCUAUAAGUUCGGGGUGCCGCACUUGUGAAAGCGUACGGACUUCUCACACCAUUAUGAGGGGUUCUGAAGCCCCUGGCGUGUUUGCCAUACCAUGGUGUACGGGUGCAAUCAUGUCAUUUAAUAAACAUAAAUGUGAAAAGAAGACAACGCAAAAAAUAGACUAGAAGCUAAGCAUUGUUUAUAGAGAGGCUAUUUAUCAAAGCCGGACGAUACAAAUACUGAAGUAAGCAAAAGAUAUUGGACUAUUCAGUAUGUCCUGACCAGGGGCAGGCCGCGGAAUUGUAUUUAAAACAGGUAUACCGCUCGUAACAGAGACCACAUGGGAGUUCCAUAAUGCGUCAUGGCUUGUCUGCCUCCCUGGAUCUUGCAUCGUUUGUGCGGCAGUCGAAUAUCCGAACAGGUCAUCCGAAGUAUGGAGUCCUGAAAGAAGAAAAAAUUAAAAAAAGAAUCCGGCAGCCCCUAGUACGUAUUAAGCCGUAUUUUGGGCAUGUCGUUAUUGUGCCCCUUCUCCUGUGCCCAUGGUAUUUCAAGGGCGUAGUUAUGUCCGCGAGGUACUGGUUUCGCUAUGUCGCGAAAGCUGGGGUUGGGGCCGCAUUGCUACGCUUGCUCAGAGUGUGCCAGGCGGUCCUGCUGUGGGUUACUCCGGGCGUGCUUGGCAGUGCCUGGCUUUUUAAUGGCCGGACCGGAGAAUUGCCUGAGAAGGCUACUUUGUACCUCCGCUGCGAGAGCCACCGUAUGCUCCUCCAUACGGAGGGAGCGUUCGGUGUUUCCGUUGACCGUAAUUACUCCUUGAGGGCCUGGCAUCUUGAGCUUGAGAUAUGCGUAGUGCGGCACCGCGUUGAUCUUUGCGAAUGCGGUUCGUUCGAGCAGGGCAUGAUAGCCACUGCGAAACGGUACUAUAUCGAAGAUUAACUCUUCGCUUCGGAAAUUAUCCGGGGACCUGAAGACCACAGCAAGUGUUACUGAGCCUGUACAAUUGGCUUCUACACCUGGUAUAACGCCUUUAAAGGUUGUUCUUGUGGGCUUAAUCCUUGAGGGAUCUAUGCCCAUUUUCCGCACUGUAUCCUGAUAAAGCAGGUUCAGGCUAAUGCCGCCGUCCAUGAGGACUCUUGUGAGAUAAAAUCCUUCGAUGAUUGGGUCGAGAACCAAUGCGGCAAAGCCGCCAUGACGGAUGCUAGUGGGAUGGUCCCUUCGAUCGAAAAUGAUCGGGCAGGAGGACCAUGGGUUGAACUUUGGGGCGACUGGCUCCAUCGCAUAUACGUCCCGUAGUGCAUGCUUCCGCUCCCGCUUGGGAAUGUGGGUUGCGUAUAUCAUGUUCACCGUCCACACUUGUGGGGGAAAGCCCUUCUGUCCAUUGUUGUUCGGCGGCUUGGGCUCCUCCUCGUCGCUGUGCAGCCCCUUGUCUCUAAUUUCGGCCCUUAACUUGCCUGCCUGCUUGAACACCCAACAAUCCUGUUAGUGUGAUUGGCUGGCCUUUCGGGGGUGCCAUGUGUCUGGCAUAAGCGAUCGAGUAUUCGGUCCAAACUGGACGGGCCCUGAGUAUUCUUUUUGAAUGGCUUUUUCCGCUGACCGGAUUUAUAGCCUUUGAAUCCGGCAUUGACUGCCGUGUCUUCAUUGCUGUCGCUGCUAACGCGGCGUUUUUGCUUAUUCCGACGUGUCCUGCCACUUUUGUCCUUGGUAUCCGAAUUACCAGGGUUCUUUGAUAAGUUGUUACUGCGAGCUAGCCAGCUGUCUUCUCCCGCGCAAAAGCGGGUCAUGAGUGUCAUGAGGGCUGCCAUGGAUUUCGUCUUUUCCUGUCCCAGGUGCCGGGCAAGCCACUCGUCGCAGAUGUUAUGCUUCAAGGCUGCCAGGGCCUUUGCGUCCGGACAGUCGACUAUCUGGUUUUUCUUUGUUAGGAACCGUGUCCAGAAUUGUCUGGCCGAUUCCUCUGGCUGCUGAAUUAUGUGGCUUAAGUCGUCGGCAUCCAGUGGUCGCACGUAAGUGCCCUGGAAGUUGUCGAGGAAUGCGGCUUCCAGGUCCUCCCAAGAACCGAUUGAGUCUGCUGGCAAGCUGUUAAGCCAAUGCCGGGCCGGUCCUUUAAGUUUGAGCGGGAGGUAUUUGAUGGCGUGUAGAUCAUCGCCGCAUGCCAUGUGGAUGUGAAGGAGAUAAUCCUCGAUCCAUACCGCCGGAUCUGUUGUGCCAUCGUAUGAUUCGAUGUUUACGGGUUUGUAACUCUCUGGGAUUUUAUGAUCCAUUACUUCAUUCGUGAAGCAUAGUGGUUGUGCGGGUCCUCUGUAUUGGGCUAUAUCACGACGCAGCUCGGACGAGCUAUGUCUGUUGUGUUCGGCCCGGGGCCGGAUUUGUCGUAUCCGGAGUGAAGAUCAUUUUCCCGUGCCUUAGUUGAGCGGUGUCGGGGCAUGCCUUGGGUGGAGGGCCGAGACGCCUCUCUGUCGGGGCCGCGAGGUGGCCGGUCUGCCAUGUCAUGCGCUGGUGAUGUAGGUGCUUCCUCCUCUGAUCGGGGUAGCUGCCUGCGCUUCGGGUAACUCUUGGAGGGGCGUUCGAGUUCAUACUCUUCGGCCGCAAGGACUUCAGUCCAUCUGUCAGGUAGCAAAUCUUGGGCAGCUCUAAGCUGUUGCUGCUUUUUCUUGAGGCUGCUUGCCGUGGCUAAAAGCCUGCGUUUAAACGCUCUUGUUCGGCGGGGUCUGAUUGUAUGACGAAUUCGUCGUCAUCGAGGCUUGCCUCGUCUUCGGAGGGAGGCGUAUAGUUAUCAUCCUCGACCUCUCAGUCUGCCGCUCUCUCAUGAGGGCUGGCUUCUCCAUCUUCCUGUGCCGAAUAUUGCUGAGGUUGGUGUUCUUCGGCGCUAUCCGGGGUAGUAUUAUCUCUCGUGUCAGAAUCACCGUUUUUGCUUUGGCGGGAUUUAGGGUGGCGCCGCUGGUGCCGGUGCUUUGGUUGUUUCUUGGGGGCGUCAUCCCCCACUGUUCCAUCGCCAUCUCCAUCUUUUGGAGUAUCCACCAUAUAUAUGUCAUACGACGAGGUGGCCUUCCAGCGCCCUACAGGUGCUGGUUCCUAUUCGUCUCCUACAUUGUCGUCCAGGCCGUCAAUGUCUUUGGAGCUGAAGUCAAGCAUGUCGGUUAGAUCGUCGAUACUGGCUACAAAGUGGGUGGUGGGUGGGCUUUGAAUUUCCUCAUCGUCCGUAUCCCACCCUCGCUGACCGUAGUCCGGCCAGGGCUCUCCUGAUAAAGAGAGAUACUUAAGAGAAUUCAGGAUGUCGCCAAAAGGCGAAUGCUGAAAGAUGUCUGUGGCGGUGAACUCCAUUAUCGGCGCCCAAUCGGAUUCGAUUGGCAGGGGCGCGGGUGGUUUGGAGUCCGGGGAGGAGUCCAGAUCCUCGGAGUCACCGGUCGUGCAGAGUGCGGGGCUAGCAUUCGGCUCGAUCGCUUUCGGGAUCGCAGCCCCCGAGGUGACGUCCAACCGCUCAUCCUCGAUUGGCGCAAUAGGUUCCGAGUUAGGGGUCGGAACCGAUGCGUGUGCGGCCUCCAGGACACUGGCCGGGGGCAGAGCUAGAUCAUGCCCCUCGGGAUAGUGCGGCGCGCUUGGCCGUGGCUCGAGCCCGUCGAAGAUCAAGUCUCCAUGGAUGUCUGCCGUGUAGUUUAAGCUUCCAAACCUGACUUGAUGGACAGGGGCGUAGCUUUCGAUCUGCUACAGGUGGCCGAGCGAAUUGGCUCGCAGAGCGAUGCCGCCGAAGACGAAGAUCUGUCCGGGGAGAAAAGUCUCACCCUGGACCGCAUCGUUGUUGAUGAUCAAAGGAGCCAUCGGGCCUAAAGGUGACGAGACAGAGGAACUCUCAAUGAAAGCACCAAUGUCGGUGUCAAAACCAGUGGAUCUCGGGUAGUGGGUCGCGAACUGUGCGUCUAGGCCGGAUGGUAACAGGAGGCAGGGAACACGAUGUUUUACCUAGGUUCCGGCCCUCUUGAUGGAGGUAAAACCCUAUGUCCUGCUUGAUUAAUAUUGAUGAUAUGGGUAGUACAAGAGUAGAUCUACCACGAGAUCAAGGAGGCUAAACCCUAGAAGCUAGCCUAUGGUAUGAUUGUUGUAUAUGGAGUUGAUUGCCUACGGACUACAACCCUCCGGUUUAUAUAGACACCGGAUAGGGUUAGGGUUACAUAGAGUCAGUUACAAUGGUAGGAGAUCUUGAAUAUCCACAUCGCCAAGCUUGCCUUCCACGCCAAGGAAAGUCCCGUCCGGACCCGGGACGAAGUCUUCAAUCUUGUAUCUUCAUAGCCCAGGAGUCCGGCUGAAGGUAUAGUCCGGCUACCCGAACACCCCCUAAUCCAGGACUCCCUCAGGUAGCAAGAUGGAUUUCUGGCGCCGUUGCCGGGGAGACUCGCGCCAAGUAAAGACAUACCAAGUACCCAUCACAAACCCUUAUCCCUCGCAUUACAUUAUUUUCCAUUUGCCUCUCGUUUUCCUCUCCCCCACUUCACCCUUGCCGUUUUAUGCGCCCUCUCUUUUUUCCUUCGCCUCUUUUCCACUUGCUUUGUCAUUAUGGCUAGUCCUUUAUCUACUCCUUUGUCUCCCGAGAAUGAAGUUCUUAAUUUUAAACAAAGGGAGGGAGAAAAUCUAAAAGAUGCUUGGUACAGAAUUUGCAACACGCAAAUUAGAUCUACUAGGAAACAAUCUACUUUUGUUCUUCUUCACAAUUUUUAUGUAGGCAUCACACCUAGGAAUAGAUAUAUUCUUGAUGCCAUUACCGGAGGGAAUUUCUUGGGUAGCCAUACUUUUGAUUCUUAUAAUGCUAUGAUAGAUCUGUUUGGCCCACCACCUCUUUUGGUUAAUGGAACUAUUUUAACUUUGGAACAUGUGAUGCAAUGGCUUGAAAUUAGUGAAAAUAAAGUUGCCACCAUAGAGUUAAUUGAAAAUUUGGAUAGAAAGAUCCACAACCAAAUUACCCAAUACGGAUCUAAGUUAGGAGUUGCUCUUAAAAGUUUUAAAGAAAAGGGACCUAUGGUUAAUGAAAAGAUAGAAAAAGAUUCCACUAGAAUUGUUAAAUUGAGGAUAUUAUUACCAACCUUGGGUCUUCCUUUUCUUCUAUUAUAAAUACUCUACCUAAUGCUAAGAUUGCCAAACUAAUGUAUGUUACAAAAAAUAAUGGUGAAACUUCUAAUAAGGAAAAUGCGGAUCUCAAAUCCAUAAGUGUUCACCCCAAUUUUCUCACUAUCCUGAAGGAACCUUUUGCUACAAAUGAUUUUCUUGAUUUCGUACCUAGGAGUUUGAUAAUUAAUAAAAACCAAGAAACUCCUAAAAGUUAUUGGUGUCUUAUUGAAGAAUCACCUUCCAAAGACGGCAAUACCUAGGUCUAUCUUCGCUUUUAUGCCUAGCUAGGGGCGUUAAACGAUAGCGCUUGUUGGGAGGCAACCCAGUUUUAUUUUUAUUCCUUGCUUUUUGCUCCUAUUUAGUAAUAAAUAAUUUAUGUAGCCUCUGUUUUGGUUUGUGUUUUUUGUGUUUAAUUUGUGUUUGUGCCAUGUAGAACCGUUGGGUAGACUUGGGGAAAGUCUUUUUGAUCUUGCUGUAAAAAACAGAAACGUUAGCGCUCACGAGAAUCGCUGACAUUUUUAUUUGGAAAGUGAUAUUUAGAUAAUUAUUUUUGCAGAUGAUUAAUAGAUAAAUUCCUCACGUCUAGAAAUUUAUUUUAUAAUUUUUGGGGUUACAGAAGUUUGCGUUAGGUACAGAUUACUACAGACUGUUCUGUUUUUGACAGAUUAUGUUUUUCGUGUAUUGUUUGCUUAUUUUGAUGAAUCUAUGGCUAGUAAAAGAGGUUAUAAACCGUAGAGAAGUUGGAAUACAGUAGGUUUAACACCAAUAUAAAUCAAGAUUGAGUUCAUAACAGUACCUUGAAGUGGUGUUUUGUUUUCUUUCGCUAACGGAGCUCACGAGAUUUUCUAUUUGAGUUUUCUGUUGUGAAGUUUUCAAGUUUUGGGUAAAGAUUUGAUGGAUUGUGGAACAAGGGGUGGCAAGAGCCUAAGCUUGGGGAUUCCCAUGGCACACCAAGGUAAAAUUCAAGGACACCAAAAAGCCUAAGCUUGGGGAUGCCCCGGAAGGCAUCCCCUCUUUCGUCUUCGUCUAUUGGUAACUUUACUUGGAGCUAUAUUUUUAUUCACCACAUGAUAUGUGUUUUGCUUGGAGCGUCUUGUAUGAUUUGAUUAUUUGAUUUUUAGUUUACCAAAAUCAUCCUUGCUGUACACACCUUUUGAGAGAGACUCACAUGAUUGGGAAUUUAUGAGAGUACUCGAUGUGCUUCACUUAUAUCUUUUGAGCUAUAUGGUUUUUGUUCUAGUUCUUCACUUAUAUAUUUUAGAGCACGGCGGUGGUUUUAUUUUAUAGAAAUAAUUGUUCUCUCAUGCUUCACUUAUAUUAUUUUGAGAGUCCUUUAGAACAACAUGGCAAUAAUAAAACUGUCAUACAAGUGCAUUGAAUACUAUGAGAAGUUUGAUACUUGAUAAUUGUUUUGAGAUAUGGAGAUGGUGAUAUUAGAGUCAUGCUAGUUGUGUAGUUGUGAAUUUGAGAAAUACUUGUGUUGAAGUUUGUGAUUCCCGUAGCAUGCACGUAUGGUGAACCGUUAUGUGACGAAGUCGGAGCAUGAUUUAUUUGUUGAUUGUCUUCCUUAUGAGUGGCGGUCGGGGAUGAGCAAUGGUCUUUUACUACCAAUCUAUCUCCCUAGGAGCAUGGGCAUAAUACUUUGCUUUGAUAACUUGUAGAUUUUUGCAAUAAGUAUGUGAGUUCUUUCUGACCAAUGUUGAGUCCAUGGAUUAUACGCACUCUCACCCUUCCACCAUUGCUAGCCUCUCUAAUACCGCGCACUUCUCGCCGAUAUCAUACACCCACCAUAUACCAUCCUCAAAACAGCCACCAUACCUACCUAUUAUUGCAUUUCCAUAGCCAUUCCGAGAUAUAUUGCCAUGCAACUUUUCAUCGUUCCAUUAUUAUGACACACUUCAUCAUUGUCAUAUUUGCUUGCAUGAUCAUGUAGUUGGCAUUGUAUUUGUGCAAAGCCACCGUUAAUAAUUCUUCAUACAUGUCACUCUUCAUUCACUUCAUAUCCCGGUACACCGCCGGAGGCAUUCACAUAGUCAUAUUUUGUUCUAAGUAUCGAGUUGUAAUUCUUGAGUUGUAAGUAAAUAAAAGUGUGAUGAUCAUCAUUAUUAGAGCAUUGUGCCAAGUGAGGAAAGGAUGGAGACUAUGAUUCCACAACAAGUCGGCAUGAGACUCCAGACGAAAAUAAAAAAAGAGGGGAAAAAGAGAAAGGCCAUAGAAAAAGAAGGCCCAAAAAAUGAGAGAAAAAGAGAGAAGGGGCAAUGUUACUAUCCUUUUUCCACACUUGUGCUUCAAAGUAGCACCAUCAUCUUCAUGAUAGAGAGUCUCCUAUGAUAUCACUUUCAUAUACUAGUGGGAAUUUUUCAUUAUAGAACUUGGCUUGUAUAUUCCAAUGAUGGGCUUCCUCAAAUUGCCCUAGGUCUUCGUGAGCAAGCAAGUUGGAUGCACACCCACUUAGUUUCUUUUGUUGAGCUUUCAUACACUUAUAGCUCUAGUGCAUCCGUUGCAUGGCAAUCCCUACUCACUCACAUUGAUAUCUAUUAAUGGGCAUCUCCAUAGCCCGUUGAUACGCCUGUUCCGGAGCUCCGCCGGAGGGGGCAUCGAUCACGGAGGGCUUCUACAUCAACAGCAUAGCCUCUUCGAUGAAGUGUGAGUAGUUGACCUCAGACCUAUGGGUCCAUAGUUAUUACCUAGAUGGCUUCUUUUCUCUUUUUGGAUCUCAAUACAAUGUUCUCCCCCUCUCUUGUGGAGAACUAUUCGAUGUAAUCUUCUUUUUGCGGUGUGUUUAUUGAGACCGAUGAAUUGUGGGUUUAUGAUCAAGUCUAUCUAUGAAUAAUAUUUGAAUCUUCUCUGAAUUCUUUUAUGUAUGAUUGUUUAUCUUUGCAAGUCUCCUCGAAUUAUCAGUUGGUUUGGCCUACUAGAUUGAUCUUUCUUACAAUGGGAGAAGUGCUUCGCUUUGGGUUCAAUCUUGCGGUGUCCUUUCCCAGUGACAAUAGGGGCAGCAAGGCAUGUAUUGUAUUGUUGCCAUCGAGGAAAACAAGAUGAGGUUUUCAUCAUAUUGCAUGAGUCUAUCCCUCUACAUCAUGUCAUCUAGCUUAAGGCGUUACUCUGUUUUUAACUUAAUACUCUAGAUGCAUGCUGGAUAGCGGUCGAUGAGUGGAGUAAUAGUAGUAGAUGCAGGCAGGAGUCGGUCUACUUGUCUCGGACGUGAUGCCUAUAUACAUGAUCAUACCUAGAUAUUCUCAUAAAUAUGCUCAAUUCUGUCAAUUGCUCAACAGUAAUUUGUUCACCCACCAUAGAAUAAUUAUGCUCUCGAGAGAAGCUACUAGUGAAACCUAUGGCCCCCGGGUCUAUCUUUAUCAUAUUAAUCUCCUACUACUUAGUUAUUUCCUUUGCUUUUUCCUUUGCCUUUAUUUUACUUUUCAUCUUUAUCACAAAAAUACCAAACAUAUUAUCUUUAUCAUAUCUAUCAGAUCUCACUCUCGUAAGUGGCCGUGUAGGGAUUGACAACCCCUAUUCACGUUGGUUGCGAGGAUUUAUUUGUUUUGUGCAAGUACGAGGGACUCGCGCGUAGCCUCCUACUGGAUUGAUAUCUUGGUUCUCAAAAACCGAGGGAAAUACUUACGCUACUUUGCUACAUCAUCCCUUCCUCUUCGGGGAAAACCAACGCAGUGCUCAAGAGGUAGCAAGAAGGAUUUCUGGUGCCAUUGCCAGGGAGGUCUACGCAAAAGUUAACAUACCAAGUACCCGUCACAUACCCUUAUCUCCCGCAUUAUAUUAUUUGCCAUUUGCCUCUCGUUUUCACCUCCCCCACUUCACCCUUGCCGUUUUAUUCGCCCUCUCUCUCUAUCCUCCCUCUCUUUCUCUAUUUGCCUCUUUUUUCCCGCUUGCUUUCUGUUUGCUUGUGUGUUAGUUGCUUGCUUGUCACGAUGGCUCAAGAUAAUACUAAAUUAUGUGACUUCACCAAUACCAACAACAAUGAUUUUAUUAGCACUCCGAUUGCUCCUCUUAUCGAUGCUGAAUCUUGUGAAAUUAAUACUGCUUUGCUGAAUCUUGUCAUGAAAGAUCUGUUUUCCGGCCUUCCUAGUGAAGAUGCCGGUACCCACCUAAAUAGAUUCAUUGAUUUGUGUGACAUGCAAAACAAGAAAGGUGUGGAUAAUGAUAUUGUUAAAUUGAAGCUAUUUCCUUUUUCGCUUAGAGAUCGUGCUAAACUUGGUUUUCGUCUUUGCCUAAAAAUAGUAUUGAUUCAUGGAAUAAGUGCAAAGAUGCUAUUAUCUCUAAGUAUUUUCCUCCUGCUAAGAUCAUCUCUCUUAGAAACGAUAUUAUGAAUUUUAAGCAACUUGAUCAUGAAUAUGUUGCACAAGCUUGGGAGAGAAUGAAACUAAUGGUACGUAAUUGCCCUGCCCAUGAUUUAAAUUUGUGGAUGAUUAUACAAAAUUUUUAUGCCGGAUUGAAUUUUGCUUCUAGAAAUCUUUUAGAUUCGGCCGCGGGAGGCACUUUUAUGGAAAUCACUUUAGGAGAAGCUACUAAACUCCUAGAUAAUAUUAUGGUUAAUUAUGCUCAACGGCAUACUAAAAGAUCUAAUAAUAAAAAGGUGCAUGCGAUAGAAGAAAUUAAUGUUUUGAGUGGAAAGAUGGAUGAACUUCUGAAAUUAUUUGCUAAUAAGAGUGUUUCUUCUGAUCCUAAUGAUAUGCCCUUGUCUACUUUGAUUGAGAAUAAUAAUGAAUCUGUGGAUGUGGAUUUUGUUGGUAGGAACAAUUUUGGUAACAGCGCGUAUAGAGGAAAUUUCAACCCUAGGCCUUAUCCUAGUAAUCUCUCUAAUAAUUACGGUAAUUCCUACAACAAUUCUUAUGGAAAUUAUAAUAAGAUGCCCUCUAAUUUUGAAUCUAAUAUUAAAGAAUUUAUUACUUUGCAAAAGAAUUUCAAUGCCUUGAUUGAAGAAAAAUUGCUUAAGAUUGAUGAUUUGGCUAGGAACGUUGAUAGAAUUACUCUUGAUGUUGAUUCUUUGAAACUUAGAUCUAUUCCACCUAAGCAUGAUGUCAAUGAGUCUCUCAAAGCCAUGAGAAUUUCCAUUGAUGAGUGCAAAGAAAGAACCGCUAAGAUGCGUGCUAAGAAAGAUGCCUUUAUAAGAGCGUGUUCUUCUAGUUCCUAUGAAAAUAAUGAUGAAGAUCUAAAAGUUAUAGAUGUGUUCCCUAUUAAAUAUUUGUUUUUCAAUAUGAAUCUUGAUAAUGAUGGGACUGAAUAUGAUCCACCUUUACCUAUAAGGCGUUCGAAGAAUUCAGAAUUUGUUGAUCUUGAUGCUAAAAUUGAUAAAGGUGGGAUUGAAGAAAUUAAAACCCUAGAUGUUGCUAAACCCACUAUUAUGGAUUUCAAGGAAUUUAACUAUGAAAAUUGCUCUUUGAUUGAUUGUAUAUCCUUUUUACAAUCCGUGCUAAAUUCUCCUCAUGCUUAUAGUCAAAAUAAAGCGUUUACUAAACAUAUCGUUGAUGCCUUGAUGCAAUCUUAUGAAGAAAAACUUGAAUUGGAAGUUUCUAUCCCUAGAAAGCUUUAUGAUGAUUGGGAACCAACUAUUAAAAUUAAAAUUAAAUAUCAUGAAUGCUAUGCUUUAUGUGAUUUGGGUGCUAGUGUUUCCACGAUUCCAAAGACUUUGUGUGAUUUGUUAGGUUUCCGUGAUUUUGAUGAUUGCUCUUUAAACUUGCGCCUUGUGGAUUCCACUAUUAAGAAACCUAUGGGAAGAAUUAAUGAUGUUCUUAUGGAUGCAAAUAGGAAUUAUGUGCCUGUAGAUUUUAUUCUUCUUGACAUAGAUUGCAAUCUUUCAUGUCCUAUUAUUCUUGGUAGACCUUUCCUUAGAAUGAUUGGUACAAUUAUUGAUAUGAAGGAAGGAAAUAUUAGAUUCCAAUUUCCAUUAAGGAAAUUCAUGGAACACUUUACUAGAAAGUAAAUUAAAUUACCUUAUGAAUCUAUUAUGAUAGCCACUUGUGGAUUGCCUACCAAAGAUGGCAAUACCUAGAUCUAUCCUUGCUUGUUAUGCCUAGCUAGGGGCGUUAAACGAUAGCGCUUGUUGGGAGGCAACGCAAUUUUGUUUUUAUUCCUUGAUUUUUGCUCCUGUUUAGUAAUAAAUAAUUUAUCUAUCCUCUGUUUUGGUUGUGUUCUUUGUGUUUAAUUAGUGUUGGUGCCAAGUAGAACCGUUAGGAAGACUUGGGGAAAGUCUUGUUACACUUGCUGUAAAAAACAGAAACUUCGGCGCUCAUGAGAACUGCUGCCAUUUUUAUUUGGAAAGUGCUAUUUAGUUAAUUAUUUCUGCAGAUGAUUAAUAGAUAAAUUCCUCACGUCCAGAAAUUUAUUUUAGAAUUUUUGGGGUUCCAGCUCUUGAGCUAGGUACAGAUUACUACAGAUUGUUCUGUUUUUGAAAGAUUCUGUUUUUUCGUGUGUUGUUUGCUUAUUUUGAUGAACCUAUGGCUAGUAAAAUAGUUCAUAAACCAUAGAGAAGUUGGAAUACAGUAGGUAUAACACCAGUAUAAAUAAAUAAUGAGUUCAUUAUAGUACCUUGAAGUGGUCUUUUAUUUUCUUUCGCUAACGGAGCUCACGAGAUUUUCUACUUUAAGUUUUGUGUUGUGAAGUUUUCAAGUUUUGGGUAAAGAUUUGAUGGUUUAUGGAACAAGGAGUGACAAGAGCCUAAGCUUGGGGAUGCCCAUGGCACCCCCAAGAUAAUCUAAGUACACCUAAAAGCCAAAGCUUGGGGAUGCCCCGGAAGUCAUCCCCUCUUUCGUCUACUUCUAUCGGUAACUUUACUUGGAGCUAUAUUUUUAUUCGCCACAUGAUAUGUGUUUUGCUUGGAGCGUCUUGUAUUAUUUGACUCUUUAUUUGUUAGUUUACCACAAUCAUCCUUCCUGUACACACCUUUUGAGAGAGCCAUACAUGAUUUGGAAUUUGUUAGAAUAGUCUAUGUGCUUCGCUUAUAUCUUUUGAGUUAUAUAGUUUUGCUCUAGUACUUCACUUAUAUAUUUUAGAGCACGGUGGUGGAUUUGUUUUAUAAAAACUAUUGAUCUCCCAUGCUUCACUUAGAUUAUUUUGAGAUGCUUAAUAGCAUGGUAACUUGCUUAAAAUCCUAAUAUGCUAGGUAUUCAAAGUUAGUAAAAUUUUCUUAAGAGUGUUUUGAAUACUAAGAGAAGUUUGAUGCUUGAUGAUUGUUUUGAGAUAUGGAGGUAAUAAUAUCAAAGUCGUGCUAGUUGAGUAGUUGUGAAAUUGAGAAAUACUUGUGUUGAAAUUUGCAUGUCCCGUAGCAUGCACGUAUGGUAAAUGUUGUGUAACAAAUUUGAAACAUGAGGUGUUAUUUGAUUGUCUUCCUUAUGAGUGGCGGUCGGGGACGAGCGAUGGUCUUUUCCUACCAAUCUAUCCCCCUAGGAGCAUGCGCGUAGUACCGAGGUUUUUGAUGACUUGUAGAUUUUUGCAAUAAGUAUGUGAGUUCUUUAUGACUAAUGUUGAGUCCAUGAAUUAUACGCACUCUCACCCUUCCAUCCUUGCUAGCCUCUUUGGUACCAUGCAUUGCCCUUUCCCACAUUGAUUGUUGGAGCAAACUUCGCCGGUGCAUCCAAACCCCGUGAUAUGAUACGCUCUUUCACACAUAAACCUCCUUAUAUCUUCGUCAAAAAAGCCACCAUACCUACCUAUUAUGGCAUUUCCAUAGCCAUUCCGACAUAUAUUGCCAUGCAACUUUCCACCAUUCCGUUCAUCAUGACACAUUCAUCAUUGUCAUAGUGCUUAGCAUAAUCAUGUAGUUGACAUAGUAUUUGUGGCAAGGCCACCGUUCAUAAUUCUUUCAUACAUGUCACUCUUGGUCCAUUGCAUAUCCCGGUACACCGCUGGAGGCAUUCAUAUAAGUCAUACUUUGUUCUAGUAUCGAGUAGUAAUUAUUGAGUUGUAAAUAAAACGAAGUGUGAUGAUCUUAAUUAAUAGAGCAUGGUCCCAAAAAGAGAAAAAAGGAAGGGCCAAAAAAAGGCCAAAUAAAAAAAUAUAAAAAGGGGGGCAAUGCUACUAUCCUUUUUUCCACACUUGUGAUUCAAAGUAGCACCGUAAUCUUCAUGAUAGAGAGUAUCUUGAUUUGUCACUUUCAUAUACUAGUGGGAAUUUUUCAUUAUAGAACUUGGCUUGUAUAUUCCAACAAUGGGCCUCCUCAAGUGCCCUAGGUCUUUGUGAGCAAGCAAGUUGGAUGCACACCCACUUAGUUUCUUUUGUUGAGCUUUCAUACAUUUAUAGCUCUAGUGCAUCCGUUGCAUGGCAAUCCCUACUCCUUGCAUUAACAUCAAUCGAUGGGCAUCUCCAUAGCCCAUUGAUUAGCCUCGUUGAUGUGAGACUUUCUCCUUUUUGUCUUGUCCACAUAACUCCACUCAUUAUAUUCUAUUCCACCCAUAGUGUUAUGUCCAUGGCUUACAAUCAUAUAUUCCGUGAAAGUUUAUAGGUUUGAGAUCACUAAAGUAUGAAACAAUUGCUUGGCUUGUCAUCGGGGUUGUGCAUGAUGAGAGCAUUGUUGUGUGACAAAAAUGAAGCAUGACUAAACUAUAUGAUUUUGUAGGGAUGAACUUUCUUUGGCCAUGUUAUUUUGAGAAGACAUAAUUGCUUAGUUAGUAUGCUUGAAGUAUUAUUAUUUUUAUGUCAAUAUGAACUUUUGUCUUGAAUCUUUCGGAUCUGAAUAUUCAUACCACAAUUAAGAAGAAUAACAUUAAAAUCAUGCUAAGUAGCACUCUGCAUCAAAAAUUCUGUUUUUAUCAUUUACCUACUCGAGGACGAGCAGGAAUUAAGCUUGGGGAUGCUUGAUACGUCUCCAACGUAUCUAUAAUUUUUGAUUGCUCCAUGCUAUAUUAUCUACUGUUUUGGACAAUAUUGGGCUUUAUUAUCCACUUUUAUAUUAUUUUUGGGACUAACCUAUUAACCGGAGGCCCAGCCUAGGAUUGCUGUUUUUUGCCUAUUUUAGGGUUUCGAAGAAAAGGAAUAUCAAACGGAGUCCAAACGGAAUGAAACCUUCGGGAACGUGAUUUUCUCAACGAACAAGACCCAGGAGAAUUGGACCCUCCGUCAAGACACAAAAGAGGAGGCCACGAGGUAGGGGGCGUGCCUACCCCCCCGGCGCGCCCUCCACCCUCGUGGGCCCCCUGUUGCUCCACCGACGUACUCCUUCCUCCUAUAUAUACCUACGUACCCCCAAAUGAUCAUAUACGGAGCCAAAACCCUAAUUACGCUGCCGCAACAUUCUGUAUCCACGAGAUCCCAUCUUGGUGCCUGUUCCGGAGCUCCGUCAGAGGGGGCAUCGAUCAUGGAGGGCUUCUACAUCAACACCAUAGCCUCUCUGAUGAAGUGUGAGUAGUUGACCUCAGACCUACGGGUCCAUAGUUAUUACCUAGAUGGCUUCUUCUCUCUUUUUGGAUCUCAAUACAAUGUGCUCCCCCUCUCUUGUGGAGAACUAUUCGAUGUAAUCUUCUUUUUGCGGUGUGUUUGUUGAGACCGAUGAAUUUUGGGUUUAUGAUCAAGUCUAUCUAUGAAUAAUAUUUGAAUCUUCUCUGAAUUCUUUUAUGUAUGAUUGGUUAUCUUUGCAAGUCUCUUCGAAUUAUCAGUUUGGUUUGGCCUACUAGAUUGAUCUUUCUUGCAAUGGGAGAAGUGCUUAGCUUUGGGUUCAAUCUUGCGUGUCCUUUCCCAGUGAUAGUAGGGGUAGCAAGGCACGUAUUGUAUUGUUGCCAUCGAGGACAACAAGAUGGGGUUUUCAUCAUAUUUUAUGAGUCUAUCCCUCUACAUCAUGUCAUCUUACUUAAGGCGUAAUAGUAGUAGAUGAGUGGAGUAAUAGUAGUAGAUGCAGGCAGGAGUCGGUCUACUUGUCUCGGACGUGUUGCCUAUAUACAUGAUCAUACCUAGAUAAUCUCAUAACUAUGCUCAAAUCUAUCAAUUGCUCAAUAGUAAUUUGUUCAUCCACCGUAGAAUACUUAUGCUCUCGAGAGAAGCCACUAGUGAAACCUAUGGCCCCCGGGUCUAUCUUUAUCAUAUUAAUCUCCUACUACUUAGUUAUUUCCUUUGCUUUUUUACUUUGCCUUUAUUUUACUUUGCAUCUUUAUCACAAAAAUAAAAAUAUCUUUAUCAUAUCUAUCCAAUCUCACUCUCGUAAGUGGCCGUGUAGGGAUUGACAACCCCUAUUCACGUUGGUUGCGAGGAUUUAUUUAUUUUGUGCAGGUACGAGGGACUGGCGCAUAGCCUCCUACUGGAUUGAUACCAUGGUUCUCAAAACCUGAGGGAAAUACUUAUGCUACUUUGCUGCAUCAUCCCUCACUCUUCGGGGAAAACCAACGAAGUGCGCAAGAGGUAGCAAGGGUUCCUUUUUGUCGACGAUCUGAUGUUUCAACCUUGUUUUCCAGGCGGCCAACGCAUCACUCAACUUGGUCAUGGCGUGUUUGUUUAUCUUCUUCAUUGCCAGGUCCUUAUCUGGAUCUUUAUUAUCCUUUUCAUUACGGUCCGGGAACAAGAAUAUCUGGUGCAGCUUCUUCAGGAGGGAGGGCCUCAUAUUAUCUAUCUUCUAUAGUUUCCCAUCGUUGAUCAUGGCAGUUGUCCGUACAAUGCAACCUAUUUGAUUGCCGUAACACGAUUGCGCUUCCUCGGGUGCUAUUGUCUCAAAAAUACUGUCGUCCAUCUCCGUGACCACCAGUCUAGUACUCAUGAGCUGGUUUAGGCGUCGUGGCCUCUUUGCUGUCGGUUCUAGACUAACUCCCCUAGUCUCGGCACCGGUCUCAGUCUCAUCGCCGGUCUGCAUGUCGGUAUCAGUCCCCGAUGCGACAACACAGUCGCUGCAACAUGGGUAAGGGAGACCACAUCAGUGCUGGGGGUCCGAAAAUUGGGACACACUUUCGCGCGUCGCGGGCCGCCUCUCAGACAGCUAAUGGGGAGGCGGCGGAGUACCUGGGUGCGCGGCGAAUCCCCAAGAACUCGGUGACCAACUUCCUUCCCGUGUGGCGCAUGGAGACGACGGCGACCCUGGCGAAGAGCAGCUUAGCCGCGAGCUGCACAGCCUCGUCCACCUCCUAAGUUGGGACCUCCGUGCGAGCGUUGCGGGGCCGCCGCUCGGAUGGCUUCUGGAAGGCCGUUGUACAUGGGCACAGGGUGAAUCCCGACGAGAGCUGGCCAUUGGCGCGCGCAAGUAGACGACGACGUCCCCGACGAAGAGCUGCCCGGCCAGCUCGCCUCACUCGCCUUUGAUUAGAAAUGAAAGAUUGGGAAGAAGCAGACUUGAGCCUGCAGGGAAAGGAUAAGGUGACGAUGCAGUCUCCACUCGUUCGGGGCGACACGCGUACUGAAUGUAUGAGAAACGUGACGUGGCAGAGACCCCAAGAUACUCCCUCCAUUUAUUUUUAGUCUGCAUAUAAAGUUUGGUCAAAGUCAAGAUUUGUAAAUUUUAACGAACUUUAUAAUAAAAAAAUAUCAGCAUUCACAAUAUGAAAUCAAUAUUACCAGAUGCGUCAUGAAAUGUAUUUCCAUACUAUAUAGUUUUGGUAUUGUAGAGGCACUCUUCCAUAUAAUGAAGUUUAUAAUAUAUGUGCUUAUAUUGUAUUACAAUUGUUUGAAUAGCUUAGCAUAUGUUCAGAUGUAUGAUAUCUGUAAUUUAAGCGCUUGAAUUUUACAUAUAAAUAUUUAUUAAUAAAUAUGUACCCCUAUAAUAGCUAGGCCGUGCCGUUGCACGGGUAGAUGACUAGUGAUUACAAUCUUGUUUGUGUGCAAGUCAAGCUUAUAUAGUUUACACGUAACAACUUGUAGAACAUUACAAAAUUUAUGCUUGCUAAUAACUUCUAGAACACUAGAACACUUGACAUGUAAAAGGAAUUUGACGAGUCAUGGCCUACUAAAGCAAGUUACAUUACUAGUCUUAUCUAUCUUAACAGACCACACAAGAUUACAAACUAAGUACCGUGACAGCCAUGCUUAUCUAGUUUAUGCGUAACAAUUUGCAGAAAAUUAGAAACUUGGUUUCAGAAAAAUACGCAAUCUAGAUUAGUGUUUGAGCUGUAAAGUGAAUAAGAUGAGUCAUGCAUGUUAUCACACCUUUUUGGUGGUGGAAUGAUAGUGCAACAACAAGGAACUUUAAUGACCAGUCCAAGAAUACACUUGUAAGUAGUGCCACCAAACAGAACAUACCAAAUGAUGAUUUUUAGAAGCAUCCAAGCACUUUCCACACAAACAAAUGCCAAUUGUGAAAGAGAUCAUUCCAUGGCAGCUAUAAAUAGCCCCAUAGCAUGAGGUUCAUCCUUCCUCAUCCAUCAUUUUCAUUAGUAGAGCGCAUCAUUUAAGCCAAGCAAGCUGUGGUCAAUACAAAUCCACCAUGAAGACCUUUCUCAUCCUUGCCCUCCCUGCUAUCGUGGCGACCACCGCCACAACUGCAGUUAGAGUUCCAGUGCCACAAUUGCAGCCACAAAAUCCAUCUCAGCAACAGCCACAAGAGCAAGUUCCAUUGGUACAACAACAACAAUUUCUAGGGCAGCAACAACCAUUUCCACCACAACAACCAUAUCCACAGCCGCAACCAUUUCCAUCACAACAACCAUAUCUGCAGCUGCAACCAUUUCCGCAGCCGCAACUACCAUAUUCGCAGCCACAACCAUUUCGACCACAACAACCAUAUCCACAACCGCAACCACAGUAUUCGCAACCACAACAACCAAUUUCACAGCAGCAGCAGCAGCAGCAACAACAACAACAACAACAACAACAACAACAAAAGCAAAUCCUUCAACAAAUUUUGCAACAACAACUGAUUCCAUGCAUGGAUGUUGUAUUGCAGCAACACAACAUAGCGCAUGGAAGAUCACAAGUUUUGCAACAAAGUACUUACCAGCUGUUGCAAGAAUUGUGUUGUCAGCACCUAUGGCAGAUCCCUGAGCAGUCGCAGUGUCAGGCCAUCCAAAAUGUUGUUCAUGCUAUUAUUCUGCAUCAACAACAAAAACAACAACAACAACCAUCGAGCCAGGUGUCCUUCCAACAGCCUCUGCAACAAUAUCCAUUAGGCCAGGGCUCCUUCCGGCCAUCUCAGCAAAACCCACAGGACCAGGGCUCUGUCCAGCCUCAACAACUGCCCCAGUUCGAGGAAAUAAGGAACCUAGCGCUACAGAUGCUACCUGCAAUGUGCAAUGUCUACAUCCCUCCAUAUUGCACAAUCGCGCCAUUUGGCAUCUUCGGUACUAACUGAGAAGAAAAUAACUCUAGUACUAGAUAUAUGAAACACCGUUUUCUCAGUCCAUGGUUUGGUCAUUGUAGCGUCGAAAAAAUAAUGUGACAUGCACUAUCAUAUAAGAAUCCGAACUAUACUAGUUCAAACUUGGGAAUAAAAGACAAACACAUGUCUUGUCUACAUAUUUAUGUUGCAUCUAUUUAUAUAUUAAAAGUAAUAUAAGGUGAACCAGGAGCAAGGUAAAUAUGCUAGAAAAUUGCACGUUAAUUAGAAAUUACUUGCCCUCGAUCUGGUAAAUCUUAACAAAUAGAAUUAUCUUGACCGUUAGAUUUAUAUAACAUAUAUAAUGCUCUGGGCCUCCAACGACUGUACGUGACACAUCUGAACGAACAUAUGGUAAAGAAAAUAUAUUUGGUAAAUGGUGGGCCUGUUUAAAAAGAGAACUCACGUACAUGCACCAACUAAGAAAAACACAUACAUGUAAACGGGAAAAGGAUGAGAUUUUCUCACGUACGUGCUCCCUGGCUCCACCCCGUUGAAAAAAUAUACAUCUGGAGGCCACUUUGUUUCCUCAUCAAAAAAACUUACGUUAAAAAGAUUGCAUGCAUCCCAGGGAAAAUAGUCAAGAAGAAGUCGGACUUUUCCUUACAAAAACAAGGAACGUGUUAAGUUGACUUCAAAGAAAAAAGGAACAUGUUAAGUUAAAAAAAAACAAGAAACCUGUUAAGUUAGAAAAAAACAAGGAACGUGUUGUCCAAGGAAAGAUAUGUGUCAAAUCUUACAAAAAAAAAGAAUACACACACGUACGUUCAUGCACUUGGAAAAUAGAAAAAAAGGAACAUCACGUAUGUAUACACUUCGGAAACUCAUUACAUGACCAUGUCUGAUAUACUCCUCUAAUGCUUAAUAUUAGUGCCUAAUAAUUUAUAUUUAAAAUUUAAUUUACUGAUCAAAUAUCCCCACUGUUUAAAUUUUAAUUUGGCACAUUGUUUGGCUAUAGUAUGAACCUGAAUUUCCUCUUAUUAUUAUAUAUCAUGGUAAUAAUCCAAAGGCGACUAAUCUGCACCGGCGCACCGGCGCAAUCAAUUCGGCUGGACACAGCGCGGCCGUUUGAUUAGAUUGCAUUUAACCAUCAGAUCUGGAAUCGUUUUCUUUCCAAUUAAACGGAUUCAACCAAACAGCAGAGGGGAAAACAAAGCAGCGCCGCCGCCAACACUAGCCAUGGACGACCGAUGUAGCAAAACCUUGAAGAACCGCCGCCGGUCGCCACCCUCGCCUCUGGUCGCUGCCCUCGCCGUCGGUCACCGCCGGUCGCCGCCCUCGCCGCCUGCGUUUCUCAUCGGCUUCAUGCAUGCAACAACAUGCACUCGUGGUUGCAGGCUUGCAUCUCCGGCUCCGGGGACAUGGCCGCAUCUCCGGUAGCGCCGGCCGCCGGCCGCAGCACCUGUCGUUGUGGUCGCGCUGUACCUCGCCGUGUGCCCUCCCGAGGCUCUUGCUGGUUCCAACAAAAAACGAUACCUGUUGUAGCAAAAAAGUAUCGCUUCCAGCAAAAAAGCUUACCGCUACAGCCCGCCAUCGUCAUUGUAGCAAAAAUGUUAACCCGAUGUAGCUUCUGUGGUUGCCGACUGCAGCAAAAAAUGACAUGGCUGUAGCAAAACACAAAAGAAAAACACUGGCCGGCCGCUGUGUAUGGUGGUAACAAACCCUAUAGCCGGUGGUAGCGAAAAACUUCAUAGUGUGCUGCAAAAAAAUGUUGUCACCCGUCGUCGAGGUUGCAUCAUCUUCAUGAAUUAUGCCGCAAAAAAACGUUGUCGCCGGUAGUAGCAAAUGAAGCCGCCGGUAGUAGCAAAACAAGACACUGGUUCCAGCCAAAAAAAAAAUCAGCGACAGAACCUUUGGUUGGUUCCAACAAAAAAACUUGUCGGUUGUAACAUCCCUCGCCGCCGGAUGUAGCAUCUCCCGGGGCUGGUUGCAACACUCCAUAAAAAAAGUUGUCUAUGAGCGCAUCCAUGGUGACUGCUGCACCGUCAGCAAUGAGGGGAAGAGGAGGCAAUGAAAAUCAUUCGAGUCAUAGCUCCACAGGACGCGGCUGCAGCAUGGGGAGUCCAAAAAUCUGUCACAAGCAACAUGCGCCGCGCCAUCCUCCUGCGCAGGAGAGAGAAGAAAAAGGAAUAAGAGGAAGAAGAAAGGAAACAGGAGAAAGAAAAAAGAAAGGAUUGGUGGUUGGCUCAGGCAAUUAGUCAAGCGAGGGGCACGCGGGGCCGCAGGACACAGCGCAAUCGAACGAAGCGCGCGCGUCCGGGCGAAGACUCGGCCGGACUGCCGUCUGGAAACGUUUCCCUAAUCCAAAGGCUUUAUCUGAAUGACAAGUCGUCUGGGUUACCGGCUAACUAGAAAAAAGAUAAAUAUGCUAGAGAAUUCCAUAAUAAUUAGAAAUAUCUAGCCUUUAAUUAUGUAAACCAGAAAAUCACAACCGUUGGAUUUACUUUAAAGGUAAAUUUCUAUAAAUUCCCACCAUUGCCAGUAUGUAGAAACAUGUGCUGCUUCAAUUCUCCCAUAAUCACCAAUCAAUCAACAACACAAAACAUACCUCAGUUAAAAAAACUGAACAAAAAAAAGAAAAAAAGAAGAAAGGACAAGAUACACGCAUGUACACGACAGCCUUGGCUUGAAACACAUCAGUAGAUCAAGUGUCCGCCUCCCUUACACGUACGUCCCAUGAGGUUUACUAGCCUACCGCCGCCGCAUCAUGCCAUCCUCUCCUUUCAGCUCCCAUGCUCUCCAGCACCCUCAUUGCGGCGCCACUACUCGCCUAGGGAUAUUGCUGCUCAGACCGUGGAGCUUAACCACAUCAGCAUCAGCACGUAUGGGCCUCAUUAUACUGCAGCACGUAUUGCGCCCCCUUAAGUCCAGGUCUGUUUGCUGGCACAUAUGCUUUGGAAAUAGGCCACUAUGUUUGUACUUCAAAAUUGUUUCUGUAUUCUUGAGUGGUACAUCCUUUUAAGCGCCAGUUUUUUAUGUUAAUUCAUGCUGACAACACUUAACCUAGCCUUUCAUGUUCACGUACUAAAUACAGGAGCAAGUAAAAACAACAGACCACCUAAUUGCUCUGCAUGUACUACAUAGGAAAAUUUGUCAUGUUCUACGAUCGCACCAUCCCACCCUUCUCUCUUGGUAUGGGCGCCAAUUGAGGGAUUGAUAAAACUGAAACGAAGACGUCACAGGGCUGGAAGUACCGCUAGCCUGGUUUGCACUGCAACCUACCCAACGCCAUCAGAAACUAGCAACUGAGUCAGGUGUUGAUCGAUUCUCUCAAAUUGCUCUCAUGUAAGUACUACCCCUUGCAUGUGCGUACAUACCUUUGUUGCAUUCUCAAACAGAUAGAACAUGUUUGAUCGGUGCAUGGCUAUUUUUCAUCACAUGACAUCCAGAUAACAAGCAUGAAAGGACUACAUUGGAGAUCAAAAAAUAUUGGUUCCUGGCUAGAGUACCACUACCUAUGGACUUGUCUCCAUAGAAUUUGUUCCCAAGAUGUUAUUUUAAUUAAUCUCUUUAGCUUUCUUCCAUUGCAAACGGUGAUGUGCAUCAUGGUAUAUACGUGACCAUCUUGCACAUGUAUACACAAGAGGCUCAGAUGGAGGUGCUGGAUUCUGGACGAGGGAAUAUGAAGCAGGAGUGAGCGAAGAGUAAAUAAUGGUGGGAGUACCGAUUGGUGUUAUGAAGAAAAAUGCCAUCCAAAGAUUGAUUAGUGUCAUGGAAGAUUAAUUUCUGAAUGCGAAUAUAUAUGUUACAUUGGUUUGGAUCUUUUUGAGAUAAUUCCACCUAAAUUAGGUUCUUUCUUAUUUCAUAUGUAUACCUUAUUUCAGUAAAAGUUCACAACGAACUUAGUAGGACAAAUAUAAUUUUGUUUGUUCUUUCUGUUGUCCGCCACCAAAGCUCAAUUUGAACUCUCUAGAAAUGGACAAUGAUUUAUGCAUUCUAUAUCUUCUUGAUUGAUUAGCCAUGACAAGGAAAUAAAAGGAUUGACUGAUAUAGCAUAACUUUGGAACGAUUAGAGGUUACUACAAAUAAGAGUAGUGUCUGUUGGAAUUUUGCUAGUAGGCCUUUGGCCCAAAGCCCAACUAAAAUUCUGAAAUUCUCUUGGCUCAUUUAUGCACACAUGUGAGUUGAGUGAGUGAGACUAAAGUUUAGUCCCACCCUGGAAGUUGAGAGAGAGUUGCACCUCUUUAUAAGGUGAGCUCUUCUACCACUUGUAUGAGCAUGAGAAGAGGAGACCUACACGCGCGCUCCUCCUCCACGCUCGCCACGCCUCGUCGCGCCGCGCCGUGCCGCGGGUUGCGGGAUUGAGCCGAGCCGAGGACGUUUUCUAUAUUUUUGCUGCUCGGGAAAAAUUAAUGAGUCAUUAAUUAAUAAUUAAUGGACACAUUAAUUACUGAACCGUUUCCGAUUUUUUUGGAUCGUGACGACUCGGACGUGGGGUUUACUCCCAGGACCUACCCGGCCCGCACUAUAUAGUCAGGAAGACGUCUACCCUAGCCGCCGCCGCUUCGUAUGGUUUCUCACCAUCGUUACAGAUCAUUGCGCCGCCAAGCAAGUUUUCUCCAUCCCUCCUUUCGGCGUGCACCGGGAGAAGGGACAGCAGACCUCCGGAACCCCGCCUCUCGUGAUCCUAUACGGGAGAGGGGCGAUCAGGUUUUUGGGGAGCGCACUCGCAUGACUGCUGGCAGCGACGACUUCGCAAACGACGACUUCUUCCCCGACCUCGGCAACCUCAUCCUCGACGACAUGGGCGACAACGUCAACGCCGGCGGUGCUACACCCACUGCACCGUAUGUUAUUCUCUCCUUCUUGUUCGAGAUCAUGGUAGAAUUCAUGUUUCUAGUAUAUGUGCCCUAGAUGUGAUCUGUUCAUCUACUAUGGUAGUUCGCAUGAUUAGUUUAAUCUCUGUUAUUGCUGUCAUGAUCUAUUUCCUAUUUAUUCGGAUUAAAUCUCGUAGUAAUUUUCUCAUUUUUCCAACAAUCCAAAAACCUGAUUAUAGGAAAUUUACUCCGAGUGGUUUUGCUGCGCAUCUGAAAGCCGCUUGCCUUUAAGGGGGCGCAAUAUAAGAGGUGGCGCACCAGAGCAGUCUACUGGUUUCAGAUCAUGGGCUGCUAUGACGCCACCAAGGGCAAGCCUGAGGGCGAUCUUAAUCCAGCACAGCUGGAAGCUUUCAAGAAGAUCAAUACCCUCUUUAAAGGCACGCUUCUGAGUGUUCUUGAUGACUCCAUUGUAGAUUCGUAUAUGUCGUUUGACAAUGGCAAGAACAUGUGGGCUACGCUCGAGGCCAAGUUUGGUGCCUCGGACGCCGGCAGCGAGUUGUACGUCAUGGAGCAAUUCUAUGACUCCAAGAUGACUGAUGGGCGCCCUGUUGUACAGCAGGCUCAUGAGAUACAGUUGCUCGCAAAAGAACUUGAGUACUUCAAGUGUGUGUUGGCGAACAAAUUUGUUGCCGGAGGCAUCAUUGCCAAGCUUCCACCUUCGUGGAACAAUUUUGCUACUUCCCUGAAACACAAGAGACAGGAGUUUUUCGUUGCGGAUCUCAUUGGUACUCUUGAUGUUGAAGAGAAGGCGAGAGCAAAGGAUACACGUGCUUGAGUUGCUAAGGGAGGUUCUAGUGCCCACAUGGUACAGAAGAAGAACUUCCAGCCCAACAAGUUCAAAAACAACAAGAACAAAACUUAGGGCAAAGGCAAGUUCGAUACAAAGAACAAGCCAUCACAUUCUACCAACUUCAAGAAGAACUCUCAUAAGAAGGGGAAGGGACUUUGCCAUGUCUAUGGUGAUCCUAAUCACUGGGCUCCGAAGUGUCCCAACCGCUUUGAGGAGCGCGAACAUGAGAAGAGCGGCAAGUCUGCUAAUGUUGUCAUCGGUGAUACUGAUAUGAAGGAAUCAGGGUACGGUAUUUUUCCUACCAUCCUUUCAGUAUUCCAAACCCCUGACUGGUUAAUUGACACCGGUGCCAAUGUACAUGUUUGUGCUGAUGCCUCCAUGUUUUCUUCUUACCAGGCCACUGGGACUUCUCCUAUGCUGAUGGGGAACGGGUCACAUGCCAUCGUUCGAGGUGUUGGUACGGUCGAUCUGAAGUUUACUUCGGGGAAGACCGUGCGUCUGAAGAACGUUCAUCAUGUGCCGUCCAUCAAUAAAAAUCUCGUUAGCGGUUCCCGUUUAUGUCGAGAUGGUUUUAAGUUGGUUUUCGAAUCCAAUAAAGUUAUAAUUUCUAAGUAUGGACAAUUUGUUGGAAAAGGCUAUGAGAGCGGAGGCUUGUUUCGCCUGUCUUUGUCAGAUAUUUGCACUAAAGUUAUUAAUAAUGUUUGCCACAACAAUGAGUCUGAUAUUUGGCAUUCACGACUUUGUCACAUUAACUUUGGUUGCAUGACGCGGCUAGCCAAUAUGAAUUUAAUUCCGAAAAUCUCUACUGUCAAAGGAUCUAAGUGCCAAGUAUGUGUGCAAGGUAAGCAACCUCGCAAGUCCCAUAAGACUGCAGAGGCAACAGACUUGGCGCCACUAGAGCUUAUACAUUCUGAUAUUUGUGAGAUGAAUGACGUGUUGACAAAAGGUGGAAAGAGAUACCUCAUGACGUUGAUUGAUGACUCCACUAGAUAUUGUUAUGUGUAUCUUAUGAAAUCAAAAGAUGAGGCUUUGGCUUUCUUCAAAAACUAUAGAGCUGAGGCAGAGAACCAACUUGAUCGAAAAAUUAAACGGCUUAGGUCCGAUCAUGGUGGAGAGUAUUUUUCCAAUGAAUUUGAUCUAUUUUGUGCGGAACAUGGUAUAAUCCAUGAGAGGAUGCCUCCCUACUCACCCCAGUCAGAUGGGGUAGCCGAAAGAAAGAACCAAACUCUAACUGAUAUGGUUAACACCAUGUUAGACACUUCGGGUCUAUCCAAGGAAUGGUGGGGGGAGGCGCUAAUGACUGCGUGUCAUGUCCUAAACCGAGUUCCCACAAAGCAUAAGACCAUGACUCCAUUUGAGGAAUGUUAAAGGAAAAGGUUGAAACUCUCUUACCUACGUACUUGGGGUUGUUUGGCGAAAGUCAAUAUACCAAUUCCCAAGAAGCGCAAGCUUGGACCAAAAAUCGUGGGUUGUGUUCUUCUUGGCUAUGCUUUUCAUAGCAUCGGCUAUAGAUUUUUGAUAAUAAAAUCUGAGGUAUCCGACAUGCAUGUUGGUACGAUUAUGGAGUCGAAUGAUGCAACUUUUUUUGAGGACAUAUUUCCUAUGAAGGAUAUGUCGAGUUCAUCAAAUCAGGAGACACCUACUCCAUCUAGUGAGGAAUUCAUUGUAAUUCCUGAACCCACCAUUGCGAUGGAACACAUUGAGAAUCCUGUUGAGGGUGACAAUGGAACUCUUGUGAGGAGUAAGAGACAUAGGACUACAAAGUCCUUUGGUGAUGAUUUCAUUGUGUACCUCGUGGAUGACACACCCAGGACUAUUUCAGAAGCCUGUGCAUCUCUUGAUGCUGACUACUGGAAGGAAGCUGUACGUAGCGAGAUGGAUUCCAUCUUAGGUAACGGAACCUGGGAGAUCACUGACCGUCCUUAUGGGUGAAAACCUGUAGGAUGUAAGUGGGUGUUCAAGAAGAAGCUUAGACCUGAUGGUACGAUUGAAAUGUACAAGGCACGGCUUGUGGCCAAGGGUUAUACCCUGAAAGAAGGUGUAGACUUCUUUGAUACUUACUCACCCGUGGCUAGACUGACCACAAUUGGGUGCUACUAUCACUUGUUGCCUCACAUGGUCUUCUCGUUCAUCAAAUGGACGUUAAGAACGCUUUCCUCAAUGGAGAGUUGAAGGAGGAAAUUUACAUGGAUCAGCCAGAUGGUUUUGUAGUACCUGGUUAGUAAGGAAAGGUGUGCAAGUUAUUAAAGUAUUUAUAUGGCCUUAAACAAGCUCCUAAAGAGUGGCAUGAGUAGUUUGAAAGAACAUUAACUGCUACCGGCUUUGUAGUAAACGAUGGUGACAAGUGCGUGUACUAUCGCUAUGGUGGGGGCGAAGGAGUUAUUCUUUGUUUGUAUGUCGACGACAUAUUGAUCUUUCGAACCAAACUUGAUUUAAUCAAGGAGGUUAAGGAUUUCUUAUCUCGCUGUUUUGAGAUGAAGGAUCUAGGAGUAGCUGAUGUUAUCUUAAACAUCAAGCUGUUGAGAGAUGAGAAUGGUGGGAUCACACUGCUUCAGUCACACUAUGUGGAAAAGGUCUUGAAUCGUUUUGGGUAUAGCGACUGCACACCUUCUCCAACCCCAUAUGAUGCUAGCAUGUUGCAUCGAAAGAAUCGACGGAUUGCUAGAGAUCAACUGAGGUAUUCUCAUAUUAUUGGCUCGCUUAUGUAUUUGGCGAGUGCCACGAGGCCAAACAUCUCGUUUGCUGUUAGCAAGCUGAGUCGGUUUGUGUCAAAACCAGGAGAUGAUCAUUGGCAUGCACUUGAGAGAGUUAUGUGCUAUUUGAAAGGCACCGCGAGCUAUGGGAUUCACUACACCGGGUAUCCAAGAGUACUGGAGGGUUAUAGUGACUCAAACUGGAUAUCUGAUGCUAAUGAGAUUAAGGCCACAAGUGGUUAUGUUUUUACACUUGGUGGUGGCGCUGUUUCUUGGAAGUCCUGCAAGCAGACCAUCUUAAUGAGGUCAACUAUGGAAGCAGAACUCACAACAUUAGAAACUGCCACUGUUCAAGCAGUGUGGCUUCAUGAGCUCUUGAUGGACUUUCCUAUGAUUGAAGAACCAAUACCCCCUAUCCCAAUGAACUGUGAUAAUCAAACUAUGAUCGUCAAGAUAAAUAGUUCUAAGGACAAUAUGAAGUCCUCAAGGCAUGUGAAGAGGAGACUGAAAUCUGUCAGAAAAUUGAGGAACUCCGGAGUUAUUACGUUGGAUUAUAUCCAAACGUCAAAAAAAUUGGCAGAUCCCUUCACAAAGGGUCUAUCACGUAAUGUGAUAGAUAAUGCAUCGAUGGAGAUGGGUCUGAGACCCACCGCAUGAGUUGUCCAUAGUGGUAACCCACUCUUUGUGAUCGGAUAUCCCGUGAAGUAUAAGUGGGAGACAAGCUGUUGGUCAGCUGGGAGGAGAGUAUCCCUAUAUUACCUGUCCCACUCCAUGAAGAUGCAAUACUCUCCUAAUCUGCAUGGCAGGUUGAUACUUAUCUUAAUGUGUUCCAAGUGGCUUAUUCGGGUAAGCAGAGAUGUUGUCCUGCAGAACAUCUUCUGAGGAACACACCUAUAUGAAUUUGACUGUUAACGUCGCAGUCUGUGAGAAUUGGGUGUUCUCUAAUAAAUUCAUGAAAAGGCCCUGGAGUAUGACGUAUACGCUCCACCCGCAGGGAAGCCUUGCGGCAGCCCAGUAUCGGUCAAGAAUUUGUGUGAAACUAGUUGCGCAGAAAAUUUGUAGUUCAAGGCAUAGUCCACUAUUCAAGUUGUGAUCUAGUGUAGCAUAAAUCUCUAAGUGGAAGUUCAACUUCACAGUCUCCACUAAGCCCCGGUAUAUAAACAAUGUUUUGGAACUAAAUGAUGAGAUGUGCCAAUGAGACUUUGUGGGGGAUUGUUGGAAUUUUGCUAGUAGGCCUUUGGCCCAAAGCCCAACUAAAAUUCUGAAAUUGUCUUGGCCCAUUCAUGCACACAUGUGAGUGGAGUGAGUGAGACUAAAGUUUAGUCCCACCCCGGAAGUUGAGAGAGAGCACCUCUUUAUAAGGUGAGCUCUUCUACCACUUGUAUGAGCAUGAGAAUAGGAGACCUACACACGCGCUCCUCCUCCUCGCUCGCCACGCCACCCCUCGUCACGACGCGCCGCGGGUUGCGGGAUUGAGCCGAGCCGAGGACAGAGCUAUGCACAUUGUCUAUUUUUUGCUACCCGAAAAAAUUAAUGAGUCAUUAAUUAAUAAUUAAUGGACACGUUAAUUACUAAACCGUUUUCGAUUCUUUUGGAUCAUGAAGACUCGGACAUGGGGUUUACUCCCACGACCUACCGGGCCCGCAUUAUAUAGUCCGGCAGACGUCUACCCUAGCUGCCGCCGCUUCAUAUGGUUUCUUACCACCGUUCCAGAUCAUUGCGCCGCCAAGCAAGUCUUCUCCAUCCGUCCCUUCGGCGUGCAUCGGGAGAAGGGACAACAGGCCUCCGGAACCCCGCCUCUCGUGAUCCUGUACGGGAGAGGGGCGAUCAGGUUUUUGGGGAGCGCACUCGCGCGACUGCUGGCAGCGACGACUUCGCGAAUGACGACUUUUUCCCUGACCUCGGCAACCUCAUCCUCGACGACAUGGGCGACAACGUCAACGCCGGCGGUGCUGCACCCGCUGCACCUUAUGUUAUUCUAUCCUUCUUGUUCGAGAUCAUGGUAGAAUUCACGUUUCUAGUAUAUGCCCUAGAUGUGAUCUGUUCAUCUACUAUGCUAGUUCGCAUGAUUAGUUUAAUAUCUGCUAUUGCUGUCAUGAUCUAUUUCCUAUUUAUUCGGAUUAAAUCUCGUAGUAAUUUGCUCAUUUUUCCAAUAGUACCAUCUAAUAGAUGAUGUAAAUCUCCUCUAGUUUGACGUUGUUGAGCUAAUUUACAAAAAAAACCUCAUCAUUAUUGGACGUCCUUAACAGCUCAAGAACAAGUUGGGGUCGAACUAAUGGAUUUUACACUUUUACAUUAAAGGUUUAGCUAAAGCUAGCAGGUGUUUUUAAACCUGAAUUUUUUUCCUCCUGAAUUUCUUUGUAUUUUCUUAUUGACACUAUUUAUACAAUCAUCUGACAAAGAUUAGCUAAAGCUGUUUGUAGAUACGUUGAAACCUGAAAAGCUUCUUUGGUUAUCCUUUUAAUAGUUCUACGUUUAUUUUCUCAUAGGUCAUAAUUCUUAUGUAAUACCAAGAUGCAUUGUGGUAGUGUACAUGUGUUAAAUUCAGGUUGUUAUUCACAAUUUGCGACAAAAUUUAGCUCACGCUACAUUCAAAUAUGUUGAAAUGUGAAAGCUUUUUUUUCUUCUCCUUUCUACACCUUGCAUCGGAUUGCAUCCCUUUAGUUAUCCAACAUUUUGUACAACAUGUAGAGAUUAGGAAGUUCAUCAUAGUUUGUUUAUUUCGGUGCUAAUAAAUGUAUGAAAUCUGCAUUUCCAAGCUACUAGGACAAGUAAAAAAUAAUAAUUUUACUAUAGGAUUCAAAAACAGCAGUUCUGAAGUGCACUUUAUUUAUUUUUGAAAGUGAUCACAUUUUGUUUCAUUUUUCUAUAGACAAAUCUACUAAUACAUACUCACGAUAAAACUAUAAAAGUUCUAGUCCGCACAUUGGGCGGGCCACCCGGCUAGUUAGUCUAAAGAUAACAAAAUGAGUCUGGAAUUUGAAUUAAAUUGAAGUAUUUUCUUGGACUUUCAAAUUGAGUUUUAUUAAAGUAGUAAGGACUAUCCACAUCCUUGGCUUGCCCCUGAUCAAUUAUUUCCAGAGAAGCAUUCAAUUCAUCAAUCAAUUACAUUGAUUUUAGUGGCUGGUACUUCUCCUCAACAUCAGUAUAUUCACCGUGGCCACUCCAAAUCGGCAAGAAUGAGGUACCAGUGCUCUGGAGCAGUGCAAGCUAAUUGCUUCUCAUCUGAAGGGGUGCGGCCGCAGGAGAGGUAUUUCUGGUGGGCCAAGGGACUAAGAAGCGACUGUGGCAGCGGUAUAGACGCCCGCAAAGCCCCAUAAUUUGUUUUUGGUUUACAGGAAAAAUGCACAUCCAUACCAGCCUGGGGAAUAUAGGACCGUAUUGGAUGGAAAACCAUGUCCGGAUGGUUGCGAGCGGUUUAAGGGUUAGCUUUUGUAACGCCCGGUUAGUUAUGCUAUAGCAAUUCCCUGCUAAUGAUGUCACGUUACCACGAUUACUGUUGUUAACCUCACAAUGAUUCAAUCCCCUUCAAAUUGAAAUUUAAAAUAAAGGCAAACAUCAAAAGUUUUCAAAUAUUAAAACUAAAAUCUUUGAGAGGUGACAAAUAAUGCAUAAGUAAUUAUGGUGGAGAAACCACACUUUAAUCAAAUGUUUAAAUACUCUAAAAUGAAAAAAAACAGUUGCUUAAACUAUUAUUUAAAUGCUUUUAAAAUAGUAAAAAUCUUCUAACUAAAUUAUUUGGGUACCAAACUUUUGGUGGCAGUGGUAUAUUUAGUACAACUAAUUUAGAUGCUAAUUAUAUAAAAAGGAAAAGCAAAAGGGGGCAACCCCUCGCUGGGCCUCGGCCUAGCUGCCACUAGGCUAGCUAGGCUGGCCCCGCCGCCUCCCUUAACCCCCCCCCCCCACUCCCCAUCGAACCCAAGCCCGAUCGCCCCACUUCCCCCANNNNNNNNNNNNNNNNNNNNNNNNNNNNNNNNNNNNNNNNNNNNNNNNNNNNNNNNNNNNNNNNNNNNNNNNNNNNNNNNNNNNNNNNNNNNNNNNNNNNNNNNNNNNNNNNNNNNNNNNNNNNNNNNNNNNNNNNNNNNNNNNNNNNNNNNNNNNNNNNNNNNNNNNNNNNNNNNNNNNNNNNNNNNNNNNNNNNNNNNNNNNNNNNNNNNNNNNNNNNNNNNNNNNNNNNNNNNNNNNNNNNNNNNNNNNNNNNNNNNNNNNNNNNNNNNUUGAUCCCAUCUGGAUCGGGGAGGGUAAUGCCCCAAUCGACCCCGUUGCCGUCGCGGGAUUGCCCGCCGACGUCGCCAGGCCUCCUCCCCGCCACCCGUCUCCGGCUCGCCUCCCCUCUCGCUCCUCUUCCCCGACCCGAUCUGGAUCGUGAACGAGCAAUGAGCUCGAAGCCCCCUUCACCGGCGCCAUCACCGUGCGCCACCACCACCGCCUGAAGACCUCACCGUCGCCGAACCUUGCGUCGCCUCCUCGUAUCCCUCCCCUACUCGCGUCCUCAAGCCAGGCCGAGCCCCUUCUCGGCAACGCCGUGAGACGCCCCCGUCUCCCUCCUCUUUCCACUGCGUUCACCGCGCCGCCCGCCGUGCCCCUCGCCGUGCGCACGCCCACCACCGCACCAGCCCCCGCUCCGCGCACGACCCUACCCGCGUCCGCGCCAUGAUCCCCUUUUCCACCCUACCUUCCUGCGCUCGCCGCGGUCCUGAUGCUCCCCCGCGCCCUCUUUUGGGGGCGCCGACUGCCCCUGUCCCACUGCUCGCCGCCGUGCCUCGCCAUCGCUCUACUGCUAAGUUAUUGCUGCGCUGCGGCCGUCGCCUCUUCCCGCUGCUCCGCCAGCGCCGAAGCUCCCGAUUGGCUCCACCACUUCUCACGUUAAACCGCCGGCCUAAAUGGCCUAACCCCCGGCUAAUGAACCCCCACUAUCCCACUGACACCGGGACCCACAUUCCCUAAUUAACCAUUUAAUAAAUUAAAACUCUUAAAUUAACAUUAGUGUAUGACAUGUGCGUCCCCUAUUAAUUUAUAAUUUUACUGCUAGUUUUAUUAGUUUCUGUUUUUUCUGCAUAUUUCUUUUGUAUUUGAACAGGCUUUAUAUAAUAAUAUUUAGCGUCUCAUACACAUAUAAAUGUAAUUAUAGCAUAUACAUACAAAUAGUCUCAUCAAAUCAUGUCAUCACCAUAAUCAUCAUCCAUCACAAAGUGAUCUCUCGUCAUCAUCUCGAAAAUAGCAAUACAAGUCUCGAUUACUUGCAACUACAUCGUCAUCCAUCUAAACAAUGAUAUACGCGAGAAGCGCUAUCACUAUGAGUGAGAGCGGAACUAUGCAGUACAUGAGUUUGUAUCCCUCUCUCACAUUAGCGUGAACCUAAACUAACUACUGGCUGUUGCUCGGAAACCGGAAACCGGUACACCUGGGCCUGACACUCCGGCCACUCGUCGUAUACUCCUGGCGUAGCACUUCUUCGCCAUCGAUGAUCUAUAAACCUACAUCGUCAGAUGAGUCGAUGAUAUGCAACAUAUAUAGUUGAGCAACAGAAAGAGACAGACUUGGCAAAAAUAGAAGCAACAUAUCAUAAGCAUAAAUAACAAAGUUCAUCGUACGCAAAAUGCCCUAACUAGAGUGAUCUUCGCUAGUCGAGGAGGACGGUUUAAUUACAUCACAAAUAAUUUUUCGUCGUGCAUAACUCAAAGUUCCGUCAUACAGAAAGUAUGAACUAAAUGGACACAUUGUCAUAUUUCAAAAAUCACUCCCACAUGUCGUGCCAUCCAUCCAAGUCAAGGAGAUAGUGCCCGAGCUUAGUGAAAGGCUUUAGGUCGAGACGCUGAGCGGCUAUGCGUGUUCGGACGUCUUCCCACGACAUUUGUCCUUCUUCAUAGAACAUCCCUGUUUUUUCGACGACCUCCUUCAUCACUGGAAGAAAAAGGGCCUGUUGUCCCGGUUCUGGAACCGGGACUAAAGGGUCGGUACUAAUGCCCUGUCCCUUUAGUCCCGGUUCAAUCCAGAACCAGGACAGUUGGGCCUCCACGUGGCCUGUGCGCGGAGCCUAGGCGGGAGACCCUUUGGUCCAAUAAGCAUCCACGCAUCAGCAUUUAUGUGGUUGGGGUUUUUGUUUUUUUUGAAGGGGGGGGCAUUGGGGGUUUUGGGGGGUUAAUUUUGGUGUUUCAUAUAUUGUGUUAGCUAGCUAUAAUUAAUAGAGAGAAUUGUCCUCUCUUAUGUCCGUGCUUGCUCGACGCUACGUACUAUACAUACGUAUAGAGAGGACUAGACACGGUAGCUAGCUAGUAAGCAAACGAAGGAAAUAGAAGAUCGUCAUGAACAUAUAUGCAUACAGAGAGAAGUAAUAUCGACCACCUCUCCUUCUCCGAGAGAUUGGUCGAACAACAAGUUCUCAUAUAUCUAUCCGACACUACCGGCUACAUAUAUACAAUAAUUAUCUCUUACAAAUAUAAUCAUACGGAUUCAGGGUCCACAUAGUAUUCUCUGUCUUCAAGGAUCACGUGGUCAAGAAAGAAUGCCGCCAAUUCCUCUUGAAUUGCUCGCAUGCGAGCUGGUGCUAGGAGUUCAUCCCGCUUCCGAAACAUCUAAUUUAAAGAAGGGGGUUAAUACAUAUAUACAUAUAUAUAUAUAUAUAUAUAUAUAUAUAUAUAUAUAUAUAUAUAUAUGAAUGAAUGAAACUCAACACGAAUGAUGGUAAUAAAAUAAAAUUGUGAAUGUUGUUAUUUACGUACUUCAUAUUGUUCGUCAGUGUAGCCCCGCUCAUAGGUCGUGUGGCGGAUGGACUCGCAAACGUAGUAUCCACAGAAAUCAUUCCUUUGUUCCUGCCACAACCACUUUAUAAGAAAUAGAGGUCAAUCAAACUGAUAAGCAAGAAUGCCAAAUGGUAUUGAUGAAACUUGUCAGGACCCCGAUUCCAAGCCACAUCGAUCUAGCCGGUAACACCUCAUAUCACUUUGCGGCCUCACGCACGAUAUUCCACGGGUGUCGCCUUACCAUGGCCCGGGACCGUUUGCGCCUUUUGGCUCACGUAUAUGAUAGUGUUGCUAGCAUCCAUAUGACAGAGAACCCGGGCCGACAUGGCUAGUCGUGAACCCAAAGUGGCACAGACCUAUGGAGACAGGCAUACAUGAAUCACAUCGAGCAUGUCGGUCAUCAGUGUGUGAUUCCGGGCUGUAGCACUGGGCUAACAGGACUCCGGGGAACCCGGGCUGUAGCAGGCUAGGCAGGACUCCGGAAGUCACCGCGUGACAUUUACCCGAAGGGACAGACAUAGGAACGAAGUGAAUCACAUGCCGGCAAGUCAAGUGUCCUGAGCAGUAGUACUGGGCUAGCAGGACUCCGGUGAACCGGGCUGUAGCGGACUACUAUGGCUCGAGGAACACUAGACUACAUUUCCCCAUAAGAAAGGCUGCCAAGGAUAAACAACUAGAUUGUCGGAUCCCACUCAUACCAAGCAUUUCAAUCAUACACACAAUAUGCCCGAUAUGAGUACAUACAACAUGGCAUCACAACAAAACUCUACAACUCAAGUACUUUAUUUAAAGGCUCUAGAGAGCCAUACAUAACAUGUUCAUACAGAUAGGGGUCACAUGACCCGACACUCAAGUCAUACAAUCAUACAAGCACAUGCGGAAGCAACCGGUCUGAGUACAGACACUAGAAAGAAAGAAGGCUCCUCGAGGCCUGUCUAUCUACAUAGGGCCCUCCAUGGCCAGGAUCACCACCUGGGUGGCUAGUCACUCGUCGAUGUCAAGGUCUACAUAGAACCCAUCGAAGGGGGCUGUGUUGUCGUCUGAAAACAGUAAUUAAGCAAACAUGAGUACAAAGGUACUCAGCAAGUCUUACAAAAGAACCUACUAUACAUGCUUAUUCUCAAGAAGGUGGUGGGGAUAUUGCAGCAAGCCAGUUUUCACUCUUGGCUAAACUAUCCUACAGAACUUCUCUAGUAAAAUAGUUUUCGCACACGAGUCCACUACUCACCAACACAAUACUCCACCGGGGAUCCUCCCUCGUCAUCCUAUGAGAGGGCCAUCCUCGGUACUCACACUUAUCUUGACUAUUUUAGUAGUAUCCAUUUAAUUGUCUAUGAACUGUAUAGGCAACCAAGUAGUCCUUUACCGCGGACGCGGCUAUUCGAAUAGUUUUAUACCCUGCAGGGGUGUACUUCGUCAUACAUGCUUUCACCACUUAUCGUCGUUUACACGACAUGUACUCGGCAACCUUCAAGCGAAAGCCCAGCGAGGGUGUCGGCCACGGCCUACCUAAACACUUAAGUCUCUAGUCCAGGUUUAUCGCCUAUCUAGGUUCCAUCCGCAGGGAGUCCGGGCGAGGUUUCCACAUACGGCCCCGAACGAUGUGAACAGGGUCCCGAGACGCCAAACGGGCGCCCGGCAUACCCGGCCAUGGUGUAUCUACCGCAACAUAGCCCACCCUUAGGGUCAGCGCUACGCACGGCCGCCAACACAUAACCUACAAACACCAGAAACUAUUUGCAACUCCUAGACAGAGUACAAGGGUGAUUAAGAAGCCGAGAGGGUCAAUUAAGGAUCCCAAUGCAUGGUAGUAGCUGAAUCUUAAAUCACACAUACCGAUCUCAGUUCUUAGGGACGGUCUCAAUGAAACAACCCACCAUGUACUCCUACAUGGCCUCUCAUCGAUACCUUUACCAAAACAUGUUCAACACAUUCCUCAUAUUACCGACAUAAUCAUAUCACCCUAGCCCAUCACCCAGAUGAACCAGACCUGACACAACUAUAAGCAUAGCAGGCAUAGCAAGGUAGGAAUCACAUACAUGGCUCAAUCAACUCCUACACAUGCUAGUGGGUUUCAUCUAGUUACUGUGGCAAUGACAGGUCAUGCAGAGGAUAAGGGUUCAACUAUCGUAGCACACAGCAGUUUGAAUCACAUUGUCUUAAUGCAGUAAACAAGAGCAGAGGCAAGAACAUGGGUUGUAUCGGAAUGAUCAAUGGGUUGCUUGACUGAUGGAGUGGUAGUGGGAUACUGCCCUUCAGUUGGAUACUCAUGAAUAUCCUCGGAGGCAGAACCUACCACGAAGAACACAUCGGAACACAAUCAACACAUGAUGAUAUGCAACAAUAUGAUGCAUGCUAUGACAUGGCAAUAUGAAUGUGUCUUGGCCUAAUGCAAGCUAAAAUAGAAAGGGAUGAACUCAUUUGAAUCAAAGAUUCAAAUAUUAGCUCAUUAAACAUGGCCUUAGUAGUGCAUUUCCUUAUUCUGCUUAAACAGCAAGGUAAACUUGUUUUUUCAUGCUUGAAACCAUUACAGAUGGAUAUAUUGAAUUUUUCUGAUAAUUUUUCAUAUAUAAAUUAUUUCAUUUGGAGUUACGGUUGAAUUUCUAUGAUUUUUAGAAGUUUCAAACAUUUUCUGGAAUUUCUUGAAUAAAAAUAAAUCCAGAAAAUGCAUUACUGCGUCAGCAUUGCAUCAUGCUGACCUCCGCAGGUCAAAGGCACCAGCCUAGGUCAAACCUGACUGGUGGGCCCCUUCUGUCAGUCUCUCAGUUAAAUAACAGGAUUAGAUUAACACUAAUUAGCUGUCAGUGGGGCCUGGGCCCACAUGUCACUGACUGAUUAAAAUAAAAUUAGUUAAAACUAAUCCUAGAUUAGUUAGCAAACCGGCCCCACCUGUCAUAGACUUAGGGGGGGUCUACCUGGGCCCACCCAGGGUCAAACUGGGUCAAACUCGCCGGCGCAGCUCGGAAAACGCCUACAGGGCACGAGCGAGGCCGUUCUUGGGCUCAUUGGAGAGCUCUUGCAGUCGCGCAUCUAGUGGCGGUGGUGGCCGGAGACGACGACGGCGAGCUCCAAGGCGGCGGCCGGAGUUCGGCCAUGUGCGGGGUGUCGGCUGUGGCGUGCAAACGUGGAAACUGAGGCACUAGCGAGGCACUACGCGAUGCGGCAAGCACGUUGCAUAGCACGGGAUAAUCAAAUGGUUGCCGGAGCGGCACCGGUGACAAGCUCGAGCGGAGACGAGCUUCGGCCAUGGUGGAACUAUGGCCUAGAGGGUGCAAACGCGUGGAAAAGAAGAGGGGAAAGGUGGCGGAGCUCACAGGGAGGUCGAUGAGCAGCUCAGUGGGCUCGGGGGCGACAGAAGUGAGGCGAAUCGAUGAGCAGCGUCCGGCGGGUACCGAGGUUGAAGACGAUCCGAUGGCGGCGAUGCAGGGCCUCCGGCGAUGCGUGGCUCGGUGGGAAGGGCGAGGGGGUGACGGAGGGCGCGACUACGGCGGUGAGACGGCGACGGGUGCGUCGGCCAUCGCGGGAGAGGGAGAGGGAGAUGAGUGGGAGAGUGAGAGAGGAUGAGAGGGGGACGUGGGGGUCGCGUGGCAUUCCCUGGACGUCUCCCGGCAUCGGCGGAAGCAGGAGGUGGCCGGCGUGUGGCCGCGGGCGCCGGCCACGCGCUCUGCGUCCUUCUGGCGCGAGGAGGACGACGACUGGCAGCGCCAGUAGGCUGGGCCGAGCCAGGUGGGCUGGCCAGCACAGGUAAGGCUCAGGUGGGCUUCUCCCUCUUUUUUUUAAUUUGUUUCUGUUUUCUAUUUAACUGUAAAUGUUGGGCUUUAUUUAAAAUACUAAAACAUUUCCAAAAAUCCUGAAAAUAAUUGUGGGCUCUGUUUGGAUUAUUUCCAAUAGCAAACAUUUAUUUGCAGAAUUAUUUGAGCAUUUAAAUGCCCAAAUUCAAAUACUUAUGAUUUAAAUCAAUGACCUUCUGUUGACCUAGAAAAGUUGUGCACCAAUUUUGCCAGAGGUUCUAACCCAAGACAAAGAGGGUGAACUUUUUAGAAGGGCAUUUCAGGUUCAUUGAAAAUAAUUUUAGUAAUCCCUAGUUGUUUCCAGGGGGGUGUUGGGGGUUUCUGCCUUCCCCAAUUCAAAUUUAAGAGGAAUUUAAACAUGAUGCACAUUCUAAUGCUUGAACUAGCUAGGGUGUGACAACUCACCCCCACUCAAAAGAAUCUCGUCCCGAGAUUUAGGAUCCUCUGGAAAGAAGGUGGGGUACUCGAGUCGAAGACGAUCCUCCCUUUCCCAAGUGGCUUCUUUCUCGGAAUGGUGUGUCCAUUGAACCUUGAGAAACUUGAUAUUAUGACGUCGAGUGGUACACUCGGCUUGAUCAAGGAUACGAACGGGAUAUUCCCGAUAAGAGAGGUUAUCUUGUAGAUCAAGCAUUUCGUGGUCCACUCCACGGAUAGGAUCCGCGAAGCAACGCCUGAGUUGUGAAACGUGGAAGACAUCAUGAACUCUGGAAAGAUGCGGAGGUAGUUCCAAUUGGUAGGCAACUUCUCCUCGUUUGGCAAGAAUGCGAAAGGGUCCAAUGUAACGAGGAGCCAAUUUGCCUUUGAUACCGAAAUGAUGGGUUCCUUUUAAUGGGGUAACCCGAAGGUAAGCCUUCUCGUCGAUUCAUAAGUCAUAGGCUUAUGUUUACGAUCAUAUUGACUCUUUUGACGAGAUUGGGCUGUUUUCAAUUUCUCACGAAUAACGCGAACCUGCUCUUCCGCUUCCUGAAUCAUAUCCGGGCCAAAGAGUUGUCUUUCCCCGGUUUCUGACCAGUUAAGAGGCGUUCGACAUUUUCGUCCAUAGAGAACUUCGAAAGGAGCUUUGCCCAAGCUAGCUUGAUAACUAUUGUUAUAAGCAAACUAUGCGAAUGGGAAGCAUUUCUCCCAACUCAUUCCGAAUGAGAUAACAGAAGCUCGGAGCAUAUCUUCUAGAAUUUGAUUGACUCGCUCUACUUGACCACUUGAUUGAGGAUGGAAGGCGGUACUAAAAGAGAGACGAGUUCCCAUAGCAUUUUGGAAACUUUCCCAAAAUCGAGAGGUGAAGAGACUCCCACGGUCUGAGUUAAUUUCCAAUGGGACACCAUGGAGAGACACUAUUCGGGAGAUGUAUAAAUCGGCUAGCUGGCUAGCAGUGAUACUCGCACGAACAGGUAGGAAAUGGGCUACUUUGGAAAGACGGUCGAUCACGACGAAGAUGGCAUUAUUCCCUCUCUUGUUCCUGGGAAACCCAGUAAUGAAAUCCAUACUGAUUUUAUCCCAUUUCCAUUCAGGAAUAGCCAAAGGUUGAAGGGUGCCAGCAGGCCGUUGAUGCCCUGCUUUAACACGAUGACAGACGUCGCAGCUAGCAAUGUAUCGAGCGAUUUCUCUCUUCAUCCUAGUACAUCAAAACCUCUGGCGUAGGUCUUGAUACAUUUUAUUGCUACCGGGAUGAAUGGUGAGAGGGGAUUCAUGAGCUUCCUUAAGGAUCAAUUGGCGUAGAUGUUGUUUCUUGGGAACCACCAAACGGUUCUCAAAGAAGACAGCACCCCGCUUAUCCAUGGAAAAACAUUUAGCAACUCCGCUAGCAAUGUUUUCCUUAAUCCGGGAUAUGCCCUUAUCAUACCGCUGGGCAGUUAUGAUCUGAUCCAUAAGGUUAGGUUUCGCCACCAGGGUGGAUAGGAAUCCUCGAGGAACAAUGUGAAGAUUAAGCUUACGGAAUUCCUCAUGGAGAAGUGGUUGACUUUGUUGUAACAUCAGGUUGUUACAAUAGGAUUUACGGCGUAGUGCAGCAGCCAUGACAUUGGCUUUGCCCGGUGUGUAGGUUAUUCCUAAGUCGUAAUCCGAGAUCAACUCAACCCAACGUCUUUGCCUGAGAUUCAAAUCUGGUUGGGUGAAGAUAUAUUUCAAGCUUUGGUGAUCGGUGAAGAUCUCGCAACGAUUAAGUGCAUGGACUACAGCUGCCAGCUCUAGAUCAUGUGUGGGAUAAUUUUCCUCAUGUGGGUGUAAUUGCCGUGAAGCGUAGGCAAUUACCUGACGAUCUUGCAUGAGUAUGCAACCUAGUCCUUGUCGCGAGGCGUCACAAUAGAUAAUAAAGUCCUUGGAUAAAUCAGGUGGUACCAGUACGGGAGCAGAUGUCAGGCGUCUUUUCAGUUCCUAAAAGCUGAACUCGCACUGUGGAGUCUACUCGAACUUUUUAUCUUUCUUGAGGAGUUUAGUUAGAGGUUUAGCAACCUUGGAGAAAUUCUCGACGAAGCGGCGGCAAUAGCUCGCUAAGCCAAGGAAGCUCCAAACUUGCUUGACCGUCUCAGGUGGAGUCUAAUCAAGGACGGCUUGAACUCGCUCGGGAUUGACGGCAAUACCCUUACCAGAGAUUACAUGGCCUAGAUAGGUUACUUCUGGCAACCAAAAUUCACACUUGGAGAAUUUGGCAUAAAGGCGAUGCUCUCGAAGUUUCAUCAAUACCAGCCUUAGAUGUUCGGCAUGUUCCUCUUCAUUCUUGGAGUAGAUUAGUAUGUCAUUGAGGUAUACUACGAUGAAUUUAUCCAAGUACUCCAUGAAAACCGAGUUCAUUAGCCGGGAGAAGGUAGCCGGGGCAUUGGUUAAACCGAAGGACAUAACGGUGUACUCGUAUUGGCCAUAACGAGUAACAAAGGCCGUUUUGGGAAUGUCCCCGUUUCUGAUUUAGAUUUGAUGGUAGCCCAACCUCAAAUCCAUCUUGGAAAAGACUGAGGAUCCAGCAAACUAAUCAUACAGAUCAUUGAUCCUGGGAAGUGGGUAUUUGUUCUUGAUGGUGACCAAGUUGAUAGGUCGGUAAUCCACAACCAUUCGAUCUGUUCCAUCCUUCUUGACGAAGAGGACGGGGCAAGCCCAAGGAGAGGAACUAGGACGGAUGAAACCCUUUUUCAAGGACUCAUCGAGUUGGUUCUCAAGCUCGGCUAGUUCUAAGGGUGCCAUCUUGUAGGGUCUUCUAGAAAUUAGAAUGGUUCCUGGAACAAGGUCUAUCACAAACUCGACAUCCCUGUCAGGUGGAACACCUGGCAGUUCUUCUGGAAAGGCAUCCGGAAAGUCUCGGACUACCGGAACAUCCUCAAGGUCUGGAAGGGGGUUGGCAUUUAGGGAGUAAAGUUGGCACUUGGCCACUCGAGUUAAGACAUUAACUGUCUUGCCCGAUGGGUGAGUAAGUUGAACGGUUCUAGUGGCACAGUCAAUCUUAGCAUAAUGAGCUGACAUCCAGUCCAUACCUAAGAUGAUGUUUAUGUCCGAGGACUUGAGAGCUAUUAAGGAUGCAAGGAAGACAAGUCUAUCGACAAGAAUUUCGUUCCCAUGGCUUACUCUAGAAGUUUGCCAUCUAGAGCCAGGGGUUUGAAUUUCCAUGGUAGAGGGCAUGUCACAGAAUGUCGUGUUGUGCAAUCGAGCAUAGUUCUCGGAUAUGAAUGAAUGAUAUGCUCCAGUAUCGAAAAGAACAGAUGCCGGAUGGCAGUUAACAAGGAGCGUACCAAGGACGACGUUGGGAUCCUCAUGAGCCUCCUCGGCUGAAACAUAGUUGACAUGGCCACGUGCAGUGGUGGCUGGCUUAGCGUAGAAUGUUUUUCCCGCGGGCUUACCACGGCCAACGGACUUUCCAGUUUGAUUGGGGUUGUUGUUCUGGGGACACUCUCGGCUAUAGUGACCCGGCUCUCCACACUUAAAGCAUGUCACCACAUUGGGGCGUGGAGCAGCAUUAGCAGCGGGGCCACCAUAGGGCUUGGGCGGUGCAAAUUGCUGGUUGGGACGUGGUGCCUCAAAGGAUGGCCUCGGGAUGAACCUGGGUGGCAGUGCCGUGCUUGGAAUCCACACCCGGCGCUUCUGAGCUCCAGAGCCGAUGAAGAGCCAAAAUCACGGGAGUGCUUGCGUGAAGUGUCAUAAUCAGUCUGGCCUUUCUCAGCACUGAUGGCUUUAUGGACCAACUUCUAAAAGGAGGUGCACUUGUGCAGACGAAGACCACGGUGAAGCUCAGGGCUAAGUCCCUUGCGGAACCUUGCCUGCUUCUUAGCAUCAGUAGAUACCUCUUCAGGGGCAUAACGUGCCAGAUUCCCAAAUUCACGACUGUAAGCAUCCACAGUCAGUCUUCCUUGGGUGAAGUUGCAGAACUCCUCCCUCUUGCGAUCCAUGAGACCUUCCGGAAUGUGAUGCUCACGGAAAGCCUCACUGAAUUCAGCCCAAGUAGUGAUUUGGCCGACCGGGCGCAUAGCUUCGAAGUUUUCCCACCAAAGGCUAGCAGGGCCUUUGAGGUGAUAGGCAGCAUAAGUAACCUUGUCGGCUUUGGCUACGUUGGCAGAACGUAGCUUGUGGGUGAUGCUGUGAAGCCAGUCAUCCACGUCGAGGGGCUCGACGGAAUGGUUAAACUUUGGUGGGUACAUCUUGAUAAAGUCAUUGAUUGACACCAACUCAUUUCGCGGGUGGCGUGCAGUGUUCUGCUCAAUCCGCUCCAGCAGGCGGUUGGUCUCACGCUUCUUUCUUUCUGCCUCCAGCAUUACUUCGGCCAGAGAAGGCGGGUGAGGCAGAUUUUCACCUCUAGCAGCACUGGCUUCCCCCUGCUCCGGGGCAACAGGGUUGCUGCGAGUAUUGACCAUCCUAGGAGAAAACAAGACAACGGUUUAGACAAGGAUGGCUCAAACUGAGCAAGGAUGUGCAGAAUGUAAUGGAUAACACGGAACACAGAGAUGUUCAUCCGUAUGUCAUGGUAAUAUAAAACUGCCAUAUAUAUACCAACGGUCAUACACAUCACACAUAGUUUAGUACAAGCCCAGGCUACAGUACAACUAUGAUGAAAGACGUUACAUCUCAUCGGAGGCAUUCCAAGCUCCUAUACAUUAUUGUCUACACCUUCGGAAUUGAUUACACGCAAAGUCAUAUUCCAAAAGUCACGCAGGACAGUGGAGAUACAACUACUACAAUACUAGUGGUACUACUACUAACUCAGACAGCUCCGUACUAGUCCUCAUAGAAGUCACCUCCAUAGCCUGGAAGUUCAACGUGACCAUCCGGGAACAGACGGUCCUGAGGAGCCUGUGGACCAUAGGGGCUUGGAUGGGGUCUUGGACCAACAAACGGUGGCCUGCGGGGACCACAGGGUGGGGUGAUGCCUCCCACAUCACGCCAAUCCACCACGUCUGGCAAAGCAGACCUCACAGGAUACAAAUCCCUUGUAUCCAUACAUCCAGCUUGCACCACAGGUGCAAACCGAGUCAAUGUGGCCCAAUGAUCAGCACGGGUAUUAAAAAGCUCCAGCCUCAAGGCCUGAUUCUCUCGGUCCUUAUAUUCGAGCAUCUCGGCAGUGGUACGAGUUAAUGAAUCCUCCUGAGUGGAGUCAGCAUAGAUAGCCUGAAGAUACCCUUGCGCUCCCGGAAGUGAAGCUAGCAUGUAUCGGAAGUCGGUGUUCCGAAGCAGGCCAGUCCGGACUCGCAUGAUUGUCAUCAUGGAAUAGGCAGCAUCCUGCACAGCCAUCUCAACAGUAACCCCGAGUCCAUAGGAACAGUGAAGGGGCUCGGUAGAUCCAGGAUAAGAAGGAAAUAUCUUGACGGUGCAGAAAUACUGGCUUUGAUUAAAGUCUCAGAAUUGCUCUUCGACGGUGUAUUCGGGAUACCAACGGUAACCCGUCUCGAUCAUGACCCGGACUAACAUAGCAGUAUGACCGGGCACGUCGAGCCACCGGGUCAGGCGAACCACUUUGUUUUGAGCACGGUUGGGCAUCUGAAAGCACAACCACAAUGCAAAGACAUCAGAAUUUCUAGGGAAAAUUGGACAGCAUAACAGCUGUAAAUGCUCAGAAAAAGAUUUGAGACAUCCACAACAGUUCGCAAUACCACUCAACAACAUCAUAUCAAGGUUCUGAUCCAAAUAGCAGCAUACUAAAAAUAGUAGAAACUGAACUGGGGCUUGUAACAACAAUCCUAUAAGCUACUACGGAUUAGUAACACGUGAACCUGAUAGAAGAAGAGAGACUAGUCCUUAACCCACAUUGAAUGAAAAGGGAAUGACUCAGAUAAGAGGCAUAGGGUAAAGGAGUAAAAGAGCCUUACGUUCCCUCCCACAAUCAAUUCCCCUACAUAUAACUAAAGCAUUUCCAGACUCGACAUCGACCAGUUUGGCUCAACGAACCUACAGGCAGUCCGGCACUGAUGCCAACGCUGUCAGGACCCCGAUUCCAAGACACAUCGAUCUAGCUGGUAACACCUCAUAUCACUUUGCGGCCUCACGCACGAUAUUCCACGGGUGUCGCCUUACCAUGGCCCGGGACCGUUUGCGCCUUUUGGCUCACGUAUAUGAUAGUGUCGCUAGCAUCCAUAUGAUAGAGAACCCGGGCCGACAUGGCUAGUCGUGAACCCAAAGAGGCACAGACCUAUGGAGACAGGCAUACAUGAAUCACAUCGAGCAUGUCGGUCAUCAGCGAGUGAUUCCGGGCUGUAGCACUGGGCUAACAGGACUCCGGGGAACCCGGGCUGUAGCAGGCUAGGCAGGACUCCGGAAGUCACCGCGUAACAUUUCCCCGAAGGGACAGACAUAGGAAUGAAGUGAAUCACAUGCCGGCAAGUCAAGUGUCCUGAGCUGUAGUGCUGGGCUAGCAGGACUCUGGUGAACCGGGCUGUAGCGGACUACUAUGGCUCAAGGAACACUAGACUACAUUUCCCCAUAAGAAAGGCUGCCAAGGAUAAACAACUAGAUUGCCGGAUCCCACUCAUACCAAGCAUUUCAAUCAUACACGCAAUAUGUCCGAUAUGAGUACAUACAACAUGGCAUCACAACAAAACUCUACAACUCAAGUACUUUAUUUAAAGGCUCUAGAGAGCCAUACAUAACAGGUUCAUACAGAUAGGGGUCACAUGACCCGACACUCAAGUCAUACAAUCAUACAAGCACAUGCGGAAGCAACCGGUCUGAGUACAGACACUAGAAAGAAAGAAGGCUCCUCGAGGCCUGUCUAUCUACAUAGGGCCCUCCAUGGCCAGGAUCACCACCUGGGUGGCUACUUACUCGUCGACGUCAAGGUCUACAUAGAACCCAUCGGAGGGGGCGGUGUUGUCGUCUGAAAACAGUAAUUAAGCAAACAUGAGUACAAAGGUACUCAGCAAGUCUUACAACAGAACCUAGUAUACAUGCUUAUACUCAAGAAGGUGGUGGGGAUAUUGCAGCAAGCCAGCUUUGACUCUUGGCUAAACUAUCCUACGGAACUUCUCUAGUAAAAUAGUUUUCGCACACGAGUCCACUACUCGCCAACACAAUACUCCACAGGGGAUCCUCCCUCGUCAUCCUAUGAGAGGGCCAUCCUCGGUACUCACACUUAUCUUGAGUAUUUUAGUAGUAUCCAUUUACUUGUCUAUGAACUGUAUAGGAAACCAAGUAGUCAUACACGCUAUUCGGAUAGUUUUAUACCCUGCAGGGGUGUACUUCGUCAUACACGCUUUCACCACUUAUCGCCGUUUACAUGACAUGUACUCGGCAACCUUCAAGCGGAAGCCCAGCGAGGGUGUCGGCCACGGCCUACCUAAACACUUAAGUCUCUAGUCCAGGUUUAUCGCCUAUCCAGGUUCCAUCCACAGGGAGUCCGGCCGAGGUUUCCACAUACGGCCCCGAACGAAGUGAACAUGGUUUCGAGACGCCAAACGGGCGCCCGGCAUACCCGGCCACGGUGUAUCUACCGCAACAUAGCCCACCCCUAGGGUCAGCGCUAUGCACGGCCGCCAACACAUAACCUACAAACACCAGAAACUAUUUGCAACUCCUGGACAGAGUACAAGGGUGAUUAAGAAGUCGAGAUGGUCAAUUAAGGAUCCCAAUGCAUGGUAGUAGUGAAUCUUAAAUCGCACAUACAGAUCUCAGUUCUUAGGGACGGUCUCAAUGAAACAACCCACCAUGUACUCCUACAUGGCCUCUCAUCGAUAUCUUUACCAAAACAUGUUCAACACAUUCCUCAUAUUACCGACAUAAUCAUAUCACCCUAGCCCAUCACCCAGAUGAACCAGACCUGACACAACUCUAAGCAUAGCAGGCAUAGCAAGGUAGGAAUUAUAUACAUGGCUCAAUCAACUCCUACACAUGCUAGUGGGUUUCAUCUAGUUACUGUGGCAAUGACAGGUCAUGCAGAGGAUAAGGGUUCAACUACUGUAGCACACAGCAGUUUGAAUCACGUUGUCUUAAUGCAGUAAACAAGAGCACAGGCGAGAACAUGGGUUGUAUCGGAAUGAUCAAUGGGUUGCUUGCUUGAUGGAGUGGUAGUGGAAUACUGCCCUUCAGUGGGAUACUCGUGAAUAUCCUCGGAGCCAGAACCUACCACGAAGAACACAUCGGAACACAAUCAACACAUGACGAUAUGCAACAAUAUGAUGCAUGCUAUGACGUAUCUUGGCCUAAUGCAAGCUAAAAUAGAAAGGGAUGAACUCAUUUGAAUCAAAAAUUCAAAUAUUAGCUCAUUAAACAUGACCUUAGUAGUGCAUUUCCUUAUUCUGCUUAAACAGCAAGGUAAACUUGUUUUGUCAUGCAUGAAACCAUUACAGAUGGAUAGAUUGAAUUUUUCUGAUAAUUUUUCAUAUAUAAAUUAUUUCAUUUGGAGUUACGGUUGAAUCUCUAUGAUUUUUAGAAGUUUUAAACAUUUUCUGGAAAUUACUGAAUAAAAAUAAAUCCAAAAAAUGCAUUACGGCGUCAGCAUUGUGUCAUGCUGACCUCAGCAGGUCAAAGGCGCCAGCCCAGGUCAAACCUGACUGGUGGGCCCCUUCUGUCAGUCUCUCAGUUAAAUAACAGGAUUAGAUUAACACUAAUUAACUGUCAGUGGGGCCUGGGCCCACAUGUCAGUGACUGAUUAAAAUAAAAUUAGUUAAAACUAAUCCUAGAUUAGUUAGCAGACCGGCCCCACCUGUCAUAGACUCAGGGGGGUCUACCUGGGCCCACCCAGGGUCAAACUGGGUCAAACUCGCCGGCGUUGAGCCGCCGGCGAGACCCGAGACAGUGGCGCAGCUCGGAAAACGCCUACAGGGCACGAGCGAGGCCGUUCUUGGGCUCGUUGGAGAGCUCUUGCAGUCGCGCAUCUAGUGCUGGUGGUGGCCGGGCCUACGGUGGCCGGAGACGACGACGGCGAGCUCCAAGGCGGCGGCCGGAGUUCGGCCAUGUGCGGGGUGUGGGCUGCGGCGUGCAAACGUGGAAACUGAGGCGCUAGCGAGGCACUACGUGAUGCGGCAAGCACGUUGCGUAGCACGGGAUGACCAAAUGGUCGCCGGAGCGGCGCUGACGACAAGCUCGAGCGGAGACGAGCUUCGGCCAUGGUGAAACUAUGGCCUAGAGGGUGCAAACGCGUGGAAAAGAAGAGGGGAAAGGUGGCGGAGCUCACAGGGAGGUCGAUGAGCAGCUCAGUGGGCUCGGGGCGACCGGAGUGAGGCGAAUCGACGAGCGGCGUCCGGCGGGUACCGAGGUUGAAGACAAUCCGAUGGCGGCGAUGCAGGGCCUUCGGCGAUGCGUGGCUCGGUGGGGAGGGCGAGGGCGUUACGGCGGAGCUUCUGGACAGGUCAGAGAGGCGAGGUGGUGAUGGAGGGCGCGACUAUGAUGGUGAGACGGCGAUUAAAAAGAAAGAUCUGGUUCACUCGUACGUGAAAAAAGUAGCAAGCGCUCGAUGCCUUCCUUUGCAUCGAUGCCAGACGCGGUGCUGGGAAUCGACAAGAUAACCGCCAAUCUACCACGAUUAAAUUCCUAGCGCCUCCUUCUAGCGCCUCCCACUGAAAAUGCCCUAAAGGUUUUGGAGGGAUUUUUUUACUGUGUCCUACUUCACGAAUCACGAGGCAAAUCAAGUAGCCGGCAUGGCCUGGCCGGUGAGUGCCAUUGCACUUACUUGCCCCAGCAAUUUUCCGCGUGCAUUGUAGAAUUCUUUCUCCGAGUCCUGUGAAUUAAAGAUGGUGCAGACAAAAAUAUAUCCUAUAUGCGUACAUGUGCAUGAUCAGAACAUGUUUUUACGUGCGUCUACUAUAAAUCAUGACCAUUUUUAACACAAAUCAUGACCAUUCAUGAUUAGUGAAUCAUACUGUCUUAACUUAUGUGAAAUCAUGUGGAGUAAUAUAAUAUAAUAUAAUAAAUAGAUAGAUCCAUGUUGUAUUAUUUUUUGUUUACAAAAAAUAUCUGUCAUUACACAUUUUGAUUUAUGCAUUUGUUUACAAAAAAAACAGUAACAUUUCAUGGUGGAAAGUUUGUAUUGUUUCAUACUGAACACCAAUGUUUUCCUGUAAAAGAAAAUAAUGCCUACGCAUAUGCUUUUAUAUUAUUAUUAUUCUUUCAAACUUAUUCAUACAGUAUUUUUGAUUGUGCAACCAUAAUUUUUAUUGUCUCUCUCGUUCCACUACAUGCUCUUACUCAAUGAUUUUUUUAUAACGGGUGUUUUUAUUAACUCAAAAUAUAGUAUCAAGCGGAUACAAAACAUAAUGAGCCACACCUGGUCUCUGCAUAACUAAGAUGCACACAGCCAAAAGCAGAUGUCUGACAAAAAUAAGAUAAGAAAAUCGACAUAUCGACAACAGUGAGUCAUAUAGUCCCGACACUAUGCCCCCGUUGAAGGACGGGGUGGAGCGAUCUGGAGAUUAUGCUGCCCUCCAUGUUGAGUAAAUACCUCCCUGGCCACUUGUUCCAAACGCAUAGACGCCGCCACGAAUAAUGGUCGGUACUCUGUUCAGUGUAGCAUACACCAUGUAGGAAGUGAGUGCUCACUCCUAGUUACUAAAUUAUGUACACACUAGUAGAAAAAGGGCCAUUUGUCCCGGUUCGUAAGGCCCAUUUGUCCCAAUUGGGGAACCGGGACUAAAGGGUCGGUACUAAAGCCCUACACCUUUAGUCCCGGUUCUUACACCAACCGAGACAGAUGGGGCUCCACGUGGCCGCUACAGCUUGCCGUGGCAGGGGGGCCUUUUGUCCCGGUUGGUAGCACCAACCGGGACCAAUAAGCUACCACGCGUCCGCAUUUGAGGGGCUAGGGUUUUUGUUUUUUUUCUGAAGGGGGGGGGGUGGGUUUGUAUGGUUAAUUUUGGGGGGUUUCACAUAUUGUGUUAGGUAGCUAAUUAAUUAAUAGAGAGAAGUGUCCUCACUUAUCUCCGUGCUUGGUCGACGCUACGUACUAUACGUAUAGAGAGGCCCUCAACACGCUAGCCAGUAAGCAAAUGAAGUAAACCAUUAAGUACAGAAGUUCGUCAUGAACAUAUGCAUACAAACAUAAGUGAUAUCGACCUCUCCUUCUCCGAGAGAUAGGUCGAACAACAAGUUUCCGUAUAUCUAUCCGGCGCUACUAGCUACAUAUAUACAAUAUUAAGAUCUCUUACAAUAUAAUCCCCUAAUUAUAUAUGAACUCAGCUUCCAGAUGGUAUUCUCCGGCUUUAUUGAUGGCGUGGUCAAGAAAGAUUCCCUCCAAUUCCUCUUGAAUUGCUUUGAUGCGAUCUUGUGGUAGGAGUUCAUCUCGCAUCUGCCACAUCUAAUUUGAAGAAGGGGGUCAAUCACCAGUAGAAUAACAACCAUUUGUCCUGGUUCAUAAGGUUAAUUUGUCCCGGUUGGGGAACCGAGACUAAAGGGUCUUUACUAAAGCCCUACACCUUUAGUCCUGGUUCUUACACCAACUGGGACAGAUGGGCCUCCAUGUGGCUGCUGCGGCGAGCCCAGGCCGGAGGUCCUUUGGUCCCGGUUAGUGGCACUGAUACGUCUCCAACGUAUCUAUAAUUUUUGAUUGCUCCAUGCUAUUAUGUUAUCUAUUUUGGAUGUUAAUGGCUUUAUUUUACACCUUUAUAUCAUUUUUGGGACUAACCUACUAAUCGGAGGCCCAACCCAAAUUGUUGUUUUCUACCUAUUUUAGGUUUUCGAAGAAAAGGAAUAUCAAACGGAGUCCAAACGGAAUGAAACCUUCGAGAACGUGAUUUUCUCAAUGAACAUGAUUCAGGAGAAUUGGAGUGUGCUCCAAGAAACAAGGGAGGAAGGCACGAGGCAGGGGGCGCGCCUACCCCCUUGGGCGCGCCCUCCACCCUCGUGGGCCCUCCGCUGCUCCACCGACGUACUUCUUCCUCCUAUAUAUAUCCACGUACCCCCAAACAUCCAGGAGCACCACGAAAACCUAAUUCCACCGCUGCAACCUUCUGUACCCGAGAGAUCCCAUCUUGGGGCCUUUUCCGGAGGUCCACCGGAGGGGGCAUCGAUCAUGGAGGGCCUCUACAUCAACUCCAUGGCCUCUCCGGUGAUGUGUGAGUAGUUUACUUCAGACCUAGGGGUCUAUAGUUAUUAGCUAGAUGGCUUCUUCUUCUCUCUUUGGAUCUCAAUACAAAGUUCUCCUCGAUUUUCUUGGAGAUCUAUUUGAUGUAACCUUCUUUUGCGGUGUGUUUGUCGAGAUCCGAUGAAUUGUGGGUUUGUGAUCCAGAUUAUCUAUGAACAAUAUUUGAUUCUCCUAUGAAUUCUAGUAUGUAUGAUUGGUUUAUCUUUGCAAGUCUCUUCGAAUUAUCAGUUUGGUUUGGCCUACUAGAUUGAUUUCUUGCAAUGGGAGAAGUGCUUAGCUUUGGGUUCAAUCUUGCAGUGUUUGAUCCCAGUGACAGAAAGGGAACCGAUACGUAUUGUAUUGUUGCCAUCGAGGAUAAAAAGAUGGGGUUUAUAUCAUAUCGCAUGAGUUUAUCCCUCUACAUCAUGUCAUCUUCCUUAAAGCAUUACUAUGUUCUCUUGAACUUAAUACUCUAGAUGCAUGCUGGAUAGCGGUCCAUGUGUCGAGUAAUAGUAGUAGAUGCAGAAUCGUUUCGGUCUACUUGUCUCGGACGUGAUGCCUAUAUACAUGAUCAUACCUAGAUAUUCUCAUAACUAUGUUCAAUUCUGUACAAUAUGGUGCACGGGGUUACAUCGGCCUGCAAAGACAUUUCUGCGAUGUGAGACAUCCGAAAAGCAACGAAAACGGGAGAUUAUACAUUUAUUGAAGAGGGCAGGUGUGACAGAUACCGUGAGGGCGUCGAGCUCAGCCAAAGACGAUGGACAGCUGAGCACGGCCUGUGUCAGAGCCGGUGCGGGAGCAGGUGCAGGUGCAGGUGCUGGUGCAACGCUAGUCGAGCUGCUCCUGAAGAAGUCAACAAUGGGAAAGUCCGCUGCAUUUUUUCUGCAUUUUGCGUGCUCCAAUUGAAAAUGGCUGGAACCAAGACAGUAGACAUAUCUGCAACCACCUGUUUUCCGGCAGCUACCGCUGUCGCGACUGUCUCAGAUGAUUUCUUCUCAACCGCAAUCUCAACCUUCUUGUCGAUGUUUUAUUCGGUUAACCUCCAUCUUUCCUUUCUCUCCUCCGUGGUCUCACGGUAGUACUUCUUCCACGUGGCCCCGUCUCCGACACCGUGAACGCGUCCAUACGACGACCGAGUCUCCACGGGGAGUCCUUUCAAUAUGUUCAAUGCCCGGUUGAAUGGAGUGUCCCACUUGGGCCUUGCCAAUGCCUCAGACGGCGAGUCGCUUUCGGCCGCAAUCUUAUGCUGCUCUCUCUACAAAAGGAACACGGAUCAUUUACAAAUAUGACUAAACGUGCAGUCGAACUGAUCAGAAACUAAAAUUACCAGCAGUCUCAUGAACUCCGUCGUGAUCGGGUCCGUCUUGAAAACCUUCUUGACUGAGUCCCAAUGGUGUCGUGCCCUGAGGACGUCAUGCUCCUACGGGACGGUGAAGUCCGCCAAGGGGUCUGGGAUGCCAGAUUUUCGCGUUUCGUGUCCUCCUUGGCCCAUAUGGACCUCUUCCUGCCGUAACCACUGCUUCCGAGGUGGUGGCGCCCCAUGUUCCUUUGUGGAAGCCCCUUCAUGUACUUCGACUUUGUUUUGGCAGCUUCGGCCUCGCAAGCCGCCUUGAAUAUUUCAAAGUGUUCUCUAGUGAUUGUCAGAUUAUCCUUUACAAUCUCGGAGUAGGGUUGAUACGUCUCCAACGUAUCUAUUAUUUUUGAUUGCUCCAUGCUAUAUUAUCUACUGUUUUGGACAUUAUUGGGCUUUAUUAUCUACUUUUAUAUUAUUUUUGGGACUAACCUAUUAACCGGAGGCCCAGCCUAGAAUUGUUGUUUUUUGACUGUUUUAGGGUUUCGAAGAAAAGGAAUAUCAAACGGAGUCCAAACGGAAUGAAACCUUCGGGAACGUGAUUUUCUGAAUGAACAAGACCCUGGAGACUUGGACCCUACGUCAAGACACAAAAGAGGAGGACACGAGGUAGGGGGCGCGCCUAACCCCCCCCCCCCCUCGAGGCACGCCCUCCACCCUCGUGGGGCCCCUGUUGCUCCACCGACGUACUCCUUCCUCCUAUAUAUACCUACGUACUUCCAAACGAUCAGAUACGGAGCCAAAACCCUAAUUCCACUGCCGCAACUUUCUGUAUCCACGAGAUCCCAUUUGGUGCCUGUUCCGGAGCUCCGCCGGAGGGGGCAUCGAUCACGGAGGGCUUCUACAUCAACACCAUAGCCUCUCCGAUGAAGUGUGAGUAGUUCACCUCAGACGUACCGGUCCAUAUUUAUUACCUAGAUGGCUUCUUCUCUCUUUUUGGAUCUCAAUACAAUGUUCUCCCCCUCUCUUGUGGAGAACUAUUCGAUGUAAUCUUGUUUUUGCAGUGUGUUUAUUGAGAUUGAUGAAUUGUGGGUUUAUGAUCAAGUCUAUGUAUGAAUAAUAUUUGAAUCUUCUCUAAAUUCUUUUAUGUAUGAUUGUUUAUCUUUGCAAGUCUCUUCGAAUUAUCAGUUUGGUUUGGCCUACUAGAUUGAUCUUUCUUACAAUGGGAGAAGUGCUUAGCUUUGGGUUCAAUCUUGCGGUGUCCUUUCCCAAUGACAGUAGGGGCAGCAAGGCAUGUAUUGUAUUGUUGCCAUCGAGGACAACAAGAUGGGGUUUUCAUCAUAUUGCAUGAGUCUAUCCCUCUACAUCAUGUCAUCUUGCUUAAGGCGUUACUCUGUUUUUAACUUAAUACUCUAGAUGCAUGCUGGAUAGCGGUCGAUGAGUGAAACCUAUGGCCCCCGGGUCUAUCUUUAUCAUAUUAAUCUCCUACUACUUAGUUAUUUCCUUUGCUUUUUCCUUUGCCUUUAUUUUACUUUUGAUCUUUAUCACAAAAAUACCAAACAUAUUAUCUUUAUCAUAUCUAUCAGAUCUCACUCUCGUAAGUGGCUGUGUAGGGAUUGACAACCCCUAUUCGCGUUGGUUGCGAGGAUUUAUUUGUUUUGUGCAAGUACGAGAGACUCGCGCGUAGCCUCCUACUGGAUUGAUACCUUGGUUCUCAAAAACUGAGGGAAAUACUUACACUACUUUGCUGCAUCAUCCUUCCUCUUCGCGGAAAACCAACGUAGUGCUCAAGAGCUGGCAAUAAGGAUUUCUGGCGCCGUUGCCGGGGAGGUCUAAGCAAAAGUCAACAUACCAAGUACCCAUCACAUACCCUUAUCUCCUGCAUUACAUUAUUUUCCAUUUGCCUCUCGUUUUCCUCUCCCCCACUUCACCCUUGCCGUUUUAUUCGCCCUCUCUCUCUCUCUCUAUCCUCCCUCUCUUUCUCUAUUUGCCUCUUUUUUCCCACUUGCUUUCUGUUUGCUUGUGUGUUAGUUGCUUGCUUGUCACGAUGGCUCAAGAUAAUACUAAAUUACGUGACUUCACCAAUACCAACAACAAUGAUUUUAUUAACACUCCGAUUGCUCCUCUUACCGAUGCUGAAUCUUGAGAAAUUAAUACUGCUUUGCUGAAUCUUGUCAUGAAAGAUCUGUUUUUCGGCCUUCCUAGUGAAGAUGCCGCUACCCACCUAAAUAGAUUCGUUGAUUUGUGUGACAUGCAAAAGAAGAAAGGUGUGGAUAAUGAUAUUGUUAAAUUGAAGCUAUUUCCUUUUUCGCUUAGAGAUCGUGCUAAAGCUUGGUUUUCGUCUUUGCCUAAAAAUACUAUUGAUUCAUGGAAUAAGUGCAAAGAUGCUUUUAUCUCUAAGUAUUUUCCUCCUGCUAAGAUCAUCUCUCUUAGAAACGAUAUUAUGAAUUUUAAGCAACUUGAUCAUGAACAUGUUGCACAAGCUUGGGAGAGAAUGAAACUAAUGAUACGUAAUUGCCCUGCCCAUGGUUUAAAUUUGUGGAUGAUUAUACCAAAUUUUUAUGCCGGAUUGAACUUUGCUUCUAGAAAUCUUUUAGAUUAGGCCGCGGGAGGCACUUUUAUGGAAAUCACUUUAGGAGAAGCUACUAAACUCCUAGAUAAUAUUAUGGUUAAUUAUUCUCAACGGCAUACCGAAAGAUCUACUAAUAAAAACGUGCAUGCGAUAGAAGAAAUUAAUGUUUCGAGUGGAAAGAUGGAUGAACUUCUGAAAUUAUUUGCUAAUAAGAGUAUUUCUUCUGAUCCUAAUGAUAUGCCCUUGUCUACUUUGAUUGAGAAUAAUAAUUAAUCUAUGGAUGUGGAUUUUGUUGGUAGGAACAAUUUUGGUAACAACGCGUACAGAGGAAAUUUCAACCCUAGGCCUUAUCCUAGUAAUCUCUCUAAUAAUUAUGGUAAUUCCUACAACAAUUCUUAUGGAAAUUAUAAUAAGAUGCCCUCUGAUUUUGGAUCUAAUAUUAGAGAAUUUAUUACUUUCCAAAAGAAUUUCAAUGCUUUGAUUGAAGAAAAAUUGCUUAAGAUUGAUGAUUUGGCUAGGAACGUUGAUAGAAUUACUCUUGAUGUUGAUUCUUUGAAACUUAGAUCUAUUCCACCUAAGCAUGAUGUCAAUGAGUCUCUCAAAGCCAUGAGAAUUUCCAUUGAUGAGUGCAAAGAAAGAACCACUAGGAUGCGUGUUAAGAAAGAUGCCUUUAUAAGAGCGUGUUCUUCUAAUUCCUAUGAAAAUAAUGAUGAAGAUCAAAAAGUUAUUGAUGUCCUCCCUAUUAAAUCUUUGUUUUGCAAUAUGAAUCUUGAUAAUCAUGGGACUGAAUAUGAUCCACCUUUACCUAGAAGGCGUUCCAAUAAUUCAGAAUUUGUUGAUCUUGAUGCUAAAAUUGAUAAAGGUGGGAUUGAAGAAAUUAAAACCCUAGAUGUUGCUAAACCCACUAUUAUGGAUUUCAAGGAACUUAACUAUGAAAACUGCCCUUUGAUUGAUUGUAUAUCCUUGUUACAAUCCGUGCUAAAUUCUCCUCAUGCUUAUAGUCAAAAUAAAGCAUUUACUAAACAUAUUGUUGAUGCCUUGAUGCAAUCUUAUGAAGAAAAACUUGAAUUGGAAGUUUCUAUCCCUAUAAAGCUUUAUGAUGAGUGGGAACCAACUAUUAAAAUUAAAAUUAAAUAUCAUGAAUGCUAUGCUUUAUGUGAUUUGUGUGCUAGUGUUUCCACGAUUCCAUAGACUUUGUGUGAUUUGUUAGGUUUCCGUGAUUUUGAUGAUUGCUCUUUAAACUUGCACCUUGCGGAUUCCACUAUUAAGAAACCUAUGGGAAGAAUUAAUGAUGUUCUUAUUGUUGCAAAUAGCAAUUAUGUGCCCGUAGAUUUUAUUGUUCUUGACAUAGAUUGCAAUCUUUCAUGUCCUAUUAUUCUUGGUAGACCUUUCCUUAGAACGACUGGUGCAAUUAUUGAUAUGAAGGAAGGAAAUAUUAGAUUCCAAUUUCCAUUAAGGAAAGGCAUGGAACACUUUCCUAGAAAGUAAAUUAAAUUACCUUAUGAAUCUAUUAUGAUAGCCACUUAUGGAUUGCCUACCAAAGAUGGCAAUACCUAGAUCUAUCCUUGCUUGUUAUGCCUAGCUAGGGGCGUUAAACGAUAGCGCUUGUUGGGAGGCAACCCAAUUUUAUUUUUAUUCCUUGAUUUUUUCUCCUGUUUAGUAAUAAAUAAUUUAUAUAGCCUCUGUUUUGGUUCUGUUCUUUGUGUUUAAUUAGUGUUUGUGCCAAGUAGAACCGUUAGGAAGACUUGGGGAAAGUCUUGUUACACUUGCUGUAAAAAACUGAAACUUCAGCGCUCACGAGAACUGCUGCCAUUUUUAUUUGGAAAGUGCUAUGUAGUUAAUUAUUUUUCAGAUGAUUAACAGAUAAAUUCCUCACGUCCAGAAAUUUAUUUUAGAAUUUUUGGGGUUCCAGCUCUUGAGCUAGCUACAGAGUACUACAGGCUGUUCUGUUUUUGAAAGAUUCUGUUUUUCGUGUGUUGUUUGCUUAUUUUGAUGAACCUAUGGCUAGUAAAAUAGUUUAUAUACCAUAGAGAAAUUGGAAUACAGUAGGUAUAACACCAAUAUAAAUAAAUAAUGAGUUCAUUACAGUACCUUGAAGUGGUCUUUUAUUUUCUUUCGCUAACGGAGCUCAUGAGAUUUUCUACUUUAAGUUUUGUGUUGUGAAGUUUUCAAGUUUUGGGUAAAGAUUUGAUGGAUUAUGGAACAAGGAGUGACAAGAGCCUAAGCUUGGGGGUUCCCAUGGCACCCCCAAGAUAAUCUAAGUACACCUAAAAACCAAAGCUUGGGGAUGCGCCGGAAGUCAUCCCCUCUUUCAUCUACUUCUAUCGGUAACUUUACUUGGAGCUAUAUUUUUAUUCGCCACAUGAUAUGUGUUUUGCUUGGAGCGUCUUGUAUUAUUUGAGUCUUUAUUUGUUAGUUUACCACAAUCAUCCUUGCUGUACACACCUUUUGAGAGAGCCAUACAUGAUUUGGAAUUUGUUAGAAUACUCUAUGUGCUUCGCUUAUAUCUUUUGAGUUAUAUAGUUUUGCUCUAGUACUUCACUUAUAUCUUUUAGAGCACGGUGGUGGAUUUGUUUUAUAGAAACAAUUGAUCUCUCAUGCUCCACUUAGAUUAUUUUGAGAUUCUUAAUAGCAUGUUAAUUUGCUUAAAAUCCUAAUAUGCUAGGUAUUCAAAGUUAGUAAAAUUUUCUUAAGAGUGUUUUGAAUACUAAGAGAAGUUUGAUGCUUGAUGAUUGUUUUGAGAUAUGGAGGUAAUAAUAUCAAAGUCGUUCUCGUUGACUAGUUGUGAAAUUGAGAAAUACUUGUGUUGAAGUUUGCAUGUCCCGUAGCACGCACGUAUGGUAAACGUUGUGUAACAAAUUUGAAACAUGAGGUGUUAUUUGAUUGUCUUCCUUGUGAGUGGCGGUCGGGGACGAGCGAUGGUCUUUUCCUACCAAUCGAUCCCCCUAGGAGCAUGCGAAUAGUACCAAGGUUUUUGAUGACUUGUAGAUUUUUGCAGUAAGUAUGUGAGUUCUUUAUGACUAAUGUUGAGUCCAUGAAUUAUACGCACUCUCACCCUUCCAUCCUUGCUAGCCUCUUCGGUACCGUGCAUUGCCCUUUCCCACAUUGAGAGUUGGAGCAAACUUCGCCAGUGCAUCCAAACCCCGUGCUAUGAUACGCUCAUUCACACAUAAACCUCCUUAUAUCUUCCUCAAAACAGCCACCAUACCUACCUAUUAUGGCAUUUCCAUAGCCAUUCCGACAUAUAUUGCCAUGCAACUUUCCACCAUUCCGUUCAUCAUGACACAUUCAUCAUUGUCAUAUUGCGUAGCAUAAUCAUGUAGUUGACAUAGUAUUUGUGGCAAGGCCACCGUUCAUAAUUCAUUCAUACAUGUCACUCUUGGUCCAUUGCAUGUCCCGGUACACCGCCGGAGGCAUUCAUAUAGAGCCAUACUUUGUUCUAGUAUCGAGUAGUAAUUAUUGAGUCGUAAAUAAAUAGAAGUGUGAUGAUCAUCAUUAAUAGAGCAUGGUCCCAAAAAGAAAAAAAAGGAAGGGCCAAAAAAAGGCCAAAUAAAAAAAUAUAAAAAAGGGGGCAAUGCUACUAUCCUUUUUUUCCAAACUUGUGCUUCCAAGUAGCACCGUAAUCUUCAAGAUAGAGAGUCUCUUGAUUUGUCACUUUCAUAUACUAGUGGGAAUUUUUCAUUAUAGAACUUGGCUUGUAUAUUCCAACAAUGGGCGUCCCCAAGUUCCCUAGGUCUUCGUGAGCAAGCAAGUUGGAUGCACACCCACUUAGUUUCUUUUGUUGAGCUUUCAUACAUUUAUAGCUCUAGUGCAUCCGUUGCAUGGCAAUUCCUACUCCUUGCAUUAACAUCAAUCAAUGGGCAUCUCCAUAGCCCAUUGAUUAGCCUCGUUGAUGUGAGACUUUCUCCUUUUUGUCUUCUCCACAUAACCCCACUCAUUAGAUUCUAUUCCACCCAUAGUGUUAUGUCCAUGGCUUGCAAUCAUAUAUUGCGUGAAAGUUUAUAGGUUUGAGAUCACUAAAGUAUGAAACAAUUGCUUGGCUUGUCAUCGGGGUUGUGCAUGAUGAGAGCAUACUUGUGUGACGAAAAUGAAGCAUGACUAAACUAUAUGAUUUUGUAGGGGUGAACUUUCUUUGGCCAUGUUAUUUUGAGAAGACACAAUUGCUCAGUUAGUAUGCUUAAAGUAUUAUUAUUUUAUGUCAAUAUGAACUUUUGUCUUGAAUGUUUCAGAUCCGAAUAUUCAUACCACAAUUAAGAAGAAUUACAUUAAAAUCAUGCCAAGUAGCACUCCACAUCAAAAAUUCUGUUUUUAUCAUUUACCUACUCGAGGACGAGCCGGAAUUAAGCUUGGGGAUGCUUGAUACAUCUCCAACGUAUCUAUAAUUUUUGAUUGCUCCAUGCUAUAUUAUCUACUGUUUUGGACAAUAUUGGGCUUUAUUAUCCACUUGUAUAUUAUUUUUGGGACUAACCUAUUAACCGGAGGCCCAGCCCAGAAUUGUUGUUUUUUGCCUGUUUUAGGGUUUCGAAGAAAAGGAAUAUCAAACGGAGUCCAAACGGAAUGAAACCUUCGGGAACGUGAUUUUCUCAACGAACAAGAUCUAGGAGACUUGGACCCUCCAUCAAGACAUAAAAGAGGAGGCCACGAGGUAGGGGGCGUNNNNNNNNNNNNNNNNNNNNNNNNNNNNNNNNNNNNNNNNNNNNNNNNNNNNNNNNNNNNNNNNNNNNNNNNNNNNNNNNNNNNNNNNNNNNNNNNNNNNNNNNNNNNNNNNNNNNNNNNNNNNNNNNNNNNNNNNNNNNNNNNNNNNNNNNNNNNNNNNNNNNNNNNNNNNNNNNNNNNNNNNNNNNNNNNNNNNNNNNNNNNNNNNNNNNNNNNNNNNNNNNNNNNNNNNNNNNNNNNNNNNNNNNNNNNNNNNNNNNNNNNNNNNNNNNNNNNNNNNNNNNNNNNNNNNNNNNNNNNNNNNNNNNNNNNNNNNNNNNNNNNNNNUGGGCCCCCCUGUUGCUCCACCGACGUACUCCUUCCUCCUAUAUAUACCUACUAUUGGGGAACGUAGCAGAAUUUUAAAAUUUUCUACGCAUACCAAGAUCAAUCUAUGGAGUCAUAUAGCAACGAGGGAGAGAGGAGUGCAUCUACAUACCCUUGUAGAUCGCGCGCGGAAGCGUUCAAGAGAACGGGGUUGAUGGAGUCGUACUCGUCGUGAUCCAAAUCACCGAUGACCAAGUGCCGAAUGGACAGCACCUCCGCGUACAACACACGUACGGUUGGGAAGACGUCUCCUCCUUCUUGAUCCAGCAAGGGGGAAGGAGAGGUUGAUGAAGAUCCAGCAGCACGACGGCGUGGUGGUGGAUGCAGCAGGAUCCCGGCAGGGCUUCGCCAAGCGCAAGCGGGGAGGAGAGGUGUUACGGAAGGAGAGGGAGGCGCCAAGAGCAAGGGUGCGGCUGCCCUCCCUCCCCCCCCUCUUUAUAUAGGGGCCUUGGGGGGGCGCCGGCCCUAGGAGAUGGAUCUCCAAGGGGGGCGAAGGCCAAGGGGUGGCUUCCCCCCCAAGCCAAGUGGGGGGCGCCCCCACCCCUAGGGUUUCCCAACCCUAGGCGCAUGGGAGGCCCAAGGGGGGCGCACCAGCCCACUAGGGGCUGGUUCUGCUCCCAAUUCAGCCCAUGGGGCCCUCCGGGAUGGGUGGCCCCACCCGGUGGACCCCCGGGACCCUUCCGGUGGUCCUGGUACAAUACCGGUGACCCCCGAAACCUUCCCGAUGGCCGAAAUUGUACUUCCUAUAUAUAAAUCUUUACCUCCGAACCAUUCCGGAACUCCUCGUGACGUACGGGAUCUCAUCCGGUACUCCGAACAUAUCCUUGGUUACUACAUACUAAUAUCUCUACAACCCUAGCGUCACCGAACCUUAAGUGUGUAGACCCUACGGGUUCGGGAGACAUGCAGACAUGACAGAGACGCCUCUCCGGUCAAUAACCAACAGCGGGAUCUGGAUACCCAUGUUGGCUCCCACGUGCUCCACGAUGAUCUCAUCGGAUGAACCACGAUGUCGAGGAUUCAAUCAAUCUGUGUAGAAUUCCCUUUGUCAAUCGGUACGUUACUUGCCCGAGACUCGAUCGUCGGUAUCCCAAUACCUCGUUCAAUCUCGUUACCAGCAAGUCACUUUACUCGUGCCGUAAUGCAUGAUCCCAUGAUCAACCACUUGGUCACAAUGAGCUCAUUAUGAUCAUGCAUUACCGAGUGGGCCCAGAGAUACCUCUCCGUCAUACGGAGUGACAAAUCCCAGUCUCGAUUCGUGCCAACCCAACAGACACUUUCGGAGAUACCUGUAAUGUACCUUUAUAGUCACCCAGUUACGUUGUGACGUUUGGCACACCCAAGGCACUCCUACGGUAUCCGGGAGUUGCCCAAUCUCAUGGUCUAAGGAAAUGAUACUUGACAUUCGGAAAAGCUACAGCAAACGAACUACACGAUCUUUGAGCUAUGCUUAGGAUUGGGUCUUGUCCAUCACAUCAUUCUCCUAAUGAUGUGAACCCGUUAUCAAUGACAUCCAAUGUCCAUAGUCAGGAAACCAUGACUAUCUUUUGAUCAACGAGCUAGUCAACUAGAGGCUCACUAGGGACGUGUUGUCGUCUAUGUAUUCACACAUGUAUUACGAUUUCCGGAUAACACAAUUAUAGCAUGAAAAAUAGACAAUUAUCAUGAACAAAGAAAUAUAAUAAUAACCAUUUUAUUAUUGCCUCUAGGGCAUAUUUCCAACAGUCUCCCACUUGCACUAGCGUCAGUAGUCUAGUUACAUUUUGAUGAAUCCAACACCCAUGAAGUUCUGGAGUUGAUCAUGUUUUGCUCUAGGGAGAGGUUUAGUCAAUGGAUCUGCCACAUUCAGGUCCGUAUGUACUUUACAAAUCUCUAUGUAUCCAUUUUGAACACUUUCAUGAAUGGAGUUGAAGUGACGCUUGAUAUGCCUGGUCUUCCUGUGAAAUCUGGGCUCCUUGGCAAGUGCAAUAGCUCCAGUGUUGUCACAGAAUAGAGUCAUCGGGCCCGGUGCAUUGGGUGUGACUCCUAGGUCGGUAAUGAACUCCUUCACCCAGAUUGCUUCUUGUGCUGCCUCCGAGGCUGCCAUGUACUCUGCUUCACAUGUAGAUCCCGCCACAACGCUUUGCUUGCAACUCCACCAGCUUACUGCCCCACCAUUCAAAAUAUACACGUAUCCGGUUUCCGACUUAGAGUCAUCCAGAUCUGUGUCGAAGCUAGCAUCAACGUAACCCUUUACGACGAGCUCUUCGUCACCUCCAUAAACGAGAAACAUAUCCUUAGUCCUUUUUAGGUACUUGAGGAUAUUCUUGACUGCUGUCUAGUGUUCCAUGCCGGGAUUACUUUGGUACCUUCCUACCAAACUUACGGCAAGGUUUUCAUCAGGUCUGGUACACAGCAUAGCAUACAUGAUAGACCCUAUGGCCGAGGCAUAGGGGAUGACACUCAUCUUUUCUCUAUCUUCUGUCGUGGUCGUGCAUUGAGCCUCGCUCAAUCUCGUACCUUGCAAUACAGGCAAGAACCCUUCUUUUACUGAUCCAUUUUGAACUUCUUCAAUAUCUUAUCAAGGUAUGUACUCUGUGAAAGACCAAUGAGGCGUCUCGAUCUAUCUCUAUAGAUCUUGAUGCCUAAUAUAUAAGCAGCUUCUCCAAGAUCCUUCAUUGAAAAACACGUGUUCAAGUAGGCCUUUAUGCUUUCCAAGAAUUCUAUAUCAUUUCCCAUCAACAAUAUGUCAUCCACAUCCAAUAUGAGAAAUGCUACAAAGCUCCCACUCACUUUCUUGUAAAUGCAGACUUCUCCAUAAGUAUGCGUAAACCCAAACGCUUUGAUCAUCUCAUCAAAACGAAUGUUCCAUCUCCGAGAUGCUUGCACCAGCCCAUAAAUCGAAUGUUGGAGCUUGUACACCUUGUCAGCAUUCUUAGGAUCGACAAAACCUUCCGGCUGCAUCAUAUACAAUUCUUCCUUAAGGAAACCAUUAAGGAAUGUUGUUUUGACGUCCAUUUGCCAUAUUCAUAAUCAUAGAAUGCGGCAAUUGCUAACAUCGUAGUCAACCCCUUGAACUUGCCGAUAACCCUUAGCGACAAGCCGAGCUUUAUAGAUGGUCACAUUACCAUCCGCGUCUGUCUUCUUCUUAAAGAUCCAUUUAUUUUCUAUGGCUCGCCGAUCAUCGGGCAAGUCAGUCAAAGUCCAUACUUUGUUUUCAUACAUGGAUCUUAUCUCGGAUUUCAUGGCUUCCAGCCAUUUGUUGGAAUUCAGGCCCGCCAUCGCUUCUUCAUAGUUCGAAGUUCACCGUUGUCUAACAACAUGAUUUCCAAGACAGGGUUGCCGUACCACUCUGGUGCGGGACGUGUCCCCGUGGACCUACGAAGUUCAGUAGCAACUUGAUCUGAAGUUUCAUGAUCAUCAUCAUCAAUUUCCUCUCUAGUCGUUGCAGGCACCUUAGGAACAUUUUCUUGAGCUGCGCCACUUACCGGUUCAAGAGGUAAUAAUACUUCAUCAAGUUCUACUUUCCUCCCACUUAUUUCUUUCGAGAGAAACUCUUUCUCUAGAAAGGACCCAUUCUUGGCAACAAAGAUCUUGCCUUCGGAUCUGAGGUAGAAGGUAUACCCAAUAGUUUCUUUAGGGUAUCCUAUGAAGACGCAUUUUUCCAAUUUGGGUUCGAGCUUUUCAGGUUGAAGUUUCCUUACAUAAGCAUCGCAUCCCCAAACUUUUAGAAAUGACAUCUUAGGUGUCUUCCCAAACCAUAAUUCAUACGGUGUCAUCUCAACGGAUUUCGACGGAGCCCUAUUUAAAGUGAAUGCGGCAGUCUCUAAAGCAUAGCCCCAAAAUGACAGCGGUAAAUCGGUAAGAGACAUCAUAGAUCGCACCAUAUCUAAUAGAGUGCGAUUAUGACAUUCCGACACACCAUUACGCUGAGGUGUUCCAGGCGGCGUGAGUUGUGAAACUAUUCCACAUUUUCUUAAGUGUGUGCCAAAUUCGUGACUCAAGUAUUCUCCCCCACGAUCUGAUCGCAAGAACUUGAUUUGCCUGUCACGUUGAUUCUCAACCUCACUUUGAAAUUCCUUGAACUUUUCAAAGGUCUCAGACUUGUGUUUCAUUAAGUAGACAUACCCAUAUCUACUCAAGUCAUCAGUGAGGGUGAGAACAUAACGAUAGCCACCGCGCCUCAACACUCAUUGGACCGCACACAUCAGUAUGUAUGAUUUCCAAUAAGUUGGUUACUCGCUCCAUUGUUCCUGAGAACGGAGUCUUGGUCAUUUUACCCAUGAGGCAUGGUUCGCACGUGUCAAAUGAUUCGUAAUCAAGAGACUUUAAAAGUCUAUCUGCAUGGAGCUUCUUCAUGCGUUUGACACCUAUGUGACCAAGGCGGCAAUGCCACAAGUAUGUGGGACUAUCAUUAUCAACCUUACAUCUUUUGGUAUUCACACUAUGAAUAUGUGUAACAUUAUGCUCGAGAUUCAUUAAGAAUAAACCAUUCACCAAUGGAGCAUGACCAUAAAACAUAUCUCUCAUAUAAAUAGAACAACCAUUAUUCUCGGAUUUAAAUGAGUAGCCAUCUCAAAUUAACCGAGAUCCUGAUACAAUGUUCAUGCUCAAAGCUGGCAGUAAAUAACAAUUAUUGAGGUUUAAAACUAAUCCCAUAGGCAAAUGUAGAGGCAGCGUGCCGACGGCGAUCACAUCAACCUUGGAACCAUUCCCGACGCACAUCGUCACCUCGUCCUUCGCCAGUCUCCGUUUAAUCCGCAGCUCCUGCUUUGAGUUACAAAUGUGAGCAACUGCACCGGUAUCAAAUACCCAGGAGCUACUACGAGUACUGGUAAGGUACACAUCAAUUACAGGUAUAUCACAUAUACCUUUAGUGUUGCCGGCCUUCUUGUCCGCUAAGUAUUUGGGGCAGUUCCGCUUCCAGUGACUACUUCCCUUGCAAUAAAAACACUCAGUCUCGAGCUUGGAUCCAUUCUUUGGCUUCUUCCCGGAAACUUGCUUAGCGGGCGCGGCAACUCCCUUGCCGUCCUUCUUGAAUUCUUCUUACCCUUGCCUUUCUUGAACUUAGUGGUUUUAUUCACCAUCAACACUUGAUGUUCCUUUUUGAUUUCCACCUCUGCUGAUUUCAGCAUUGAAUAUACCUCAGGAAUGGUCUUUUCCAUCCCCUGCAUAUUGAAGUUGAUCACAAAGCUCUUGUAGCUCGGUGGAAGCGACUGAAGGAUUCUGUCAAUGACCGCGUCAUUCGGGAGGUUAACUCCCAGCUGAGUCAAGCGGUUAUGCAACCCAGACAUUUUGAUUAUGUGCUCACUGACAGAACUAUUUUCCUCCAUCUUAUAGCUGAAGAACUUGUCGGAGACUUCAUAUCUCUCGACCCGGGCAUGAGCUUGAAAAACCAUUUUCAGCUCUUCGAACAUCUCAUAUGCUCCAUGUCUCUCAAAAUGCUUUUGGAGCCCCGGUUCUAAGCUGUAAAGCAUGCCGCACUGAACGAGGGAGUAAUCAUCAGCACGUAACUGCCAAGCGUUGAUAAUGUCUUGGUUCUCUGGGACAGGUGCGUGACCUAACGGUGCUUCUAGGACAUAAUAUUUCUUGGCAGCUACGAGGAUGAUCCUCAGGUUCCGGACCCAGUCCGUAUAGUUGCUGCCAUCGUCUUUCAGCUUGGUUUUCUCUAGGAACGCGUUGAAAUUGAGGACAACGUGGGCCAUUUGAUCUACAAGACAUAUUGUAAAGAUUUUAGACUAAGUUCAUGAUAAUUAAGUUCAUCUAAUCAAAUUAUACAAUGAACUCCCACUCAGAUAGACAUCCCUCCAGUCAUCUAAGUGAAACAUGAUCCAAGUUAACUAGGCUGUGUCGGAUCAUCACGUGAAACGGACUAGUCAACAUCGGUGAACAUCUUCAUGUUGAUCGUAUCUUCUAUACGACUCAUGCUCGACCUUUCGGUCUUCUGUGUUCCGAGGCCAUGUCUGUACAUGCUAGGCUCGUCAACUAAACCUAAGUGUAUUGCGUGUGUAAAUCUGGCUUACACCCGUUGUAUUCGAACGUUAGAAUCUAUCACACUCGAUCAUCACGUGGUGCUUCGAAACAACGAACCUUCGCAACGGUGCACAGUUAGGGGGAACACUUUCUUGAAAUUAUUUCGAGGGAUCAUCUUAUUUAAGCUACCGUCGUUCUAAGCAAAUAAGAUGUAAAACAUGAUAAACAUCACAUGCAAUCAAAUAGUGACAUGAUAUGGCCAAUAUCAUUUGCUCCUUUUGAUCUCCAUCUUUGGGGCUCCAUGAUCAUCGUUGUCACCAGCAUGACACCAUGAUCUCCAUCAUCAUGUCUUCUUGAAGUUGUCUCGUCAUCUAUUACUUCUACUACUAUGGCUAAUGCUUUAGCAAUAAAGUAAAGUAAUUACAUGACGUUUAUGUUGACACGCAGGUCAUAAAAAAAUAAAGACAACUCCUAUGGCUCCUGCCGGUUGUCAUACUCAUCGACAUGCAAGUCGUGAUUCCUAUUACAAGAACAUGAUCAAUCUCAUACAUCACAUAUAUCAUUCAUCACAUCCUUUUGGCCAUAUCACAUCAGACGGCACAUGCUGCAAAAACAAGUUAGACGUCCUCUAAUUGUUGUUGCAAGUUUUUACAUGGCUGCUAUAGGUUUCUAGCAAGAACGUGUCUUACCUACGCCAAAACCACAACGUGAUAUGCCAAUUUCUAUUUACCCUUCAUAAGGACCCUUUUCAUCGAAUCCGAUCUAACUAAAGUGGGAGAGAUAGACACCCGCCAGCCACCUUAUGCAAGUAAUGCAUGUCAAUCGGUGGAACCAGUCUCACGUAAGCGUACGUGUAAGGUCGGUCCGGGCCGCUUCAUCCCACGAUGCCGCCGAAUCAAGAUAAGACUAGUAACGGCAAGCAAAGUGACAAUAUCCACGCCCACAACUGCUUUGUGUUCUACUCGUGCAUAGAAACUACGCAUAGACCUGGCUCAUGAUGCCACUAUUGGGGAAUGUAGCAGAAUUUUAAAAUUUUCUACGCAUCACCAAGAUCAAUCUAUGGAGUUAUCUAGCAAUGAGGAAGAGAGGAGUGCAUCUACAUACCCUUGUAGAUCGCGCGCGGAAGCGUUCAAGAGAACGGGGUUGAUGGAGUCGUACUCGUCGUGAUCCAAAUCACCGAUGACCAAGUGCCGAACGGACAGCACCUCCGCGUUCAACACACGUCCGGUUGGGAAGACGUCUCCUCCUUCUUGAUCCAGCAAGGGGGAAGGAGAGGUUGAUGAAGAUCCAGCAGCACGACGGCGUGGUGGUGGAUGCAACAGGAUCCCGGCAGGGCUUCGCCAAGCGCAAGCGGGGAGGAGAGGUGUUACGGAGGGAGAGAGAGGCGCCAAGAGCAAGGGUGCGGCUGCCUUCCCUCCCCCCUCUUUAUAUAGGGGCCAUGGCGGGCGCCGGCCCUAGGAGAUGGAUCUCCAAGGGGGGCGAAGGCCAAGGGGUGGCUCCCCCCCCCAAGCCAAGUGGGGGGCGCCCCCACCCCUAGGGUUUCCCAACCCUAGGCGCAGGGGAGGCCCAAGGGGGCGCACCAGCCCACUAGGGGCUGGUUCCCCUCCCAAUUCAGCCCAUGGGGCCCUCCGGGAUGGGUGGCCCCACCCGGUGGACCCCCGGGACCCUUCCGGUGGUCCCGAUACAAUACCGGUUACCCCCGAAACCUUCCCGAUGGCCGAAACUGUACUUCCUAUAUAUAAAUCUUUACCUCCAAACCAUUUCAGAACUCCUCGUGACGCCCGGGAUCUCAUCCGGGACUCCGAACAACUUUCGGCUUACUACAUACUAAUAUCUAUACAACCCUAGCGUCACCGAACCUUAAGUGUGUAGACCCUACGGGUUUCGGAGACAUGCAGACAUGACUGAGACGCCUCUCCAGUCAAUAACCAACAGCGGGAUCUGGAUACCCAUGUUGGCUCCCACAUGCUCCACGAUGAUCUCAUCGGAUGAACCACGAUGUCGAGCAUUCAAUCAAUCUGUAUACAAUUCCCUUUAUCAAUCAGUACGUUACUUGCCCGAGACUCGAUCGUCAGUAUCCCAAUACCUUGUUCAAUCUCGUUACCGGCAAGUCACUUUACUCAUACCAUAAUGCAUGAUCCCGUGAUCAACCACUUGGUCACAUUGAGCUCAUUAUGAUGAUGCAUUACCGAGUGGGCCCAGAGAUACCUCUUCAUCACGCGGAGUGACAAAUCCCAGUCUCGAUUCAUGCCAACCCAAUAGACACUUUCGGAGAUACCUGUAAUGUACCUUUAUAGUCACCCAGUUACGUUGUGACGUUUGGCACACCCAAGGCACUCCUACGGUAUCCGGGAGUUUCACAAUCUCAUGGUCUAAGGAAAUGAUACUUGACAUUCGGAAAAGCUACAGCAGAUGAACUACACGACCUUUGAGCUAUGCUUAGGAUUGGGUCUUGUCCAUCACAUCAUUCUCCUAAUGAUGUGAUCCCAUUAUCAAUGACAUCCAAUGUCCAUAGUCAGGAAACCAUGACUAUCUUUUGAUCAACAAGCUAGUCAACUAGAGGCUCACUAGGGACGUGUUGUGGUCUAUGUAUUCACACAUGUAUUACGAUUUCCGGAUAACACAAUUAUAGCAUGAACAAUAGACAAUUAUCAUGAACAAAGAAAUAUAAUAAUAACCAUUUUAUUAUUGCCUCUAGGGCAUAUUUCCAACACCUACGUACCCCCAAACGAUCAUAUACGGAGCCAAAACCCUAAUUCCACCGCCGCAACUUUCUGUAUCCACGAGAUCCCAUCUUGGGGCCUGUUCCGGAGCUCCGCCAGAGGGGGCAUCGAUCACGGAGGGCUUCUACAUCAACACCAUAGCCUCUCUGAUGAAGUGUGAGUAGUUCACCUCAGACCUACGGUUCCAUAGUUAUUAGCUAGAUGGCUUCUUCUCUCUUUUUGGAUCUCAAUACAAUGUUCUCCCCAUCUCUUGUGGAGAACUAUUCGAUGUAAUCUUCUUUUUGCGGUGUGUUUGUUGAGACCGAUGAAUUGUGGGUUUAUGAUCAAGUCUAUCUAUGAAUAAUAUUUGAAUCUUCUCUGAAUUGUUUUAUGUAUGAUAGGUUAUCUUUGCAAGUCUCUUCGAAUUAUCAGUUUGGUUUGGCCUACUAGAUUGAUCUUUCUUGCAAUGGGAGAAGUGCUUAGCUUUGGGUUCAAUCUUGCGGUGUCCUUUCCCAGUGACAGUAGGGGCAGCAAGGCACGUAUUAUAUUGUUGCCAUCGAGGACAACAAGAUGGAGUUUUCAUCAUAUUGCAUGAGUCUAUCCCUCUACAUCAUGUCAUCUUGCUUAAGGCGUUAAUCUGUUUUUAACUUAAUACUCUAGAUGCUUGCUGGAUAGCGAUCGAUUAGUGGAGUAAUAGUAGUAGAUGCAGGCAGGAGUCGGUCUACUUGUCUCGGACGUGAUGCCUAUAUACAUGAUCAUACCUAGAUAUUCUCAUAACUAUGCUCAAUUCUGUCAAUUGCUCAACAAUAAUUUGUUCACCCACCGUAGAAUAUUUAUGCUCUCGAGAGAAGCCACUAGUGAAACCUAUGGCCCCGGGUCUAUCUUUAUCAUAUUAAUCUCCUACUACUUAGUUAUUUCCUUUGCUUUUUACUUUGCCUUUAUUUUACUUUGCAUCUUUAUCACAAAAAUACGAAAAAAAUUAUCUUUAUCAUAUCUAUCAAAUCUCACUCUCGUAAGUGGCCGUGUAGGAAUUGACAACCCCUAUUCGCGUUGGUUGCGAGGAUUUAUUUGUUUUGUGCAGGUACGAGGGACUCGCGCGUAGCCUCCUACUGGAUUGAUACCUUGGUUCUCAAAACCUGAGGGAAAUACUUACGCUACUUUGCUGCAUCAUCCCUUCCUCUUCGGGGAAAACCAAGGCAGUGCUCAAGAGGUAGCAAGGGUUCCUUUUUGUCGACGAUCCGAUGUUUCAACCCUGUUUUCCAGGUGGCCAACGCGUCGCUAAACUUGGUGACGGCGUGUUUGUUUAUCUUCUUCAUUGCCAGGUCCUUAUCUGGAUCUUUAUUAUCCUUUUCACUGCGGUCUGGGAACAAGAUUAUCUGGUGCAGUUUCUUAAGGAGGGAGGGCCUCAUAUUAUCUAUCUUCUGUAGUUUCCCAUCGUUGAUCGUGGCAGUUGUCCGUACGAUGCAACCUAUUUGAUUGCCGUAGCACGAUCGCGCUUCCUCGGGCGCUAUUGUCUCAAAAAUACCGCCGUCCAUCUCCGUGACCGCCAGUCUACUACUCAUGAGCUGGUUUGGGCGCUGUGGCCUCUUUGCUUUCGGUUCUAGACCAGCUCCGCUAGUCUCGGCGCCUGUCUCAGUUUCAUCAUCGGUCCGCAUGUCGGUAUCAGUCCCCGAUGCGACACCACAGUUGCUGCAACAUGGGUAAGGGAGACCACGUCAGUGGUGGGGGGUCUGAAAAUCAGAACACACUUUCGCGCGUCGCGGGCCGCCUCUCAGACAGCUACUGGGGAGGCGGUGGAGUACCUGGGUGCGCGGCGAAUCCCCGGGAACUCGGUGACCAACUUCCUUCCCGUGUGGCGCAUGGAGACGACGGCGACCCCGGCGAAGAGCAGCUUAGCCGCGAGCUGCACAGCCUCGUCCACCUCCUAAGUUGGGACCUCCGCGCGAGCGUUGCGGGGCCGCCACUCGGAUGGCUUCUGGAAGGCGGUUGUACAUGGGCACAUGGUGAAUCCCGGCGAGAGCUGGCCAUUGGCGCGCGCAAGUAGACGACGAUGUCCUCGAAGAAGAGCAGCCCGGCCAGCUCGCCUCACUAUCCUUUGAUUAGAAAUGAAAGAUUGGGAAGAAGCAGACUUGAGCCUGCAGGGAAAGGAUAAGGUGACGAUGCAGUCUCCACUCGUUCGGGGCGACACUCGUACUGAAUGUAUGAGAAACGUGACGUGGCAGAGACCCCAAGAUACUCCCUCCAUUUAUUUUUAGUCUGCAUAUAAAGUUUGGUCAAAGUCAAGAUUUGUAAAUUUUAACUAACUUUAUAAUAAAAAAAUAUCAACAUUCACAAUAUGAAAUCAAUAUUACCAGAUGCGUCAUGAAAUGUAUUUCCAUACUAUAUAGUUUUGGUAUUGUAGAUGUUCAUAUUUUUUUAUAUAUAUGGGAAGUAGAGGCACUCUUCUAUAUAAUGAAGUUUAUAAUAUAUGUGCUUAUAUUGUACUAUAAUUGUUUGAAUAACUUAGCAUAUAUUCAGAUGUAUGAUAUCUGUAAUUUAAACGCUUGAAUUUUACAUAUGAAUAUUUAUUAAUAAAUAUGUACCCCUAUAAUAGCUAGGCCGUGCAGUUGCACGGGUAGAUGACUAGUGAUUACAAUCUUGCUUGUGUGCAAGUCAAGCUUAUCUAGUUUACACGUAACAACUUAUAGAACAUUACAAAAUUUAUGCUUGCUAAUAACUUCUAGAACACUACAACACUUGACAUGUAAAAGGAAUUUGAUGAGUCAUGGCCUACUAAAGCAAGUUACAUUACUAGUCUUAUCUAUCUUAACAGACCACACAAGAUUACAAACUAUGUACCGUGACAGCCAUGCUUAUCUAGUUUAUGCGUAACAAUUUGCAGAAAAUUACAAACUUAGUUUCAGAAAGAUAGGCAAUCUAGAUUAGUGUUUGAGCUGUAAAGUGAAUAAGAUGAGUCAUGCAUGUCAUCACACCUUUUUGGUGGUGGAAUGAUAGUGCAACAACAAGGAACUUUAAUGACCAGUCCAAGAAUACACUUGUAAGUAGUGCCACCAAACAGAACAUACCAAAUGAUGAUUUUGAGAAGCAUCCAAGCACUUUCCACACAAACAAAUGCCAAUUGUGAAAGAGAUCAUUCCAUGGCAGCUAUAAAUAGCCCCAUAGCAUGACGAUCAUCCUUCCUCAUCCAUCAUUCUCAUAAGUAGAGCACAUCAUUUAAGCCAAGCAAGUUGUGGUCAAUACAAAUCCACCAUGAAGACCUUUCUCAUCCUUGCCCUCCUUGCUAUCGUGGCGACCACCGCCACAACUGCAGUUAGAGUUCCAGUGCCACAAUUGCAGCCACAAAAUCCAUCUCAGCAACAGCCACAGGAGCAAGUUCCAGUGGUACAACAACAACAAUUUCUAGGGCAGCAACAACCAUUUCCACCACAACAACCAUAUCCACAGCCGCAACCAUUUCCAUCACAACAACCAUAUCUGCAGCUGCAACCAUUUCCGCAGCCGCAACUACCAUAUUCGCAGCCACAACCAUUUCAACCACAACAACCAUAUCCACAACCGCAACCACAGUAUUCGCAACCACAACAACCAAUUUCACAGCAGCAGCAGCAGCAGCAGCAGCAGCAACAACAACAACAACAACAACAACAACAACAACAACCACAACAAAUCCUUCAACAAAUUUUGCAACAACAACUGAUUCCAUGCAUGGAUGUUGUAUUGCAGCAACACAACAUAGCGCAAGGAAGAUCACAAGUUUUGCAACAAAGUACUUACCAGCUGUUGCAAGAAUUGUGUUGUCAGCACCUAUGGCAGAUCCCUGAGCAGUCGCAGUGCCAGGCCAUCCACAAUGUUGUUCAUGCUAUUAUUCUGCAUCAACAACAAAAACAACAACAACAACAACAACAACAACAACCAUCGAGUCAGGUCUCCUUCCAACAGCCUCAGCAACAAUAUCCAUUAGGCCAGGGCUCCUUCCGGCCAUCUCAGCAAAACCCACAGGCCCAGGGCUCUGUCCAGCCUCAACAACUGCCCCAGUUCGAGGAAAUAAGGAACCUAGCGCUACAGACACUACCUGCAAUUUGCAAUGUCUACAUCCCUCCAUAUUGCACCAUCGCGCCAUUUGGCAUCUUCGGUACUAACUGAGAAGAAAAUAACUCUAGUACUAGAUAUAUGAAACACCGUUUUCUCAGUCCAUGGUUUGGUCGUUGUAGCGGUGAAAAAAUAAUGUGGCAUGCACUAUCAUGUAAGAACCCAAACUAUACUAGUUCAAACUUGGGAAUAAAAGACAAACACAGGUCUUGUCUACAUAUUUAUGUCGCAUCUAUUUAUAUAUUAAAAGUAAUAUAAGGUGAACCAGGAGCAAGGUAAAUAUGCUAGAAAAUUGCACGUUAAUUAGAAAUUACUAGCCCUCAAUCCGGUAAAUCUUAACAAAUAGAAUUAUCUUGACCGUUAGAUUUAUGUAACAUAUAUAAUUCUCUGGGCCUCCAACGACUGUACGUGACACAUCUGAACGCACAUAUGUUAAAGAAAAUAUAUUUGGUAAAUGGUGGGCCUCUUUAAAAAGAGAACUCACGUACAUGCACCAACUAAGAAAAACACAUACAUGUAAACGGGAAAAGGGCUCCACCCCGUUGAAAAAAUAUACAUCUGGAGGCCACUUUGUUUCCUCAUAAAAAAAAACUUACGUUAAAAAGAUUGCAUGCAUCCCAGGGAAAAUAGUCAAGAAGAAGUCGGACUCUUCCUUACAAAAACAAGGAACGUGUUAAGUUGACUUCAAAGAAAAAAGGAACAUGUUAAGUUAAAAAAAACAAGAAACCUGUUAAGUUAGAAAAAAACAAGGAACGUGUUGUCCUAGGAAAGAUAUGUGUCAAAUCUUACAAAAAAAAGAAUACACACACGUACGUUCAUGCACUUGGAAAAUAGAAAAAAAAAGGAACAUCACGUAUGUAUACACUUCGGAAACUCAUUACAUGACCAUGUCUGAUAUACUCCUCUAAUGCUUAAUAUUAGUGCCUAAUAAUUUAUAUUUAAAAUUUAAUUUACUGAUCAAAUAUCCCCACUGUUUAAAUUUUAAUUUGGCACAUUGUUUGGCUAUAGUAUGAACCUAAAUUUCCUCUUAUUAUUAUAUAUCAUGAUAAUAAUCCAAAGGCGACUAAUCUGCGCCGGCGCACCGGCGCAAUCAAUUCGGCCCGACACAGCGCGGCCGUUUGAUUAAAUUGCAUUUAACCGUCAGAUCUAGAAUCAUUUUAUUUCCAAUUAAACGGAUUCAACCAAACAGCAGAGGGGAAAACAAAGCAGCACCGCCGCCAACACUAGUCAUGGACGACCGAUGUAGCAAAACCUUGAAGAACCGCCGCCGGUCGCCACCCUCGCCGCUGGUCGCCGCCCUCGCCGCCUGCGUUUCUCAUCGGCUUCAUGCAUGCAACAACAUGCACUCGUGAUUGCAGGCUUGCAGCUCCGGCUCCGGGGGACAUGGCCGCAUCUCCGGUAGCGCCGGCCGCCAGCCGCAGCACCUGUCGUUGUGGUCACGCUGUACCUCGCCGUGUGCCCUCCCAAGGCUCUUGCUGGUUCCAACAAAAAACGAUACCUAUUGUAGCAAAAAAGUUUAUCGCUUCCAGCAAAAAAGCUUACCGCUAUAGCCCGCCAUCAUCAUUGUAGCAAAAAUGUUAACUCGAUGUAGCUUCUGUGGUUGCCGACUGCGGCCAAAAAUGACGUGGUUGUAGCAAAACACAAAAGAAAAACGCCGGCCGUCCGCUGUGUAUGGUGGUAACAAACCCUAUAGCCGGUGGUAGCGAAAAACUUCACUGUUUGCAGCAAAAAAAUGUUGUCGCCCGUCGUCGAGGUUGCAUCAUCUUCAUGAAUUAUGUCGCAAAAAAACGUUGUCGCCGGUAGUAGCAAAUGAAGCCGCCGGUAGUAACAAAACAAGACACUGGUUCCAGCCAAAAAAAUCAGCGACAGAACCUUUUGUUGGUUCCAACAAAAAAACUUGUCGGUUGUAACAUCCCUCGCCGCCGGAUGUAGCAUCUCCCAGGGCUAGUUGCAACACUCCAUAAAAAAAGUUGUCUAUGAGCGCAUCCAUGGCAACUGCUGCACCGUCAGCAACGAGGGGAAGAGGAGGCAAUGAAAAUCGUUCGAGUCGUAGCUCCACUGGACACGGCUGCAGCAUGGGGAGUCCAAAAAUCUGUCACAAGCAAGAUGCGCCUCGCCAUCCUCCUGCGCAGGAGAGAGAAGAAAAAGGAAUAAGAGGAAGAAGAAACGAAACGGGAGAAAGAAAAAAAGAAACGAUUGGUUGUGGGCUCAGGCAAUUAGUCAAAUGAGGGGCACGCGGGGCCGUAGGAUACAGCGCAAUCGAACGAAGUGCGCGCGUCCGGCCGAAGACUCAGCUGGACUGCCGGUCCAGCUGGAAAUGUUUCCCUAAUACAAAGGCUUUUCUGAAUGACAAGUCGUCUGAGUUAUCGGCUAACUAGAAAAAAGAUAAAUAUGCUAGAUAAUUCCAUAAUAAUUAGAAAUAUCUAGCCUUUAAUUAUGUAAAUCAGAAAAUCACAACCGUUGGAUUUACUUUAAAGGUAAAUUUCUCUAAAUUCCCACCAUUGCCAGUAUGUAGAAACAUGUGCUGCUUCAAUUCUCCCUUAAUCACCAAUCAAUCAACAACUGAAAACAUACCUCAGUUAAAAAAACUGAACAAAAAAAAGAAAAAAAGAAGAAAGGACAAGAUACACGCAUGUACACGACAGCCUUGGCUUGAAACACAUCAGUAGAUCAAGUGUCCGCCUCCCUUACACAGAAUAAAUUCUAGGGAAGAAAAUAAUAGUGCAACCUAACCUUAUACGUACUAUUCUAUCCUCACGUCCCAUGAGGUUUACUAGCCUACUGCCGCCGCAUCAUGCCAUCCUCUCCUUUCAGCUCCCUCCUUGCGGCGCCACUACUCGCCUAGGGAUAUUGCUGCUCAGACCGUGGAGCUUAACCUGCUUCUUCUUCAGCAAAUAUGGAACUGCUUUAGGAUCCUUCUGACAUCAGCGCGUAUGGGCCUCAUUAUACUGCAGCUCCUGGACCUCCUACAAUUGGUUGGCUAUGGCCAGUUGAUCGAUGUGCUGAAGUCCAGGUCUGUUUGCUGGCACAUAUGCUUUGGAAAUAGGCCACUAUGUUUGUACUUCGAAAUUGUUUCUGUAUUCUUCAGUGGUACAUCCUUUUAAGCGCCAGUUUUUUAUGUUAAUUCAUGCUGACAACACUUAACCUAGCCUUUCAUGUUCACGUACUAAAUACAGGAGCAAGUAAAAACAACAGACCACCUAAUUGCUCUGCAAGUUCUACAUAGGAAAAUUUGUCAUGUUCUACGAUCGCACCAUCCCACCCUUCUCUCUUGGUAUGGGCGCCAAUUGAGGGAUUGAUAAAACUGAAACGAAGACGUCACAGGGCUGGAAGUACCGCUAGCCUGGUUCGCACUGCAACCUACCCAACGCCAUCAGAAACUAGCAACUGAGUCAGGUGUUGAUCGAUUCUCUCAAAUUGCUCUCAUGUAAGUACUACCCCUUGCAUGUGCGUACAUACCUUUGUUGCAUUCUCAAACAGAUAGAACAUGUAUGAUCGGUGCAUGGCUAUUUUUCAUCACAUGACAUCCAGAUAACAAGCAUGAAAGGACUACAUUGGAGAUCAAAAAAUAUUGGUUCCUGGCUAGAGUACCACUACCUAUGGACUUGUCUCCAUAGAAUUUGUUCCCAAGAUGUUAUUUUAAUUAACCUCUUUAGCUUUCUUCCGUUGCAAACGGUGAUGUGCAUCAUGGUAUAUACGUGACCAUCUUGCACAUGUAUACACAAGAGGCUCAGACGGAGGUGCUGGAUUCUGGACGAGGGAAUAUGAAGCAGGAGUGAGCGAAGAGUAAAUAAUGGUGGGAGUACCGAUUGGUGUUAUGAAGAAAAAUGCCAUCCAAAGAUUGAUUAGUGUCAUGGAAGAUUAAUUUCUGAAUGCGAAUAUAUAUGUUACAUUGGUUUGGAUCUUUUUGAGAUAAUUGCACCUAAAUUAGGUUCUUUCUUAUUUCAUAUGUAUACCUUAUUUCAGUAAAAGUUCACAACGAACUUAGUAGGACAAAUAUAAUUUUGUUUGUUCUUUCUGUUGUCCGCCACCAAAGCUCAGUUUGAACUCUCUAGAAAUGGACAAUGAUUUAUGCAUUCUAUAUCUUCUUGAUUGAUUAGCCAUGACAAGGAAAUAAAAGGAUUGACUGAUAUAGCAUAACUUUGGAACGAUCUGUUCGUAGAGGUUACUACAAAUUAGAGUAGUGUCUGUUGGAAUUUUGCUAGUAGGCCUUUGGCCCAAAGCCCAACUAAAAUUCUGAAAUUCUCUUCGCUCAUUCAUGCACACAUGUGAGUGGAGUGAGUGAGACUAAAGUUUAGAGAGAGUUGCACCUCUUUAUAAGGUGAGCUCUUCUACCACUUGUAUGAGCAUGAGAAGAGGAGACCUAUACACGCGCUCCUCCUCCUCGCUCACCACGUCUCGUCACGCCGCGCCGCGCCGCGGAUUGCGGGAUUGAGCCGAGCCGAGGACGUUGUCUAUAUUUUUGCUGUUUGGGAAAAAUUAAUAAGUCAUUAAUUAAUAAUUAAUGGAUGCGUUAAUUACUGAACCAUUUUCGAUUCUUUUGGAUCGUGACGACUCGGACGUGGGGUUUACUCCCACGAUCUACCCGGCCCACACUAUAUAGUCAGGCAGACGUCUACCCUAGCCGCCGCCACUUCGUAUGGUUUCUCACCACCGUUACAGAUCGUUGCGCCGCCAAGCAAGUUUUCUCCAUUCCUCCUGUCGGCAUGCACUGGGAGAAGGGACAGCAGGCCUCCGGAACCCCGCCUCUCGUGAUCCUGUACGGGAGAGGGGCGAUCAGAUUUUUGGGGAGCGCACUCGCACGACUGCUGGCAGCGACGACUUCGCAAACGACGACUUCUUCCCCGACCUCGGCAACCUCAUCCUCGACUUCUGCACCGUAUGUUAUUCUAUCCUUCUUGUUCGAGAUCGUGGUAGAAUUCAGAUUUCUAGCAUGUUCCCUAGAUGUGAUUUGUUCAUCUACUAUUCUAAUUCGCAUGAUUAGUUUAAUCUUUGCUAUUGCUGUCAUGAUCUAUUUCCUAUUUAUUCGGAUUAAAUCUCGUAGUAAUUUGCUCAUUUUUCCAACAGUGCCAUCUAAUAGAUGAUGUAAAUCUCCUCAAGUUUGACGUUGUUGAGCUAAUUUACAAAAAAAACCUCAUCAUUAUUGGAUGUCCUUAACAGCUCAAGAACAAGUUGGGGUCGAAAUAAUGGAUUUUACACUUUUACAUUAAAGGUUUAGCUAAAGCAAGCAGGUGUUUUUAAACCUGAAUUUUUUUCCUCCUGAAUUUCUUUGUAUUUUCUUAUUGACACUAUUUAUACAAUCAUCUGACAAAGAUUAGCUAAAGCUGUUUGUAGAUACGUUCAAACCUGAAAAGCUUCUUUGGUUAUCCUUUUAAUAGUUCUACGUUUAUUUUCUCAUAGGUCUUAAUUCUUAUGUAAUACCAAGAUGCAUUGUGGUAGUGUACAUGUGUUAAAUUCAGGUUGUUAUUCACAAUUUGCGACAAAAUUUAGCUCACGCUACAUUUAAAUAUGUUGAAAUGUGAAAGCUCUUUUUCUUCUCCUUUCUACACCUUGCAUCGGAUUGCAUCCCUUUAGUUAUCCAACAUUUUGUACAACAUGUAGAGAUUAGGAAGUUCAUCAUAGUUUGUCUAUUUCCGUGCUAAUAAAUGUAUGAAAUCUGCAUUUCCAAGCUACUAGGACAAGUAAAAAAUAAUAAUUUUACUAUAGGAUUCAAAAACAGCAGUUCUGAAGUGCACUUUAUUUAUUUGUGAAAGUGAUCACAUUUUGUUUCAUUUUUCUAUAGACAAAUCUACUAAUACAUACUCACGAUAAAACUAUAAAAGUUCUAGUCCGCACAUUGGGCGGGCCACCCGGCUAGUUAGUCUAAAGAUAACAAAAUGAGUCUGGAAUUUGAAUUAAAUUGAAGUAUUUUCUUGGACUAUCCACAUCCUUGGCUUGCCCCUGAUCAAUUAUUUCCAGAGAAGCAUUCAAUUCAUCAAUCAAUUACAUUGAUUUUAGUGGCUGGUACUUCUCCUCGACAUCAGUAUAUUCACCGUGGCCACUCCAAAUCGGCAAGAAUGAGGUACCAGUGCUCUGGAGCAGUGCAAGCUAAUUGCUUCUCAUGUGAAGGGGUGCGGGCGCGGGAGAGGUAUUUCUGGUGGGCCAAGGGAUAAGAAGCGACCGUGGCAGCGGUACAGACGCCCGCAAAGCCCCAUAAUUUGUUUUUGGUUUACAGGAAAAAUGCACAUCCAUACCGGCCUGGGGAAUAUAGCACUGUAUUGCAUGGAAAACCAUGUCCGGAUGGUUGUGAGCGGUUUGAGGGUUAGCUUUUGUAACGCCCGGUUAGUUAUGCUAUAGCAAUUCCCUGCUAAUGAUGUCACGUCACCACGAUUACUGUUGUUAACCUCACAAUGAUUCAAUCCCGUUCAAAUUCAAAUUUGAAAUAAAGGUAAACAUCAAAAGUUUUCAAACAUUAAAACUAAAAUCUUUGAGAGGUGACAAAUAAUGCAUAAGUAAUUAUGGUGAAGAAACCACACUUUAAUCAAAUGUUUAAAUACUCUAAAAUGAAAAAAAAACAGUGACUUAAACUAUUAUUUAAAUGCUUUUAAAAUAGUAAAAAUCUUCUAACUAAAUUAUUUGGGUACCAAACUUUUGGUGGCAGUGGUAUAUUUAGUAGAACUAAUUUAGAUGCUAAUUAUAUAAUUUACAAAAUUAGAGUAAAUUGAAAAAUAGGAUAAAACGGAAAAAGGAAAGACAAAACAAAUAAAAGCAAAAGGGGGCAACCCCUCGCUGGGCCUCGGCCUAGCUGGCCACUAGACUAGCUAGGCUGGCCCCGCCGCCUCCCUUAACCCCCCACUCCCCAUCGAACCCAAGCCCGAUCGCCCCAUUUCCCACACACCCCCUCGCUAGUCUCCCCACCUCUUGAUCCCAUCUGGAUCGGGGAGGGUAUUGCCCCCAUCAACCCCGUUGCCGUCGCCGGAUCGCCCGCCGACGUCGGCAGGCCUCCUCCCCGUCGCCCGUCUCCGGCUCACCUCCCCUCUCGCUCCUCUUCCCCGACCCGAUCUGGAUCGUGAACGAGCAAUGAGCUCGAAGCCCCCCUUCACCAGCGCCAUCACCGUGCGCCACCACCACCACCUGAAGACCUCACCGUCGCUGAACCUUGCGUCGCCUCCUUGUAUCCCUCCCCUACUCGCAUCCUCAAGCCAGGCCGAGCCCCUUCUCGGCAACGCUGUGAGACGCCCCCGUUUCCCUCCUCUUUCCACCGCGUUCACCGCGCCGCCCGCCGUGCCCCUCGCCGUGCAUGAGCCCACCACCGCACCAGCCCCCGCUCCGCGCACGACCCUACCCGCGCCCGCGCCAUGAUCCCCUUUUCCGCCCUACCUUCACGCGCUCGCCGCGAUCCCCAUGCUCCCCCGCGCCCUCUUUCGGGGGCGCCGACUGCCCCUGUCCCGGUGCUCGCCGCCGUGCCUCGCCACCGCUCUACUGCUACGUUACUACUGCGCUGCGGCCGCCGCCUCUUCCCGCUGCUCCGCUAGCGCCGAAGCUCCCGGUUGGCUCCACCACUGCUCACGUUAAACCGCCGGCCUAAAUGGCCUAACCCUCGGCUAAUGAACCCCCACUAACCCACUGACACCGGGACCCACAUUCCCUAAUUAACCAUUUAAUAAAUUAACAUUAGUGUAUGACAUGUGCGUCCCCUGUUAAUUAAUAAUUUUACUGCUAGUUUUAUUAGUUUCUGUUUUUCUGCAUAUUUCUUUUGUAUUUGAACAGGCUUUAUACAAUAAUAUUUAGCGUAUCAUACACAUACAAAUGUAAUCAUAGCAUAUACAUACAAAUAGUCUCAUCAAAUCAUGUCAUCAUCAUAAUCAUCAUCCAUCACAAAGUGGUCUCUGGUCAUCAUCUCGAAAAUAGCGAUACAAGUCUCGAUUACUUGCAACUACAUCGUCAUCCAUCUAAACAAUGAUAUACACGAGAAGAGCUCUCACUAUGAGUGAGAGCGGAACUAUGCAGUACAUGAGUUUGUAUCCCUCUCUCGCAUUAGCGUGAACCUAAACUAACGACUGGCUGUUGCUCGGAAACCGGAAACCGGUACACCUGGGCCUGACACUCCGGCCACUCAUCGUAUACUCCUGGCGUAGCACUUCUUCGCCAUCGAUGAUCUAUGCACCUGCAUCGUCACAUGAGUCGAUGAUAUGCAACAUAUAUAGUUGAGCAACAGAAAGAGACAGACUUGGCAAAAAUAGAAGCAACAUAUCACAAGUAUAAAUAACAAAGUUAAUGUUUUGCAGGAUUACAACUCAACCCAUUGCAGAUUAGAAAACAAGCCCGUAUGAAUGCACAGGCUGACGACUAGUCUAUCUAUACCUAUACCUAUACCUAUACCUAUACCUACCUAUACUAAUUACAGACUCCCAAGGAAUUCCCACGUUAAUUAGUAAUUAGGAGUCGUUAAUCUUGUGGGACCAAAUUAUUACGACAGUCCACGAUCUCUUUUCUCUCUGUGUAAAAAAAGGUCCACGAUCUCUUUUCUCGGUUGUAAAAGAUAAAGGCAACUCAGGUCCACGAUCUCUUUUCACGGUUGUGAAAGAUAAAGACAACUCCCGUCUUCUUCUAAUCUAUAGUUCUAUACCUCCACGACCCCUUUCUCUCCCCAUUUAAAAGGAACAAGCUGAACCAAUAUCUAAGCAUGCAAUUGGUUCCUGUGCGGUCUUGACCUUCCAUCCGUCCACUGCUCGAUCGGCCCUCCCUCAACUACAAGCUGACAAGCCACCAUCGCCAUCCAGCGGCACGCCACCGUUCAUGCAUGUGUUUUUGCCCUUCAAUCUGAAGGAGAUGCGUUGGCUACUCAAGUAACUCUGUUUGUUUUGUUCAAACCAAUUUCGUUAAUUCGGUUCUUUGAUUAUCUAAUUGACAUGGCCUGUGAGUUUUGUGCUAGUGAUACAGGGCCUGUCUACUAGAUUCUCUCCUUGCAACUUCUAUUGUUGUCUCGAUUUGGUGUGGUCAAGAUCCUUGCCCCACCACAAGCAGCACCUUUGCACCAUCGGGGAAAUCUGUCAUAGCAAACAGAGGUAUGUAACAUGCUUUGGUGUUUUCCUCUUUCGUUUAGAUCACUAGAGUUGCUCAACCACACCAUUCAUUGAUUAGUAGUUGGCCUGAGAAGUUGCUCGGUCACCUGCAGCGUCUGAUCCCCUUCUUGACCCUCUCCUUCUGGUCAUUAUCCACCGGCAGGUCAAUGCAAAACGGAUCGUUCGUUGCCGCCACCUUGCGGAGACCGAUGUUUGGCUGCCCUCCUGCCAUCCUGGCACUCUGGUACCGGUCACUGUGCCGUUGUUCUAGAAGAACUAUGUCACACGAAGCGAGAUAUCUUCUUACUAAUCUGGAACAUAAGUGUUUCUUCUUACUAGGAUUCGCUCACCGGUGCAUUCAUCUCUUUUUGGAAAAUACGGCCUUCAUAUUUCACACGCCUAUACAUGGGUGCUGUCCCAACAAUAAUCCAUCUAAUCCAUGAUGCACAUUCAUGAAGACUGAUGUGACUGAAUUAAUAUAUCAAUCUGGUGCUUCCGGAUCAGCACUUGAAGAAGCAACCCCUUUAGUUCAUAAAUUUAUCAUACGAAAGUCAGGGGAAAAAUCAACUAAGUCAUGUGUGCUUUUCUAAUUAAUUACUAUACACUAAUUCCAUUUUUUUCAGUAGCAGGCUAGGAUACGUGGAUUGUGGCAGCACAGAAGUAAACCGAUGAGCUACAUUGGCCGUUCACCAGUCAUCGGAUCAGAAGCCAUGUCGACCAGAGGGACGGAACAGUUCUAUAUUAGGCGAUGGAUACAUGUGGAAGCAACUAAGCAUAUGUGGAUGCAUGUGAUCGCAUAGGUAAGGCCAUAGCUGUUCAAGCCCUACAGGAUCUUUAUUGCUGGUUUUAAUUAUGAGUUUACAACACCAUCUAUACAUACUACUUAUCCAUUUAUUUCCUUACCUUCUUUGUUUCUUUCUCUCCUUGAUCCCCUGUCAAAAGGGCAUCAACAUCCAUAUGCGCAACGGCACACGCAACAAACUAUGACUUCGGUUGCACGUCCAAUGGCAACCACAGUACAUGAUGAUAUCAUGUUUGCUGCAAGACGAAGUACAAGUUCAUAAUUUGGUCUUUUGCAUGGUCCCUUAGUAAAUUAUAUUUGUCCACAUACACCACAUACAUAAAAACAGGUAGAAGCGGUUGCAUGAUGAAAAUGUCCUCUCAAUAUGCAUGCCUAUGAAUACUAUCACCAGAAAGCCAAGGACUAACAAUUAUUCAGGGGUCAAGAUUGAAGACAGACGUCCAAGAUUGGCAGUCGGCCGGCCUAAGAGGGGCAAAACCGUUGUACAUUAUAUUGUAUGGACCUAGCAAGAUCCUAAAGAUAAGUGAUAAUGGAGAUCAUGGGGGCCACCCUUAUAACCAUAUGUCCAAAUGUUCUUAUUUGUUUAUUUUUCUUUUCUCUUUUCGGAAGAAUCCAUCCUGCCUCUAUGGUCAUCCUGACCACUUCGUAUUGUUAUCUAAUCUCCUCCCUUAAUUAAUAUAAAGAAUUACCGCAGCUGAAUUCACUAAAAAAAGUAUUCAGUUUAUUUUAAUUUAUUCAACUAUUAUGGCAUAUCAAUUGGAUUGCAAGUUCUUGGCGGUUGCAUUUGAAUCAUAUUUGAUGUGCACAAAGGCUUCAGUGUCAAGGUGGUCGGACGAGUAUUUAUGUCCAUUAUAUAUGUGUUAGCUUGAGAUCAUCAGGCACCUGUUAUGCAUCUGUCCAGUUAAAAGGAUGUUCAGACUCAGGCUUGCCCUACCAUAUAUGGCUGUGACACUCUGAACCAAGCAAGUUGGUCAUAUGUGUCGAGCACUAUUAACUCUUUGGAAGAGGAUCCACCAAGUACAGGAAACAAAUCAAAUAUCUUCUUAACCUUAUCACCAGAAAAAUUAGCAAGAGAUGAAUAGUAACAUUUUAAAGAAGAAAGAUAUGUUUGAAAAGGGAUAUAUAUUAUGGCGACGAUUAGAAGAGCCCUUGACGAAUGGUGCCUAGCCUGCGAAAGUUUCUUAUGAAUAUAGUCAACACUCUAUAUCAACUGUUGUAAGAUUUUAGAAAUAUUUUUGGGGACAUAUGAUACAUGUCUAUUAUACAUAUGAUUCAACAGAAGUUUGAUUGAAUACAUAUUUAAAACGUGACUGACUUCUAUAUGGACGGAGUAUUUCACAAAGGACUCACUGCCAACUGUGUGAAUAUUCCAAGAUAGUUAGUGCACAUAAAUGUUCAAAUCCAUAGCCUGCAUAAAUAUACAAAAGCAAUGUGUUAGACCACUACACAUGCUUCUGAAAGGAGGCAAAAAAAUGUAUGCUUGAUUGAUGACCGUUCAUGCAUGAAAUUAAUUUCUGAUUUCUAAUUAUUUUGGUCAUAUAAUGGAAAUAGAGACAUUAUAAAGAUCCAACAGCAUGCUAUCACACACGUGUGAACACAGACACACACAAAUAACAUUUGCCGAGCACUCACAAAUAAAAGGUGUGGCUACUCUUGGGUGUUCUACAGCUGGCUUAAAAAAACACGUAUGAAACAUGAUCCCCAAAAAUCUGAAAUUCGCAACAUAUGAAAAUCCACCCUCAAACAUAUUUCUGGUGUCUCAAUUCUUUUAGUUUCAGAUGGUAUGUCCAGCCAAAGUAGUUGUACACAUACAUUACUAUGUUCUAUUAUUUGAGAUUCUAAGACAACAUUUAGUAACUAGCCCGUGCGAUGCACGGGUUCACGACUAGUAUAUAUAAAGCUUAAUGGUGCCUAAGAAAGCUCGCACAAUUUUACAGUGGCUGUGGAGAUGUGUUGCCAAACUGAGACAUAAGAUUUUCGUUUGGCAUCCAGAGUUGCAGACCGCUUGUGUUAUCCUUAAUCCAUGGCCACUCUAAUUUUUCCGGCUGGGCCUUCCCUGUGGUACGGCAGCAAGGCUUGCGUGUGUAUAUGUUUCCUUUAACUACCACUAGCACAUAUGCCCGUGCGUGCGUUGCAAGGGGAGAGAUAAUGGCGUAUCCACCAAUAUAUCUAGCAGCAUGACCCAACAACAUCCGAAUGAUGUCACCCGACGACGGCAGGAAGGCACACACAGAGGUCUAGUAAAAACUCAACAAUUGUACGGGCAUGGUUAAUUCGCGUGAAUUCAAGGGUGUGAGAUUAGUUAGUGUUGGUCCCACAAUUGAAUUCGGGGGCUGAUUAGUUAGUGUGGGCCCACCCUUGAAUUCACCGGGGGAGACAAAAUAAUUAGGGUGAGGAGAGAUUUACGGGGCUUGGUCCCCAGAUGCGUUGCGGCAGUCAUUAUUCGAGCAUUGCAAUGCUCGCACGUGAGGAGCUCUUUUUCCAAUUGUAUAUUGAGAAGCAUUGCUACAGAUACAAUGUUUUUGAUACGUUUUUGUACGAUGAUCCUGAUCUUAAAGGGCCUUCUAAUUUUUAAAUCUUAAAGGCAUUAUUUGUAAGUUGUCGUGAAAAAAAUCUCGCUAAAAGGGUUAUGUUAGACCAUCUUCAGUACAUUAGAAAUAACGAAUUAUAAUUCCUUGGCAUUUGAACAAACAAUCCCUACUUAUUUACACAUACAAUACUUUUGGUAUGAUUUUGAAAUCUUGAAGGCAUUAUUUGUAAGUUGAAGCAAUUUUGAAAUCUCACUAAAAGGUCUGUUAGACCAUCUAUAGCUUUAGAAAUAACUAAUUAUAAUUUUGCAAAAAAAAGAAAUAACUAAUUAUAAUUCCUUAAGCAUCUGACCGAAACGACCCCGAUUUAUUGUCUGGGUAGUAAUUCCUUUGCAACAUUAUUCUCUCCUUUCUUGAAGGAACUCUUGCCUGGGUAGUAAUUCCUUUGCCCACGUAUUUGCAAGGUUAUUCUCUCCUUCAUUUUUACAGGAGCUCUCCUUCCUUAUACUAAUUGGUCAUUAUCCUCUCCUUCCUUUUUCUUUUUGCCAAACUCUCUUUCCAUAUUUAUGCCGCUAACCACGCCACUCUUUUUCCUUAUUUAUGCCCUUUGAUCACGCCACACAUCUCAUGAAAUCUAAGCCAUAUAUAUCACCCAUCUUUUUUCCUUAUUCCGGUGCUUUCCUCACAAACAGUAGUUCUCUAGGAUGCUUAACGAUUUUGAAACAGAAACAUAUAUAAAUCGGUAGAACGGGUUGUAAAGCAGCGAGGUGGUACUAAUUUAUAAAGAAACAAACCUUUUCUUUUUGUGUAAUGAUGCCUUGGUUCGGCUGGUUGCGUUGGGAAAAGGACCGGCGAAGUGGGCGAACCAAAAACGGAUAAAAUUACGGUGGUAAGAAGCGAUAGCCCUUUUAUUAGUAGGUAUGAGGAUGUCUAGGAUGUCUAGGAUGAGGAUUUACUGCACACAAGUGCGGGGGCACUCAGGUCCUGAUGCCGCCUUUUUAUUUUGGCUUCCGAUUUUCAAACUUCUAUAUCUUUUAAACAAAAAAUUCAAUUUAAGUUACGUUUUCAUAUUCGUGCUUCUCGCGGCCAGCGCUUUCAAAUAAGAUCCAUUUUGCAUACAUUUUGGUGGCUUUUGGAAACGGGCGAAUAGCUCCUAUGCGACGUUGUUGGUGUGUAUUGUCUCUCAUGCGACGUUGUUGGCUGUAAUAGCUCUCAUGCGACAUCUGCGUUGGAAAAAAUAGCUCCCAUGCGACACACCAUUUACGCGGCUAGUUGGCUGUUAGUUAGGCUGAGGUUUGGUUAGGACACUGGGGGUUAUGUGCUCUGACUGGUGGGGUCCACCUAUGGUCACGUAGACAAGAGUCAACCGUCCACGACUCGACCUGGGACUGUGUGACCGUGCUCGACUCACCCGUGCUGGACUGAGUGAGCGGUGCCGCCGUAAGCAUCUUCUCCGACAGCGGUUUCUUCUCCGCGGUGGUGGAGCGCAUUUCUCGGCAGCGGCAGAGCUAUUGCGAGGUGAGCCCGAAACCCUAGUCCCACUCCCCAGAAUUUUGGGGGAUCUGUGGCCUCAUGCUGCCCUCUGUUUCUUGGCGAUUUAGAAUCGGGCUCCAUUGGAUCCGGGGGUUGUUUCUUCUCCGUGGCCCGGUGGUGGAGCGCCUAUCUCUGUAGCGGCUAUUGCGAGUGAGUAUUUUCCAAACACUACUCGCAUUCCACUAAAUUUUGGAUAAAUCUGUGGCCUCAUGCUGCCCCUAUUUCUUGGCGUUUUAGAAUCUCGAUUGGAUAGGAGAUGGAGCGAGGGCUGGAUGAGAUGGAGCGAGGAGACAGUGCUUCAAAUCGGUAAUGCCACACUCUUUUCUUGGCGAUUUAGAAUCGAACUCGAUUUGGUAGUGACUGCCGCCGCUGCCUGCCAUUGACAAAACAGGGGAGGUUCAAGUUCUGCCACCACAUUCACAAUUAUAGUGGAAUUUUUUCCCUGUAAAGCCAAGCUCAGUGAUGGCAGUGUCCAAGACAUUGAUAGAGAUACCACCGUGAGGUUCGAUGUCGAAUUUGCAGAUGUUGAUCCCCAGGAAUUGGAGAGCAUGAAGGAGAAGGCCGUGGGCAAUUUGGUGGAGAGAAUUGGGGAGAAUAUUGUUUGGGGUCCAGAACAAGAGGUAUGUCUGCAACGUUUCGAUAACUAUAAUGGUGAAUAUGUGAGAAUUGAAGAUGGAGAAUCCAUGGUUGCUGAAAUUGAUCAGCAAGAAGGGUGGGCAACUAAACAAGUAACAUUUUAUGCAGAGCUAAUUGAUCUACAAACUCAUUCCAGAGUUGGUUAUGUGCAAUCAAAGAGGGCUGCACAGAUGGAAGAUGAUGAGUGGGUUUCACAAAAGAAGAUGUUGGCAUUGUUGACUGAACCGACUGUAGUAGCUGAAGAUACAGGGAUUGAUGCAGAUGGAGAGGAGGGAACCCAUGGUGCUAGGAAGAUUGUUGUUGACUGGAAUGUAGUAGAGUUGAAUGAAAAAACAGAUUUGGUCAUUACACCAAUAUCUGACAUUGAUAUGGCCGAAAUGUUUGGCAUUCAAGUUGAUGACAAAGAUAAGGAGAAGGAUGACAGUUCUUUGCCUGCUGAAGGAACAUAGGCCCUAGAAAUGCAAAUGAGGAUGAAGAACAGCUGAUGAGAGAGGCUGCAGAUGAUGUGGAUGAUGCAGAUGAUAAUGAGUUGGUUUGUUUGUAUGACAAAGAGAACCCAGUUAUUGAGGUGGGAAAGUUGUGGCCAAGCAUGAAGGAGUUUAGGAUGUCUUUCAGGACCUAUGCAGUGAAAAAGAGUUUGAUGCCAAGACUAUGUGGACUGAUUGAAAGAAAUUUUAUGCUCGGUGCAAAGGUUAUGAUGGUGGUGGCAAUCCUUGCAAAUGGUACUUGUCUGCCAGACUACAACCUGAUUGAAGUACAGUAAGGGUAAAUCAAAUACCACACCAGCAUACAUGUAUGACCACUUCACAGAGAGUUUCAAAGAUGACAUCACAGCUUUGGGUUACAGAGAAGAUUACUCCUAUUUUAGCCAAGACUCCAAACACUACUGCAAAGAGGCUUAAAGUUGACUUGGAGAAGCUGUACCCCAUCCAGCUGCAAUAUACCACAGUGUGGAAAGCAAAACAAAGGGCCAUGAAAUCAUUGUAUGGUGACUGGGCAAAUACAUUUAGGAUGUUGUAUAGUUUUAAAGCAGAGGUGGAGAAGAGGUCACCUGGGAGUGUGGUGGAGAUAGAUACAGAGGUAACAGAGGAUGUCAUGGUUUUAUUCAGCAAGUUUUUUAUGUGUUUGAAGCCAUGCAUAGAUGGAUUCAAAGCAGGUUGUCGUCCAUAUUUGAGCAUAGACUCAUCUUUUUUGACUGGAAAGUGGAAUGGUCAGUUGGCUGCAUGCAAUGCUCUAGAUGGACGCAACUGGAUGUUCCCAAUUGCAAUAGGAAUGUUUCAAUCAGAGACAGAGGCAUCAUGGAUAUGGUUCAUGAUGCAACUGAAAAGAUGUAUAGGGCCAGUUUCUCCUUUAGCCAUCCACACAGAUGCAUGUAAAGGGUUCGAAAAUGCAGUAAAAAAUGUUGUCCCCCAUGCUGAGCAGAGGGAGUGCUUUGGACAUAUGUGGAUGAAUCUGAUAAAAAAAUUAGAGGAGAUGAAUUUGGGCGCAUGUGGCCAGCAGCAAGAUCCUACACCAGACAGACACAUUCCUAUCACCUUGGUAAGAUAUUGGCAUCAUGUAGUGAUAAUGAAUUUGCUUCAUGGUUGAACACCCGCCAUUCUCUGUUGUGGUAUAGAUCAGGUUUUAAUACUGCCAUAAAAUGUGAUAAUAUCAAUAACAACUUGGCAGAAAGUUUUAACAACAAAGUGAAGGAUUUGAAAGACUUGCCUGUGCAUGACAUGGUGGACCAAAUAAGGAUCAUGAUCAUGCGUUUGUGGGAGUUGAGAGGAAAAAUUGCUAAUAUUUUGGAAGGGGACAAGCUUCCAGCAGUGGUACAAUAGGUGGUCAACAGGAGUAGAAAUCUUUCACAUCUAUCUGUUGAGAAAUCUUCCUUGUGGGGUGCUGAAGUUAGAGAUACAAAGAGUGGCAAGAGGCAUGUGGUAAAUACUGAGUUGCAUGAGUGUACUUGCCGAGAGUGGCAACACACUGGAAAACCAUGUGAGCAUGCCAUACUUUUUUUGGCAUCUAAACCCAGGUUAAAUAUGCACCCAUAUUUGCAUGAGUAUUAUUCAGUACAAAAAUUCAAAGCUGCAUAUGCAAGUCCAAUUCCUGCACUGACUGACCAAUCUCAGUGGCCUGAGGUGGAAAUAGAAUUUACCUUGUGUCCCCUGUCACUAGAAGAAAGGCUGGGAGGCCUAAACAGAGCAGAUUCAAAGCUUGGUUUGAGAAAGGUGGUUGUAGUAAGAAGGGGAAAAAAGAAAAGAAAAAGAAUGAUAAGCCCAAAAGGGCUCAAAAAGGUAAGAAAAAUAGGUGCAAGUUGUGUGAGGUACUUGGGCACAGAAUUGGUUCAUCCAAGUGCAUCUAUACUCCUCAGAGGACAAAGUAUGUUCAUGUUACUGUUUUUACAAGUUUUUGAUUUUGUUACUUGUUCUAGUAUCUAACCAAGUCAAAUGCUUUAUUUUUUAGGAGGAAGCGUGCAGAAAAAGCCCCACCUCUUGUUGUUGAACAAUGCUGGCCAGUGAAAAAAGCAAGACUCAAUGGCUAUAUAGAAGGAAGAGCACUAAGCAGAUAAUGUUUGGUGACAAAGAUAUGGAGCUAACUGAAACUGUUACUGCUGAACAUGAGCUAAGUGUUUCUGUUUUGGACGAUGUGAUGCAUACUGAAUCUGUUUUGCAGACGCUAGGGCAAUCUGAAACUGUUGCAGAUGAAGCAACGGUUGUGCUGCCAUGCGAAUCUGCUUUGACAACUGUGUUGCCAUGUUUGGAGGUUGUGCUGCCAAGUGUUGAGUUGCAAACUGAAGUAGUUGAACAAUUUGUGCCAUCUACUCAAUCUGCAGAAGUGCAAACUGAAGAAGUGCAAACUGAAGAAGUGGGACAUGGUCAGGUGAAAAAGUUGAGGGGGCCUAGUGGAGUUUGCAAGGGGCCAAAAAGCAAGAGCAUCAACAUCAACAAACUAUGCGCCGUGGAACCAAACGAUGGAAAAAAGCAGAAGAAAUCGAGUGGUAGAAAGAAGCAAAAGAAAUAGAGUCGAAAUCAUUCAAAUUUGAUGUGAAAACUUAAGUUUGUUGUCAUUUGAUGUGAAAACUUAUGUUCUUUCAUGUGAAAACUUAUGUGCUAUGAUGUUGAUUUGACUUGAAAUAAAAUUCAAAUUUGAACCGACAUUCAAAUUUGAACCUAUCUCCAAAUUUUUUUGAGUUCAUUUGUUUGUUCUGUGAUGUUGCAUCGUUUUAUGUACUACUAUGCACUUUGUGAAGUCCAACUCAUAGUCACUGAAAAUGCUGUACAAACAGGCUCCAAAGUAAGGGAAAACGGCCCCAUUUCUAAGCAAGUUUUUUUCGAUCUUCUCAAAAUCACCCAAAAAAGAUUUUCUUAGCUUAUAUUAUACCUAUAUAGGAUCAAUACAAAGUCUCACCUUUUUUGAAUAAGUAUUCAUAUUAUUUAAUUUAUUUUUGAAAAAACACCCUUUAAUACAAAGUCAGCAAUAAAACAAGUUUAAAAAUUUUAAAUGCAAAAAUAACUUCAGAUCCUCCUUAGUCACUCUAAAAUGAAGCUAAGGUGAUGUUUUUUGAUUUUUUUGCAUUUUCAAAACCUCAAACCCUCUUCUCACUCCUUUGAACUCUAUGCAACCUCAGUCGAGAUAGUCCAAUUUGUGAAGGUUUUUUCAUGCAAAGAUCAUUAGAUCAAGUUUAUCAUUUUAUAUCAUAACUAUGUAACAUAAAAAGGCUAUAUGCGCAGGUUUUUCAUUUUUUAGAUUUUUUUGAAUUAGUUAUACACAUUUGAAUGUUCGGUCAAACCUUUCAAAACCCCGUUGACUGCCUCAAAACCCCAUGUAACCCUAGCGCCAAACGUCCACCGUCGAUCUAACCCUAACGCCAAACUGCGGCCGUCGGAUGGGACUUCUAGAAGGAUUCCGCGGGGGCGAUCCAUGGGCUCCAAUCUGAUUGGCCAUUGUUUUUUCUCUCUGACGAACAGAUAACGUUGAGCGGGGGAGCAUCUAAGUGACCGUUGGGCCGAGUGGAUUGGGCCUGGCAAAGCCUGGCGUGCGUGCACACGGCUGUUGAGAGGGGGGAUGGGCUGCAUGCGAGCGGGUCAAUGACAUGUGGGCCAUCCUUGUCCCAUGCAUGCCAUGCAACGUCGCAGCCUAGCUAUUCUUUGCUCGUGAAAGCCUAGCCAUUUGCAUGCGGGCUUGCAUGCACGCAUCGACGCAGAGUACGGCAAGGGUGCAGCGUAUAGGUACGUCGCAUCUAAGCUAUUUUAACAAAUGCAUGUUUGAACGAGAUGGACGCGUCGGUGGUGCAGCUCCUUUUUCAGUGUCACGCGCGGAUGAACGGGCCUGUUUCCCAUGCGGCAUCACCGCCGAUGCAAGUGCCCGUGCCUCUUUGGAUGCUCUGGCCGCCGUUUUUUGAAUUAAUGCCCGCAAUUACUUAUGCCAUGCGAACGGAGAAGAGAAAAAGAUCGAGAAGGGGCACCGUGUACACAUUGACCAUGGUUGCAAUGCGGCUAUAAAAGGGCACCAUUUCCUCAUCCUCUCACACUCAUCUCUCAAGCCUCCUCCCCUUCUUCUUUUCGAGCCAAAUCCACCACUCGAGCCACCAUGCAGUUCAACGGCCCUACCUACCGUCGCCCUUGCACCGUGCCGGAGAGGCAGUACCCAGCCGGAGUCGUCGUGGAGAACAGCCUGAGGGUGUGGGCCAUCUCUAGGUGGAGGGGCCCUAGAGAGUUGGCUCGCUUCUUCCUCCAAGCUGGCUACCGCCACCUCCCUCCGGGCACUCCGCCCAUGUUCCACCUCCACGAGCAGUACGAUGGCAAUGCCGGCCCCGACGGCUUCGUCAUCGGCCUCUAUGUCACCUUCACCAACCCCUACGACGCUCACCACCUCCCCGGGGAGGUGUUCUGGUGUGGAUGCGAGUUUAUCGCGUUCACGACCUACAACAUCUUCACCAACUUCCACCACAUCUUCCCUCACCACAACGGCAUGCACACCCUCCCCUAUCAGAUGCCGGAGGACGACGAGUGAGGGGCCCAAGGAGGAGGGUCCAAGGAGUGGCAAGGAGGAGGGGCCAAGGAGUUGUUCAAGCGGCGAGUCUUCUAUCUAUCUAGUUUGGGGCUCUAGUUUGUGUUUGUGUUGGUUCGGGCGUGUGUGCCCGUGUCUUUUAUAUAUCUAGUUUUAAUUAUUUUACUUUCAUGUUUUAUGAACUAUAUGUAGUGGGGGGAUGCCCCUCUAUAAGUUUUAUCUAUCUAUGCUACUAGGGUACCCGAUGCCCCUCUAUCUAUCUAUAUGUUUUUUCGGUCCUAAAGUUUCUCCAUUGCAUUUUAUUUAUGUGGCCAUGUGUACUAAAAAACAAUUGAUCUGGUAUCUAAAAUGUACGUUACCAAGAAAUUGACAAUAAAGAUUAUAUACUGUACUACAUAAUCAUACAGUUGGUAUACAAUGCAUUUGAAGACAAUGGGCAAGAAAAAUGCUAAUUAUCUGGUGCUGGUGACAUGCGUAAGUGUUGUCUGAUGUUUAAAUCAUGCUUGCUAUGUCAUUUUUUGCUGCCAAACAUGGCAUUAGCGAGAAAGGUCAUUUGGGCACUGAAUGUAUUAAAGUAUACACCAUAUAUAAAAAUGUCUAGCCAAAAGAUUUGGGUGUACAACUGUACACCAAUGACCAAGUAUGGAUCCGCCCCUGGUUGUAAGGGGAUGCCCCUCUAUGUUGUAAGGAGAUGCUACUAGGGGCACACUAGAUGUCUUCUUUUUUUGAGAGAGGCACAACCUUUUUCGGUUGAAACACACGAGUAAAAACUUUGAAAACACCAUAGCACAAGUAAAAAAAUAUAUUAAGAAAUGGUGCUUGGUUGAAAUAAACUAGAACCAAACAAUUGCAACUUUCUUGGUUCACAAAGACUGCUCAAAUAAUUAUCUCAAAUAGCUUAUGCAUAAAAAUAUCUCAAAUAAUUAUUAGAUGAGUUAUCUCAAAAAAGGUGACUGCAGGAAACUUAAAAUUUGUGAAAUGAUCUAAAGCCGAAAAGAUAUAUCGAUGAAUUAUCUCAAAUAGCUUAUGCAUAAAAAUAUCUCAAAUAAUUAUUAGAUGAGUUAUCUCAAAAAAGGUGACUGCAGGAAACUUAAAAUUUGUGAAAUGAUCUAAAGCCGAAAAGAUAUAUCGAUGUCAAUGACCGUGUGCACUUUUUUUGCACUCCUUUUAUCAAUGGGCCUGGAUAUGUUCUAUUCGGCCCUGCCUAACUUCUAUAUGGGCCUGGCCUUUUCGGGCAACUAUGGACGAACCUUUUUUUUCCUUUUCUCCCUCUACCACUGAAACUGAAACUGAUGACGAACUGAAGAACUAAAAAACGGGGCCGAAACAGAGUGGAGAGGACAUGCUGAAUUCGUACAACGCAACACUUUUAUUCAAAUAUACAUAUCAUUAGGAUUACAAAUGAUGCCCAAUCUAUUCACUUACGACUAAUUAUCAUCACAUAAACAAAUGCGAGAGCAAUUACACAAACAUAAAAAAGUCCGGCCAUCAGCCCCAUCAAAUUGCCCUGCUUCUGCAAUUUGAUGAGUUUCUUCAUCUGCUUGUUUAGCUUCUUCAGCUCUGCCGUCACUACUGCAUCCCCCACAGUAGCCCCAAUGGAAUGGGCACAUCCAGGGGCCCCAGAUCCAGAAGCGCCCGAUCCAAACUUGCCCAACUUCUCCACCUCCAGCGGUAAAUCGAGCUCCCCUGAUGCACCCUCCAGUUGAAUCCGCUCUAUGUACUCAUUUAGCCACUCAAAAUGGGUGCAUUGCUUCAAUUUCUGAAAUUGGAAAGAUGAACCCUAAAUCCCAAAUCCGAUGAAAAAUGGGGAAAAAUUGUGAUAUGAAAUUGGGAUACAAAAACCAAAAUUGGCAUAUUGAGAAGUAAAAUCUCACCUUUCCCUGCUCUGGUUUGCUCUCGCAUUUCACGAAUUCCCGCCCAAGGUUGCCAUUCUUGUCGGUCGUUGUGACUAGCCGCUUCAGGGGUGUGAUACGUGGGCCUGCAGGGCACCUUGUCAUGGGCACUGCGCCAUAGCGCGGCCAUGAGCGGCGGGAGGCUGAAGCGGAGCUCGACAUUGCUAGGUCGCGGCCCGGAACGGCGUUGCUGCGCGUCGUCGCCGGAGAAGAAGAACAACAACGGUCGGGGAGGGGGGGUGGGGGCGGGGGCGAGGAUGGGCCACGGCUCGGGCCACGGCUCGGUGUCCUCUUGUACCAAUGCUGACCUGGAUAAGUUAGUGGGUCCCACGCAGUGGGUCCCGCUCACCUGACCAAUGCUGAGUUGGAUAAGUUAGUGGGUCCCGCGCUGUGGGUCCCGCUCACCUGAUUCGAGUUUUAAACAUGUGUCUUUGGAUUAGACAGCAGUGUCGCAUGGGAGCUAUUUUUUCCUAUGCAGAUGUCGCAUGAGAGCUAUUACAACCAACAACGUCGCAUGAGAGACAAUACACACCAACGAUGUCGCAUAGGAGCUAUUCGCCCUUUGGAAACAUUGCUAAGUUUCAUUGUUUGAAACUUAGUACGAGCGACCGAUAAAAUUUAAUUAUUUUGUGUCUACGACCAACAGGAGAAAUUGCUUAAAAUUACAUCUUUGAAACUGGUCAUUUUUUGAUGCAAAAAUGUAAGUUUCAUCAUUGAAACUUAAGGGCAUGUCCAAUGCUGGAUGCUUAUCCAGGCGCUUAUCGUGUGGAAAAAAAAAAUGCCACGAAGUUAGCUCUCGCUUGUCCAACAGCCAAUGCUAACAACGGGCGCUAACCACGGCUGGAGCUAUAGAUUAGAAAGAAAGAUCUGGUUCACUUGUACGUGAAAAAAGGAGCAAGCGCUCGAUGCCUUGCUUUGCAUCGAUGCCAGACUGAGGUGCUGGGAAUCGACAAGAUAACCGCCAAUCUACCAGGAUUAAAUUCCUAGCGCCUUCUUCUAGCGCCUCCCACUGAAAAUGCCCUAAAGGUUUUUGAGGGAUUUUUUUACUGUGUCCUACUUCACGUAUCACGAGGCAAAUCAAGUAGGCGGCAUGGCCUGGCCGGUGAGUGCCAUUGCACUUACUUGCCCCAGCGAUUUUCCGCCUGCAUUGUAGAAUUCUUUCUCCGAGUCCUGUGAAUUAAAGAUGGUGCAGACAAAAGUAUAUCCUAUAUGCGUACAUGUGCAUGAUCAGAACAUGUUUUUACGUGCGUCUACUAUAAAUCAUGACCAUUUUUAACACAAAUCAUGACCAUUCAUGAUUAGUGAAUCAUACUGUCUUAACUUAUGUGAAAUCAUGUGGAGUAAUAUAAUAUAAUAUAAUAGAUAGAUAGAUCCAUGUUGUAUCAUUACACAUUUUGAUUUAUGCAUUUGUUUACAAAAAAAACAGUAAAAUUUCAUGGUGAAAAGUUUGUAUUGUUUCAUACUGAACACCAAUGUUUUCCCGUAAAAGAAAAUAAUGCCUACGCAUAUGCUUUUAUAUUAUUAUUAUUCUUUCAAACUUAUUCAUAUAGUAUUUUUGAUUGUGCAACCAUAAUUUUUAUUAUCUCUCUUGUUCCACUACAUGCUCUUACUCAAUGAUUUUUUUAUAAUGGGUGUUUUUAUUAACUCAAAAUAUAGCAUCAAGCGGAUACAAAACAUAACGAGCCACGUCCGGUCUCUGCAUAACUAAGAUGCACACAGCCAAAAGCAGAAGUCUGACAAAAAUAAGAUAAGAAAAUCAACAUAUCGACAACAGUGAGUCAUAUAGUUCCGACACUAUGCCUCUGUUGAAGGACGGGGUGGAGCGAUCUGGAGAUUAUGCUUCCCUCCAUUUUGAGUAAAUACCUCCCUGGCCACUUGUUCCAACCGCAUAGACGCCGCCACGAAUAAUGGUUGGUACUCUGUUCGGUGUAGCAUACACCAUGUAGGAAGUGAGUGCUCACUCCUAGUUACUAAAUUAUGUACACACUAGUAGAAAAAGGGCCAUUUGUCCCGGUUCGUAAGGCCCAUUUGUCUCAGUUAGGGAACCGGGACUAAAGGGUCGGUACUAAAGCCCUACACCUUUAGUCCCGGUUCUUACACCAACCGAGACAGAUGGGGCUCCACGUGGCCGCUGCGGCUUGCCAUGGCAGGGGGGCCUUUUGUCCCGGUUGGUAGCACCAACCGGGACCAAUAAGCUACCACGCGUCAGCAUUUGAGGGGCUUGGGUUUUUGUUUUUUUCUGAAGGGGGGGAGGGGGGUUGGGGGUUUUGGGGGGUUUUGUAUGGUUAAUUUUGGGGGGUUUCAUAUAUAGUGUUAGGUAGUAAUUAAUUAAUAGAGAGAAGUGUCCUCUCUUAUCUCCGUGCUUGGUCGACGCUACGUACUAUACGUAUAGAGAGGCCCUCGACACGCUUGCCAGUAAGCAAAUGAAGGAAACCAUUAAGUACAGAAGUUCGUCAUGAACAUAUGCAUACAAACAUAAGUGAUAUCGACCUCUCCUUCUCCGAGAGAUAGGUCGAAGAACAAGUUUCCGUAUAUCUAUCCGGCGCUACUAGCUACAUAUAUACAAUAUUAAGAUCUCUUACAAUAUAAUCCCCUAAUUAUAUAUGAACUCAGCUUCCAGAUGGUAUUCUCCGGCUUUAUUGAUGACGUGGUCAAGAAAGAAUCCCUCCAAUUCCUCUUGAAUUGCUUUGAUGCGAUCUUGUGGUAGGAGUUCAUCCUGCAUCUGCCACAUCUAAUUUGAAGAAGGGGGUCAAUCACUAGUGGAAUAACAGCCAUUUGUCUAGGUUCGUAAGGCUCAUUUGUCCCGGUUGGGGAACCGAGACUAAAGGGUCGUUACUAAAGCCCUACACCUUUAGUCCCGGUUGUCGGUGUCAAAACCGGCGGAUCUCGGGUAGUGGGUCCUGAAUUGUGCGUCUAGGCCGGAUGGUAACAGGAGGCAGGGAACACGAUGUUUUACCCAGGUUCGGGCCCUCUUGAUGGAGGUAAAACCCUACGUCCUGCUUGAUUAAUAUUGAUGAUAUGGGUAGUACAAGAGUAGAUCUACCACGAGAUCAAGGAGGCUAAACCCUAGAAGCUAGCCUAUGGCAUGAUUGUUGUGUAUGGAGUUGAUUGCCUACGGACUACAACCCUCCGGUUUAUAUAGACACCGGAUAGGGUUAGGGUUACAUAGAGUCGUUUACAAUGGUAGGAGAUCUUGAAUAUCCGCAUCACCAAUCUUGCCUUCCACGCCAAGGAAAGUCCCAUCCGGACACAGGACGAAGUCUUAAAUCUUGUAUCUUCAUAGUCCAGGAGUCCGGCUGGACGUAUAGUCCGGCUACCCGAACACCCCCUAAUCCAGGACUCCCUCACCGGUUCUUACACCAACUGGGAGAGAUGGGCCUCCACGUGGCCGCUGCGGCGAGCCCAGGUAGGAGGUCCUUUGGUCCCCGUUAGUGACACUAAUACGUCUCCAACGUAUCUAUAAUUUUUGAUUGCUCCAUGCUAUUAUGUUAUCCAUUUUGGAUGUUAAUGGGCUUUAUUUUACACCUUUAUAUCAUUUUUGGGACUAACCUACUAAUCGGAGGCCUAGCCCAAAUUGCUAUUUUUUGCCUAUUUUAGGUUUUUGAAGAAGAGGAAUAUCAAACGGAGUCCAAACGGAAUGAAACCUUCGGGAACGUGAUUUUCUCAACGAACAUGAUCCAGGAGACUUGGAGUGUGCGCCAAGAAAUAAGGGAGGAAGGCACGAGGCAGGGGGGCGCGCCUACCCCCCUUGAGCAUGCCCUCCACCCUCGUGGGCCCUCCACUGCUCCACCGACGUACUUCUUCCUCCUAUAUAUAUCCACGUACCCCCCAAACAACCAGGAGCACCACGAAAACCUAAUUCCACCACCGCAACCUUCUGUACCCGAGAGAUCCCAUCUUGGGGCCUUUUCCGGAGGGGGCAUCGAUCACGGAGGGCCUCUACAUCAACUGCAUGGCCUCUCCGAUGAUGUGUAAGUAGUUUACUUCAGACCUACGGGUCCAUAGUUAUUAGCUAGAUGGCUUCUUCUCUCUCUCUUUGGAUCUUAAUACAAAGUUCUGCUCGAUUUUCUUGGAGAUCUAUUCGAUGUAAUCUUCUUUUGUGGUGUGUUUGUCGAGAUCCGAUGAAUUGUAGGUUUAUGAUCCAGAUUAUCUAUGGACAAUAUUUGAUUCUCCUCUGAAUUCUUUUAUGUAUGAUUCGUUUAUCUUUGCAAGUCUCUUCGAAUUAUCAGUUUGGUUUGGCCUACUAAAUUGAUCUUUCUUGCAAUGGGAGAAGUGCUUAGCUUUGGGUUCAAUCUUGCGGUGUUCGAUCCCAGUGACUGAAAGGGAAGCGAUAUGUAUUGUAUUGUUGCCAUCGAGGAUAAAAAGAUGGGGUUUAUAUCAUAUUGCAUGAGUUUAUCCCUCUACAUCAUGUCAUCUUCCUUAAAGCAUUACUCUGUUCUCUUGAACUUAAUACUCAAGAUGCAUGCUGGAUAGCGGUCGAUGUGUGGAGUAAUAGUAGUAGAUGCAGAAUCGUUUCGGUCUACUUGUCUGGGACCUGAUGCCUAUAUACAUGAGCAUACCUAUAUAUUCUCAUAACUAUGCUCAAUUCUAUCAAUUGCUCGACAGCAAUUCGUUUACCCACCGUAAUACUUAUGCUCUUGAGAGAAGCCACUACUGAAACCUAUGGCCUCGGGGUCUAUCUUCUAUCAUAUUAAUCCUCCAAUACUUAGUUAUUUAUAUUUCUAUCUAUUUUACUUUCCAUCUUUUAUUUCUCUUUAUCAUAAAAAUACCAAAAAUCUUAUCUUAUCAUAUCUAUCAGAUCUCACUGUUGUAAGUGACCGUGAAGGGAUUGACAACCCCUUUAUCGCGUUGGUUGCGAUGUUCUUAUUUGUUUGUGUAGGUUCGUGGGACUUGAGCGUGAUCUCCUACUGGAUUGAUACCUUGGUUCUCAAAAACUAAGGGAAAUACUUACGCUAAUUUACUUCAUCACUCUUUCCUCUUCAAGGGAAAACCAACGCAAUGCUCAAGAGGUAGUGUCGGUGUCAAAACCGGCGGAUCUCGGGUAGUGGGUCCCGAACUGUGCGUCUAGGCCGGAUGGUAACAGGUGGCAGGGAACACGAUGUUUUACCCAGGUUCGGGCCCUCUUCAUGGAGGUAAAACCCUACGUCCUACUUGAUUAAUAUUGAUGAUAUGGGUAGUACAAGGGUAGAUCUACCACAAGAUCAAGGAGGCUAAACCCUAGAAGCUAGCCUAUGGUAUGAUUGUUGUAUAUGGAGUUGAUUGCCUACGGACUACAACCCUCCGGUUUAUAUAGACACCGGAUAGGGUUAGGGUUACAUAGAGUCGGUUACAAUGGUAGGAGAUCUUGAAUAUCCGCAUCGCCAAGCUUGCCUUCCACACCAAGGAAAGUCCCGUCCGGACACGGAACGAAGUCUUCAAUCUUGUAUCUUCAGAGCCCAGGAGUCCGGCUGAAGGUAUAGUCCGGCUAUCCGAACACCCCCUAAUCCAGGACUCCCUCAGUAGCCCCUGAACCAGGCUUCAAUGACGACGAGUCCAGCGCGCAAAUUGUCUUCGGCAUUGCAAGGCGGGUUCCUCCUCCAAGUCCUUCAUAGAAGAUUGUAAGCACCAAGAGUAGUGUCCGGCUCUGCAAAAUAAGCUUCCACAUAUCGCCAUAGAGAGAAUAAUAUUAACACAAAUCAAAUCUGCUGACGUAUUCCGCAGUGCGUCAUCACACUACAGCCAAGUCCUUCACUCGAAUCGUUUUCACUUUUCCACCUCAGCGUGUUUUGCGAGGCGGUUUCCUUGGCACGUCUUGUCAAAGCAGAGAUCGUGUCCCCCUUGUUUACGGGAUUCUCGUUAAUACGGACGUGGGUAACCCAACCGCGCCACUUAUCACGGCGCUUGGGAGGCAAGCGAGUUUUACUAGGCUGGUGGGGACGCAUAGUCGCAUCCGCCCAUAUAAGGGGAUAAGGAUCCACCUUUUUACCUACGCCUUCUUCCUCCUUUGCCUAGCCAUCUUCUGCGCACCCGAGCUCUAGCGCCCCAGCCCGCGCUUCCUACCUCAACCCUCUCCAACAAUGUUCGGAGCGGGAGGCAAGUGGAUGGUCUCCUCCGUCACGGAGGGCCAUGUCAAAAGGUUAAGGAAGGCCGGAUACUUGUCCAAAGACAUCGCGCACCGGCUUCCUGAGGAGGGGCAGCUUCUCCCCACCCCAAGGCCCCAUGAGAGGGUAGUAUUUCUUCCCCACUGCCUCCGCGGACUGGGUUUUCCUCUCCACCCAUUUGUCCGCGGGCUCAUGUUCUACUAUGGCCUAGAUUUCCACGAUCUGGCCCCGUACUUCAUCCUCAAUAUCUCGGCGUUUAUCAUCGUGUGCGAGGCUUUCCUCUGCAUUCGCCCCCAUUUCGGCCUCUGGCUCACGACCUUCAACGUCAAGCCAAAGGUGGUGCGCGGUAACCAGGCGGAGUGCGGAGGUGCCAUGGCGGGCAAAAUUGCCAACGUCCUAUGGCUCGAGGGCUCCUUUGUGGAGACCUUGAAGGGGUGGCAGUCAGGGUGGUUUUACAUCACCGAGCCACGCGAUCCGAAGUGGAUCGCAGCCCCUGAAUUCCGAUCCGGACCCCCUACGCGGCUCAUGUCCUGGAAGGAGACGAGCUUGUCGUGGGGCGACGAAGGAGAGUUGACCAGACUGCAAAAAUGCAUCCAGUCCCUGGUGAACAAGCAGCUCAAGCUUGUCAACGUAAUCUAGGUCAUGCUCGUCCGCCGGAUUCUUCCGUGUCAAGAACGGGACUUCAAUUUGUGGGAGUUCAACCCGGCGCAACACCGAACUCUGAGAAGGCUCUUCAACACGACGUACGAAGAUGUCUGGAGGGGGCUAACCAAAGGCGCCGAGACUCCCACAUCCGCCUCCGAAGACCGCGGAUUCAGCUCGCAGCGUCCUGCUGGCGAGGUAAGAUAUUUCCAUCUUUUACAGGAUGUUAAGCUUUUUCAUAGUUGACUCUAUGCGGGAUCAAAACUCCCUCACCUUUGACAGGAUUGGCGGGAGAAGUCCGGACAGAUUAAAUGCCCGGCUCCCUUGCCCGAAGACCUAGCCCCUGCUCUCCUAGAGAAGCUGCUGGUUUCGGCACCUUAUGUGGUGCCGGAGAAGAGGGCCAAGAAGAAGAAGGCCACGGGGACUCGAAAGAGUUCCUGGCAUAUGGUGGUGUCGGACUCGUCGUCCGACCAGUCCGAGACGCACUCCUCCCGUGAAGACGAGGAGGAAGAGUGUCGGACUCGUCGUCCGACGAGUCCGAGACGCACUCCUCCCGUGAAGAGGAGUGGCCGGACUACGUCCCCGACGCCGACGAGGACGAAGAGGAGUGGCCAGACAGGGCCAAGCAUCCGGCGAGAUCGUAAGUGUUCGGAUACCAGAGUAACUCGUGAUAUUCCUUUUGUUGCACAGCUUUCCCUAAUGUCGGAUAUAAUCAUGCAGUCCGCCCAAGGAUGGGCUCGACGAGUCGUCGAGCGGCUCCCUGGAUUCAUCGGACGUGAAUUCAGUUCCGCCUACUGCUUCCCCCUGUGCUGCAGAUGACGCCGAAGUGGCGUCGCGACAAGCUCCGGGACGAGAGGAGGUGGUCCAGGAGGAGUCGCGAGGUGACCUCCCGGACUCCAGGAGUGAAGGGGACAAGACCCCCCUGGGAUCCAAGUUCGGCUUUAAGCCGGACACUGAGAUGGAAUCAUCAACAGUUCCGGACUGCGGUAGGCGAACUCCUACCAGGAGGAGCAAGCCUACUGAGCCGGCAUCCUCCGUCCAGCCGGAGGCGCCGGACAAUCUGCUGGAGGAGCUUAAGGGCGCCUCCACCGACGAGGAGCACCGUGCCGUCAUGAGUACGGUGAUCCAGAAGGUUCGGUCCGCCAAAAGCGGACUGACUGAAGCUUGUGCUGGCCUUCUAACAGGCUUCGAGGUAAGUAAAAAUAUGUAAAAAUAUUACCGUAUAGACAGUAGCCCCUGAUGCUCUGUUUGGCGUUUGUAAAGAAAAGCCAAAUAGAGGAUCUAUUAAAUAUCGCAGGAGUCUAACUAAAAAGGAGUCAAUAUAUGUAUGCAGGCUUCGCUGCUGGCCACCGCCGCACUGACUGCGGAGGUGGGUGCCCUGAAGGAGGGCCUCCAGCGGACCGAGCAAGAGCUCGGCCUUGCCAAACGGCAGCUCGAGGAAAAAGAAUGUAAGAGAUACCUUACAGAAAAAGUGCCUAUAAAAAGGCUUGAUUGCAAAAAGAGUAGCAGGAUUGUACUGCUUAUUGUAGGGGCCACGACUGAGGUGGCGACCUUUAAGCAGGUGUUGUCUGAGGCCGAAAAGAAAACGGCCGCGGAGCGCACCGAGCGAGACAGACUUGGGGCUCAGGUCAGCGAGGUGCAGCAAGAGCUUCAGGCUCUCAUGAAAAAACAUGAGAGUUUGAAGCUGGAGUCGAAGGCGCAAGCAUCCGAGCUUGCAACGGCCCUAGAGGCUGCCAAGUCUACCAAGGCCGAUGCCCUAAAGACCCUCCAAGAGUUGGAGGAGAUGAGGAAGAUAGCAACGGGUAAGGCAUUCUUUAUGCAAAGCAGAAAUAUAAAAGUGAACUACCUGUUACUUACCCGAAUCCGAAGCUCUCCAGGGGCAUUCGCAGAUCUUCCCUGCAGCGUAUCCGAUGCCGCCGCAUUAUACCAAGCUGAAGAGGGUAGCUCGACGGAGAAGGUGUUCUGGUUUCAGUAUUCUGAGGCCGGACACCCUGUGCCCUUGAGCAACCAGCUGAAACAGCUGGUUGAGCUCCACAAGGCGGCCAAGCAGGCCAUGAAGGGCUUCAUAGUUCGGCUGUGGCCUGGAGAGGCCCUACCUGGGAGCUAUCUCGGGCUGGUGCGGCGGCUGGUGGAGGCCUGUCCGAGGCUUGAGGUCAUCAAGUGCUCCGUCUGCAUCGAUGGUGCCCGUCGGGCCCUUGCCCGUGCAAAGGUGCACUGGGGUAAGCUGGACGGUGAGAAGCUUGUGAAGGACGGGCUGCCGCCGGGGAAGGAGCAUCGCAAGCCCGAGAACUACUACAAGGAUGUUCUUGCAGGUGCCCGCCUUAUGGCGGAUCAAUGUACCAAGGAUGUGAUAUUUGAAUGAACUCGCUCGUGUUUAUCUUGUGCGCUGAAAACUUGUUCAUAUGUGCUAAGCAAUGCUUAUUGAAUUUAAAAUAUUACUUUCUGUGCGGCCAUUUAUCAAAAAUUGAGAGAUGGCCAGUCGUCGGCUUCUGCCCCCGUGCCACUAGUGCUGGGGUGUUCGGGAUAAACCUGAGCGCUCUUUUUCCCAUAGUUGGGUCCUUCGAGGGAGGCGCUCAGCACAACGAACCAGGCAAUCGGACUAUAAUGCUUGAACACUCUCACUUAGCCAUAGAGCUCUAUAAUUUUAAAUUUCGGUGAAGCCCGUAGUUCGGAAGACCGAGUUCGGGGCGCUAUCCACGCCUUGGCCGGACAAAGCCGGCUCCUCGCUCGAAGCGGCAUAAGCCUUUAGGGACUCGAAAAACCUCUCGAACAGCGAUCGGUCUCUCGCCACAUCAUGACAGUCAGUUUUAGCUUUCUCCACUCAGGUGCUUAACCCAGGUGAACCGGGGCACAAUCGCAGUGGUUCUCCUAGUGCUACCUUAGCCGAUAGAGCGGAACGUAAGGCACCAAAACAUAGGAGCCACGCAAACCCAACUAUUGACCCAAAUCAUGAUUCGGAGCCGAUGCAUAUAGUGCUAUAAGUUCGGGGUGCCGCACUUGUGAAAGUGUACGGACUUCUCACACCAUUAUGAGCGGUACUGAAGCCCCUGGCAUGUUUGCCAUACCAUGGUGUACGGGUGCAAUCAUGUCAUUUAAUAAACAUAAAUGUGAAAAGAAGAUAAUGCAAAAAAUAGACUAGAAGCUAAGCAUUGUUUAUAGAGAGGCUAUUUAUCAAAGCCGAACGAUACAAAUAGUGCGGUAAGCAAAAGAUAUUGGACUAUUCAGUAUGUCCUGACCAGGGGCAGGCCGCGGAAUUGUAUUUAAAACAGGUAUACCGCUCGUAACAGAGACCACCUGGGAGUUCCAUAAUGCGUCAUGGCUUGUCUGCCUCCCUGGAUCUUGCAUCGUUUGUGCGGCAGUCGAAUUGCCGAACAGGUCGUCCGAAGUAUGGAGUCCUGAAAGAAGAAAAAAUUAAAAAAAGAAUCCGGCAGCCCCUAGUACGUAUUAAGCCGUAUUUUGGGCGUGUUGUUAUUGUGCCCCUUCCCCUGUGCCCAUGGUAUUUCAAGGGCGUAGUUAUGUACGUGAGGUACUGGUUUCGCUAUGUUGCGAAAGCUGGGGUUGGGGCCGCAUUGCUACGCUUGCUUAGAGUGUGCCAGGCAGUGUCUGGCUUUUUAAUGGCCGGACUGGAGAAUUGCCUGAGAAGGCUACUUUGUACCUCCGCUGCGAGAGCCGCCGUAUGCUCCUCCAUAUGGAGGGAGCGUUCGGUGUUUCCGUUGAACGUAAUUACUCCUUGAGGGCCUGGCAUCUUGAGCUUGAGAUAUGCGUAGUGCAGCACCGUGUUGAUCUUUGCGAAUGCGGUUCGUCCGAGCAGGGCAUGAUAGCCACUGCGAAACGGUACUAUAUCGAAGAUUAACUCUUCGCUUCGGAAAUUGUCCGGGGAUCGGAAGACCACAUCAAGUGUUACUGAGCAUGUACUGUUGGCUUCUACACCUGGUAUAACGCCUUUAAAGGUCGUUCUUGUGGGCUUAAUCCUUGAGGGAUCUAUGCCCAUUUUCUGCACUGUAUCCUGAUAAAGCAGGUUCAGGCUACUGCCGCCGUCCAUGAGGACUCUUGUGAGAUGAAAUCCGUCGAUGAUCGGGUCGAGAACCAAUGCGGCGAAGCCGCCAUGACGGAUGCUAGUGGGAUGGUCCCUUCGAUCGAAAGUGAUCGGGCAGGAGGGCCAUGGGUUGAACUUUGGGGCGACUGGCUCCAUCGCAUAUACGUCCCGUAGCGCAUGCUUCCGCUCCCGCAUGGGAAUGUGGGUUGCGUAUAUCAUGUUCACCGUCCACACUUGUGGGGGAAAGCCCUUCUGUCCAUUGUUGUUCGGCGGCUUGGGCUCCUCGUCGUCGCUGUGCAGCCCCUUGUCUCUGUUUUCGGCCCUUAACUUGCCUGCCUGCUUGAACACCCAACAAUCCCUGUUAGUGUGAUUGGCUAGCCUUUCGGGGGUGCCAUGUAUCUGGCACAAGCGAUCGAGUAUUCGGUCCAAACUGGACGGGCCCUGAGUAUUCUUUUUGAAUGGCAUUUUCCGCUGACCGGAUUUAUAGCCUUUGAAUCCGGCAUUGACUGCCGUGUCUUCAUUGCUGUCGCUGCUAACGCGGCGUUUUUGCUUAUUCCGAUGUGUCCUACCACUUUUGUCCUUGGUAUCCGAAUUACCAGGGUGCUUUGAUAAGUUGUUACUGCGAGCUAGCCAGCUGUCUUCUCCCGCGCAAAAGCGGGUCAUGAGUGUCGUGAGGGCUGCCAUGGAUUUCGGCUUUUCCUGUCCCAGGUGCCAGGCAAGCCACUCGUCGCAGAUGUUGUGCUUCAAGGCUGCCAGGGCCUCUGCGUCCGGACAGUCGACUAUCUGGUUUUUCUUUGUUAGGAACCGUGUCCAAAAUUGUCUGGCCGAUUCCUCUGGCUGCUGAAUUAUGUGGCUUAAGUCGUCGGCAUCCGGUGGUCACACGUAAGUGCCCUGGAAGUUGUCGAGGAAUGCGGCUUCCAGGUCCUCCCAAGAACCGAUUGAGUCUGCUGGCAAGCUGUUAAGCCAAUGCCGGGCCGGUCCUUUAAGUUUGAGCGGGAGGUAUUUGAUGGCGUGUAGAUCAUCGCCGCGUGCCAUGUGGAUGUGAAGGAGACAAUCCUCGAUCCAUACCGCCGGAUCUGUUGUGCCAUCGUAUGAUUCGAUGUUUAUGGGUUUGUAGCCCUCUGGGAUUUUAUGAUCCAUUACUUCAUUCGUGAAGCAUAGCGGGUGUGUGGCGCCUCUGUAUUGGGCUAUAUCACGACGUAGCUCGGAAGAGCUAUGUCUGUUGUGUUCGGCCCGGCCGGAUUUGUUGUAUCCAGAGUGAAGAUCAUUUUCCCGUGCCUUAGUUGAGAGGUGUCGGGGCAUGGCUUGGGUGGAGGGCCGAGACGCCUCUCUGUCGCGGCCGCGAGGUGGCCGGUCUGCCAUGUCAUGCGCUGGUGAUGUAGGUGCUUCCUCCUCUGAUCGGGGUAGCGGCCUAUGCUUCGGGUAACUCUUGGAGGGGCGUUCGAGUUCAUACUCUUCGGCCGCAAGGACUUCAGUCCAUCUGUCAGCUAGCAAAUCUUGGGCAGCUCUAAGUUGUUGCUGCUUUUUCUUGAGGCUGCUUGCCAUGGCUAAAAGCCUGCGUUUAAAAAGCUCUUGUUCGGCGGGGUCUGAUGGUAUGACGAAUUCGUCGUCAUUGAGGCUUGCCUCGUCUUCGGAGGGAGGCGUAUAGUUAUCAUCCUCGACCUUUCCGUCUGCCGCUCUCUCAUCAGGGCUGGCUUCUCCAUCUUCCUGUGCCGAAUCUUGCUGAGGUGGGUGUUCUUCGGCGCUAUCCGGGGUAGUAUUAUCUCUCAUGUCGGAAUCACCGUUUUUGCUUUGGCGGGAUUUAGAGCGGCGCCGCUGGUGCCGGCGCUUUGGCUGUUUCUUGGGGGCGUCAUCCCCCACUGUUCCAUCGCCAUCUCCAUCUUUUGGAGUAUCCACCAUAUAUAUGUCAUAUGAUAAGGUGGCCUUCCAGCGCCCUACAGGUGCUGGUUCCUGUUCGUCUCCUACAUUGUCGUCCAUGCCGUCGAUGUCUUUGGAGCUGAAGUCAACCAUGUAGGUUAGACCGUCGAUAAUGGCUACAAAGUGGGUGGUGGGUGGGCUUUGAAUUUCCUCAUCGUAUGUAUCCCACCCUCGCUGACCGUAGUCCGGCCAGGGCUCUCCUGAUAAAGAGAGAGACUUAAGAGAAUUCAGGAUGUCGCCAAAAGGCGAAUGCUGAAAGAUGUCUGUAGCGGUGAACUCCAUUAUCGGCACCCAAUCGGAUUCGAUUGGCAGGGGCGCGGGGGGUUCGGAGUCCGGGGAGGAGUCCGGAUCCUCGGAGUCACGGGUCGUGCAGAGUGCGGGGCUAGCGUUCGGCUCGAUCGCUUUCGGGAUCGCAGCCCCCGAGGUGACGUCCAACCGCUCAUCCUCGAUUGGCGCAAUAGGUUCCGAGUUAGGGGUCGGAACCGAUGCGUGUGCGGCCUCCAGGACACUGGCCGGGGGCAGAGCUAGAUCAUGCCCCUCGGGAUAGUGCGGCGUGCUUGGCCGUGGCUCGAGCCCGUCGAAGAUCAAGUCUCCGUGGAUGUCAGCCGUGUAGUUUAAGCUUCCAAACCUGACUUGAUGGCCAGGGGCGUAGCUUUCGAUCUGCUACAGGUGGCCGAGCGAAUUGGCUCAUAGAGCGAUGCCGCCGAAGACGAAGAUCUGUCCGGGGAGAAAAGUCUCACCCUGGACCGCAUCGUUGUUGAUGAUCAAAGGAGCCAUCGGGCCUAAAGGCGACGAGACAGAGGAACUCUCAAUGAAAGCACCAAUGUCAGUGUCAAAACCGGUGGAUCUCGAGUAGUGGGUCCCGAACUGUGCGUCUAGGCCGGAUGGUAAUAGGAGGCAGGGAACACGAUGUUUUAUCCAGGUUCGGGCCCUCUUGAUGGAGGUAAAACCCUACGUCCUGCUUGAUUAAUAUUGAUGAUAUGGGUAGUACAAGAGUAGAUCUACCACGAGAUCAAGGAGGCUAAACCCUAGAAGCUAGCCUAUGGUAUGAUUGUUGUAUAUGGAGUUGAUUGCCUACGGACAACAACCCUCCGGUUUAUAUAGACACCGGAUAGGGUUAGGGUUACAUAGAGUCGGUUACAAUGGUAGGAUAUCUUGAAUAUCCACAUCGCCAAGCUUGCCUUCCACGCCAAGGAAAGUCCCGUCCGGACACGGGAUGAAGUCUUCAAUCUUGUAUCUUCAUAGCCCAGGAGUCCGGCUGAAGGUAUAGUCCGGCUACCUGAACACCCCCUAAUCCAGGACUCCCUCAGGUAGCAAGAUGGAUUUCUGGCGCCAUUGCCGGGGAGAUUCGCGCCAAGUCAAGACAUACCAAGUACCCAUCACAAACCCUUAUCCCUCGCAUUACAUUAUUUUCCAUUUGCCUCUUGUUUUCCUCUCCCCCACUUCACCCUUGCCAUUUUAUGCGCCCUCUCUUUUUCCGUUCCCCUCUUUUCCACUUGCUUUGUCGUUAUGGCUAGUCCUUUAUCUACUCCUUUGUCUCCCGAGAAUGAAGUUCUUAAUUUUAAACAAAGGGAGGGAGAAAAUCUAAAAGAUGCUUGGUACAGAAUUUGCAACACACAAAUUAGAUCUACUAGGAAACAAUCUACUUUUGUUCUUCUUCACGAUUUUUAUGUAGGCAUCACACCUUGGAAUAGAUAUAUUCUUGAUGCCAUUACCGGAGGGAAUUUCUUGGGUAGCCAUACUUUUGAUUCUUAUAAUGCUAUGAUAGAUCUGUUUGGCCCACCACCUCUUUUGGUUAAUGGAACUAUUUUAACUUUGGAACAUGUGAUGCAAUGGCUUGAAAUUAGUGAAAAUAAAGUUGCCACCAUAGAGUUAAUUGAAAAUUUGGAUAGAAAGAUCCAUAACCAAAUUACCCAAUACGGAUCUAAGUUAGGAGUUGCUCUUAAAAGUUUUAAAGAAAAGGGACCUAUGGUUAAUGAAAAGAUAGAAAAGGAUUCCACUAGAAUUGAUAAAAUUGAGGAUAUUAUUACCAACCUUGGGUCUUCCUUUUCUUCUAUUAUAAAUACUCCGCCUAAUGCUAAGAUUGCCAAACUAAUGUAUGUUACAAAAAAUAAGGGUGAAACUUCUAAUAAGGAAAAUGCGGAUCUCAAAUCCAUAAGUGUUCACCCCAAUUUUCUCACUAUCCUUAAGGAACCUUUUGCUACAAAUGAUUUUCUUGAUUUCAUACCUAGGAGUUUGAUAAUUAAUAAAAACAAAGAAACUCCUAAAAGUUAUUGGUGUGUUAUUGAAGAAUCACCUUCCAAAGACGGCAAUACCUAGGUCUAUCUUCGCUUUUAUGCCUAGCUAGGGGCGUUAAACGAUAGCGCUUGUUGGGAGGCAACCCAGUUUUACUUUUAUUCCUUGAUGUUUGCUCCUAUUUAGUAAUAAAUAAUUUAUGUAGCCUAUGUUUUGGUUGUGUUUUUUGUGUUUAAUUUGUGUUUGUGCCAUGUAGAACCAUUGGGUAGACUUGGGGAAAGUCUUUUUGAUCUUGCUGUAAAAAACAGAAACGUUAGCGCUCACGAGAAUCGCUGACAUUUUUAUUUGGAAAGUGAUAUUUAGAUAAUUCUUUUUGCGGAUGAUUAAUAGAUAAAUUCCUCACGUCCAGCAAUUUAUUUUAUAAUUUUUGGGGUUACAGAAGUUCGCGUUAGGUACAGAUUACUACAGACUGUUCUGUUUUUGACAGAUUCUGUUUUUCGUGUAUUGUUUGCUUAUUUUGAUGAAUCUAUGGCUAGUCAAAGAGGUUAUAAACCGUAGAGAAGUUGGAAUACAGUAGGUUUAACACCAAUAUAAAUCAAGAUUGAGUUCAUAACAGUACCUUGAAGUGGUGUUUUGUUUUCUUUCGCUAACGGAGCUCACGAGAUUUUCUGUUUGAGUUUUUUGUUGUGAAGUUUUCAAGUUUUGGGUAAAGAUUUGAUGGAUUAUGGAACAAGGAGUGGCAAGAGCCUAAGCUUGGGGAUUCCCAUGGCACACCAAGGUAAAAUUAAAGGACACCAAAAAGCCUAAGCUUGGGGAUGCCCCGAAAGGCAUCCCCUCUUUCGUCUUCGUCUAUUGGUAACUUUACUUGGAGCUAUAUUUUUAUUCACCACAUGAUAUGUGUUUUGCUUGGAGCGUCUUGUAUGAUUUGAUUAUUUGAUUUUUAGUUUACCAAAAUCAUCCUUGCUGUACACACCUUUUGAGAGAGACUCACAUGAUUGGGAAUUUAUGAGAAUACUCUAUGUGCUUCACUUAUAUCUUUUGAGCUAUAUGGUUUUUGUUCUAGUUCUUCGCUUAUAUAUUUUAGAGAAUGGCGGUGGUUUUAUUUUAUAGAAAUAAUUGUUCUCUCAUGCUUCACUUAUAUUAUUUUGAUAGUCCUUUAGAACAACAUGGCAAUAAUAAAACUGUCAUACAAGUGCAUUGAAUACUAUGAGAAGUUUGAUACUUGAUAAUUGUUUUGAGAUAUGGAGAUGGUGAUAUUAGAGUCAUGCUAGUUGUGUAGUUGUGAAUUUGAGAAAUACUUGUGUUGAAGUUUGUGAUUCCCGUAGCAUGCACGUAUGGUGAACCGUUAUGUGACGAAGUCAGAUCAUGAUUUAUUUGUUGAUUGUCUUCCUUAUGAGUGGCGGUCGGGGAUGAGCAAUGGUCUUUUACUACCAAUCUAUCUCCCUAGGAGCAUGGGCAUAAUACUUUGCUUUGAUAACUUAUAGAUUUUUGCAAUAAGUAUGUGAGUUCUUUCUGAGCAAUGUUGAGUCCAUGGAUCAUACGCACUCUCACCCUUCCACCAUUGCUAGCCUCUCUAAUACCGUGCACUUCUCGCCGAUAUCAUACACCCACCAUAUACCAUCCUCAAAACAGCCACCAUACCUACCUAUUAUCACUAGUGCAGAACCGGGCAAUAGCACCGGUUCGUAAGGCCCUUUAGUGCCGGUUUAGGAACCGGCACUAUUAUUUCGGCACUAAACCCCCCCCCCUUUAGUACCGGUUCAGCACGAACCGGUGCUAAAGGGGUACCACGUGGCACGAGCCAGCUCCGGGGGCCGGGAGCCCUUUAGUACCGGUUGGUAAAACCAACCGGUACUAAAUGGUUGUGGGUUUUUGUUUUAUUUUGUAUUUUUCAAUUAAAUUUGUGUUAUCAAUUUAAAUUAGGAUUGUUUUACGUUAUAAUGAGUUGUAGUCGUCAUCAUCAUCAUCAUCAUCGCAUAUUAAUAAAUAAAUAAACUCUAGCUAGCUAAAAAUCAUCGUGGUCGUCUAAUUACCACUAUUUAAUCAUCAUAGUCAUUACCGCUAGCUAUGUAAUCAUCAUCAACGUUGGCUAGCUUAAAGAGGAAACAUUCACUUUGUAACAGAAGCAAAGAGAUAUCAUCAAGUUCAACAUAAUCAUCACCAACAUCGAAGUUCAGGACACGGAUCCAUGAGACGAGUACUAAUUAAGAGCAUGAAGUAGUAGCUACUGAUCCUGCUUCUCCCUCUCAGGUAGAAUAGCACAGAACAUGUAUAGCUCUCCUGAUUCAUCAUACUGAAGCAUGCAGAUGAAUCUGUCUCCUAAUCUUGGGUUGCGCUUCUCCUUACUGCCCCCUAGUACUUCUCUGCGAUCGUUAACAAUUUUGCUCCAAUCUUUCACUAUUAAGCAUUCUUCGCUUUUAGAAAUCCUGAAUGCACUCAUGUGCAAUGUAGGAAAUCUUGGUCGUAAGCUAACCAUUGACAUGCGACCUUUUGUCUCGAUCCACUAAGGCACAACUGUCAUCGGAAGUCCCUGUUGAACAACAUCGUAUAGUAAUUAAUAUACUAAGCAAUGAAAGUUUAGCUUUAAAAAUAAUGUACGCAAAAGAUGCACUAAUUAAGGACAAAUAUUUAAAAUCUUACCAUCUUUUGAUUAUAGAUGUGACCGUAGUUCAAGGCGAUCACCAUUGGUCGCACGUUUUGAGUACUAACAUUUCUAAGUUUAGAAAAAAAAUUGUCUUGACAGUAUUAAGAUCCUCAAGCCAUGAAACACAAUGACUUAUUUCCUCGCAGUUUAGUUGAGCCCCGAGGUAGUAGUAGGUCCUGUCUACCAAGCGCCGGACAUGUUUGCUUGAACCGAAAUAAGCUGACAAUACACAUCAGUUGUCAACUAUUUUUGAAUAAACUGUACGAAAGACAUAAACGUAUAUAUGCAUGCAUGGUUGAGAAAAACUCACCAAAUGGUAGAACUGGAGGCGUUUGCACAUCGACCCAGAUGUCUAUAUUACCUUCAAUAUCAUCUUCCGGACGAAUAUCAAAGGUGAUAACCAUAUCAGGCUCAAAUGCAUAAGCCUUGCAUAGUGCUUGCCAAGUUUUGCAUUCAAAAUGGGUGUAUGUGCCUCCAUUAUAUAAUUUGACGUUGAAAGUAUACCCAUGCUCCGUCUUCAAGUAAACUCUCUUUACCUCCAUAUCAUCUAUAGCACUAAAACCUAUCUUAUAUAAUACAAAAAUUCUUGUAUGGCAGGGGAUGCGCUAGUAGAAUAGUGAAAAUUUAAAAUUAUAAGUUGAAGCAAAUGAAGCAUAAGUUUUGCAUUCAAAUAAUAAUUGACAAAGUGGCUUACUGUAUCAACUUCAAAUGUCUCAUCCAGCUUGAUGUUGAAGCGCCUACCAUCAACAAGGAAAUUUUGGUCGCACAGGCCGCGCUGGUCUUCACAGUGUUCGCACAUAAUAAAAUCUUUUUAGUUGUCAGAUGACAUUUCCUAUGUUCAUAUAGGUGAAACAUUAAACACCUAUAUCUAGCCAAAUAUAUAUUCAUCUAACAUUUGACAUUAAUAUAUCUAACUAUAUAUUCAAUUGACAUUACUAUAUAUUUAACUUUUCUAUCUAAUUCAUCUAACAUUCGACAUUAAUCUAACAUUUAUAUAAACUCAAAAUAUAUAAAAAAUUAAAUAAACAGAAAAACUCAUUAACAAAUAAUAUUUUAAUUAGAUCAUCAAAUCUCAUAUACCUAAAUUUUCUUACUAAAAAUAAACUAGUUAUAUUAAUUAUUCAACUAGUUCUAAUCUNNNNNNNNNNNNNNNNNNNNNNNNNNNNNNNNNNNNNNNNNNNNNNNNNNNNNNNNNNNNNNNNNNNNNNNNNNNNNNNNNNNNNNNNNNNNNNNNNNNNNNNNNNNNNNNNNNNNNNNNNNNNNNNNNNNNNNNNNNNNNNNNNNNNNNNNNNNNNNNNNNNNNNNNNNNNNNNNNNNNNNNNNNNNNNNNNNNNNNNNNNNNNNNNNNNNNNNNNNNNNNNNNNNNNNNNNNNNNNNNNNNNNNNNNNNNNNNNNNNNNNNNNNNNNNNNNNNNNNNNNNNNNNNNNNNNNNNNNNNNNNNNNNNNNNNNNNNNNNNNNNNNNNNNNNNNNNNNNNNNNNNNNNNNNNNNNNNNNNNNNNNNNNNNNNNNNNNNNNNNNNNNNNNNNNNNNNNNNNNNNNNNNNNNNNNNNNNNNNNNNNNNNNNNNNNNNNNNNNNNNNNNNNNNNNNNNNNNNNNNNNNNNNNNNNNNNNNNNNNNNNNNNNNNNNNNNNNNNNNNNNNNNNNNNNNNNNNNNNNNNNNNNNNNNNNNNNNNNNNNNNNNNNNNNNNNNNNNNNNNNNNNNNNNNNNNNNNNNNNNNNNNNNNNNNNNNNNNNNNNNNNNNNNNNNNNNNNNNNNNNNNNNNNNNNNNNNNNNNNNNNNNNNNNNNNNNNNNNNNNNNNNNNNNNNNNNNNNNNNNNNNNNNNNNNNNNNNNNNNNNNNNNNNNNNNNNNNNNNNNNNNNNNNNNNNNNNNNNNNNNNNNNNNNNNNNNNNNNNNNNNNNNNNNNNNNNNNNNNNNNNNNNNNNNNNNNNNNNNNNNNNNNNNNNNNNNNNNNNNNNNNNNNNNNNNNNNNNNNNNNNNNNNNNNNNNNNNNNNNNNNNNNNNNNNNNNNNNNNNNNNNNNNNNNNNNNNNNNNNNNNNNNNNNNNNNNNNNNCGGCGGCGGGGACAGCGACGAUGACGACGGACGACGGUACGGGCGACGGGCGGCGACGACGGGAUCGAGCGGUCCGCGCGGCGGAGGUGGGAGACGAAGUGGGGAGUUGAAACUGAAAUUUUCGUAAGUGCUAUAUAUAUAUAUAUAUAUAUAUAUAUAUAUAUAUAUAUAUAUAUAUAUAUAUGAUUGGCCUUUAGUACCGAAUCGUGGCUCCAACCGGUACUAAAGGCCUAUUUUCGCCAGGCCAAGCGGCGGGAAACGAAGGCUUUUAGUACCGGUUGGAGCCACCAACCGGUACUAAAGGGGGGCCUUUAGUACCGGUUGGAGCCACCAACCGGUACUAAAGGCCUUGCGCUGCCACCCCAAAAUUUAGUCCCACCUCGCCCGGCGAAGGGCAGCCGCACUGGUUUAUAAACCUAGCCGCGGCUACCUCUUCGAACUCCUCUAUAUAGCAGCCUUCUGGGCCUAAUUAAUUAGGGCGCGCUGCCAUGUGAGUCUGCUGGCCCUUCUGGGCCUGCAUUUGCACACCCUAGGUCUGGUAGACCCACAGGGCAGUGCGCCAACAAAUUUUUUAUAUAGUUUUAUCUUUUCUGCAUUACUUAUUUUCUUUUAUUUAUUUUUGAGUAGUUUUUUAUAUAGUUUUUGUUUUCUGCAUUAUUUAUUUUCUUCUAUUUAUUUUUGAGUAAUUUUUUUGUAUAGUUUUUUUAUUUUCUGCAUUACUUAUUUUUGCAUAGUCCGAAACCCUGAUACUCGGAAAGAGUUUGUCCAGUUUGUACACGAAGUGCGUCCAGUUUUUGCCGUGACCCUCUCUACUCUUUCGCGCAUGCUAUGCGGGUGAUACGAUGAUACCAUGCCAAGUUUCAACAUUUUCAGGAUUCAUUUUGUAGUGAUUUUCAAUUUCACGGUCAUUUAGCUCUCUAAACAAUUAGGUAAAUGACUGAAAAACAACAAAUGAUGUCAGAACAUGUUGAAAAUUGAUGACGUCGCUUUAAAUGCUGCAUACUGAACACAAAAGAAGUCCGGAGUACAAAUAAGUUUAAAAAACAUUGAAGUGGCCAUGUAACAGAUGAGUUCUCGUCCGAAACCCUGAUACUCGGAAAGAGUAUGUCCAUUUUGUACACGAAGUGCGUCCAGUUUUUGCCGUGACCCUCUCUACUCUUUCGCGCAUGCUAUGCGGGUGAUAUGAUGAUACCAUGCCAAGUUUCAGCAUUUUCAGGAUUCAUUUUGUAGUGAUUUUCAAUUUCACGGUCAUUUAGCUCUCUAAACAAUUAGGUAAAUGACCGAAAAACAACAAAUGAUGUCAGAAUAGACUGCACUGCACAUAGCUCAGUGUAGACUACACUGCACAUAGCUCAGUGCAAUCUAUGUUAUUCCGCAAGGCUUGAAGCUAAUCAACAUGUAGAUGAGCAUUGCAAUUCUUCGUCAUUGUCUGUGCACUCACGGCUUAUAAACCGCUCAUACUGCCUCUCUCUUGGCGAGGUGGGACUAAAAACAACUUGCCAUAACCUCAUCAAUUUCCUCUUGAAGCUUGUCCUUGCCUUUUUGCUUGUAUUCUUGUGGUGGAAGAUCAUCUUGAGCUUGUGUCCCCUUGAAGGAAGUAGGAUACUUCUCUUGUUGAGGAACAAACUUUGUCUUGGGGUAUUGAUCUUCUUCCCACUCAACUCCAUUGGCAUUGAACUUUCGUUCAAAACCAACACCUUGAUUCUUCCAGUGCCUUCCUUGCUUGCGCACAAUUUCCUCGAAUUGCUUACUCCCGGCAAGGCUUUUGUACAUUCCUUUCUCUAUAAUUCCCUUCAAUAAGCUAUUUUCUUGCUCAAGUGUAACUUGGCUAAGAGAAUCAUUAGUGGAAUCAAGAGAACUACUAGAAGCAACAAUGUUAGAUCUUAUGUCACAAAAAAGAAGUCGUAUCAAACCUUUUAUGUCGGAUCUAGAACAAACCAAUCGGUAUCGCCAUCAUACAGCCCUACCGUGGCUUGUGAUGCAUAUAUAUAUGCAUAUCAAAUGCACGGUUGGGCGUAUGAUGGCGAAUCCGAAUGAUUUGUAUUCAGUCGAUGAACUGGUAGAUGUAUGCAGUCGAUGAACUGGUAGAUGUAUGUAGUCGAUGAACUGAAAGACUUAUGCAGGGAAGGCGAGAGAUGGGCUAUAUAUAGGGUCGUCUGGCUCACAAAGUGAUUGUGGUAGUUUCGAUCCAACGACUCACAUGAGCUAGGAAGAAGCACACCCUUGAUCCAACGACUCGCAAGAGCUAUAAAGAAACACACGAUCCAUGUGAUUCUUCCUGAUUGGUGGGAUGCACAUUAGUAUCGGUUUGUGCCAUGAACUGGUGCUAAAGAUUGGCAAUGAACCGGUACUAAUGGUAGCAGCCCGCCUAGCCGUUGGAAUCGGCACUAAUGGUCACAUUUGUGCCGGCUCAAAUUCAAACCGGCACUAUAAUGUGCUUCACAUUUGACUGUUUUUCUACUAGUCAAUAGAGUUUGCCAAACUUGAGUUUCCCAAGUCACUUACACAAAAAGCUAUGAUUCAUGGUUGUCAAAUCCAUAAUUUACAAACCACAACAACCUUGAGGCAUAACAAGCUUUAAAUGCUGCAUACUGAACACAAAAGAAGUCCAGAGUUUAAAUAAGUUAUUAAAAAUAAAAAAGAGGUGCAAUGCUGGUUAAUUUGCUUCAAGCUAUUCGGAAUAGUGUAGAUUGCACUAAGCCACUGCACAUAGCUCAGUGCAAUCUAUGCUAUUCCGCAAGGCUUGAAGCUAAUCAACAUGUAGGUGAGCAUUGCAACUCUUCGUCAUUGUCUGUGCACUCACGGCUUAUAAACCGCUCAUACUACCUCUCUCUUGGCGAGGUGGGACUAAAAACAUCUUGCCAUAACCUCAUUAGUACUGGUUCAUGGUACGAACCGGCACUAAAUGGUGAUGGUGGGGCCAUAGCCUGACCGCAGGCUGACACAGCCUCUUUAGUACCGGUUCGUGGCAUGAACCGGUACUAAAGGUUCGCCACGAACCGGUACUAUUGAUCGCCGCCACGAACCGGCACUAAUGUACACAUUAGUGCCGGCUCUAAUUCAAACCGGCACUAAUGUGCUUCACAUUUGACCCUUUUUCUACUAGUGUAUGGCAUUUCCAUAGCCAUUCCGAGAUAUAUUGCCAUGCAACUUUCCAUCGUUCCAUUAUUAUGACACACUUCAUCAUUGUCAUAUUUGCUUGCAUGAUCAUGUAGUUGGCAUCGUAUUUGUGCAAAGCCACCAUUCAUAAUUCUUCAUACAUGUCACUCUUGAUUCACUGCAUAUCCCGGUACACCGCCGGAGGCAUUCACAUAGAGUCAUAUUUUGUUCUAAGUAUCGAGUUGUAAUUCUUGAGUUGUAAGUAAAUAAAAGUGUGAUGAUCAUCAUUAUUAGAGAAUUGUCCCAAGUGAGGAAAGGAUGGAGACUAUGAUUCCACAACAAGUCGGCAUGAGACUCCGGACGAAAAUAAAAAAAGAGGGAAAAAAGAGAAAGGCCAUAAAAAAGAAGGCCCAAAAAAUGAGAGAAAAAGAGAGAAGGGGCAAUGUUACUAUCCUUUUUCCACACUUGUGCUUCAAAGUAGCACCAUCAUCUUCAUGAUAGAGAGUCUCCUAUGAUAUCACUUUCAUAUACUAGUGGGAAUUUUUCAUUAUAGAACUUGGCUUGUAUAUUCCAAUGAUGGGCUUCCUCAAAUUGCCCUAGGUCUUCGUGAGCAAGCAAGUUGGAUGCACACCCACUUAGUUUCUUUUGUUGAGCUUUCAUACACUUAUAGCUCUAGUGCAUCCGUUGCAUGGCAAUCCCUACUCAAUCACAUUGAUAUCUAUUAAUGGGCAUCUCCAUAGCCCGUUGAUACGCCUGUUCUGGAGCUCCGCCAGAGGGGGCAUCGAUCACGGAGGGCUUCUACAUCAACAGCAUAGCCUCUCCGAUGAAGUGUGAGUAGUUGACCUCAGACCUACGGGUCCAUAGUUAUUACCUAGAUGGCUUCUUCUCUCUUUUUGGAUCUCAAUACAAUGUUCUCCCCCUCUCUUGUGGAGAACUAUUCGAUGUAAUCUUCUUUUUGCGGUGUGUUUAUUGAGAUCGAUGAAUUGUGGGUUUAUGAUCAAGUCUAUCUAUGAAUAAUAUUUGAAUCUUCUCUGAAUUCUUUUAUGUAUGAUUGUUUAUCUUUGCAAGUCUCCUCGAAUUAUCAGUUUGGUUUGGCCUACUAGAUUGAUCUUUCUUACAAUGGGAGAAGUGCUUAGCUUUGGGUUCAAUCUUGCGGUGUCCUUUCCCAGUGACAGCAGGGGCAGCAAGGCAUGUAUUGUAUUGUUGCUAUCGAGGACAACAAGAUGAGGUUUUCAUCAUAUUGCAUGAGUCUAUCCCUCUACAUCAUGUCAUCUAGCUUAAGGCGUUACUCUGUUUUUAACUUAAUACUCUAGAUGCAUGCUGGAUAGCGGUCGAUGAGUGGAGUAAUAGUAGUAGAUGCAGGCAGGAGUCGGUCUACUUGUCUCGGACGUGAUGCCUAUAUACAUGAUCAUACCUAGAUAUUCUCAUAAAUAUGCUCAAUUAUGUCAAUUGCUCAACAGUAAUUUGUUCACCCACCAUAGAAUUAUUAUGCUCUCGAGAGAAUCUACUAGUGAAACCUAUGGCCCCCGGGUCUAUCUUUAUCAUAUUAAUCUCCUACUACUUAGUUAUUUCCUUUGCUUUUUCCUUUGCCUUUAUUUUACUUUUCAUCUUUAUCACAAAAAUACCAAACAUAUUAUCUUUAUCAUAUCUAUCAGAUCUCACUCUCAUAAGUGGCCGUGUAGGGAUUGACAACCCCUAUUCGCGUUGGUUGCGAGGAUUUAUUUGUUUUGUGCAAGUACGAGGGACUCGCGCGUAGCCUCCUACUGGAUUGAUACCCUUGGUUCUCAAACUGAGGGAAAUACUUACGCUACUUUGCUACAUCAUCCCUUCCUCUUCGGGGAAAACCAACGCAGUGCUCAAGAGGUAGCAAGAAGGAUUUCUGGUGCCAAUGCCGGGGAGGUCUACGCAAAAGUCAACAUACCAAGUACCCGUCACAUACCCUUAUCUCCCGCAUUACAUUAUUUGCCAUUUGCCUCUCGUUUUCACCUCCCCCACUUCACCCUUGCCAUUUUAUUCGCCCUCUCUCUCUCUCUAUCCUCCCUCUCUUUCUCUAUUUGCCUCUUUUUUCCCGCUUGCUUUCUGUUUGCUUGUGUGUUAGUUGCUUGCUUGUCACGAUGGCUCAAGAUAAUACUAAAUUAUGUGACUUCACCAAUACCAACAACAAUCAUUUUAUUAGCACUCCGAUUGCUCCUCUUACCGAUGCUGAAUCUUGUGAAAUUAAUACUGCUUUGCUGAAUCUUGUCAUGAAAGAUCUGUUUUCCGGCCUUCCUAGUGAACAUGCCGGUACCCACCUAAAUAGAUUCAUUGAUUUGUGUGACAUGCAAAAAAAAGAAAGGUGUGGAUAAUGAUAUUGUUAAAUUGAAGCUAUUUCCUUUUUUGCUUAGAGAUCGUGCUAAAGCUUGGUUUUCGUCUUUGCCUAAAAAUAGUAUUGAUUCAUGGAAUAAGUGCAAAGAUGCUAUUAUCUCUAAGUAUUUUCCUCCUACUAAGAUCAUCUCUCUUAGAAACAAUAUUAUGAAUUUUAAGCAACUUGAUCAUGAACAUGUUGCACAAGCUUGGGAGAGAAUGAAACUAAUGGUACGUAAUUGCCCUGCCCAUGAUUUAAAUUUGUGGAUGAUUAUACAAAAAUGUUAUGCCGGAUUGAAUUUUGCUUCUAGAAAUCUUUUAGAUUCGGCCGCGGGAGGCACUUUUAUGGAAAUCACUUUAGAAGAAUCUACUAAACUCCUAGAUAAUAUUAUGGUUAAUUAUGCUCAACGGCAUAGUAAAAUAUCUAAUAAUAAAAAGGUGCAUGCGAUACAAGAAAUUAAUGUUUUGAGUGGAAAGAUGGAUGAACUUCUGAAAUUAUUUGCUAAUAAGAGUGUUUCUUCUGAUCCUAAUGAUAUACCCUUGUCUACUUUGAUUGAGAAUAGUAAUGAAUCUAUGGAUGUGGAUUUUGUUGGUAGGAACAAUUUUGGUAACAACGCGUAUAGAGGAAAUUUCAACCCUAGGCCUUAUCCUAGUAAUCUCUCUAAUAAUUAUGGUAAUUCCUACAACAAUUCUUAUGGAAAUUAUAAUAAGAUGCCCUCUAAUUUUGAAUCUAAUAUUAAAGAAUUUAUUACUUUGCAAAAGAAUUUCAAUACCUUGAUUGAAGAAGAACCGCUAGGAUGCGUGCUAAGAAAGAUGCCUUUAUAAGAGCGUGUUCUUCUAGUUCCUAUGAAAAUAAUGAUGAAGAUCUAAAAGUUAUUGAUGUGUUCCCUAUUAAAUCUUUGUUUUUCAACAUGGAUCUUGAUAAUGAUGGGAUUGAAUAUGAUCCACCUUUACCUAUAAGGCGUUCCAAGAAUUCAGAAUUUGUUGAUCUUGAUGCUAAAAUUGAUAAAGGUGGGAUUGAAGAAAUUAAAACCCUAGAUGUUGCUAAACCCACUAUUAUGGAUUUCAAGGAAUUUAACUAUGAAAAUUGCUCUUUUAUUGAUUGUAUAUCCUUUUUACAAUCCGUGCUAAAUUCUCCUCAUGCUUAUAGUCAAAAUAAAGCGUUUACUAAACAUAUCGUUGAUGCCUUGAUGCAAUCUUAUGAAGAAAAACUUGAAUUGGAAGUUUCUAUCCCUAGAAAGCUUUAUGAUGAGUGGGAACCAACUAUUAAAAUUAAAAUUAAAUAUCAUUAAUGCUAUGCUUUAUGUGAUUUGGGUGCUAGUGUUUCCACGAUUUCAAAGACUUUGUGUGAUUUGUUAGGUUUCCGUGAUUUUGAUGAUUGCUCUUUAAACUUGCGCCUUGUGGAUUCCACUAUUAAGAAACCUAUGGGAAGAAUUAAUGAUGUUCUUAUUGAUGCAAAUAGGAAUUAUGUGCCUGUAGAUUUUAUUGUUCUUGACAUAGAUUGCAAUCUUUCAUGUCCUAUUAUUCUUGGUAGACCUUUCCUUAGAACGAUUGGUGCAAUUAUUGAUAUGAAGGAAGGAAAUAUUAGAUUCCAAUUUCCAUUAAGGAAAGUCAUGGAACACUUUACUAGAAAGUAAAUUAAAUUACCUUAUGAAUCUAUUAUGAUAGCCACUUAUGGAUUGCCUACCAAAGAUGGCAAUACCUAGAUCUAUCCUUGCUUGUUAUGCCUAGCUAGGGGCGUUAAACGAUAGCGCUUGUUGGGAGGCAACGCAAUUUUGUUUUUAUUCCUUGAUUUUUGCUCCUGUUUAGUAAUAAAUAAUUUAUCUAGCCUCUGUUUUGGUUGUGUCCUUUGUGUUUAAUUAGUGUUGGUGCCAAGUAGAACCGUUAGGAAGACUUGGGGAAAGUCUUGUUACACUUGCUGUAAAAAACAGAAACUUCAGCGCUCACGAGAACUACUGCCAUUUUUAUUUGGAAAGUUCUAUUUAGUUAAUUAUUUCUGCAGAUGAUUAAUAGAUAAAUUCCUCACGUCCAGAAAUUUAUUUUAGAAUUUUUGGGGUUCCAGCUCUUGAGCUAGGUACAGAUUACUACAGACUGUUCUGUUUUUGAAAGAUUUUGUUUUUCAUGUGUUGUUUGCUUAUUUUGAUGAACCUAUGGCUAGUAAAAUAGUUGAUAGACCAUAGAUAAGUUGGAAUACAGUAGGUAUAACACCAAUAUAAAUAAAUAAUGAGUUCAUUAUAGUACCUUGAAGUGGUCUUUUAUUUUCUUUCGCUAACGGAGCUCACGAGAUUUUCUACUUUAAGUUUUGUGUUGUGAAGUUUUCGAGUUUUGGGUAAAGAUUUGAUGGUUUAUGGAACAAGGAGUGACAAGAGCCUAAGCUUGGGGAUGCCCAUGGCACCCCCAAGAUAAUCUAAGUACACCUAAAAGCCAAAGCUUGGGGAUGCCCCGGAAGUCAUCCCCUCUUUCGUCUACUUCUAUCGGUAACUUUACUUGGAGCUAUAUUUUUAUUCGCCACAUGAUAUGUGUUUUGCUUGGAGCAUCUUGUAUUAUUUGACUCUUUAUUUGUUAGUUUACCACAAUCAUCCUUCCUGUACACACCUUUUUUAGAAUACUCUAUGUGCUUCGCUUAUAUCUUUUGAGUUAUAUAGUUUUGCUCUAGUACUUCACUUAUAUCUUUUAGAGCACGGUGGUGGAUUUGUUUUAUAAAAACUAUUGAUCUCUCAUGCUUCACUUAGAUUAUUUUGAGAUGCUUAAUAGCAUGGUAAUUUGCUUAAAAUCCUAAUAUGCUAGGUAUUCAAAGUUAGUAUAAUUUUCUUAAGAGUGUUUUGAAUACUAAGAGAAGUUUGAUGCUUGAUGAUUGUUUUGAGAUAUGGAGGUAAUAAUAUCAAAGUCGUGCUAGUUGAGUAGUUGUGAAAUUGAGAAAUACUUGUGUUGAAAUUUGCAUGUCCCGUAGCAUGCACAUAUGGUAAACGUUGUGUAACAAAUUUGAAACAUCAGGUGUUAUUUGAUUGUCUUCCUUAUGAGUGGCGGUCGGGGACGAGCGAUGGUCUUUUCCUACCAAUCUAUCCCCCUAGGAGCAUGCGCGUAGUACCGAGGUUUUUGAUCACUUGUAGAUUUUUGCAAUAAGUAUGUGAGUUCUUUAUGACUAAUGUUGAGUCCAUGAAUUAUACGCACUCUCACCCUUCCAUCCUUGCUAGCCUCUUCGGUACCGUGCAUUGCCCUUUCCCACAUUGAGUGUUGGAGCAAACUUCGCCGGUGCAUCCAAACCCCGUGAUAUGAUACGCUCUUUCACACAUAAACCUCCUUAUAUCUUCCUCAAAACAGCCACCAUACCUACCUAUUAUGGCAUUUCCAUAGCCAUUCCGACAUAUAUUGCCAUGCAACUUUCCACCAUUCCGUUCAUCAUGACACAUUCAUCAUUGUCAUAUUGCUUAGCAUAAUCAUGUUGUUGACAUAGUAUUUGUGGCAAGGCCACUGUUCAUAAUUCUUUCAUACAUGUCACUCUUGGUCCAUUGCAUAUCCCGGUACACCGCUGGAGGCAUUCAUAUAGAGUCAUACUUUGUUCUAGUAUCGAGUAGUAAUUAUUGAGUUGUAAAUAAAUAGAAGUGUGAUGAUCAUCAUUAAUAGAGCAUGGUCCCAAAGAGAGAAAAAAGGAAGGGCCAAAAAAGGCCAAAUAAAAAAUAUAAAAAAGGGGGGCAAUGCUACUAUCCUUUUUUCCACACUUGUGAUUCAAAGUAGCACUGUAAUCUUCAUGAUAGAGAGUAUCUUGAUUUGUCACUUUCAUAUACUAGUGGGAAUUUUUCAUUAUAGAACUUGGCUUGUAUAUUCCAACAAUGGGCCUCCUUAAGUGCCCUAGGUCUUCGUGAGCAAGCAAGUUGGAUGCACACCCACUUAGUUUCUUUUGUUGAGCUUUCAUACAUUUAUAGCUCUAGUGCAUCCGUUGCAUGGCAAUCCCUACUCCUUGCAUUAACAUCAAUCGAUGGGCAUCUCCAUAGCCCAUUGAUUAGCCUCGUUGAUGUGAGACUUUCUCCUUUUUGUCUUCUCCACAUAACUCCACUCAUUAUAUUCUAUUCCACCCAUAGUGUUAUGUCCAUGGCUUGCAAUCAUAUAUUGCGUGGAAGUUUAUAGGUUUGAGAUCACUAAAGUAUGAAACAAUUGCUUAGCUUGUCAUCGGGGUUGUGCAUGAUGAGAGCGUUGUUGUGUGACAAAAAUGAAGCAUGACUAAACUAUAUGAUUUUGUAGGGAUGAACUUUCUUUGGCCAUGUUAUUUUGAGAAGACAUAAUUGCUCAGUUAGUAUGCUUGAAGUAUUAUUAUUUUUAUGUCAAUAUGAACUUUUGUCUUGAAUCUUUCGGAUCUGAAUAUUCAUAUCACAAUUAAGAAGAAUUACAUUAAAAUCAUGCUAAGUAGCACUCUGCAUCAAAAAUUCUGUUUUUAUCAUUUACCUACUCGAGGACGAGCAGGAAUUAAGCUUGGGGAUGCUUGAUACGUCUCCAACGUAUCUAUAAUUUUUGAUUGCUCCAUGCUAUAUUAUCUACUGUUUUGGACAAUAUUGGGCUUUAUUAUCCACUUUUAUAUUAUUUUUGGGACUAACCUAUUAACCGGAGGCCCAGCCCAGGAUUGCUGUUUUUUGCCUAUUUUAGGGUUUCGAAGAAAAGGAAUAUCAAACGGAGUCCAAACGGAAUGAAACCUUCGGGAACGUGAUUUUCUCAACGAACAAGACCCAGGAGACUUGGACCCUCCGUCAAGACACAAAAGAGGAGGCCACGAGGUAGGGGGCGUGCCUACCCCCCGGGCGCGCCCUCCACCCUCGUGGGCCCCCUGUUGCUCCACCGACGUACUCCUUCCUCCUAUAUAUACCUACGUACCCCCAAAUGAUCAUAUACGGAGCCAAAACCCUAAUUACACCGCCGCAACAUUUUGUAUCCACGAGAUCCCAUCUUGGCGCCUGUUCCGGAGCUCCGCCGGAGGGGGCAUCGAUCAUGGAGGGCUUCUACAUCAACACCAUAGCCUCUCCGAUGAAGUGUGAGUAGUUGACCUCAGACCUACGGGUCCAUAGUUAUUACCUAGAUGGCUUCUUCUCUCUUUUUGGAUCUCAAUACAAUGUGCUCCCCCUCUCUUGUGGAGAACUAUUCGAUGUAAUCUUCUUUUUGUGGUGUGUUUGUUGAGACCGAUGAAUUUUGGGUUUAUGAUCAAGUCUAUCUAUGAAUAAUAUUUGAAUCUUCUCUGAAUUCUUUUAUGUAUGAUUGGUUAUCUUUGCAAGUCUCUUCGAAUUACCCGUUUGGUUUGGCCUACUAGAUUGAUCUUUCUUGCAAUGGGAGAAGUGCUUAGCUUUGGGUUCAAUCUUGCGGUGUCCUUUCCCAGUGACAGUAGGGGCAGCAAGGUACGUAUUGUAUUGUUGCCAUCGAGGACAACAAGAUGGGGUUUUCAUCAUAUUUUAUGAGUCUAUCCCUCUACAUCAUGUCAUCUUACUUAAGGCAUUAAUCUGUUUUUAACUUAAUACUCUAGAUGCAUGCUGGAUAGCGGUCGAUGAGUGGAGUAAUAGUAGUAGAUGCAGGCAGGAGUCGGUCUACUUGUCUCGGACGUGAUGCCUAUAUACAUGAUCAUACCUAGAUAAUCUCAUAACUAUGCUCAGUUCUGUCAAUUGCUCAAUAGUAAUUUGUUCACCCACCGUAGAAUACUUAUGCUCUUGAGAGAAGCCACUAGUGAAACCUAUGGCCCCCGGGUCUAUCUUUAUCAUAUUAAUCUCCUACUACUUAGUUAUUUCCUUUGCUUUUUUACUUUGCCUUUAUUUUACUUUGCAUCUUUAUCACAAAAAUAAAAAUAUCUUUAUCAUAUCUAUCAAAUCUCACUCUCGUAAGUGGCCGUGUAGGGAUUGACAACCCCUAUUCACGUUGGUUGCGAGGAUUUAUUUGUUUUGUGCAGGUACGAGGGACUGGCGCAUAGCCUCCUACUGGAUUGAUACCUUGGUUCUCAAAACCUAAGGGAAAUACUUACGCUACAUUGCUGCAUCAUCCCUCACUCUUCGGGGAAAACCAACGCAGUGCGCAAGAGGUAGCAAGGGUUCCUUUUUGUCGACGAUCUGAUGUUUCAACCUUGUUUUCCAGGCGGCCAACGCAUCGCUCAACUUGGUCAUGGCGUGUUUGUUUAUCUUCGUCAUUGCCAGGUCCUUAUCUGGAUCUUUAUUAUCCUUUUCAUUACGGUCCGGGAACAAGAAUAUCUGGUGCAGCUUCUUUAGGAGGGAGGGCCUCUGGUGCAGCUUCUAUAGUUUCCCAUCGUUGAUCAUGGCAGUUGUCCGUACAAUGCAACCUAUUUGAUUGCCGUAGCACGAUUGCGCUUCCUCGGGUGCUAUUGUCUCAAAAAUACCGUCGUCCAUCUCCGUGACCACCAGUCUAGUACUCAUGAGCUGGUUUAGGCGUCGUGGCCUCUUUGCUUUCGGUUCUAGACUAACUCCGCUAGUCUCGGCGCUGGUCUCAGUCUCAUCGCCGGUCUGCAUGUCGGUAUCAGUCCCUGAUGCGACAACACAGUCGCUGCAACAUGGGUAAGGGAGACCACAUCAGUGCUGGGGGGUCCGAAAAUCGGGACACACUUUCGCGCGUCGCGGGCCGCCUCUCAGACAGCUACUGGGGAGGCGGCGGAGUACCUGGGUGCGCCGCGAAUCCCCGGGAACUCGGUGACCAACUUCCUUCCCGUGUGGCGCAUGGAGACGACAGCGACCCCGGCGAAGAGUAGCUUAGCCGCGAGCUGCACAGCCUCGUCCACCUCCUAAGUUGGGACCUCCGCGCAAGCGUUGCGGGGCCGCCGCUCGGGUGGCUUCUGGAAGGCGGUUGUACAUGGGCACAGGGUGAAUCCCGACUAGAGCUGGCCAUUGGCGCGCGCAAGUAGACGACGACGUCCCCGACGAAGAGCUGCCCGGCCAGCUCGCCUCACUCUCCUUUGAUUAGAAAUGAAAGAUUGGGAAGAAGCAGACUUGAGCCUGCAGAGAAAGGAUAAGGUGACGAUGCAGUCUCCACUCGUUCGGGGCGACACGCGUACUGAAUGUAUGAGAAACGUGACGUGGCAGAGACCCCAAGAUACUCCCUCCAUUUAUUUUUAGUCUGCAUAUAAAGUUUGGUCAAAGUCAAGAUUUGUAAAUUUUAACUAACUUUAUAAUAAAAAAAUAUCAAUAUUCACAAUAUGAAAUCAAUAUUACCAGAUGCGUCAUGAAAUGUAUUUCCAUACUAUAAAGUUUUGGUAUUGUAGAGGCACUCUUCCAUAUAAUGAAGUUUAUAAUAUAUGUGCUUAUAUUGUACUACAAUUGUUUGAAUAGCUUAGCAUAUGUUCAGAUGUAUGAUAUCUGUAAUUUAAGCGCUUGAAUUUUACAUAUAAAUAUUUAUUAAUAAAUAUGUACCCCUAUAAUAGCUAGGCCGUGCAGUUGCACGGGUAGAUGACUAGUGAUUACAAUCUUGUUUGUGUGCAAGUCAAGCUUAUCUAGUUUACACGUAACAACUUGUAGAACAUUACAAAAUUUAUGCUUGCUAAUAACUUCUAGAACACUACAACACUUGACAUGUAAAAGGAAUUUGACGAGUCAUGGCCUACUAAAGCAAGUUACAUUACUAGUCUUAUCUAUCUUAACAGACCACACAAGAUUACAAACUAAGUACCGUGACAGCCAUACUUAUCUAGUUUAUGCGUAACAAUUUGCAGAAAAUUAGAAACUUAGUUUCAGAAAAAUACGCAAUCUAGAUUAGUGUUUGAGCUGUAAAGUGAAUAAGAUGAGUCAUGCAUGUUAUCACACCUUUUUGGUGGUGGAAUGAUAGUGCAACAACAAGGAACUUUAAUGACCAGUCCAAGAAUACACUUGUAAGUAGUGCCACCAAACAGAACAUUCCAAAUGAUGAUUUUUAGAAGCAUCCAAGCACUUUCCACACAAACAAAUGCCAAUUGUGAAAGAGAUCAUUCCAUGGCAGCUAUAAAUAGCCCCAUAGCAUGACGAUCAUCCUUCCUCAUCCAUCAUUCUCAUUAGUAGAGCGCAUCAUUUAAGCCAAGCAAGCUGUGGUCAAUACAAAUCCACCAUGAAGACCUUUCUCAUCCUUGCCCUCCUUGCUAUCGUGGCGACCACCGCCACAACUGCAGUUAGAGUUCCAGUGCCACAAUUGCAGCCACAAAAUCCAUCUCAGCAACAGCCACAAGAGCAAGUUCCAUUGGUACAACAACAACAAUUUCUAGGGCAGCAACAACCAUUUCCACCACAACAACCAUAUCCACAGCCGCAACCAUUUCCAUCACAACAACCAUAUCUGCAGCUGCAACCAUUUCCGCAGCCGCAACUACCAUAUUCGCAGCCACAACCAUUUCGACCACAACAACCAUAUCCACAACCGCAACCACAGUAUUCGCAACCACAAGAACCAAUUUCACAGCAGCAGCAACAACAACAACAACAACAACAAAUCCUUCAACAAAUUUUGCAACAACAACUGAUUCCAUGCAUGGAUGUUGUAUUGCAGCAACACAACAUAGCGCAUGGAAGAUCACAAGUUUUGCAACAAAGUACUUACCAGCUAUUGCAAGAAUUGUGUUGUCAGCACCUAUGGCAGAUCCCUGAGCAGUCGCAGUGCCAGGCCAUCCAAAAUGUUGUUCAUGCUAUUAUUCUGCAUCAACAACAAAAACAACAACAACAACCAUCGAGCCAGGUCUCCUUCCAACAGCCUCUGCAACAAUAUCCAUUAGGCCAGGGCUCCUUCCGGCCAUCUCAGCAAAACCCACAGGACCAGGGCUCUGUCCAGCCUCAACAACUGCCCCAGUUCGAGGAAAUAAGGAACCUAGCGCUACAGACGCUACCUGCAAUGUGCAAUGUCUACAUCCCUCCAUAUUGCACCAUCGCGCCAUUUGGCAUCUUCGGUACUAACUGAGAAGAAAAUAACUCUAGUACUAGAUAUAU